rnacentral:lncRNA from 1 species
UUGAUGCAACUGUACUCUUUCUGGUAGGUCUGAGAUGGACUGAGCAUCCUAAGCUAGCUACUUGUCUCCCUUAGGUUUUACAGCAAGACAAAUGCACUGGACUACAAAGAGGAAAAUUCUUGCAGGUUCGUAAUGAAUCUGUUUUGGUUCUGGCAUUCACACCAAUCAUAAAGCAGUGUUUGUUAGUAGCGGAGUGGUAGGCAGACGCAAAUCAAACCAUCAUUUUUCUUCUAAAUACACUUGUAAAAGCAUCGAUGCAUCUCCGUCGCUUAAUUUUAUUUGUCAUUCUGUUCAGUACCUGGUUUGGUUUAGGAAGAGCUCUUUUUCCUAUGCAAAAUGUAUAACGUGUAUGUUUCUAAUUCCGAUUGCAGGCAUAUUCAUCGCGCUUGUGUUUUGACGUGUUGCGGGCAACCAAGAGUCGUUCAACAGUGUGUUGCUGGGGUACGCCACCGGUCUGACAGUAAAAGGUAGCGCUGAUGAACUGGUUUCAAGCCGAGCUGAUCAGUUCUGCUGUUACUAAUAUAUCAUGGCAUCUUGCGGCUCUCGGUCGAUGUUCUGUCAUCUAUGAGGAGAGAGUUUCCAUUUAAUCUAGUUGCUAAUGCUUUGUAUACAAAAUUAUAGAUGCCUACACAAUACAAAAUCAAAAGUUAUUUUCUUAGUCAAACUGGAAAAUUCAUAGAUUUGCAGGAACAUCUGUACAUAAAGCCUUUUCCAUCAAAGUAUGUACAUACAUUGUCUAUUUUAACAUAAGAAUGUAGGACUCGUUCAAAACUAUUUGACUAUUCAUACAAAAAAAAUAGAAUUUCUUAAAAUAAGGGAGCACAUCUUCUCUGGUUUGAUCACUGAAGUCAUCAAUUGAGCAGUCCAGGUUCACCUAGUUAUCUAUUUCAAAACUUAGGGAGAACAAUUUGGGUGAUACUUUUUCAAAGUACAAGGCACAUAUUUAUAGUUCAUUGAAAUGCACCUAUAUUUUGACCUCAUUAAUAUCUCAUCCUUCAUAAUAAAGUAUGGCCAAACAAACAGAGAAACCGCUAGUUUCUUUCAUGUUCCCCAGACAAUAACACCAUAGCUAUUACUGUCAUUCCCCUUCUCUCUUAAUACCUUCCAUCCUUUCCAUUAUAAUUAAUGAAACUGAAACAUAUCAUUCUCUUGGUUGUAUUUUUUUCCUAAAAUGUUUAAGGUGUAUGUGUCAUUGAGUGAAUAUAUUAUGUUGCAAAGUUUCACGAAAUUUAGUAUGCAACCAGUAUGCAAGAGAAAUAAAGAUUAAAGUAAAUUUAGUUAUUUUUAUUAGCCAUUAUUGUUUUUAGAGAAAACAAUAGGCAAGUCACUUUUUCAUGAAAGCUGGAGACAAAUAGUGUAUUCUAACAUAAAAAUGGUCAAUUUUCCUCACACACACACACACACACAUACACAUAAACUUAGAAUUUUUGGAAAUAAUGGGAGCAAUGGCCAUGUGAAAAUAUGAGGUUUAUAUCUUGUGGAUUUCCUUUCAGUGUACAAGGCCUGCAUGUAGAAUGGAUAUUUUUUUUUCUAUAUUUGCUUCCCUAAUUUAAAUCUUAUCCUUCAUCAUCAAUUAUGACUAAACAUAAAUAGUAACUGCUAGUUUCUCUUAUGCUUAUGAGGAGAUAAGACCAUGGAUAUUUUAGUCAUUCCACUUUGCUAUUGAUUGUUUCUGUUCUUUUGCGCUAAAUAGUAGUCAAACAUGUUAUUCAUGUAUUUCGUAAGGAUAAGGUCAAGCCUCAUGAUAAGGAUAGGGUCGCGCUAUUCGUCACCCUGGGUGAGGCAUUGUUAUUUUUCACCCACUUCUAUUUUAUCAUCAAUGCACCGUAAAUUUACGUUUCAUAAGUUUUGUCUUAUUUCCGACGCAAAAAGGGACCGUAAGAAAAUAUAUAAUCGCCAUAAAAAAUAUUUUAUGUUAUAUAAAAUUACAAACAUAAAAACAUAGUCUAAAAUACACACAAACUGCAAAUUUUCUUGUCUUAUAACCUAUAUUUUUAUUUUUUUAUGUCAAAUUUUACGUAGUGAAUCAAUAGAAAUAUAACUAUUUGAAUUCGAAAUGUAAUUUAAUUAUGAAAUGAUCGUAAGAUUACCUCGGGUGAAGAAUAACUUAUUCUGCACCCUGAUUGAUGAAUAAUAAAUUUAAUUAUAUUAUAUACAUAUAGGAUAACACUAUUCUAAUCCUAGAAUUAGAAUAGCUAUUUGGAUCACAGCCAGCCCGACCACAUCUUAGUGAGAUCGCGCGAGCAAAAGAAAAAACCCAAAACGCCCCGCCCCGUUUAUCCCCUUGUCGCUCCACCACCACCCCCCGACCUCUGGCCGCCGCCCACCCUGCUCCGGCGCGCCUCCCACCCUCGCCUCCUUCCGAGCGCUCCGCCGGCCCCGCCUUCUUCCAGGCGCGCCGCCGGCCCCGCCUCCUCCUGGCGUGCUGCCACCCCCACCUCUUGCAGCGCGAGGUCGCCGCCACCGCCUACUUCCCGGCGUGCCGCCAGCCCCGCCCCCUUCGGCGCGAGGCCGCCGCCCCCACCUCCUCCUGGCGCGCCGUCGUCCCCUGUACCUGACGCGCCCCCCGGUGCCGCCGGCCCGCAACCCGCCGCCCAGCACCUUCCCGUCGCGCGCCUCCCAACACCGAGGCGCCGCCGCCCACAGGUUCUGUAGAUGCUGACCUGCCACUGCACCGCCGCUGCAACCUGCUGCUCACUCUUCCUCGCACAUGUGUCAGCAACACAAAAGUGGGUCGCUGCAGUCCACCUCCUGCUACAGCAGCAGGACGACUCCUUCAGGACGCAUCUCACACUCAUGGAGGCGGUGCUAUCUCUGGCGAGCUCCUCCAUCCCCGAGCGCGAUGCUUCCACUACUGCGUCCUCCUCACGUUCCCUUCCCCAUCCUUGUGUAUGCUUAUUUCGAUGUGGAAAACUCCAUCAACUAGUUCGCAUCACGUAUCAGGGCACGGCCAUAACAUGCUAGCAAUAUUAUGCUUUGGCUGCUAGUAAUGUGUUUGUGCUAAUGUCUAGUAGGAACUCUAGUUGUACUGAUAAAAGAGAACCAAACCAUCAUAUAAGGGAAAAGUCGCAUCUCUCUAUCUUUGAUCUCUCUAUGAUACAGAUAUGGACGUAUAUGGAAUUAGUAAAAUUCCUCUUUUAUAUUGCUUGUUCAUUAAUCAUUCAUGCAUCGUGUCCUAAAAGAAAUAUAGUGUGCUCUGUUUGAAAAAGCAUGUGGUCAGCACAUGUUUGUUAUUAUAUGGAUCUAAAGGUUUAACAAACAAACACAUUCAGAUUUCUCUUUAUUCGUAUAAAGGUUGGAGUGAGGUAGCGCUUAUUUCCUAUAUAGCUGCUCAUUUUGGAUGCAGUUUGAACAAUCAGGCUAGGGAGCGGUGAGCGUGGGUAGGCUGGCCAAACCUUCCCUCCACUGGGUCAACCGGCAGCGUCGCCCACCACCGUACUGUCCUACGGCAACGGCCCCAACCUGGGCAGGCGUGCUUUCUGCGACAUGCUCCUGCUCAUGGAUGUCUUGGUGAGGUAAAAACUUCUGUUAACUUAACUUAGCUACCUCAACUGAUUGAACUGCAGGGGUUGUGUGCAGUCUGAUGUGGUUCUAGUGUUUGAUUAAUGCAAUUUGGAAGAACUUGCGUCUCUAAAAUUCAAACUCUGCAUUUUGGUGUAUUUUUAUUUAGAAGUUCAGGUCAUCAUAAGUUGCUUCGGUUUAGCUAGUUACUGUUGUGAAAAAGUUCAGCUCGUCAUAUUUGAACAUCGGAAGAAGAGCUGCUAUAGUCUCCUGCUAUAUGCUUGUUAUAUUCCUAAAUAGUACAGGCUCAACCAAAGCAAGUAGUUAUAGUCUCCUGCUAUAUGCUUAAAUAGUACAUUUUUUCUGUAUUCUUGUUCGGAAGUUCAGGUCAUUCAAAGAGACCAAAUAGUACAGGCUCAACCAAAUAGUGAAAAGUCUACUAGAGUCGAAAAAAUAUAAUGAUACAAAAAUGCAACUCUGCACUUUCCUCAAAAUGGUCAUCAUAUUCUUAAGAAGAUUGGGAUUGCACUAUUUGUUUGAGCUAGUACUACCAGACUGAACAAAUUGCAGAGUUGGAUUUUAGAGCCUGGACAUUUUCAGACAUUUUCAAAAGUGGUCAAUUGAACCUGAACCAAAAAGAUUGACCUGAAAUUCGUUUGGGCUAGUUACUACCAGACUGAAAAAAUUGUAAUAGGUGGAUAAGUGGUAUUGUACUAUUUUCUAUUGUGUGGUAAUGCUCGUACCCCAUGGCCAUGGAAGGUUCAGAUGUUGUGCUCUUCUUUUCUAGCUGAUUCAUGUUCUAUUUGGUAGCUUUAAUGAUAUUCUAUACACUGAUGGCGAGAGUUCAACCAUGGCUAUACGCCAAGUUCUACUAUGGCUAUAUGUCGGCCAUCGUGAAGUCCUACUAUAGCUAUAUGCCAAGUUUAAUUAUGGCUGUAUGCUUGUGCUUCCAGGCUACUAUUGAACGUGUCUUGGCCUUCAUUUUUACGGGUUAUAGUCUCCUGCUAUAUGCUUGCUUUUGCUAUCAGCAUGUUCAUGCAAGUGCCUCUGAAUAAUCUGAAAUUUAAACUUGUACCUAAAACUGAACUUCUACCUCUUUGCUACAGGUGCGGUCGUCGGAGUCCUUUAAGUGCUUGCACUAGUGCUUCUAACUUGUCCAUGAAGGCACUGCAUGGUGUGCCACCUCCCGUCUGCCGCCGCAGCUGCCAUGUGUCCUUGCGACCUCUGCGGCCAGUCACCAACGCCCUAUGAGUGCGCCCUAAGUGUGGCAUGGGGAACAUGCUAAUGUGUGUGUUUCUGCACUGGUGUGUGCGUGCAUGCUCACGUUUAUGCGUGACUGAGUGUGCUGCUUGUGUGCUGUGAUGUAUGUUGUAUAGAUUUUUAUGAAGUUCAUGUUGUGAACCCAACUUAAUUAGAACACAAAAGUUUAGAUCGCAGCUGCUUUGAAUUAUGUAGUGUUUCUAAAUAGCUUCUUGUCUGAAGUUCAGUCGUACAUGUGGGUGCAAGAAAGUUAGUGUCGGAGCCAGAAAAACUGACUUUGAGCAACUGUUGGGUAUUUAUAUAAAAACAUUGUGUGUAGCAAUUCGUUGUGUUUAUUGAAAAAUGAAAAGACAGAAGUUCACCAUGCAAAACUUUCACAGUCCAAUUGGUAUUAAGAAGGCAGAAAUAUAAAACAACAGUGAAGUUCACUAAAAAUGCAACUUUUCACAUUGCGAAGAAACAAUAAUUAACUUCUCAGUGUACAAUUUAGUUUUUGUUUCUCUUUUCCAAAAAAUAAGAAUAGAAGUAAUAUGUGGAAGCUAUUUGUGUUUAUGUCUCAAAUUAGAAUAAUUAUAAGAAUUGCCUCUAUAUGUGCUAUGUGUUACACACCUUUCCGAAUCAAAAGAGAUUAGAUUCAUCCAUGAGUAAGGUAGGUACAAUUAUUUUUAAACAGUUCAAUUGCUCGAUAGAUGUAUGUCCAGAAAAAUAAAAGAUAGUUCAACACAAUAUAAACCCAUGAGAUUGCAAAAAAUCUUUGGAUUAAGUGGAUGAGAACCAAUAAGUUCAUAUAUGAAACCUUGGGGAGUUCAAAAAAAGUUAAAAAGGUUCGAUGUUUGUUGCGAAGCUAGGAUUUUCUUCAUUACUAAUGAAUAAAUCAAGAAGUUCAAAUUAAAAAAGGAUGAGCGGUUCGAUGUUUAUUACGAACCUAGAAUUUUUUCCGUUACUAAAAGAAAUAAUACCAACAAGUUCAAAUUAAAAAAAUCGAGUAGUUUGAUAUUUCUUUGAAAACUCAAAUUUUUCCGGUUAGUAAAUAAUAAAACCAAUAAGUUCAAUUCAAAAUAACGAAGAAGUUCAACUUUUAAAAGCAAAGCAAUUUGAUAUUCAUUUAAAAACUCAAUUUUUUCGGUUACUAAAGAAUAAGACCAACAAGUUCAAUUCAAAGUAACGAAGAAGUUCGAUGUUUCUAACAAAACUCCAAUUUUCACAUUUCUAAAAACUCCAAUUUUAGGUGAGCCCAAUUUUUGUGUGGAUGUGUUGUGCAUGUGCUUGUGCGUAGUACAUUUAAUAGAACAAAAACACUAUUAUGGGUGCCCUCUAAAUGUUUGUCCUAUUGCUUAUGAGAAUUGACCCGAAUUUUCCUAUUGUUUUUGCACAUGUUGGAUUCAAGGGAAAAUGUGUAUAAAACAGGUGUGAUUUCAGAAGUUCAGGUGUAACGAACAUCGAAGUCCAAACCAAAAGAAUGUAAACAAAAAAAUCAUGGAAUUCAAAAGAAUAAAUACUAUCGAGUUUCAUGAAAGAAAAUAGCAUGCGAAGUUCAUGUUUCAGAAAGUUUGAAGUUCACGUGUACCACAUACAGAAGAAAAAUGAUCAAAUGAAAAAAGGGACCGCCUAGGCCAUUUCACCGAAAAGCAAAAAAUGCAUAAAAUGUCACGACAAAAUUCUAUAAGAAGUUCCAAUUUAAAAGCCGAAGUAGGUCAACGUUAAAGAAAAUGAAGUUUUUAAUAUCUAAAAGAAAAUUUUGGAAGCUCAACAAAUUUGUGCAAGGAGUUAAAAAAAUUAGUUGAAAAAUAUUUAUAACGGAUUUUCCCCGUGUAUAAAAAAAUCAGAGAAGUUCAAAUUAAAAAGAGGAGCAUUUCAAAAGAUUGUAUAAAAACUGAUUUACUCAAAAUAGAUAAAGGUGAAGUUCAAAUUGAAAUAACGGAGAUGUUCGGAGUUUAUUAAAACCUAGAAUUUACCUGUUCGAAAAAUAAAAAACACAACACCAUUUUUUUGCACUUUUAGAGACAACUCAUAAACGAAAAAAUGGUUGCUGGAAGUUCAAGUGCUCGGUGAGGAAAAGUUCAAAAAAUUCUUGUAAGAGAGGUUCACCGUGUAUUUAGAUGUCCAAAAUACAUAAAAAAUAUGUUGUUUUUUGUGUUUUAAAAUAAUUCUCUCAAACCAGAGAGAAGUUCAAAGUGAUAAUAGCCGGAAGUUCACGUACUACAUGGUGUGUAUUUCAUAUAAGAAAAAUAGAAUAAAGUGAAACAGAGUAAAGUUCAAACGGACAUGCCCUAGAAGUUCAACUACUUCACGUAGUGCAAAAAAAUAUCACAUCAAAAAUAGAGUGAGGACAGACAUGCCUGAGAAGUUCAACUACUUCACACAGUGUGUUUCCAUUCGCAAUGAAGGCAGAAAUCAUGAUCUCGUCAUUUCUCUAAUUUACUUCAAAACGAUAGGAAUAUCAUUUGUGUAAGUUCAAGUCCUCGGUCGGAGAAAGUUAAAAAAAUAUUGUGAGAGAGGUUUGUACAAAAAGAAUAUCAUUUGUGUAACACUGACGAAAUGGAUGAGAAAAUUACAAACAAAAAACGUCACAGAAGUUCAACGUGAAAACAACAGGAAGUUCGACUACUAUAGUGAAUGAAUUUGAGAUGAAAAACUUUUAAAAUCAUCGCGAGUAUGAAAAAACGAUCAACACGGGAAAGUUAUGUGCUUACAGCAGCUUUCCACCGGUAUAUCACUUUCUCAAUUCCGGUGAGUGGAUGGAGAGUUACGAGCAGUGGAUGGAGACCUACGAGCAAAAAAAUCACGUGAAAAACAGAGUGAAGUUCAGGUACACGCGCCGAGAAGUUCAGGUUCUUCACGCGGUGCAUUUUCGAAGAAUCUGUUUGACGAUAAAGGCAGAACGCAUGAUCUCGCCAUUUUCGAAAUUACUUGAAAAUGGCUAGGAAUCAGAGAAAACCAUCAACAUGAAAAAGUUUUGCAAUUUCCGUAGCUUUUCAGCGGUAUAUUAUUUGCCCCAUUCCGAUAAAGUUUGUAGAAAUUACGGCGAAAAUACGUUUUUCGCCAUUUUCGAAACUGACUUAAAACUGUAAAGAAUUGGGAGAAACAAUACAUACCAAAAAGUUUCACAUUUGUUCAAGAUUUCCAAAGCCAUAACAUUUGCUGCAUUCGGACAGACGGUUAAAAAAUUAGAUCAAAAAUACGAACUCGGUAGGACUAGGACCAUUUUCUAAAUUACUCUUAAACCAUUCAAAAUUAGAAAAAAACUUUCAAGAUGAAAAAGUAGCGCAUUUUCAUAAGCUUUACAAUGCCGUAUCAUAUGCCUCUAUUGGAUUAGCCGUUUAGAAAUGACAUCGAAAAUACGAACUCAGCUGUUCGAUUUACGAAAUUUUACGUUUUUUCAAAUUACUCUUUAACUAUAGGGAAUUAAAGAAAACUUUCAACAUGUGGAAGGAGCGGUUUUGCAGCAGCUUUCCAACGCCAUAUUAUAUGCCUCAUUAAGAUAAACGGUUUAGAAAUGCGGUCGAAAAUACGAUUCACGUUUUUUGUGCGAAGAAAAAACGGUUUUCAAAACUGCUCUUAAACCGCUUAUAUUUUGCCAAAAAUUUAAGUUGGAUAAUGAUACUGAUGUUCAAAACUUUCCAACGGUAUAUAGCAAGCCUCAUUUGGGCAAUGUUGGCGGAAGUUCAACCUAGUUCAUAGGGAAGUUCAGCGUACUACUAGCGGGGCAGGUCAGGUUGUGAUCAGAAUAUUAUUCUGAUCCCGUGAUUAGAAUAGUGUUUAUAUAUAUAUAUAUAUAUAUAUAUAUAUAUAUAUAUUAUAUUUGCCACAUUAACUUUAAGAGUUCAAUAUUAAUAUUUUCAUACAUAUCAAGUGAUAUUGGCGACCUUUUUUACCAUCAAAUCCUCGCGCACACACGCUAGUGCAUAACAAUAUGAAUUAUAUGUAUUAUAUUUGCCACCACAGCUGUGGGUAUUAAUUUCAUGUAAAUCGGUCAAUCACAGCUCCCAGAAUAUGCGAAGGAGGUGGCCUGAAUCGGCGUCGACGCCGUCCAGUGCGGGCCACGGGCCCGCUUCACUAGUAGAAAAAGGGCCUAUUGUCCCGGUUCGUAAGGGCCUUUUGUCCCGGUUCCUGAACCGGGACUAAAGGAUCGGUACUAAUUCCCUGUCCCUUUAGUCCUAGUUCAAUCCAGAACCGGGACAAAUGGGCCUCCACGUGGCCUGUGCGCGGAGCCCAGGCAGGAGGGCCUUUGGUCCUGGUUGGUGGCACCAACCGGGACCAAUAGGCAUCCACGCAUCAGCAUUUCUGUGGCUGGGGUUUNNNNNNNNNNNNNNNNNNNNNNNNNNNNNNNNNNNNNNNNNNNNNNNNNNNNNNNNNNNNNNNNNNNNNNNNNNNNNNNNNNNNNNNNNNNNNNNNNNNNNNNNNNNNNNNNNNNNNNNNNNNNNNNNNNNNNNNNNNNNNNNNNNNNNNNNNNNNNNNNNNNNNNNNNNNNNNNNNNNNNNNNNNNNNNNNNNNNNNNNNNNNNNNNNNNNNNNNNNNNNNNNNNNNNNNNNNNNNNNNNNNNNNNNNNNNNNNNNNNNNNNNNNNNUAGGUGUUUCAUAUAUUGUGUUAGCUAGCUAUAAUUAAUAGAGAGAAGUGUCCUCUCUUAUGUCCAUGCUUGGUCGGCGCUACGUACUAUACAUACGUAUAGAGAGGACUAGACAGGCUAGCUAGCUAGUUAGAAAACGAAGGAAACAGAAGAUCGUCAUGAACAUAUAUGCAUAGAGAGAGAAGUGAUAUCGACCACCUCUCCUUCUCCGAGAGAUUGGUCGAACAACAAGUUCUCGUAUAUCUAUCCGACACUACCGGCUACAUAUAUACAAUAAUUAUCUCUUACAAAUAUAAUCUCCUAACAUACGGACUCAUGGUCCACAUAGUAUUCUCCGUCUUCAGCGAUCACGUGGUCAAGAAAGAAUGCCGACAAUUCCUUUUGAAUUGCUCGCAUGCGAGCUGGUGCUAGGAGUUCAUCUCGCUUCCGAAACAUCUAAUUUGAAGAAGGGGCCGGGGUCAAUACAUAUAUAUAUGAAUGAAUGAAACUAAACACAAAUGAUGGUAAUAAAAUAAAAUUGUGAAUGUUGUUAUUUGCGCACUUCAUAUUGUUCAUCAGAGUAGCCCCGCUCACAGGCCGUGUGGUAGAUGGACUCGCAAACGUAGUAUCCACAGAAAUCAUUCCCUUGUAACUGCCACAACCCCUUUACAAGAAAUAGAGGUCAAUCAAACUGAUAAGCAAGAAUGCCAAAUGGUAUUGAUGAAACUAGCGCUUGAAUCAAUAGGAGAUGCGCGGAACAUGCUACUAUAGUACUUACUUUGGGGUGUCUAAAUUGCAGCUUCUCCGGGAGUCCCGGAGCUUUUUUGGUGAAUUUUUUCCAAACCCUGCCAGACAAAGAAAACAGUUACUUGAUAUAUCAGGAAAUGAACAAAGUUGCUGAUAUGGUGGAUAAUGAUCGAUUUAACUUACUUCUCGAGCAUUUGAGUCAUGUCCGCAUAGUCCUGGGGAUCUUUUCGUCUUGAGUCUAAGACGGUUACUAGUCCCUGCUCAAGCUUAAUCUCUAGGAGAAUAUAGUGGAAACUGCACACGCAUGCAUAACUCAUCAAUUACAUUACUAUAACCUUGACUAAUAUAUAAGGGAAACCGAAUAUGCACAAGACAGUAACACUCACUUGAAGUUGUAAGGAAAAAGUAUUAUAUCUUUGUUUUCAUUUAUUACCAACGAUCGUAGCAAGUUGGCCUCGGUAUCCGCGACAUGAAAUUUAACCUCAGUUGCAUCUAUGAUAUUUGUGUUAAUGAACCCAAUAUCACCGAUUUGUCUUUUCUUCAAUUCGACGAUCUUCAAUCUGCAUAAUAUAGUGAGGAUAAUUAUAAAUACAUGCAAUGAAAGAGCUGAGCUAUAUAGAGAGACUUAAUGACAGAAGUAGUACUACUUACAGACAGUAGCAGGUGACCGUUGCUUUAUCGAGGGCCAAUUGAUUGAAAAACUGAAAGAACUCCUCAAAUGGAACAGGUAACAAACACUAGUAGAAAAAGGGUCAAACGUGAAGCACAUUAGUGCCGGUUUGUAAAAAGACCGGCACUAAUGUGAUCAAUAGUGCCGGUUCGAAUGGCUAUGCAUUAGUGCCGGUUCGUAAUGAACCUUUAGUACCGGUUCAUGCCACGAACCGGUACUAAAGGGGUGGUGGCAGGCUGGCGUCAGGCCAGGCCCCACGAGCCCCUUUAGUGACGGUUUGUGACACAAACCGGUACUAAAGGUCUAACCUAUAGUACCGGUUUGUGUCACCAACCGGCACUACAAAGUCUUAACCUAUAGUCCCGGUUGAAGACACAAACCGACACUAUAGGGCAAUUUUCAAACUCUACCCCCCCCCCCGUGUAUCGCCAUUUCAGUUUUGAAAAAAUCAAAAGAAAAUGAUAAAAACUUCAAAAAAUAAAAUCCUUCGAGAGGUAGUUAUAUUACUACAUCUACUAGUUAGGAAAAUUUGAAAACUUAAAUUUGGACAUGUUUUGCAAAAAGUGUAGGGAAAAUGUAAAACGGCUAUAACUUUUGCAUAUGAUGUCGGAAAAAACGUAUAAUAUAUCAAAAAAUUCAGCACGAAAAUCCUCAAAUUCCAAAAGGAAAAAAAGAUAUGGUCAAAUUUAAGUUUUUUUUAAAAAAAAUUGGUUAAAUCUGGUCAAACUACUUAUUCAAGAAGUGUUAAUGUUACUACAUAAUUAUUCAAGAAUAUUAGUGUUACUAAAUAAUUAUUUCAAUUUUUUGAAUUUUGGUCAAAUCUGGUCAAACUAUGGUCAAACUGUGGUCAAACUAUGGUCAAACUUAUUCAAGAAAUAUUAGCGUUACUAAAUAAUUACUGUUUUUUUAGAAUAAUAGUUUCAAACUCAAACGGUGAAAUGUGUGACUUCAUGCUCAAGCUAAACUCCUGAGGGUUAAUAGGAUUAACAUCUUACUAUCAUCACGAAAACAACAAGUGCAGACAUGGAAACGAAGGAGAAUAGAACCCGAAAGUUAAGCGUGCUCGGGCUGGAGUAGUGAGAGGGAUGGGUGACCGGUCGAGAAGUUAGAUGAUUUGGAAUGAGUGAUCCACACUUGAGCAGUUAAGAGAGGUGAUUAGAGACUAAAUCAUCAAAUAAUUUAGAAAAAUUAAAAAAAUCAAAUUAAUUUUCAAAAAAAAUAUUCAAAAAAAAAACCAUUAGUACCGGUUGGUAACACCAACCGGUACUAAAGGUCCCCCAUACCAGGGCGUGAACUCACGCCACGUGGUGGCACUUUAGCGCCGGUUCGUGCCGAACCGGUACUAAAGGGGGGGGGGGCUUUAGUGCCGGUUCCAUAACCGGCACUAAAGGCACUUACAAACCGGUUUUAAAGCUCCGUUUUCUACUAGUGAAAUCAAUUCCAACGAGGUCAUGCUCCUUUUUAACUCUCACAUACAAAGUACUCCUCCCCUAGACUCUCUGCAGAUUUUCAAGUACCAAUCAUGCAAUCUUUGCAUCAUCGUUGAUAGAGAUCUUUCAUCUUUGACGAGAGGCUUCCCGUACUCGUAUCUUUGUAUCUGCACCUCCAUGAAAUCAUAAUGUACAUCGUCGGGCAGGUAAUCUCCAAGAUUGCUAUAACCGGGCACCAUCCUCGGAUCAUUAGCGACGAUGUCGCUAGGUACCUUGAGCGGGGGGGGGGGGGCACGAUUGCUUCCCUUGUUCGCCAAGCUGGGAAAUUUGUUUCCCAACUCGUCGUUCUUUCAGCCUUUGAUCACUGACAGUACUUCCCGACCGCUCCGCUUCGGCAAAUUCCUUUCCAAUAAUGCGCUCAUAGUUUCCUUUCGGUGGAGACUUGGGUGGUUUUGUUAGGGCAGCCAGAGUGCGCUUCGCUUUCACCGGAUCUACCUUCUCCUCCAGAGGUGGAUGUUUCUUUGCUUUCACCCCUUCAAAGAAGUUCCUGACUUCUUCUCGCACGAUCUCGGCGUUCUCCUCCGGGGUCCUCUCGUAUGGUAACUUCUCUGGAGUCUUUAGAGAAGGACCGAAUCUGUAUGUCCUCCCGCCUCUGGCUGUACUGCUAGACGCCGGCAGAGCAGACGGAGCGGUUGUCUUCUUUACUUGCUUACGAGGCAGAGGAGAAGGACUACGACGCACCAGAGCAGCCGGAGCGGCCGCAGGUCUCUUCCGCCCUUGCUGACGAGGCGGAGAAGGAGGAGGCUGGCUGCUCGGGCGCGCCGGCGCAGGCGGAGAAGGAGGCGGAGUGCCGCCACGCGCCGGAGAAGGAGCCGGCCGAGUGCCCUGAUAGUCACUCGCCAGAGGAGGAGGCGGUGGAGGGGGCGGAGUGCCCUGACUCGCCGAAGGAGGAGGAGGAGGCGGAGGCAUCCAAUUCGGAAGGUUCAUGACCUCCUUCCGCCAUAGGCAUGGAGUCUUCAGAGCAGAACCCAGCCGAGUCUCCCCUUCACCGGUAGGGUGGUCAAGCUGGAGGUCCUCAAAUCCCUCCGUUAUUUCAUCCACCAUCACCCUAGCAUAUCAUUCUGUAAUCGGCCGGCAGUGAAAAGUUGCGCUGGGUUCAGUAGGAAAAACAGAGCCAAUAGCCGCCUUGACCUUCAUAUUAACCCAUUGCGUCAUAAGGUGGCAAUUAUGAGACUCCGUGAUAGCAUCCACGGGAUAGCUGGCAGGAGCCGUCAAGACAUGCUCCUGCUGAAGCAGCUCGGUGGAAGCCAUGCUGCUUCUCCGCUGAGAUGGCGGGGUAGCUUCGGCAGUUCGUUUUGUGCGAUUUGCUUCUCGUUCCUCUAUUGCUUGUACCCUAGCGUGCAGCGCCUGCAGUUGGGUCUGCUCCACUUUCUUCCUCCUCUCGUGGCAUUUGUAACCGCCUGCGUCCGGAAACCCAGCCUUACACGGAAUGGAGCCUGGCGUGCCUCAUGUCCGUCCAGGGUGUUCAGGAUUCCCGAGGGCCAUUGUGAGCUCGUCGUUCUCUCUGUCUGGAACAAACAUACCUUGCUGCGCUGCUUCGAUAUAGUGCUUAAGCCUCUUGACUGGUAUUUCCAUUUGCUCGUCCGUCCAAAUGCACUUUCCUGAUACAGGGUCCAAGGUUUCACCAGCCCCGAAGAACCAAGUCCGGUAACGGUCUGUCCAGUUAAUUGUCUCUGGUUCGAUCCCUUUAUCAACCAGAUCAUUCUCAAUCUUGGCCCACUUAGGCCGAGCUGCCAGGUAGCCACCUGACCCCGUGCGAUGGUGAUGCUUCUUCUUCACAGCAUUUUGCUUGUUUGUCGACGACAUCUUCUUACUCUUUUCCGAUGUCUUGUGGGCCACAAAUGCGGGUCAGUGAUCUCUGAUCUUCUCAUAUCUGCCCUUGAAUUCCGGUGUCUCUUUAUUUUCGACAAACUUAUUCAGCUCUUUCUUCCACCUCCUGAAUAGUUCUGCCAUCCUCUUAAGAGCAAAAGACUUGAUUAAUUGCUCUUUAACUGGCUUCUCCGGAUCAUCCUCUGGCUGUAGGGUGAAAUUUGACUUCAGCUCAGUCCAAAGAUCAUUUUUCUGCAUAUCAUUGACAUAAGACACCUCAGGGUCUUCUGUAGCCGGCUUUAACCAUUGCUGCAUGCUGAUCGGGAUCUUGUCCCUAACCAAAACCCCGCACUGAGCAACAAAUGCGCUCUUUGUCCGGAUAGGUUCAUUCGGUUGGCCCUCGGGCGCGAUUGCUAUGAUCUCAAACUUUUCAUCCGAGCUCAACUUUUUCUUCGGGCCUCGUCUCUUUACCGAAGUUGUGCUCGAUCCGGAGGGCUAGAAAAAAGAACAAAGACUUAAUUAAUAUGUGUACAUACCAAAACAAUGAAUGCAUCAAUUAGCUAGUCAGCAGAAGCUUAACUAAUACUAGAUCAUUGAUGGUGCGUGUUGUUGCGCCCAUCUAUUUUGGAUCUUGGUUGUUAAGGAUAUAACAUUGCUAGUAUACAUUUCUUGCAUUGUUUUAAAAUAUUAUGCUUUCUAUAGCAUGUACUUCUCUUUAUUUUCAAAAUAAUGGUAUGUAAAUCAUCUUCAUUGGGGCAACAUUACAACUUCCAUAUCAACAUAAGCUUAGAUAUAAAUAGGGCAGUGCCAUAAGCCAACCUAUCCAUAUCCACGUUAUAAUAAUGGAUGGCUAUGUACAUUUUUGUUCAAGCAUAGUACAAGCUUGUUGCAGUUGCAUAGGAACAUAGACUUAAACAUAAUAUAAACUUGAAAUGUAUAAUGAUGGAAGAAGGCGGCAUGACAGUAUAUUAUACUUGGAAAACAAAUUGUACGAUGGAGUAGAGCGAACUGGAGAAGAUGUAGACCUCAAAUAGGCACCAGAAACACUGCACCAAAAUUUCUAUGAUUAUGGAUACAUCCAACAUGGCGGACGGUCAGAGGGCAUGAGAAGUAUAAUCAUAUACUAUCUAAGAAAAUCAAGACUCUUGAUUAUUACAUCAAAAGCAAGGCACAGAACAAGCUUACAUAUCGUAUUGUUCGUGCUAACACAAAUAAUAAUAUCUUCUAACACACGAAUGUAAUUUGGCCAAAAGAUAAUUUCUUCAUACGAAUUCCAACGUCACUACAUUUUUUUUCAUUGGGGCUUAAAAAUUGUUUGACCGUUUUACAUGAGAUAGAAAGAACUGACUGAACCGAGCAACAAAAGGCAACAAAAACACAAAUCAGUUUCCUCUCAUUCUCUGCCUACAUCAUAUUUUUUUUCCUGUAAAUAUAUCUUGUGAUUCAUCAUUGUUUCAGACCGUAAGGGCCGGAAGCUCUACCUAAGGCGGCUGCCAUACAAGGAUACACACAGCUUCGCCUUAAACACCCUCCUUGUGGCGAUGCUUAGAAAGGGAAUAACCUCAUGUAUUACCUUGCUCGGAAUAGCCAUGUUUUCAAAUCCCAACUAAUCCACCUUAAUCCUAACAUCAAAUGAACACAACAUUAACUUGAGAUCAGACGCUAUGGAGUCAGAGUGAUUGCAUGACUCGAGGCACAAGGCAACAGGCUGGGGUGAAGGCGUGGCAGCUGCAUGCCACCACGAAACACCGGCGAGCAGAGAACCGGAAGAUACAUAAUCGUUUAUGUCUUAUGAGUUAAUUUCUCCACUCAUUGCACGCUACAAAACAUUAGCGAGUAUACAUAGGAUGUCCCUUUCUGAACAACUACAUAAUAUAUAAAUUCCAAUUGCAUUAGGGAUUUCAUCUAGAGUAUAUUCCCUGAAUUAUUUGAAAUGAAGUAAUGGUUUUUCUAAUCCUACUUUGACCUGGAGCAUCACUCUGAAACAUCAGGGAACACACACAUCUUCAGAAGUAGCAGCAGUAGCUAAUGUGAAAAGUUCACUGGAAUGCUAGGAUACUAAAAAAGCUAGUACAUCCCAAUAGCCAAAGAACAUAACAAAAUUUGGCAUCAUGUGUCAAGUAGCUCACAGUGGGCAUAAAUUUGUACAUUAUAUGUCCCUUUAUUAACUCACUUGUCUCUGAUUUUUAACUAUUAGGAAAUAAUAGUGGUCAUCAAAAUUAGAAUAUAUUGUAAUGCUCUAGAAUAGGAUCUAAUUGUUGGGAGUUGUUACCUGAGGGAAUCCUUGCGGGGAGCUGAGCAUAGGAACCAAUGCUGUUCCGCACUGUCCACGUGACUGACCACCGUGCUGCCUCCAUGAGCCGAUGUGGAACUUCUACCAACAAGUGAUUUGUACAUGACUGCUCAAGCAAACUAAACCACUAAAUCCAAAGGGGAUUCGUUCCAGAAAGGUGCAACACCUUGAGAAAUCUACGUGUAGAAUUGAAGAGGGGAGAGUAUCAGGAGGUAAACCUAGAGAACCUGCAUAGUUUGUGAGUACAAAGAACAGUAUGAGUAAAAUAAAUUUCAAAAAUUGGAUUAGAUGAAGAAUCAGGUGAAGAGGAGAUAAAGGAAAGAACCAUCACCCAUUGCUGCACGAGAGUGGUUUUCAGAAGUAAGGGGAGUAGGGAAGGAGCAACAGCACUUUGGAUCGUAUAUUCGUAUAUGCGCGCGAGUGAAUUGAAGUAAAAAGCAUGAAUCAUCAGACCUGCAAUAAUCUUCAGUUUAGCCGGUUCAUCAAUUGCCAUUAAUCGAUCCUGAUUAAAACCUCAACGAAUCGAUGGCUAGUGAAUUUCAAUCGACAGCGGCUGUUCGCGGCCCUGACCAUCUCCCUAUUGCGUCACCGACCAGGACGCCGUUCGGUCGCUCGGCGAGGAGCGCCGUGUCAGUCGGACCUGAAGCACAGUGGCCAUGAGACACCAUCGGUCGCGUCGAUCCGACCCCAACACGGCCGCCAUCACUACUGCCCAGAUUCUGCUGCCAGCCGACAGCAGCAACCGUGCGAAACUGCGAACCAAAGGAUCUGGCGACGACGCGCCUGAGAACUCUAGAUAUGGCUUGAAAACCAGAAAUAUGCUUCACGGAUGUAGAGCGUGUUUGGUUGAGUUCCAGGAGCAAAAUUGCCUGGCCUGAGACCUUCCUGGGUUGUGCCUGCUUGUUGUUUGGAUAGUAGCCUCAAAUCACAGGCAUGUUCCUGGCCUGGAGUUGACAUGCACCUGAUUAGCCUGGGUAGAUCACAGGCAGCUUGAUUAGCCUGGAUGAGGCCAACGGAACCAGACGCCUGGCCUCCAGGCAGAUGCGUUUUGCGUCAAUUAGCAAGUUGUAUACUGUACUUUUUGUCAACUCAGCCGUCCCAUCUAAUUAUUUAAUAUUUAAGUACGUGUCCCAGGCCAGGUUUGCAACCAAACAUCACAUGCACACAGCAGCCUGGCCAGGCAAAAAUCCUCCUUCUCCCAGGCUACUAUCAGGCAUCAACUUUUGCUAGGCAUCACACCCAGGACAUGAACCAAACAUGCCCGUAGUGCGUCACUGACCUGGGGAUGAGCUCGUCGCCGGCUCGAGAAAAAGUCGCUCCCUGCUGCGCUUUUGGGGAAGAUAGGAAAUGUAGAAGAAUGAGCCAAUCUAGUGAAUCCCGUGGAACUUAAUGGAACCUGCACUCAUUUGGGAGCACAAAGAACAACAUCAAUUGAAAAAAAUUCAUGCAGAAUUUGGGGGAGAGUAGAGGUACCAACGAGGGAACACUUGUAAAAGGCCAGUAGCGGAGACUAAUUAUCGUCCUGUCAACCAUGGCAGCCUGCAAGUAAAAGGAGGAGAAUGAGGAAGGAGAAGCUCCACGAUGGAGAUUAAAUGGACGCAAUUGAAUGGAUGUUGUAACUGAGCCCAGUUAUUGGCCACCGGUGAGUGCGCCUCAUCGAUUGCAAAUUUGCCAUUAUAAUGGUCCGCUGCAACUAUGAAUUGAGUCCCGAAUCGCGGGCAACUGGAGGCAACCGACAGGGGACGAUCCGUUGCCCCGGAUACCUCCUGCUGGCGUCGCCCAGCGAGGCAACCCGGCCGGUCGCGUAGGUCGAGGCACAUCCGGUCGGUCCAAUCGACCUCGCAUCGGCACUGUUUUUUUUUCUCGCAUCAGGACUGGAUGAACGCUCAUCGGUCGCUCGUGUGUAACCCUAGUCGAUGGAACCGCACAAGUGGACCUUCUUCAGCGAAGCCCGUGGGCUGGAAUGGGCUGGCCGACGGCCCAGUUAACCACAGGGCUACGUUUUGGCCUGCGGAGCAGAAGCCCCAGGACAGCCGGCCCAGUUUUUAUCAGAUGUGGGACAGAUUGCUUUAAACAGGAGAUCCGACGACCAAAAACGUCUAGAUCGUGCAAACGGAUGGUCAGAAACGCGAAGCGCUGAGAGAGCUCGCUUUAGGUGCAGUUGUAUUGUACUUAAUAUAUACCUGGCCGGACUCGGUUCGGUCACCAGAGACGUCAUCACGGUCUCCUUCUUGCACCGGCAUUGUGUCACCGGAGCCGUCCUCACGGUCUCCUUCUUGCACCGGCAUUAGGUCACCGGAGCCAUCAUAAUCAUAGCCAGCUGCUUCCAUACCAUCGGUGUCGUUGAGAAACAACGAGCAGACGGCAUCCCUUCCUCGUGCGAUUAUGUCCCCCAACAACUCUUCUUGUACUUCGUCUCGGGCGGUGUCCAUAGUUUCUACAAAUAUUUAUAACAUGGCAAUUAUUAUUCAAACAUGACAGAUGGAUAUAUUAGUGGCAAACGUAGAACUAAUAUUAAUUAGUGGCCUCGACGCUACUUCUCUAGGGUUUGGGGUGGCCUCGACGCUGCUUCUCCAGGGUUUGAAGUGGCCUCGACAACGCUUCAAGGAUAAAAAAAGAAGAGGAAGAAGAAAAAAAGGGGAGAAGAAAGAAUAGAUCCUCUUUUUUUUUCUUCUUCUUCCUCUUUUUUUUUAUCGGGAACGAGGGUCGUCGACGCCCACGUCACUUGUGGGACGUGGAUGUAGUGUCCGACACCGAUGGCCACAUGUAUCUCACACCCACGAUACUUACUAUUUAGGGUUUCCUCUACCGCUCGGCGACCCUGACCCUCGACGACCCUCGUUUCNNNNNNNNNNNNNNNNNNNNNNNNNNNNNNNNNNNNNNNNNNNNNNNNNNNNNNNNNNNNNNNNNNNNNNNNNNNNNNNNNNNNNNNNNNNNNNNNNNNNNNNNNNNNNNNNNNNNNNNNNNNNNNNNNNNNNNNNNNNNNNNNNNNNNNNNNNNNNNNNNNNNNNNNNNNNNNNNNNNNNNNNNNNNNNNNNNNNNNNNNNNNNNNNNNNNNNNNNNNNNNNNNNNNNNNNNNNNNNNNNNNNNNNNNNNNNNNNNNNNNNNNNNNNNNNNNNNNNNNNNNNNNNNNNNNNNNNNNNNNNNNNNNNNNNNNNNNNNNNNNNNNNNNNNNNNNNNNNNNNNNNNNNNNNNNNNNNNNNNNNNNNNNNNNNNNNNNNNNNNNNNNNNNNNNNNNNNNNNNNNNNNNNNNNNNNNNNNNNNNNNNNNNNNNNNNNNNNNNNNNNNNNNNNNNNNNNNNNNNNNNNNNNNNNNNNNNNNNNNNNNNNNNNNNNNNNNNNNNNNNNNNNNNNNNNNNNNNNNNNNNNNNNNNNNNNNNNNNNNNNNNNNNNNNNNNNNNNNNNNNNNNNNNNNNNNNNNNNNNNNNNNNNNNNNNNNNNNNNNNNNNNNNNNNNNNNNNNNNNNNNNNNNNNNNNNNNNNNNNNNNNNNNNNNNNNNNNNNNNNNNNNNNNNNNNNNNNNNNNNNNNNNNNNNNNNNNNNNNNNNNNNNNNNNNNNNNNNNNNNNNNNNNNNNNNNNNNNNNNNNNNNNNNNNNNNNNNNNNNNNNNNNNNNNNNNNNNNNNNNNNNNNNNNNNNNNNNNNNNNNNNNNNNNNNNNNNNNNNNNNNNNNNNNNNNNNNNNNNNNNNNNNNNNNNNNNNNNNNNNNNNNNNNNNNNNNNNNNNNNNNNNNNNNNNNNNNNNNNNNNNNNNNNNNNNNNNNNNNNNNNNNNNNNNNNNNNNNNNNNNNNNNNNNNNNNNNNNNNNNNNNNNNNNNNNNNNNNNNNNNNNNNNNNNNNNNNNNNNNNNNNNNNNNNNNNNNNNNNNNNNNNNNNNNNNNNNNNNNNNNNNNNNNNNNNNNNNNNNNNNNNNNNNNNNNNNNNNNNNNNNNNNNNNNNNNNNNNNNNNNNNNNNNNNNNNNNNNNNNNNNNNNNNNNNNNNNNNNNNNNNNNNNNNNNNNNNNNNNNNNNNNNNNNNNNNNNNNNNNNNNNNNNNNNNNNNNNNNNNNNNNNNNNNNNNNNNNNNNNNNNNNNNNNNNNNNNNNNNNNNNNNNNNNNNNNNNNNNNNNNNNNNNNNNNNCGGGACUAAAGGGGGGCAUUGGUCACGGUUUGUGCCACGAACCGUGACCAAUGCCCCCUUUAGUCCCGGUUGGUGCCAUCAACCGGGACCAAAGGCCUGCGCCUGCCAAAGCCGUGGUGCGGUAGGAUGUUUAGUCCCACCUCGCUAGCUGAGGAGCGGCCGCACCUGUUUAUAAGCGCUGCACCUGUUUGGGCCUAAUCUCACAACGCUAUGCCUGCUGGGCCUUCUGCGGGCCUGAAUCCUGGCCCAUGGAUGGGCUUCUAGUCGUAUUCAGGCCGUGGUGGCCCAGUAGGUGGCAUUUUUUAUUACUAUUUGAUUUUUCAUUUCUACUUAGAACUAAAUACUUGUAGUUUUUUAGUGAUUUUUUUCUUUUAGGUCACAAAAAUUAUAAACUUUCUAUUAUUGCCAUUAGUUUUAAAAUUUGAAUAGUUUAAUUUUGAAUUUUUUAAAAUUUGUGUGAAUCACUAGUUUAUGAAUAACUUUACCGUAAAAAUUGAUUUUUGAGUCAUUUUUUUCCUGCUAUUUAAUAUUACUGUGUUUUAUCAUUAUACUCAAUUUGGUAAUUUUAGUUAGUCAUAACAAAUAUUAUAGGCAUUUUUUUCUUUUUUGCUAUUUUUUUUCAUUUCUACUUAGAACAAAAUACUUAUAGUUCUUUAGUGAUUUCUUUUUUCUUUUAGGUCACAAAAAUUAUAAACUUUCUGGUAGUUCCAUUAGUUUUCANNNNNNNNNNNNNNNNNNNNNNNNNNNNNNNNNNNNNNNNNNNNNNNNNNNNNNNNNNNNNNNNNNNNNNNNNNNNNNNNNNNNNNNNNNNNNNNNNNNNNNNNNNNNNNNNNNNNNNNNNNNNNNNNNNNNNNNNNNNNNNNNNNNNNNNNNNNNNNNNNNNNNNNNNNNNNNNNNNNNNNNNNNNNNNNNNNNNNNNNNNNNNNNNNNNNNNNNNNNNNNNNNNNNNNNNNNNNNNNNNNNUUAAUUCUUUUUGCUUUUCGUUUUAGAAAAAUUAUAAACUUUCUGUUAGUGCCAUUAGUUUUCAAAUUUGAAAACACUUUUUUAGUUUUUUUGCUUUCUUUGUUGCUUUAUUUAUUUUAUUUUGUUUCUACUUACAAAAAAAUACUUAUUGUUGCUAUUUUUUUUCAGUUUUUGUUUUGUUUUCUUUAUUAUUUAUUUUCUUUUGUUUUUUGCUUUAAUUUUUAAUUCUUUUUGCUUUUAGGUCAGCAAAAUUAUAAACUUUCUGUUAGUGCCACUAGUUUUAGAAAAAUUAUAAACUUUCUGUUAGUGCCAUUAGUUUUCAAAUUUGAAUAGUUAAAAUUUGAAUUCUUUAAAAUUUGUAUGAACCACAAGUUUGUGAUUAACUUUACUAAAAAAAUGAACAUAGAUGCACCUAUAGAGAAAAUUCGACCUAAAUUCAUAGUUUUCAAAUGAACUCUCAAAAAGUUGGCAUAGCAUACUCGUGUGUUACAAAGUUGGCAUGGUAUCAUCAUAAUAGUUGCUUGAGAAAGUCUUCACUUUUUCUUCGCUUGUGUCAUUUGCUUAUUGCGCCGUAACCAUGGAUAAUCUUCAUCGUUUAUCAGGAUGCUUGGGUCAGCCUUGACAUUGAAGGGAGGAAUUUCAUGAAACUUUUCAUAAUCUUCAGACAUGUCUGUCUUGCCCUCCACUCCCAGGAUAUCCCUUUUUCCUGAAAGAACUAUAUGGCGCUUUGGCUCAUCGUAUGAUGUAUUCGCUUCCUUAUCUUUUCUUUUUCUCGGUUUGGUAGACAUGUCCUUCACAUAGAUAACCUGUGCCACAUCAUUGGCUAGGACGAACGGUUCGUCAGUAUACCCAAGAUUUUUCAGAUCCACUGUUGUCAUUCCGUACUGUGGGUCUACCUGUACCCCGCCGCCUGACAGAUUGACCCAUUUGCACUUAAACAAAGGGACCUUAAAAUCAUGUCCGUAGUCAAGUUCCCAUAUGUCCAUUAUGUAACCAUAAUAUGCAUCCUUUCCGCUCUCGGUUGCUGCAUCAAAGCGGACACCGCUGUUUUGGUUGGUGCUCUUUUGAUCUUGGGCGAUCAUGUAAAAUGUAUUCCCAUUUAUCUCGUAUCCUUUGUAAGUCAAUACAGUCAAAGAUGGUCCCCUGGACAACAAGUGCAACUCAUCACAAACAGUGUUGUCACCUCUGAGACGUGUUUCCAACCAACUGUUGAAAGUCCUGAUGUGUUCACAUGUAAUCUAGUCGUCGCACUGCUCCGGAUGUUUGGAGCGCAGACUGUUUUUGUGUUCAUCGAUAUACGGGGCCACCAUGGUAGAGUUCUGUAGAACUGUGUAGUGUGCUUGAGACCAAGAAUAUCCGUCCCUGCAUAUUAUUGAGUCACUUCCAAGAGUGCCUUUUCCAGUCAGUCUCCCCUCAUACCGCGAUUUAGGGAGACCUAUCUUCUUAAGGCCAGGAAUGAAGUCAACACAAAAUUCGAUAACAUCCUCUGUUUGAUGGCCCAUGGAGAUGCUUCCUUCUGACCUAGCGCGGUUACGGACAUAUUUCUUUAGGACUCCCAUGAACCUCUCAAAGGGGAACAUAUUGUGUAGAAAUACGGGCCCCAGGAUGACAAUCUCGUCGACUAGAUGAACUAGGACGUGCGUCAUGAUAUUGAAGAAGGAUGGUGGGAACACCAGCUCGAAACUGACAAGACAUUGCGCCACAUCACUCCUUAGCCUUGGUACAAUUUCUGGAUCGAUCACCUUCUGAGAGAUUGCAUUGAGGAAUGCACAUAGCUUCACAAUGGCUAAUCGGACGUUUUCUGGUAGAAGCCCCCUCAAUGCAGCCGGAAGCAGUUGCGUCAUAAUCACAUGGCAGUCAUGAGACUUUAGGUUCUGAAACUUUUUCUCUGGCAUAUUUAUUAUUCCCUUUAUAUUCGAUGAGAAGCCAGUCGUGACCUUCAUACUGAGCAGGCAUUCAAAGAAGAUUUCUUUCUCUUCUUUCGUAAGAGCAUAGCUGGCAGGACCUUUAUACUGCUUCGGAGGCAUGCCGUCUUUUUCAUGCAAAUGUUGCAGGUCCUCCCAUGCCUCGGAUGUAUCUUUUGUCUUCCCAUACAAGAAGCCUACCAGGUUCACACAAAGGUUCUUCAUCACGUGCAUCACGUCGAUUGAAGAGCAGACCUCUAGGUCUUUCCAGUAGGGUAGGUCCCAAAAUAUAGAUUUCUUCUUCCACAUGGGUGCGUGUCCCUCAGCGUCAUUCGGAACAGCUAGUCCGCCGGGACACUUUCCAAAGAUUACAUGUAAAUCAUUGACCAUAGCAAGUACGUGAUCACCGGUACGCAUGGCGGGCUUCUUCUGGUGAUCUGCCUCGCCUUUGAAAUGCUUGCCUUUCUUUCGACAUUGAUGGUUGGUCGGAAGAAAUCAACGAUGGCCCAGGUACACAUUUUUCCUGCAUUUGUCCAGGUAUAUACUUUCAGUGUCAUCUAAACAGUGCGUGCAUGCGUGGUAUCCUUUGUUUGUCUAUCCUGAAAGGUUACUGAGAGCGGGCCAAUCAUUGACGGUCACGAACAGCAAAGCCUUUAGGUUAAAUUCCUCCUGUCUAUGGUCAUCCCACGUACGUACACUGUUUCCAUUCCACAGCUGUAAAAGUUCUUCAACUAAUGGCCUUAGGUACACAUCAAUGUCCUUGCCGGGUUGCUUAGUGUAGGGGAACAUAGUAAUUUCAAAAUUUUCCUACGCACACGCAAGAUCAUGGUGAUGCAUAGCAACGAGAGGGGAGAGUGUUGUCUAUGUACCCUCGUAGACCGAAGCGGAAGCGCUGACACAACGUAGAGGAAGUAGUCGUACGUCUUCCCGAUCCUACCGAUCCAAGCACCGUUACUCCGGCACCUCCGAGUUCUUAGCACACGUACAGCUCGAUGACGCUCCCCAGGCUUCGAUCCAACAAAGCUUCGGGGAUGAGUUCCAUCAGCACAACGGCGUGGUGACGAUGAUGAUGUUCUACCGACGCAGGGCUUCGCCUAAGCACUACAAUGAUAUGACCGAGGUGGAAUAUGGUGGAAGGGGGCACCGCACACGGCUAAGGAACGAUCACGUUGAUCAAUUGUGUGUUCUAGGGUGUCCCCUUGCCUCCGUAUAUAAAGGAUCCAAGGGGGAGGGGUUCGGCCGGCCCUAUGGAGGCGCAGGAGGAGUCCUACUCCUACCGGGAGUAGGACUCCCCCCUUUCCUAGUCCAAGUAGGAUUGGUGGAGAAGAAAGGGAAAGAGGGGGGUGCAGCCCCUCCCUCCUUGUCCAAUUCGGACUAGGGGGAGAGGGGGCGCGCGGCCUGCCCUGGCAGCCCCUUCCUAUUCUCCACUUUAGGCCCAUGAGGCCCAUUAACACCCCGGGGGGUUCCGGUAACCCCCCGGUGCUCCGGUUUUAUCCGAAACUUCAUCGGAACCCUUCCGGUGUCUGAAUAUAGUCAUCCAAUAUAUCAAUCUUUAUGUCUCGACCAUUUCGAGACUCCUCGUCAUGCCCGUGAUCACAUCCGGGACACCGAACUAACUUCGGUACAUCAAAAUGUAUAAACUCAUAAUAACUAUCAUCGUAACGUUAAGCGUGCGGACCCUAUGGUUCGAGAACAAUGUAGACAUGACCGAGACACGUCUCCGGUCAAUAACCAAUAGCGGGACCUGGAUGCCCAUAUUGGCUCCUACAUAUUCUACGAAGAUCUUUAUCGGUCAGACCGCAUAACAACAUACGUUGUUCCCUUUGUCAUCGGUAUGUUACUUGCCCGAGAUUCGAUCGUCGGUAUCCAAUACCUAGUUCAAUCUCGUUACCGGCAAAUCUCUUUACUCGUUCCGUAAUACAUCAUCUCACAACUAACUCAUUAGUUGUAAUGCUUGCAAGGCUUAUGUGAUGUGCAUUACCGAGAGGGCCCAGAGAUACCUCUCCGACAAUCGGAGUGACAAAUCCUAAUCUCGAAAUACGCCAACCCAACAUCUACCUUUGGAGACACCUGUAGAGCACCUUUAUAAUCACCCAGUUACGUUGUGACGUUUGGUAGCACACAAAGUGUUCCUCCGGCAAACGGGAGUUGCAUAAUCUCAUAGUCAUAGGAACAUGUAUAAGUCAUGAAGAAAGCAAUAGCAACAUACUAAACGAUCGGGUGCUAAGCUAAUGGAAUGGGUCAUGUCAAUCAGAUCAUUCAACUAAUGAUGUGAUCUCGUUAAUCAAAUAACAACUCUUUGUUCAUGGUUAGGAAACAUAACCAUCUUUGAUUAACGAGCUAGUCAAGUAGAGGCAUACUAGUGACACUCUGUUUGUCUAUGUAUUCACACAUGUAUUAUGUUUCCGGUUAAUACAAUUCUAGCAUGAAUAAUAAACAUUUAUCAUGAUGUAAGGAAAUAAAUAAUAACUUUAUUAUUGCCUCUAGGGCAUAUUUCCUUCAGUCUCCCACUUGCACUAGAGUCAAUAAUCUAGAUUACACAGUAAUGAUUCUAACACCCAUGGAGCCUUGGUGCUGAUCAUGUUUUGCUCGUGGAAGAGGCUUAGUCAACGGGUCUGCAACAUUCAGAUCCGUAUGUAUCUUGCAAAUCUCUAUGUCUCCCACCUGGACUAGAUCCCGGAUGGAAUUGAAGCGUCUCUUGAUGUGCUUGGUUCUCUUGUGAAAUAUGGAUUCCUUUGCCAAGGCAAUUGCACCAGUAUUGUCACAAAAGAUUUUCAUUAGACCCGAUGCACUAGGUAUGACACCUAGAUCGGAUAUGAACUCCUUCAUCCAGACUCCUUCGUUUGCUACUUCCGAAGCAGCUAUGUACUCCGCUUCACAUGUAGAUCCCGCCACAAUGCUUUGUUCAGAACUGCACCAACUGACAGCUCAACCGUUUAAUGUAAACAUGUAUCCGGUUUGUGAUUUAGAAUCGUCCGGAUCAGUGUCAAAGCUUGCAUCAACGUAACCGUUUACGAUGAGCUCUUUGUCACCUCCAUAUACGAGAAACAUAUCCUUAGUCCUUUUCAGGUACUUCAGGAUGUUCUUGACCGUUGUCCAGUGAUCCACUCCUGGAUUACUUUGGUACCUCCCUGCUAAACUUAUAGCAGGGCACACAUCAGGUCUGGUACACAGCAUUGCAUACAUGAUAGAGCCUAUGGCUGAAGCAUAGGGAACAUCUUUCAUUUUCUCUCUAUCUUCUGAAGUGGUCGGGCAUUGAGUCUGACUCAACUUCACACCUUGUAACACAGGCAAGAACCCUUUCUUUGCUUGAUCCAUUUUGAACUUCUUCAAAAUCUUGUCAAGGUAUGUGCUUUGUGAAAGUCCAAUUAAGCGUCUUGAUCUAUCUCUAUAGAUCUUUAUGCCUAAUAUGUAAGCAGCUUCACCGAGGUCUUUCAUUGAAAAACUCUUAUUCAAGUAUCCCUUUAUGCUAUCCAGAAAUUCUAUAUCAUUUCCAAUCAGUAAUAUGUCAUCCACAUAUAAUAUCAGAAAUGCUAUAGAGCUCCCACUCACUUUCUUGUCAAUACAGGCUUCUCCAAAAGUCUGUACAAAACCAAAUGCUUUGAUCACACUAUCAAAGCGUUUAUUCCAACUCCGAGAGGCUUGCACCAGUCCAUAAAUGGAUCGCUGGAGCUUGCACACUUUGUUAGAUCCUUUCGGAUCGACAAAACCUUCCGGUUGCAUCAUAUACAACUCUUCUUCCAGAAAUCCAUUCAGGAAUGCAGUUUUGACAUCCAUCUGCCAAAUUUCGUAAUCAUAAAAUGCGGCAAUUGCUAACAUGAUUCGAACGGACUUAAGCAUCGCUACGGGUGAGAAGGUCUCAUCAUAGUCAACCCCUUGAACUUGUCCAAAACCUUUUGCGACAAGUCGAGCUUUGUAGACAGUAACAUUACCGUCAGCGUCAGUCUUUUUCUUGAAGAUCCAUUUAUUCUCAAUUGCUUGCCGACCAUCGGGCAAGUUAACCAAAGUCCAUACUUUGUUCUCAUACAUGGAUCCCAUUUCAGAUUUCAUGGCUUCAAGCCAUUUUGCGGAAUCUGGGCUCACCAUCGCUUCUUCAUAGUUAGUAGGUUCAUCAUGAUCUAGCAGCAUGAUUUCUAGAACAGGAUUACCGUACCACUCUGGCGCGGAUCUCACUCUGGUUGAUCUACGAGGUUCAGUAGUAUCUUGUCCUGAAGUUUCAUGAUCAUUAUCAUUAGCUUCCUCACUUAUGGGUGUAGGUGUCGCAGAAACAGUUUUCUGUGAUGUACUUCUUUCCAAUAAGGGGGCAGGUACAGUUACCUCGUCAAGUUCUACUUUCCUCCCACUCACUUCUUUCGAGAGAAACUCCUUCUCUAGAAAGGAUCCAUUCUUAGCAACGAAUGUCUUGCCUUCGGAUCUGUGAUAGAAGGUGUACCCAACAGUCUCCUUUGGGUAACCUAUGAAGACACAUUUCUCCGAUUUGGGUUCAAGCUUAUCAGGUUGAAGCUUUUUCACAUAAGCAUCGCAGCCCCAGACUUUAAGAAACGACAACUUUGGUUUCUUGCCAAACCAUAGUUCAUAAGGCGUCGUCUCAACGGAUUUUGAUGCUGCCCUAUUUAACGUGAAUGCGGCCGUCUCUAAAGCAUAACCCCAAAACGAUAGCGGUAAAUCAGUAAGAGACAUCAUAGAUCGCACCAUAUCUAGUAAAGUACGAUUACGACGUUCGGACACACCAUUACGCUGUGGUGUUCCGGGUGGCGUGAGUUGCGAAACUAUUCCGCAUUGUUUCAAAUGUACACCAAACUCGUAACUCAAAUAUUCUCCUCCAUGAUCAGAUCGUAGAAACUUUAUUUUCUCGUUACGAUGAUUUUCAACUUCACUCUGAAAUUCUUUGAACUUUUCAAAUGUUUCAGACUUGUGUUUCAUUAAGUAGAUAUACCCAUAUCUGCUUAAAUCAUUUGUGAAGUUGAGAAAAUAACGAUAUCCGCCACGAGCCUCAAUAUUCAUCGGACCACAUACAUCGGUAUGUAUGAUUUCCAACAAAUCUGUUGCUCUCUCCAUAGUACCGGAGAACGGUGUUUUAGUCAUCUUGCCCAUGAGGCACGGUUCGCAAGUACCAAGUGAUUCAUAAUCAAGUAGUUCCAAAAGUCCAUCAGUAUGGAGUUUCUUCAUGCGCUUUACACCGAUAUGACCUAAACGGCAGUGCCACAAAUAAGUUGCACUAUCAUUAUCAACUCUGCAUCUUUUGGUUUCAACAUUAUGAAUAUGUGUAUCACUACUAUCGAGAUUCAUCAGAAAUAGACCACUCUUCAAGGGUUCAUGACCAUAAAAGAUAUUACUCAUAUAAAUAGAACAACCAUUAUUCUCUGAUUUAAAUGAAUAACCGUCUCGCAUCAAACAAGAUCCAGAUAUAAUGUUCAUGCUUAACGCUGGCACCAAAUGACAAUUAUUUAGGUCUAAUACUAAUCCCGAAGGUAGAUGUAGAGGUAGCGUGCCGACCGCGAUCACAUCGACUUUGGAACCGUUUCCCACGCGCAUCGUCACCUCGUCCUUUGCCAGUGUUCGCCUAAUCCGUAGUCCCUGUUUCGAGUUGCAAAUAUUAGCAAUAUAACCAGUAUCAAAUACCCAGGUGCUACUGCGAGCUCUAGUAAGGUACACAUCAAUAACAUGUAUAUCACUUAUACCUUUAUUCACCUUGCCAUCCUUCUUAUCCGCCAAAUACUUGGGGCAGUUCCGCUUCCAGUGACCAGUCUGCUUGUAGUAGAAGCACUCAGUUUCAGGCUUAGGUCCAGACUUGGGUUUCUUCUCCUGAGCAGCAACUUGCUUGCCGUUCUUCUUGAAGUUCCCCUUCUUCUUCCCUUUGCCCCUUUUCUUGAAACUAGUGGUCUUGUUGACCAUCAACACUUCAUGCUCCUUCUUGAUUUCUACCUCCGCAGCUUUCAGCAUUGCGAAGAGCUCGAGAAUAGUCUUAUUCAUCCAUUGCAUAUUAUAGUUCAUCACAAAGCUCUUGUAGCUUGGUGGCAGUGAUUGGAGAAUUCUGUCAAUGACGCAAUCAUCUGGAAAAUUAACUCCCAUCUAAAUCAAGUGAUUAUUAUACCCAGACAUUUUGAGUAUAUGCUCACUGACAGAACUAUUCUCCUCCAUCUUGCAGCUAUAGAACUUAUUGGAGACUUCAUAUCUCUCAAUCCGGGCAUUUGCUUGAAAUAUUAGCUUCAACUCCUGGAACAUCUCAUAUGCUCCAUGACGUUCAAAACGUCGUUGAAGUCCCAAUUCUAAGCCGUAAAGCAUGGCACACUGAACUAUCGAGUGGUCAUCAGCUUUGCUCCGCCAGACGUUCAUAACAUCUGGUGUUGCUCCAGCAGCAGGCCUGGCACCCAGCGGUGCUUCCAGGACGUAAUUCUUCUGUGCAGCAAUGAGGAUAAUCCUCAAGUUACGGACCCAGUCCGUGUAAUUGCUACCAUCAUCUUUCAACUUUGCUUUUGUUGGGGAACGUAGUAAUUUCAAAAAUUUCCUACGCACACGCAAGAUCAUGGUGAUGCAUAGCAACGAGGGGGAGAGUCUGAUCUACGUACCCUUGUAGAUCGCAACGGAAGCGUUGACACAACGUAGAGGAAGUAGUCGUACGUCUUCUUCCCGAUCCGACCGAUCCAAGCACUGUUACUCCGGCACCUCCGAGUUCUUAGCACACGUUCAGCUCGAUGACGAUCCUCGGGCUCCGAUCCAGCAAAGCGUCGAGGAAGAGUUCCGUCAGCACGACGGCGUGGUGACGAUCUUGACGUACUACCGACGUAGGGCUUCGCCUAAGCACUACAACGGUAUGAUCGAGGUGGAAUUUGGUGGCAGGGGGCACCGCACACGGCUAAGGAACGAUUUCAAGGAUCAACUUGUGUGUCUAUGGGGAGCCCCCCGCCCCUGUAUAUAAAGGAUGGAGGAGGAGGAGGCCGGCCAAGGCAAAGGUGCGGCCAGGAUAGGGAGUCCUACUAGGACUCCAAGUCCUAGUAGGAGUCCACCAAAAGGGGAGGAAGGGAGAAGGAAUAGGAGGAGAAGGAGAGGUGGCCGGCCCCCUUUUCCCUAGUCCAAUUCGGACCAAAGGGGAGGGGGGGCGCAGCAGCCUUUUCCUCUUCCCACUAAAGCCCAUCAAGGCCCAUUACUUCUCCCGUAACUACCCGGUACUCCGAAAAAUACCCGAAUCACUCGGAACCUUUCCGAUGUCCGAAUAUAGUCGUCCAAUAUAUCGAUCUUUACGUCUCGACCAUUUCGAGACUCCUCGUCAUGUCCCCGAUUUCAUCCGGGACUCCGAACUCCUUCGGUACAUCAAUACUCAUAAACUCAUAAUAUAACUGUCAUCGAAACCUAAAGCGUGCGGACCCUAUGGUUCGAGAACAAUGUAGACAUGACCGAGACACGUCUUCGGUCAAUAACCAAUAGCGGGACCUGGAUGCCCAUAUUGGCUCCUACAUAUUCUACGAAGAUCUUUAUCGGUCAGACCGCAUAACAACAUACGUUGUUCCCUUUGUCAUCGGUAUGUUACUUGCCCGAGAUUCGAUCGUCGGUAUCCAAUACCUAGUUCAAUCUCGUUACCGGCAAGUCUCUUUACUCAUUCUAUAAUACAUCAUCCCACAACUAACUCAUUAGUUGCAAUGCUUGCAAGGCUUAAGUGAUGUGCAUUACCGAGAGGGCCCAGAGAUACCUCUCCGAUAAUCGGAGUGACAAAUCCUAAUCUCGAAAUACGCCAACCCAACAUCUUCCUUUGGAGACACCUGUAAUGCUCCUUUAUAAUCACCCAGUUACGUUGUGACGUUUUGUAGCACCCAAAGUGAUCCUCCGGCAAACGGGAGUUGCAUAAUCUCAUAGUCAUAGGAACAUGUAUAAGUCAUGAAGAAAGCAAUAGCAACAUACUAAACGAUCGGGUGCUAAGCUAAUGGAAUGGGUCAUGUCAAUCAGAUCAUUCAACUAAUGAUGUGACCUCGUUAAUCAAAUAACAACUCUUUUGUCCAUGGUUAGGAAACAUAACCAUCUUUGAUUAACGAGCUAGUCAAGUAGAGGCAUACUAGUGACACUCUGUUUGUCUAUGUAUUCACACAUGUAUUAUGUUUCCGGUUAAUACAAUUCUAGCAUGAAUAAUAAACAUUUAUCAUGAUAUAAGGAAAUAAAUAAUAACUUCAUUAUUGCCUCUAGGGCAUAUUUCCUUCAGUCUCCCACUUGCACUAGAGUCAAUAAUCUAGUUCACAUCGCCAUGUGAUUUAACAGCAAUAGUUCACAUCACCAUGUGAUUAACACCCAUAGUUCACAUCGUCAUGUGACCAACACUCAAAGGGUUUACUAGAGUCAGUAAUCUAGUUCACAUAUCUAUGUGAUUAACACCCAAAGAGUACUAAGGUGUGAUCAUGUUUUGCUUGUGAGAUAAUUUUAGUCAACGGGUCUGUCACAUUCAGAUCUGUAAGUAUUUUGCAAGUUCUAUGUCUACAAUGCUCUACACGGAGCUACUCUAGCUAAUUGCUCCCACUUUCAAUAUGUAUCCAGAUUGAGACUUUAGAUUCAUCUGGAUCAGUGUCAAAAACUUGCAUCGACGUAACCCUUUACGACGAACCUUUUUGUCACGUCCAUAAUCGAGAAACAUAUCCUUAUUUCACUAAGGAUAAUUCUGACCGCUGUCCAGUGAUCUACUCCUAGAUCACUAUUAUACUCCCUUGCCAAAUCAAUGCAGGGUAUACAAUAGAUCUGGUAUACAGCAUGACAUACUUUAUAGAACCUAUGGCCAAGGCAUAGGGAAUGACUUUCAUUCUCUUUCUAUCUUCUGCCGUGGUCGGGCUUUGAGUCUUACUCAACUUCACACCUUGUAAUACAGGCAAGAACUCUUUCUUUGACUGCUCCAUUUUGAGCUACUUCAAAAUCUUGUCAAGGUAUGUACUUAUUGAAAAAACUUAUCAAGCGUCUUGAUCUAUCUCUAUAGAUCUUGAAGCUCAAUAUGUAAGCAGCUUCACCGAAGUCUUUCUUUGAAAAACUCCUUUCAAACACUCCUUUAUGCUUUACAGAAUAAUUCUACAUUAUUUCCGAUCAACAAUAUGUCAAUCACAUAUACUUAUCAGAAAUGCUGUAGUGUCCCACUCACUUUCUUGUAAAUACAGGCUUCACCGCAAGUCUGUAUAAAACUAUAUGCUUUGAUCAACUCAUCAAAGCGUAUAUUCCAACUCCGAGAUGCUUGCACCAGUCCACAGAUGGAUCGCUGGAGCUUGCACAUUUUGUUAGCACCUUUCGGAUUGACAAAACCUUCUGUUGCAUCAUAUACAACUCUUCUUUAAUAAAUCCAUUAAGGAAUGCAGUUUUGUUUAUCCAUUUGCCAGAUUUCAUAAAAUGCGGCAAUUACUAACAUGAUUCGGACAGACUCAAGCAUAGAUACGAGUGAGAAGCUCUCAUCGUAGUCAACACCUUGAACUUGUCGAAAACCUUUUUGCGACAAUUCUAGCUUUGUAGAUAGUAACACUACUAUCAGCGUCCGUCUUCCUCUUGAAGAUCCAUUUAUUCUCAAUUGCUUGCCGAUCAUUGGGCAAGUCAACCAAAGUCCAAACUUUGUUCUCAUACAUGGAUCAUAUCUCAGAUUUCAUGGCCUCAAACCAUUUCGCGGAAUCUGGGCUCAUCAUUGCUUCCUCAUAGUUCGUAGGUUCAUCAUGAUCUAGUAGCAUGACUUCCAGGAUUGGAUUACCGUACCACACUGGUGCGGAUCUCACUCUGGUUGAUCUACGUGGUUCAGUAGUAUCUUGUCCUGAAGUUUCAUGAUCAUCAUCAUUAGCUUCCUCACUAAUUGGUAUAGGUGUCGCAGAAACAGUUUUCUGUGAUGUACUAUUUUCCAAUAAGGGAGCAGGUACAGUUACCUCGUCAAGUUCUACUUUCCUCCCACUCACUUCUUUUGAGAGAAACUCCUUCUCUAGAAAGGAUCCAUUAUAAGCAACGAAUGUCUUGCCUUAGGAUCUGUGAUAGAAGGUGUACCCAACAGUCUCCUUUGGGUAUCCUAUGAAGACAUAUUUCUCCGAUUUGGGUUUGAGCUUAUCAGGAUGAAACUUUUUCUCAUAAGCAUCGCAACCCCAAACUUCAAGAAACGACAACUUUGGUUUCUUGCCUAACCAUAGUUCAUACGGUGUCGUCUCAACGGAUUUAGAUGGUGCCCUAUUUAACGUGAAUGCAGCUUUCUCUAAUGCAUGAUCCCAAAACGAUAUUGGUAAAUCGGUAAGAAACAUCAUAGAUUGUACUAUAUCCAAUAAAGUACGGUUAUGACGUUCGGACACACCAUUAUGCUGUGGUGUUCCAGGUGGCGUGAGUAGUGAAACUAUUUCACAUUGUUUUAACUGAAGACCAAACUCGUAACUCAAAUACUCUUUUCCACGAUCAGAUCGUAGAAACUUUAUUUUCUUGUUACGAUGAUUUUCCACUUCACUCUGAAAUUAUAUGAACUUUUCAAAUGUAUCAGACUUCUAUUUCAUUAAGUAGAUAUACCCAUAUCUGCUCAAAUCAUCUGUGAAGGUUUAGAAAAUAAUGAUACCCGCUGCAAGCCUUAAAUAUUCAUCGGACCACAUACAUUUGUAUGUAUGAUUUCCAACAAAUCUGUUGCUUGCUCCAUUGUUCCGGAGAACGGCGUUUUAGUCAUCUUGCCCAAAAGGCAUGGUUCGCAAGCAUCAAGUGAUUCCGAAAGCCCAUCAGCAUGGAGUUUCUUCAUGUGCUUUAUACCAAUAUGACCUAAACGGCAGUGCCACAAAUAAGUUGCACUAUCAUUAUUAACUUUGCAUCUUUUGGUUUCAAUAUUAUGAAUAUGUGUAUCACUACGAUCGAGAUCCAACGAACUUGUUUCAUUGGGUGUAUGACCAUCGAAGGUUUUAUUCAUGUAAACAGAACAACAAUUAUUCUCUGACUUUAAUGAAUAACCGUAUUGCAAUAAACAUGAUCAAAUCAUAUUCAUGCUCAACCAAAUAACACUUAUUUAAGUUCAACACUAAUCCCGAAAGUAUAGGGGAGUGUGUGAUGAUGAUCAUAUCAAUCUUGGAACUACUUCCAACACACAUCGUCACUUCACCCUUAACUAGUCUUUGUUUAUUCUGCAACUCCUGUUUCGAGUUACUACUCUUAGCAACUGAACCAAUAUCAAAUACUGAGGGGUUGCUAUAAACACUAGUAAAGCACACAUCAAUAACAUGUAUAUCAAAUAUACUUUUGUUCACUUUGCCAUCCUUCUUAUCCGCCAAAUACUUGGGGCAGUUCCGCUUCCAGUGACCAGUCCCUUUGCAGUAGAAGCACUUAGUCUCAGGCUUAGGACCAAACUUCGGCUUCUUCACUUGAGCAGCAACUUGCUUGCCGUUCUUCUUGAAGUUCCCCUUCUUCCCUUUGCCCUUUUCUUGAAACUAGUGAUCCUGUCAACCAUCAACACUUGAUGUUUUUCUUGAUUUCGACCUUCGUUGAUUUCAGCAUCACGAAGAGCUUGGGAGUUGUUUCCGUUAUCCCUUGCAUAUUAUAGUUCAUCACGAAGUUCUACUAACUUGGUGAUGGUGACUAGAGAAUUUUGUCAAUCACUAUCUUAUCUGGAAGAUUAACUCCCACUUGAUUCAAGCGAUUGUAGUACUCAGAUAAUCUGGGCACAUGCUCACUAGUUGAGCGAUUCUCCCCCAUCUUUCAGCUAUAGAACUUGUUGGAGACUUCAUAUCUCUCAACUCGGGUAUUUACUUGAAAUAUUAACUUCAGCUUCUGGAACAUCUCAUAUGGUCCAUGACGCUCAGAACGUCUUUGAAGUCCCGAUUCUAAGCCAUUAAGCAUGGUGCACUAAACUAUCAAGUAGUCAUCAUAUUGGGCUAGCCAAACGUUCAUAACGUCGGCAUCUGCUCCUGCAAUAGGUCUGUCACCUAGCGGUGCAUCAAGGACAUAAUUCCUCUAUGCAGCAAUGAGGAUAAAACUCAGAUCACGGAUCCAAUCCGCAUCAUUGCUACUAACAUCUUUCAACACAAUUUUCUCUAGGGACAUGUCAAAAUAAACACAGGGAAGCAACAACGCGAGCUAUUGAUCUACAACAUAAUUUGCAAAAUACUACCAGGACUAAGUUCAUGAUAAAUUUAAGUUCAAUUAAUCAUAUUACUUAAGAACUCCCACUUAGAUAGAUAUCCCUCUAAUCCUCUAAGUGAUCACGUGAUCCAAAUCAACUAAACCAUAACCGAUCAUCACGUGAGAUGGAGUAGUUUUCAAUGGUGAACAUCGUCAUGUUGAUCAUAUCUACUAUAUGAUUCACGCUCGACCUUUCGGUCUCUGUGUUCCGAGGCCAUAUCUGCAUAUGCUAGGCUCGUCAAGUUUAACCUGAGUAUUCUGCGUGUGCAAAACUGGCUUGCACCCGUUGUAGAUGGACGUAGAGCUUAUCACACCCGAUCAUCACGUGGUGUCUGGGCACGACGAACUUUGGCAACGGUGCAUACUCAGGGAGAACACUUCUUGAUAAUUCAGUGAGAGAUCAUCUUAUAAUGCUACCGUCAAUCAAAGCAAGAUAAGAUGCAUAAAAAGAUAAACAUCAUAUGUAAUCAAAAUAUGUGACAUGAUAUGGCCAUCAUCAUCUUGCUUCUUUGAUCUCCAUCUCCAAAGUACUGUCAUGAUCUAUAUCGUCACCGGCAUGACACCAUGAUCUCCAUCAUCUUGAUCUAUAUCAAUGUGUCGUCGUGUGGUCGUCUCACCAACAAUUGCUCUUGCAACUAUUGCUAUCGCAUAGCGAUAAAGUAAAGCAAUUACUGGACGCUUGCAUCUCAUGAAAUAGAGAGACAACCAUAAGGAUUUUGUCAGUUGCUGAUAACUUCAACAAAACAUGAUCAUCUUAUACAACAACUUAUAACUCAUCACGUUUUGACCAUAUCACAUCACAACAUGCCCUGCAAAAACAAGUUAGACGUCCUCUACUUUGUUGUUGCAAAUUUUACGUGGCUGCUACGGGCUUAGCAAGAACCAAUCUUACCUACGCAUCAAAACCACAACGAUAGUUUGUCAAAUAGACUCCGUUUUAACCUUCGCAAGGACCGGGCGUAGCCACACUCGGUUCAACUAAAGUUGGAGAAACAGUCACCCGCAAGUCACCUAUGUGCAAAGCACGUCGGGGAAACCGGUCUCGCGUAAGCGUACGCGUAAUGUCGGUCCGGGCCGCUUCAUCCAACAAUACCGCGGAACCAAAGUAUGACAUGCUGGUAGGCAGUAUGACUUAUAUCGCCCACAACUCACUUGUGUUCUACUCGUGCAUAUAACAUCAAACCAUAAAACCUAGGCUCGGAUGCCACUGUUGGGGAACGUAGUAAUUUCAAAAAUUUCCUACGCACACGCAAGAUCAUGGUGAUGCAUAGCAACGAGGGGGAGAGUCUGAUCUACGUACCCUUGUAGAUCGCAACGGAAGCGUUGACACAACGUAGAGGAAGUAGUCGUACGUCUUCUUCCUGAUCCGACCGAUCCAAGCACCGUUACUCCGGCACCUCCGAGUUCUUAGCACACGUUCAGCUCGAUGACGAUCCUCGGGCUCCGAUCCAGCAAAGCGUCGAGGAAGAGUUCCGUCAGCAUGACGGCGUGGUGACGAUCUUGAUGUACUACCGAUGUAGGGCUUCGCCUAAGCACUACAACGGUAUGAUCGAGGUGGAAUUUGGUGGCAGGGGGCACCGCACACGGCUAAGGAACGAUCUCAAGGAUCAACUUGUGUGUCUAUGGGGUGCCCCCUGCCCCUGUAUAUAAAGGAUGGAGGAGGAGGAGGCCGGCCAAGGCAAAGGUGCGGCCAGGAUAGGGAGUCCUACUAGGACUCCAAGUCCUAGUAGGAGUCCACCAAAAGGGGAGGAAGGGAGAAGGAAUAGGAGGAGAAGGAGAGGUGGCCGGCCCCCUUUUCCCUAGUCCAAUUCGGACCAAAGGGGAGGGGGGCGCAGCAGCCUUUUCCUCUUCCCACUAAAGCCCAUCAAGGCCCAUUACUUCUCCCGUAACUACCCGGUACUCCGAAAAAUACCCGAAUCACUCCGAACCUUUCCGAUGUCCAAAUAUAGUCGUUCAAUAUAUCGAUCUUUACGUCUCGACCAUUUCAAGACUCCUCGUCAUGUCCCCGAUCUCAUCCGGGACUCCGAACUCCUUCGGUACAUCAAUACUCAUAAACUCAUAAUUUAACUGUCAUGGAAACCUUAAGCGUGCGGACCCUACGGUUCGAGAACAAUGUAGACAUGACCGAGACACGUCUCCGGUCAAUAACCAAUAGCGGGACCUGGAUGCCCAUAUUGGCUCCUACAUAUUCUACGAAGAUCUUUAUCGGUCAGACCGCAUAACAACAUACGUUGUUCCCUUUGUCAUCGGUAUGUUACUUGCCCGAGAUUCGAUCGUUGGUAUCCAAUACCUAGUUCAAUCUCGUUACCGGCAAGUCUCUUUACUCGUUCUAUAAUACAUCAUCCCACAACUAACUCAUUAGUUGCAAUGCUUGCAAGGCUUAAGUGAUGUGCAUUACCGAGAGGGCCCAGAGAUACCUCUCCGACAAUCGGAGUGACAAAUCCUAAUCUCGAAAUACGCCAACCCAACAUCUUCCUUUGGAGACACCUGUAAUGCUCCUUUAUAAUCACCCAGUUACGUUGUGACGUUUGGUAGCACCCAAAGUGUUCCUCCGGCAAACGGGAGUUGCAUAAUCUCAUAGUCAUAGGAACAUGUAUAAGUCAUGAAGAAAGCAAUAGCAACAUACUAAACGAUCGGGUGCUAAGCUAAUGGAAUGGGUCAUGUCAAUCAGAUCAUUCAACUAAUGAUGUGACCUCGUUAAUCAAAUAACAACUCUUUUGUCCAUGGUUAGGAAACAUAACCAUCUUUGAUUAAUGAGCUAGUCAAGUAGAGGCAUACUAGUGACACUUUGUUUGUCUAUGUAUUCACACAUGUAUUAUGUUUCCCGUUAAUACAAUUCUAGCAUGAAUAAUAAACAUUUAUCUUGUGCUUGUGAUCUCCAUCUCCGAAGCACCUUCAUGAUCACCAUCGUCACCGGCGCGACACCUUGAUCUCCAUCGUAGCAUCGUUGUCGUCUCGCCAAUCUUAUGCUUCCACGACUAUCGCUACCGCUUAGUGAUAAAGUAAAGCAUUACAACGCGAUUGCAUUGCAUACAAUAAAGCGACAACCAUAUGGCUCCUGCCAGUUGCCGAUAACUUGGUUACAAAACAUGAUCAUCUCAUACAAUAAAAUUUAGCAUCAUGUCUUGACCAUAUCACAUCACAACAUGCCCUGCAAAAACAAGUUAGACGUCCUCUACUUUGUUGUUGCAUGUUUUACGUGGCUGCUACAGGCUUAAGCAAGAACCAAUCUUACCUAUGCAUCAAAACCACAACGAUAGUUUGUCAAGUUGAUGCCGUUUUAACCUUCGCAAGGACCGGGCGUAGCCACACUCGGUUCAACUAAAGUUGGAGAAACAGUCACCCGCAAGCCACCUUUGUGCAAAGCACGUCGGGAGAACCGGUCUCGCGUAAGCGUACGCGUAAUGUCGGUCUGGGCCGCUUCAUCCAACAAUACCGCCGAACCAAAGUAUGACAUGCUGGUAGGCAGUAUGACUUAUAUCGCCCACAACUCACUUGUGUUCUACUCAUGCAUAUAACAUCAAACCAUAAAACCUAGGCUCUGAUACCACUGUUGGGGAACGUAGCAAUUUCAAAAAAUUUCUACGCACACGCAAGAUCAUGGUGAUGCAUAGCAACAAGAGGGGAGAGUGUUGUCUAGAAGCGUUGACACAACGUAGAGGAAGUAGUCGUACGUCUUCCCGAUCCGACCGAUCCAAGCACCGUUACUCCGGCACCUCCGAGUUCUUAGCACACGUACAACUCGAUGACGCUCCCCGGGCUCCGAUCUAGCAAAGCUUCGGGGAUGAGUUCCGUCAGCACAACGGCGUGGUGACGAUGAUGAUGUUCUACCGACGCAGGGCUUCGCCUAAGCACUACAACGAUAUGACCGAGGUGGAAUAUGGUGGAAGGGGGCACCGCACACGGCUAAGGAACGAUCACGUUGAUCAAUUGUGUGUUCUAGGGUGCCCCCUUGCCUCCGUAUAUAAAGGAUCCAAGGGAGAGGGGUUCGGCCGGCCCUAUGGAGGCGCAGGAGGAGUCCUACUCCUAUCGGGAGUAGGACUCCCCCCCUUUUCCUUGUCCAAGUAGGAUUGGUGGAGAAGAAUGGGAAAGAGGGGGGCGCCGCCCCUCCCUCCUUGUCCAAUUCGGACUAGGGGGAGAGGGGGCGUGCGGCCUGCCCUGGCAGCCCCUUCCUCUUCUCCACUUUAGGCCCAUGAGGCCCAUUAACCCCCCGGGGGGUUCCGGUAACCCCCCGGUGCUCCGAUUUUAUCCGAAACUUCAUCGGAACCCUUCCGGUGUCCGAAUAUAGUCAUCCAAUAUAUCAAUCUUUAUGUCUUGACAAUUUUGAGACUCCUCGUCAUGUCCGUGAUCACAUCCGGGACUCCGAACUAACUUCGGUACAUCAAAAUGUAUAAACUUAUAAUAACUGCCAUCGUAACGUUAAGCGUGCGGACCCUACGGUUCGAGAACAAUGUAGACAUGGCCGAGACACGUCUCCGGUCAAUAACCAAUAGCGGGACCUGGAUGCCCAUAUUGGCUCCUACAUAUUCUACGAAGAUCUUUAUCGGUCAGACCGCAUAACAACAUACGUUGUUCCCUUUGUCAUCGGUAUGUUACUUGCCCGAGAUUCGAUCGUCCGUAUCCAAUACCUAGUUCAAUCUCGUUACCAGCAAGUCUCUUUACUCGUUCCGUAAUACAUCAUCUCGCAACUAACUCAUUAGUUGUAAUGCUUGCAAGGCUUAUGUGAUGUGCAUUACCGAGAGGGCCCAGAGAUACCUCUCCGACAAUCGGAGUGACAAAUCCUAAUCUCGAAAUACGCCAACCCAACAUCUACCUUUGGAUACAUCUUUAGAGCACCUUUAUAAUCACCCAGUUAUGUUGUGACGUUUGGUAGCACACAAAGUGUUCCUCCGGCAAACGGGAGUUGCAUAAUCUCAUAGUCAUAGGAACAUGUAUAAGUCAUGAAGAAAGCAAUAGCAACAUACUAAACGAUCGGGUGCUAAGCUAAUGGAAUGGGUCAUGUCAAUCAGAUCAUUCAACUAAUGAUGUGAUCUCGUUAAUCAAAUAACAACUCUUUGUUCAUGGUUAGGAAACAUAACCAUCUUUGAUUAACGAGCUAGUCAAGUAGAGGCAUACUAGUGACACUUUGUUUGUCUAUGCAUUCACACAUGUAUUAUGUUUCCGGUUAAUACUAUUAUAGCAUGAAUAAUAAACAUUUAUCAUGACAUAAGGAAAUAAAUAAUAACUUUGUUAUUGCCUCUAGGGCAUAUUUCCUUCACUUAGGGCCUUGGAUGAGAACUGGCAUCAUAAUGAACUUCCGCUUCAUGCACAUCCAAGGAGGAAGGUUAUACAUACAUAGAGUCACGGGCCAGGUGCUGUGAUUGCUGCUCUGCUCCCCUAUAGGAUUAAUGCCAUCCAUGCUUAAAGCAAACCAUACAUUCCAUGGGUCGUUUGCAAACUCAUCCCAGUACUUUCUCUCGAUUUUUCUCCACUGCGACCCGUCAGCGGGUGCUCUCAAUUUUCCGUCUUUCUUCCGGUCCUCACUGUGCCAUCGCAUCAACUUGGCAUGCUCUUCGUUUUUGAAUAGACGUUUCAACCGUGGUAUUAUAGGAGCAUACCACAUCACCUUCGCAGGAACCCUCUUCUUGGGGGGCUCACCGUCAACGUCACCAGGGUCAUCUCGUCUGAUCUUAUACCGCAAUGCACCGCAUACCGGGCAUGCAUUCAGAUCCUUGUAUGCACCGCGGUAGAGGAUGCAGUCAUUAGGGCAUGCAUGUAUCUUCUCCACCUCCAAUCCUAGAGGGCAUACGACUUUCUUUGCUGCGUAUGUACUGUCGGGCAAUUCGUUAUCCUUUGGAAGAUUCUUCUUCAAUAUUUUCAGUAGCUUCUCAAAUCCUUUGUCAGCCACAGCAUUCUCUGCCUUCCACUGCAGCAAUUCCAGUACGGUACCGAGCUUUGUGUUGCCAUCUUCGCAAUUGGGCUACAACCCUUUUUUGUGAUCCUCUAACAUGCGAUCGAACUUCAGCUUCUCCUUUUGACUUUCGCAUUGCGUCCUUGCAUCGACAAUGACCCGGCGGAGAUCAUCAUCAUCGGGCAGAUCGUCUGGUUCCUCUUGAUCUUCAGCAGCUUCACCCGUUGCAGCAUCAUUGGGCACAUCGUCUGUUUCCUCUUGAUCUUCACCAGCUCCCUCCAUUGCAGCAUAACCGUAUUCAGGGGGCACAUAGUUGUCAUCGUACUCUUCUUCUUUGCCAUCUUCCAUCAUAACACCUAUUUCUCCGUGCCUCGUCCAAACAUUAUAGUGUGGCAUGAAACCCUUGUAAAGAAGGAGGGGGUGAAGGAUUUUCCGGUUAGAGUAAUACCUCGUAUUCCCACAUUCAGUGCAUGGACAACACAUAAAACCAUUCUGCUUCUUUGCCUCAGCCGCACCGAGAAACUCAUGCACGCCCUUAAUGUACCCGGAGGUGUGUCUGUCACCGUACAUCCAUUGCCAGUUCAUCUACGUGCAUUAUAUAUAAUUAAGUGUCCAAAUUAAUAGAAGUUCAUCAUCACAUUAAAACCAAAGUACAUACAUAGUUCUCAUCUAACAACAUAUAGCUCUCCAGAGCAUCUAAUUAAUUAAACCAUACAUUGAAACUAUGUAAAACAUUUCAAUGCGAAAACAAAUGCGAUCAUAAUUGCAACCAAGGUAACAAUUGAUCCAACGGCAUAAUGAUACCAAGCCUCGGUAUGAACGACAUAUUUUCUAAUCUUUCUAAUCUUCAAGCGCAUUGCAUCCAUCUUGAUCCUGUGAUCAUAGACGACAUCCGCAACAUGCAACUCCAAUAUCAUCUUCUCCUCCUCAAUUUUUUUAUUUUUUCCUCCAACAAAUAGUUUUCUUCUUCAACUAAAUUUAGCCUCUCGGCAAUAGGGUCGGUUGGCAUUUCCGAUUCACAUACAUCCUACAUAAAUAAAAUCUAUGUCACGUUGAUCGGCAUAAUUUUCAUAAACAAUAAAUGAACCAAUAGUUAUAAAGAUAAUAUAUAUACCACAUUCGAAUCAUAGACAGGACGAGGGCGACGGGGGCGGAUACCAAAACCAUCGCACUAUAUAAGAUGCAAUAAUAAAAGUAAGAAAAUAAUACAAGUAUCUAUGUAAACAUACAAGUAAGAAUAUUUUUCCUUUCAGAAAGAAGAUAAGAACAAGAGGCUCACCAUGGUGGUGCCGGCAAGGCCCACCUUGGUCCAUGCGGGGAUGCACAAAAUAAGCUAUGUGCGGCCCAUGCGGGGAAUUUUGGUUACGCAUGGCCCAUACAUAUGGUGAUCCAGCCGUACGUGACCAAAUAGGAUGGACGGACAAACGAAAACGGACAAAAAUUAGGGACCAACCAAUUAGUACCACCUCGCGUAUAUGUUUUAUAUUUAAACUGAAAGCGUAAAUUUUCAUGAAAAGAAAUGUACUGUGACGGUGAACCCGACAAAGUCAAUCCGUGCUUUAUUAUUAGGGAAAGAUAUACUAAUUGGAGGCACCUUUGGAGCGUCUACGUUAAUCCACGUCAUUAAGAUUAAUAUAGCCGUUUGAUAUUAAAUUUAAUGGUUAAGAUAUGCUAGAAGACUAUGCCUUAUUAUAGAAGAAAACAACAUGUACGUAGGGAUGAAAUCCACGCAUACAAAAAAAAACUCAUGUAAAGAAAAAUCAAUUCUCACCACAUAGAUGAAACUCAUUAAACUUGCACAUGCAAAAAAAGUCCUAAGCUCCCACGUCCAUGAAAGAUUAGACAUGCACAUAAAAAAAGAGUCCUAAAUGCCCACGCCCAGGUUCCAAGAAAAAGUACGUGCCUACUCCUUGCAAAAAGAGGACGCGUGGCAAAACUAAAAAAUAUGAAUAUAAUCAUCUCAAUCUCUUUCUAAUAAUAAAAUAUGAAUUGAUUUUGUCAGGUUCGUCGUCACAAUACACUUUUUCCUGUAAAUUUACGCUUUCACUUUGAAUUUAAAACAUAUAGGUGAGGUGGUACUAAAAAACUGUUCAUUGGUCGCGUACGUCAAUUAGUAUAAGUCGCUUUUUUUAGUCCCUCCGGCUCGCUAGACUGGGCCGUGUUGAUCAUUCCCGUGAUGACUGAACUGGGCCUGGUCAAAAAGAAAAAAAACGAUGCAAAAAAUAAUUCCCCAUGAGCUUCGAACCAAGACGAAGGCCCUCAGUCACAAAGGAGAACGCCAACUAGAUUGCUCUAUUUUGUUCUGCCAAAUUGUGUCCCUGUAGAUAUAAUAGUCCCACAUCGCUUCUUUGCACUGUAUCUUAUCGAUUUUUAUACAUCGGCGGACUUGUCCUAGCAGAAGUUAAUUGGAAGAGGAAGCAAGGAAUAAAGAACGAACGCAGGAGGAAUUUGGCCAGAAGAAACAAGGUCGGGGAGCGUGAGGUUUAUGGUGAAUAUUCAGAGAACGGCAGCUGCAUUGUUCGAAUUUAGUCUAUCUUUGGACAUGUCUUUUCCGGGGAUUCGACACCAUGUUUUGUGCGCGAAUGGUUUUAUUAGGGUUUUUGACUGUUCCAAGUUAGAAGAGGCCAGAGUUUUCUCUGGUUCUUCAGUGGCCUGAAGCAACCAUGCUUACGCUUUUUUUUUUCAACCAUUCAUUGCCCAUUUUCAUUAAUUUCUUAAAGAAAAUACAUCAACCGUCCUUGCAGAAAGAACGAGGCAGCUUCACAGCUGGAAAUCAAGAGUGCGGUGUCCAGUUUUACGGGGAAAAGAAUUCUAUGAGACCAGGUCUCACGCGAGACCCAUCCUAAUGAAUGCCACGUGCUAUCCAUCAGAACGGGUCUCACCUGCUAACCGUGAGACUUGGUCUCAUAUAUUUUUUUUCCGUUUUACGGGGAAGCAUCAUCAGAAAUCUAGCAAAUCAUUCGCAUUAUUCUCUCACAUACAGUACAGAUCCUUCGGAUCGCCACAUCACAGCUGGACUUCAUUGCUUUGGGUGUCUAAUUAAGGGCUUGUUCGGUUAAUCCUCUCGCGAAGAGGAUUGGAGGGGAUUGGCAAGGAUUGGUUCGUAUUUUGACUUCUAAGAGGUUUAAGUCCUCCUCAAACCCCUUCAAUCCAUUCGGAUUCACACGCAACCAAACAAGGCCUAAACGGGAUCCGCAUCUGAACUAUUAAGCAGCAAAUGAUAGUGUGCGUGAAACAGGUAGGCAAUGUCAAUGAGGACAAACUGUGAUGAUAUCGUUUGAAAACUCAGCUGUCGUCCGUAGUGUUUGGCAUGUGACAGAUAGAUCCUGUUGAUUGUCUAACGAAAGCCAACGGUGAUGUCAAACUAGACUAUUUUAACAUAGUCGGUAAGACAAAAAUGGGAAACAUAUGUAUAUAUGACUACCGAGAACACGACAUCCAUUGUAUCUCGAUUAAGCAUCUUCAAAUAUUAUUCCUGUCGUGAUAUUGACAACAUUAUUAGUUUGUACUUGAAUGAAUAGUCAAGGAACUUUUGAGUGUUCCAAGUUAAACAUCCAAAUUUGUGUCGCAUUUCAGUAUGGGAGGCGCGUAUGACUCUCAAGUUUUUCCGAAUUUGAGUAAUACGGGUCAACUAUUUGCAAAAAUAAAAUAAAAACAUGUUAUCUAGCAUAUGUUUUUACCGUGUUAACACAUUCACAAUUAUUCCAUUUUGAAAAAAGGUACCUAGGUGGUAAAUGAACUACAAACCUUGCUCGACAUAUAUCGAGAAAUAUGUAUUGACAUACACAACAGAGAAAAUAAAUCAAAAUACAUUGCGCAGAACAUUGACAAUAAAUUAGUUGGUGAAAUUAGACAAUUUAGUUGGUGAACUUAGAAAAUUGUUACAUAAGGCUCCAACUUAAUUUCUCAGCAGUUGGAUCAGUUUUUUUUUUUGAGGACCAUGGAAAUACUGAAACCAUGGUUGAUACAAACUCCCCUCUCACACCUAAACUUUGAGCUAGAUAUUUCCUUUUAGUGAGUUUAGCUACUAAUUUUAAAGGGGUUCGCUAAAUCUCAGUCAAUUGAGAUUUAAUGUAGUCUCAAUCACCUUUCCAAGCCGUUGAAUACAUGCACACUAAGAUUAUGUGCUAGGAAACUUUUCUUUGUUAUUGUGAGGUGGAACGGAAAGAGAUGUGUGUGUGCCUUUCUGGACUAUUCGAAGUGUGCGUGUUUUUCCGAGGAAAGAGCCUACAAUCUACACGAGAAGCUUGUGUUUGGGCCAAGUCCAAACAUAAUAUAAUUUGUCAAACCAAACAACCAACAUUUUCUAAAACCGAAAUCAACAUAGCAAAAACAUGUUUGCUUUCGAAUAUUAAUAAAUAACUGUAUAUAAAUAAUCCCACUUCAAUGCACCACUCCUCUCACACCCGGUGAUAGUGUGAUGUUCGUUGAGGCAACAUCGAAGGACAUGAAUGUAGUUUCAUUAAUCUUUUUCCGAAUUGUGUACACCAAAAAUUGUAUCAUCAUUAACGACGGUGGCAAAAAUGAAAAGUGGCAACAUGAACGAGUCACUGAAAACAUGCGAAGACUUUCUCCUUCCGGUGCAAUGCACGACACAUUAAAUGAUGCAUACAAAGGUUAAAGGGAACCUUCUUUUGAGAAACAAAGACAAACACAGACUCACAAACACGUACAUACAUGAACACCUAGAGAGACUGAGCUGACAAGUCUUGAGAUUGAUGAACACACCACAAGUGUCUCGCUUCGACGCGAACGUCACCAUGCACUGAAAAAAUAUUUCACCUUUGUGAAACAUGAAAUUAAGCGUCAAAGUUAGGUUUUAAUUCUUGCUCUAUUGGGUAUCACCGCCCUGCAAACCAUCCAAUCAGAGAUUGGUUCUCAGGGUUAAAGCGAAACUAACCAAUACAUUUAUUUGAUAUGAAAAAAUGAACCCUUCCAAACCAAGCAAACAACUAUCUCUAAGAAAUCCAACAUAGCAACAAUGCUUUGUAUUCAAAUGUUUUGGAAAUUCUAAAAAAAAACUUUUGGAUUAGUUUUUAAACUCUCGGUUAGUAUAGAACAUUCCAAUGUUUGUAUGUUGCACUAAAAAUAAAUGCACCACUCUUUCACCCGGUGGUAGUGCUAAGCUAAAGGAGUGCCAUCAAAGGACACCACUAUGACUAUCUUAACUCUACUCCAUGAUGCGGACACCAAUAAUCAUUUUUAUUUACCAACACGAAGGCGUUUUUUUAAGAUAGUGAGUGUUUCUAAAUGUUCUUGGUUUCAAAAAAUAUAUUCAUGUUUUAAAUAUGUUUAAACUUUUGAAGAAAUGCUGAAAAUUCCUAAAAAAUGGUUCCAAUUAAAAACCAGCUAUAAUUGUUCAAAAAAUCAUUAAAAAAAAUCAUGAAAUCGCUUGUUUAUAUAAUGUUCGACUUCAAAAAAUAUUCCAAUUCUAGUAAGAAAUUAAAAAAUAGUCGAUUUCUUAAAAAAUAAAGAAAUAUUUGUGUUGUCUUUCAAAAAGCAAAAUAUAUACCGAUUCACAUACUAUUCCAUGCACAACUAUUCUUCCAACAGAUGUGGGAAGUUAGGUUGGUUCUUCAUGUACACACUUCAAGCUCCGAACAAAAAUUAGAGUUUAACAUUAUUACUCUGGUUUAUCAGCCUUUGAUACAAGAAAUGGCACAUGAAGCGCACUUUUAUUUGCCCGUUGCAACGCACGGGCAUUUGUACUAGUAAAUAUCAAUUGAAGGAAUAUCAUUCUGCAAAGGCAGAUUCUUGAAUAGGAUUGUUUCACAACUGCAUCCAUCAAUUUUAAAGUUUACUAUCUAAUAUGAUGCUAGAUAGAUAAAGCCUCAAUUAAGUAUAACAUUGUGUUUGUUGGUUAAGUUAGGAGCACUUACUAAUGUACUAAAAGAGAAAUAUAUAUUAUAUAUGGUUUGAGUACCAUUGUAGUAGUGGUGCAUAUACAUACGCGCACCACCUACUAUAUAUCGAAAUAAUUCAUACUCGCUUUCUCCCUUAUAUAUAUAGUAGGUGGUGUCAAAUUCUUGCUAAUUUGACAUGAAGGCUUCAUUCAGACCAGUGAUGAUACUUUGCGCAACAUAAAUGGGAAAGUAGAGGCACUCUUCCAUAUAAUGAAGUUUAUAAUAUAUGUGUUUAUAUUGUACUAUAAUUGUUUGAAUAACUUACCAUAUGUUCAGAUGUAUGAUAUCUGUAAUUUAAGCGCUUGAAUUUUACAUAUAAAUAUAAUUUUAUUAAUAAAUAUGUACCCAUAUAAUAGCUAGGCCGUGUAGUUGCACGGGUAGAUGACUAGUGAUUACAAUCUUGUUUGUGAGCAAGUCAAGAUUAUCUAGUUUACACGUAACAACUUGUAGAACAUUACAAAAAUUAUGCUUGCUAAUAACUUCUAGAACACUACAACACUUGACAUGUAAAAGGAAUUUGAUGAGUCAUGGCCUACUAAAGCAAGUUACAUUACUACUCUUAUCUAUCUUAACAGACCACACAAGAUUACAAACUAAGUACCGUGACAGCCAUGCUUAUCUAAUUUAUGCGUAACAAUUUGCGGAAAAUUACAAAUUUAGUUUUAGAAAAAUAGGCAAUCUAGAUUAGUGUUUGAGCUGUAAUGUGAAUAAGAUGAGUCGUGCGUCUUGUCACACCUUUUUGGUGGUGGAAUGAUAGUGCAACAACAAGGAACUUUAAUGACCAGUCCAAGAAUACACUUGUAAGUAGUGCCACCAAACAGAACAUACCAAAUUAUGAUUUUGAGAAGAAUCCAAGCACUUUCCACACAAGCAAAUGCCAAUUGUGAAAGAGAUCAUUCCAUGGCAGCUAUAAAUAGCCCCAUAGCAUGACGCUCAUCCUUCCUCAUCCAUCAUUCUCAUAAGUAGAGUGCAUCAUUUAAGCCAAGCAAGCUGUGGUCAAUACAAAUCCACCAUGAAGACCUUUCUCAUCCUUUCCCUCCUUGCUAUCGUGGCAACCACCGCCACAACUGCAUUUAGAAUUCUAGUGCCACAAUUGCAGCCACAAAAUCCAUCUUAGCAACAACCACAAGAGCAAGUUCCAUUGGUACAACAACAGCAAUUUCUAGGGCAGCAACAACCAUUUCCACCACAACAACCAUAUCCACAGCCGCAACCAUUUCCAUCACAACAACCAUAUCUGCAGCUGCAACCAUUUCCGCAGCCGCAACCACCAUAUUCGCAGCCGCAACCAUUUCGACCACAAUAACCAUAUCUCCACAACCGCAACCACAGUAUUCGCAACCACAAUAACCAAUUUCGCAGCAGCAACAACAACAACAACAACAACAACAACAACAAAUCCUUCAACAAAUUUUGCAACAACAACUGAUUCCAUGCAUGGAUGUUGUAUUGCAGCAACACAACAUAGCGCAUGGAAGAUCACAAGUUUUGCAACAAAGUAGUUACCAGCUGUUGCAAGAAUUGUGUUUUCAGCACCUAUGACAGAUCCCUGAGCAGUCGCAGUGCCAAGCCAUCCACAAUGUUGUCCAUGCUAUUAUUCUGCAUCAACAACAAAAACAACAACAACAACAACAACAAAAACAACAACCAUCGAGCCAGGUCUCCUUCCAACAGCCCCAGCAACAAUAUCCAUCAGGCCAGGGCUCCUUCCGGCCAUCUCUGCAAAAUCCACAGGCCCAGGGCUCGGUCCAGCCUCAACAGCUGCCCAGUUCGAGGAAAUAAGGAACCUAGCGCUACAGACGCUACCUGCAAUGUGCAAUCUCUACAUCCCUCCAUAUUGCACCAUCGCGCCAUUUGGCAUCUUCGGUACUAACUGAGAAGAAAAUAACUCUAGUACUAGAUAUAUGAAACACCGUUUUCUUAGUCCAUGGUUUGGUCAUUGUAGCGGUGAAAAAAUAAAGUGACAUGCACUACCAUGUAAGAACUCGAACUAUACUAGUUCAAACUUGGGAAUAAAAGACAAACACAGGUCUUGUCUACAUAUUUAUGUUGCAUUUAUCUAAAGAUAACAAAAUGAGUCUAAAAUUUGAAUUAAAUUGAAGUAUUUUCUUGGACUUUCAAAUUGAGUAUUAUUAACGUAGUAAGGACUAUCCUCAUCCUUGGCCUGCCCCUAAUCAAUUAUUUCCAGAGAAGCAUUCAAUUCAUCAAUCAAUUACAUUGAUUUUUGUGGCUGGUACUUCUCCUCAACAUCAGUAUAUUCACCGUGGCUACUCCAAAUCGGCAAGAAUGAGGUACCGGUGCUCUGGAGCAGUGCCAACUAAUUGCUUCUCAUGUGAAGGGGUGCGGGCGCGGGAGAGGUAUUUCUGGUGGGCCAAGGGAGUAAGAAGCCACCGUGGGAGUGGUACAGACGCCCGUAAAGCCCCAUAGUUUCUUUUUGGUUUACAGGAAAAUGCACAUCCAUACCGGCCUGGGGAGUAUAGGACCGUAUUGGAUGGAAAACCAUGUCCGGAUGGUUGCGAGCGGUUUGAGGGUUAGCUUUUGUAACGCCCGGUUAGUUAUGCUAUAGCAAUUCCCUGCUAAUGAUGUCACGUCACCAAGAUUACUGUUGUUAUCCUCACAAUGAUUCAAUGCCAUUCUAAUUCAAAUUUAAAAUAAAGGCAAGCAUCAAAAGUUUUCAAACAUUAAAACUAAAAUCUUUGAGAGGUAACAAAUAAUGCAUAAGUAAUUAUGGUGGAGAAACCACACUUUAAUAAAAUGUUUAAAUACUCUAAAAUGAAAAAAACAGUGGCUUAAACUAUUAUUUAAAUGCUUUUAAAAUAGUAAAAAUGUUCUAACUAAAUUAAUUGGGUACCAACCUUUUGGUGGCAGUGGUAUAUUUAGUAGAACUAAUUUAGAUGCUAGUUAUAUGAUUUAGAAAAUUAGGGUCAAUUGAAAAAUAGGAUAAAACAGAGAAGGAAAGACAAAACAAAUAAAAGCAAAAGGGGGCAACCCCUCACUGGCCUUGGCCUAGCUGGCCACUGGGCUAGCUAGGUCGGCCCCGCCGCCUCCCUUAACCCCCUGUCGGUGUCGAAACCGGUGGAUGGUACCAUGAGUAGAUCUACCACGAGAUCGGAGAGGCUAAACCCUAGAGGCUAGCCUAUGAUAUGAUUGUAUGUGUCCUACGGACUAAAACCCUCCGGUUUAUAUAGACACCGGAGAGGGUUAGGGUUACACAAGGUCGGUUACAAAGGAGGAGAUAUCCAUAUCCGUAUUGCCUAGCUUGCCUGCCACGCCAAGUAGAGUCCCAUCCGGACACGGGACGAAGUCUUCAAUCUUGUAUCUUCAUAGUGCAACAGUCCGAAAAAGGAUAUAGUCCGGCUGUCCGGAGACCCCCUAAUCCAGGACUCCCUCAGUAGCCCCUGAACCAGGCUUCAAUGACGAUGAGUCUGGCGCGCAGUAUUGUCUUCGACAUUGCAAGGCGGGUUCCUCCUCCGAAUGCAUCACAGAAGAAUUUGAAUACGAGGAUAGUGUCCGACCCUGCAACAUAAGUUCCACAUAAUUCCAUACAGAGAAUAAUAUUUUCGCAAAUCUAAUUUGCUUACUUGUUUUGACAGUACGACAUUAUGUCAUGGCCCGGUGAUUAUUCGAACCGUUUCCUUUAACUAGCCCCGCACAUAACGCGAGGCAGUUUUUCGACAUGUCUUGUCAAAGCAGAGAUCGUGUCCCCUUAUUACUGGAUUCUCAUCAAUACGGGCGUGGGUAACCCAACCGCGCCAUCGAUUGCGGCACUUGGGGGAUGAGCUAUUUUUACCUGGCAAGUGGGGACGCUUAGUUUCGUCCGCCCAUAUAAAGGGAUAAGGAUUCACCUUUCUAUCCAUGCCUUCUUCCUCCUUUGCUCAUCCGUUUUUGCACACUCGAGCUCUAGCGCCCAAGUUCGCACUUCCCACCUCAACCUUCUCCAACCAUGUCCCGAGCGGGAGGCAGGUGGAUGGUAUCCUCCGUCACGGAUGGAGACAUCAAGAAGCUGAGGAGCGCCGGAUACCUGCCUGACGACAUCGCGCACCGGCUCCCAGAUGAGGGGCAGCUCACCCCCACCCCCAGGCCCCAUGAGAGGGUAGUGUUCCUCACCCAUUUCCUCCGCGGACUGGGAUUCCCUCUCCACCCAUUUGUCCCGGGGCUCAUGUUCUAUUACGACCUGGAUUUCCAUGAUCUGGCCCCGAACUUCAUCCUCAACAUCUCGGCGUUUAUCGUUGUGUGCGUGGCCUUCCUCCGCAUCAAGCCCCACUUCGGCUUAUGGUUGAAGACCUUUAAUGUCAAGCCGAAGGUUGUGGGCGACCGCCAGGCGGAGUGCGGAGGCGCCAUGGUGGGCAAGAUGCCCAACGUAACAUGGCUCGAGGGCUCUUUUGUGGAAACCAUAAAGGGGUGGCAAUCGGGUGGUUCUACAUCACCGAGCCGCGUGACCCUGCAUGGGCAGCGGCCCCCCGAGUUCUGAUCUGGCAUCCCCACGCGGCUCACCUCCUGGAAAGAGAAGGGCCUGUCCUGGGGUAGUUUGGAAGAGCUGACCAGACUCCAAACAUGUAUUCAAAACAUGGUGAACAAGAAGCUCAAACUCGUCAACGUGGUCCAGGUCAUGCUCCACCGCCGGAUCCUCCCGUGCCAAUAACGGGAGUUCAACUUGUGGGAGUACAACCCAGCGCAGCACCGAACUCUGAACAGGCUUUUCGACACAACUCACGAAGAUGCCUCGAGGGUGCUGUUCAAAAUCACCAAGGUCCCCCUCCCAUUACUGAGGAUCACGGAUUCAGCGUGAAGCGCCAAGCCAGUGCGGCAGGCUGCUUUACCUUUCACAGGCUACUUAUUUUUUAUAGAUUGACUCCAUGCGGGAUCUAAACUCCCGUACCUUUGACAGGACUGGCAGGAGAUGGCCGGACAGAUCGACUGUCCGGCUCCUAUGCCCGAAGGCCCAGCAGACGCUCUUCUAGCGAAGAUGCUGACUUCGGCUCCUUAUACGGUGCCGGAGAAGACCAAGAAGGACAAGGGAACCCGAAAGAGUUCCCGACGCCAGGCGUCGUCGGACUCACCGUCCGAUGACUCUGCGGCGCACUCCUCCCCCGAAGACGAGGAAGAGGAAGAAGACGCUCCCUCUCUGGCUGGGGGAGAUAAGAAAAGGAAGGCCGCCCCAACUGGGGGGGCGGAAGGGUCCAAGAAGGGAAGGAAUCUCCUUCCGGAUAGUUGCACCGCUGCCGACGAAGGCGAAGACGAGGGGUUGCCCAGGGCCAAGCCCCUGGGGAGAUCGUAAGUAUUCAGAUACCAGAGUAACUCAUAGCAUUCCUUUGUCGCACUGCUUUCCCUAACGUCAAACAUAAUUAUGCAGGUCGCCAUGAGCCAGUAUCGAUGUGUGACGCCCGGAUAAUCAUGCUACAGUAAUCCCACGCUAAUCAUGCCACGUCACCUCGGUUACUGUUGCUAAUCUAUCGUUAGGUCAAAGCUGGUCCAAAAUUCAAAUUCAAAGUUUGGUAAAUAAUAACAGUUUUCAAAAAUUAAAACAAAAAUGUUCGGUGAUUGCCGAAUAAUGCAUAGGUAAUUAUGGUGGAGAAACCACACUUUUAUAAAAUGUUUAAAUAAUCUAAAAUGAAUAAAACAGUAGAAAAACCAAAUCUAAAUGCUUUUAUAAAUAAAUAAAACACUAAACUAAAUUGUUUUGGGAUAAAGCCUUUUGUGGCAGUGGGUUUCGUGGUAUUACAAUUUUAGAGUUCAUUUUAAUACUAAGUAAGAAGUAUAAUUAAGAGAAACUAAAAUAAAGAACAGAAAAAAAAGAAUAAAUAAAAGGAAAAGAAAACACAAAACAGAAAAGAAAACUACCAAAAAAAUAUGGUAAAAGGAGACCCCCCCCACUGGACCCCUUGGCCCAACUGGGCCAUGGCCCAGCCGGCCACCCCCNNNNNNNNNNNNNNNNNNNNNNNNNNNNNNNNNNNNNNNNNNNNNNNNNNNNNNNNNNNNNNNNNNNNNNNNNNNNNNNNNNNNNNNNNNNNNNNNNNNNNNNNNNNNNNNNNNNNNNNNNNNNNNNNNNNNNNNNNNNNNNNNNNNNNNNNNNNNNNNNNNNNNNNNNNNNNNNNNNNNNNNNNNNNNNNNNNNNNNNNNNNNNNNNNNNNNNNNNNNNNNNNNNNNNNNNNNNNNNNNNNNNNNNNNNNNNNNNNNNNNNNNNNNNNNNNNNNNNNNNNNNNNNNNNNNNNNNNNNNNNNNNNNNNNNNNNNNNNNNNNNNNNNNNNNNNNNNNNNNNNNNNNNNNNNNNNNNNNNNNNNNNNNNNNNNNNNNNNNNNNNNNNNNNNNNNNNNNNNNNNNNNNNNNNNNNNNNNNNNNNNNNNNNNNNNNNNNNNNNNNNNNNNNNNNNNNNNNNNNNNNNNNNNNNNNNNNNNNNNNNNNNNNNNNNNNNNNNNNNNNNNNNNNNNNNNNNNNNNNNNNNNNNNNNNNNNNNNNNNNNNNNNNNNNNNNNNNNNNNNNNNNNNNNNNNNNNNNNNNNNNNNNNNNNNNNNNNNNNNNNNNNNNNNNNNNNNNNNNNNNNNNNNNNNNNNNNNNNNNNNNNNNNNNNNNNNNNNNNNNNNNNNNNNNNNNNNNNNNNNNNNNNNNNNNNNNNNNNNNNNNNNNNNNNNNNNNNNNNNNNNNNNNNNNNNNNNNNNNNNNNNNNNNNNNNNNNNNNNNNNNNNNNNNNNNNNNNNNNNNNNNNNNNNNNNNNNNNNNNNNNNNNNNNNNNNNNNNNNNNNNNNNNNNNNNNNNNNNNNNNNNNNNNNNNNNNNNNNNNNNNNNNNNNNNNNNNNNNNNNNNNNNNNNNNNNNNNNNNNNNNNNNNNNNNNNNNNNNNNNNNNNNNNNNNNNNNNNNNNNNNNNNNNNNNNNNNNNNNNNNNNNNNNNNNNNNGCCCCUCGGCGCCCGCUCGGCCCUCUCCUGGGUCGGGCGCCCGUAACGCCCAGCGCCCGUAACCCGCUAUGGCCCCCUGGGCAGUUGACAGAUGGGGCCCACGCCCCUGUCUUGUUAGAAAAAAAAACGAAAAGAAAAUGUAAUUAAAAAAAUGAAAAUAAGUAAUUAGUUAUUUAAUUAAUUAUGUAACUAAUUAAUUAAUUAAAUAAGUAAUUACUUAACUUAAUUAACUCCGUUUAGUACUUAAUUAACUUGAUUAGUUAAUUAAAAUUGUUAAUUAGUUGUUAGACUAUGACGAAUGGGACCCACACGUCAGUUUGACCCAGUCAACGCCCUGUUGACUGCUGACGUCAUGCUGACGUCAGCGUACACUAUUCUGGAUAAUGUUAAUUUAAUUAAUAAUUAAUAAAUUAGAAAAUGAUUUAAAAAUUUAAAAAUUAAUAUAAAUUAAACCGUAGCUCAGAUGAAAAAACUUUGUACAUGAAAGUUGCUCAGAACGACGAGACAAAUCUGGAUACACGGCCUGUUUGUUCGUCACGCAUCCCUAGCAUAGCAAACUCGCAACUUUCCCCUCCGGCUCCUCUGCCCGAAAACGCAAAACACCGGGGAUACUUUCCCGGAUGUCAUCCCCCUUCACCGGUAUCACCUAUUACCGCGUUAGGGCACCUCUAACGCCGUUACUUGUCAUGUCAUGCAUCACUAUGCAUAUGCUUGCUUAAAUAUUUAUUAUUUCUUCCCCCUCUUCUCUCGAUAGACACCGAGACCGACGCCGCUGCUACCCAGUACGACUACGCUGUUGACGACCCUCUUUCUUGCCAGAGCAACCAGGCAAGCGCCCCCCUUGAUCACCAGAUAUCGCCUACUCUCUUCUAUACUGCUUGCAUUAGAGUAGUGUAGCAUGUUACUGCUUUCCGUUAUUCCUAUCCUGAUGCAUAGCCUGUCCUUGCUACUACUGUUGUUACCAUUACCUGCUAUCCUACUGCUUAGUAUAGGAUGCUAGUGUUCCAUCAGUGGCCCUACACUCUUGUCCGUCUGCCAUGCUAUACUACUGGGCCGUGAUCACUUCGGGAGGUGAUCAUGGGCAUAUGCUAUAUACUUUACACAGUUACUUUACCUGUGGUACUGUUCGGAGAUGGGGGCUGAAGGGGCAGGUGGUUCCACCCAGGUAGUGGUGGGCCUGGGUUCCCGACGGCCCCCGACUGUUACUUUGUGGCGGAGCGACAGGGCAGGUUCAGACCACCUAGGAGAGAGGUGGGCCUGGCCCUGGUCGGCGUCCGCGGAUACUUAACACACUUAACGAGAUCUGGGUAUUUGAUCUGAGUCUGGCCAUUUGGUCUAUACGCACUAACCAUCUACGCGGGAGUAGUUAUGGGUAUCCCGACGUCGUGGUAUCAGCCGAAGCCUUCGUGACAUCAGCGACUAAGUGGCGCGUGCCGGAUUGGACCGUAAGCCUGCUCUUGUAUUAAGGGGGCUAGUUCUGCUUCCGGCCGCGUUCGCAACGUGCAGGUGUGCAAAGGGCGAUGGGCCCAGACCCCUGCGCCAUAGGAUUUAGACCAGCGUGCUGACCUCUCUGUUGGGCCUAGGUAGGGCUGCGACGUGUUGAUCUUCCGAGGCCGGGCAUGACCCAGAAAAGUGUGUCCGGCCAAAUGGGAUCGAGCGUGUUGGGGUAUGUGGUGCACCCCUGCAGGGAAGUUUAUCUAUUCGAAUAGCCGUGUCCCUCGGUAAAAGGACGACCCGGAGUUGUACUUUGACCUUAUGAUAACUAGAACCGGAUACUUAAUAAAACACACCCUUCCAAGUGCCAGAUACAACCGGUGAUCGCUCUCUCACAGGGCGACGAGGGGAGGAUCAUCGGUUAGGAUUAUGCUAUGCGAUGCUACUUGGAGGACUUCAGUCUACUCUCUUCUACAUGCUGCAAGACGGAGGUUACCAGAAGCGUAGUCUUCGAAAGGACUAGCUAUCCCCCUCUUAUUCCGGCAUUCUGCAGUUCAGUCCACAUAUGAUAGCCUUAUUCCAAUUGAUACCAAUGCAUACAUAUGUAGUGUAGCUCCUUGCUUGCGAGUACUUUGGAUGAGUACUCACGGUUGCUUUCUCCCUCUUUCCCCCCUAUCCCUUCUACCUGGUUGUCGCGACCAGAUGUUGGAGCUCAGGAGCCAGACGCCACCGUUGACGACGACUCCUACUACACCGGUGGUGCCUACUACUACGUGCUGUCCGCUGACGACGACCAGGAGUAGUUUAGGAGGAUCCCAGGCAAGAGGCCUGCGCCUCUUUCGAUCUAUAGCUCAGUUUGUGCUAGCCUUCUUAAGGCAAACUUGUUUAACUUAUGUCUGUACUCAGAUAUUGUUGCUUCCGCUGACUCGUCUAUGAUCGAGCUCUUGUAUUCGAGCCCUCGAGGUCCCUGGCUUGUAAUAUGAUGCUUGUAUGACUUAUUUUAUUUGUAGAGUUGUGUUGUGAUAUCUUUCUGUGAGUCCCUGAUCUUGAUCGUACACGUUUGCGUGUAUGAUUAGUGUACGGUCAAAUCGGGGGCGUCACACGAUGUAUCAUCGGACGGUUCCCUAGGCUCGUCGGACAUGGAUAGCGAUCCAGUCCCGACCCCCACCUCCCCUCAUCCUGCUGACGACGCCGAGGUGCUGUCUCAAGAGGCAUCGGGUCGAGGGGAGACAGUCCUGGAGGCACCUCAAGGCGACCUUCCGGACUCCGGGAGCCGAGGGGACGGGGCCCCUAAGAGCUUCGAGUUCGGCCCUCAGCCGAACACCGCGCUGGAACCUCCAGUGGUUCCGGGCUCGGUCAGGCGGCCUCCUUCUAAGAGGGGCAAGACACCUGUGCCGGUGACCUCUGUCUAUCCAGAGGCGCCGGACAAUCUGCUGGAAGCGCUUCGCAGCGCUUCCAUCGACGAGGAGCACCGCACUAUCAUGAGUGCGGCGAUCCAGAAAGUUUAGUCCGCCAAGAGCGGAUUGACUGAAGCCUGUGCCAGCCUUCUAACAGGCUUUGAGGUAAGUGUUUUAAAAUAUAGGAAAAAUACUACUGCAUAUAUAGUAGCCCCUGAUGCUUUGUUCGGUGUUCAGAAAGAAAAGCCGAACAGAGGAUCAAAUAAUAUCGCAGGACUCUAAUAUAAGUAUGUCAAUAUGCGUAUGCAAGCCUCACUGCUGGCAUCCGCCACACUGACUGCGGAGGUCGCCCUACUGAAGCAGGACCUCGAGAGGUCUAGGAGAGAGCUCGGCCUUGUCAAGAGGCAGCUCGAGGAGAACAAGGGUAAGUAAUACCUUGUCUUUAGAUAUGUAUAUAUAAAAGAAGAAGCGAUUGCAAAAUGACAGGAUCAUCGUACAUUCGCCAGGGGCCACGACCAAGGUGGCAACCCUCAAGCAAGCGCUAACCAAGGCCGAAGAUAACGCGGCCAAGGAGCGCACCGAGUGAGAGAAGCACGAGGCUCGGGUGGGCGAGGUGCAGCAAGAGCUCUAGGCUAUCAUGGUGAAGCACGAGGCAUUGGAGCUUGACUAAAAGACGCGAGAGUCUGAGCUUUCCGCGGCCCUCGAGAGCGCAAAAAGUGCCAAGGCCGAAGCCCAAAGGGGUCUCCAGGCGGGUAUGGCUUUCUAUAUGCAAAGCAAGCAUGUAAAAGUAAAUUACCGAUUACUUACUCGAAUCCGGAGCUCUCCAGGAGCAUUCGCAGAUUUUCCACGCAGCGUGUCCGAUGCCGCACAAUUUUACCAGGCCGAGGAUGGAAGCUCAAUGGAGAAGCUGUUCUGGUAUCAGUAUGCUGAGGCCGGACACCCGGUGCCAAUGAGCGACCAGCUGAAGCAGGUGGUCGAGCUACAUAAGGCGGCCGAUCAGGCCAUGAAGGGCUUUAUAGUCCGGCUGUGGCCUGGCGACGCCCUUCCGAACAGCUUCCUCGGCCUGGUGAGGCGGCUUGUGGAUGCCUGCCCGCGGCUGGAGGUCGUCAAGCGAUCUGUCUACAUUGAGGGUGCACGCCGGGCUUUCGCCCGUGUGAAAUUGCAGUGGGUCAAGCUAGACGCCGUGAAGCUGAUCAAGGAGGGGCCGCCGGAGGGCAAGGAGCACCGCCACCCCGAGAUGUACUACGAGGGUGUUCUGCUGGGUGCCCGUCUCAUAGCGGACGAGUGUUCAAAAGAUGUAAUAUUUGAGUGAGACUUGCUCGUUUUAUCCUGUAUUUAUGAAAACUUGUUUCAUAUGCACUAUGCAACGCUUGUUUGAAUUUAGAAUAUUACCUUCUGUUUGGCCGUUUAUCAAUCUGAGAGAUGGCUAGUCCUCAGCUUCUGCCCCCAUGCCACGAGUGCUGGGGUCUUCGGGAUAAACCUGAGCACUCUUGUUCCCAUAUUUGGGUCCUUGGAGGGAGGUGCUCAGCACAACGAACAAGGAAACCCGACUAAUAAUGCUUUAUCACUCUCACUUAGCGAUAGAAUUCUAUAAUUUUAAAUUUCGGCGAAGCCCCUGGUAUUCGGAAGGCCGAAUUCGGGGCGCGAUACACGCCUUUAAGCCGGACAGGGCCGGCCCCUCGCCCUAAGCGGCAUAAGUCUUUGGGGACUCGAUAACCUCGCCGAACAGCGAUCAGUCUCUCCCCUUAUCAUGACAGUCAGUUUUAGCUUUCUCUACUUAGGUGCCGAACCCAGCAAAACCGGGGCACAAUCGCAGUAGUUCUCCUAGCGCUACCUUAGCCGAUAGAGUGGAACGUAAGGUACCAAAACAUAGGAGCCGGGCAAACCCAACAUUUGACCAAAGACAUGAUUCGGAGCUGAUGCAUAUAAUGCUAUAAGUUUGGGGUGCCGCACUUGUGAAAGUGUUCGGACUUUUCACACCGUAUUGUGGGGUACGUAAGCCCCUGGUGUAUUGGCCGUACCAAAGUGUACGGUUGCAAGGCAUCAUUAAUGAACAUAUAUAUAUAUAUAUAUAUAUAUAUAUAACAAGAGUGCAAUAAUAGUCGUAAUGUCAUGCAUUGUUUAUUCAAAAAAUUACGUUAAAGUAGGGUGAUACAGAUAGUGUGAUAAGCAAAGAGUAGGACUAUGUCCCUUCCCAAGGCAAGCUAAGGAAUGAUAUUAAAUUGAAUAUUUCGCUCGUUACAGUAAUCCACCUAGGAAUUCCGUGGUGUGACGUAGCUAUCUGCCUCCUUGGUUGCUGCAUCGUGUGUUCGGCAAUAGUGCUGCCGGACAGUGUUUCCAGAGGUUAAUGUCCUGAAAAAAAGAGAAAAAUAACCAAACGGGAAGCCCCUAGUGCGGUUUAAGCCGCGUCUUGGGGCGUGCUGCAGUUGUGCCACCCUCCCCACCUGUGCCCAUGGUAUUUUUAAUGCGUAAUUAUGUACGCGUGGCAUGAGUUUCGUCGUUGGGCUGGGAUUGGGGUGGCCGCCUUAUUGCUACGCGAGCUCAGAUCGCGCAAGGCGGUCUAUUUGCCGAUUGCUCCGAGCGCGCUUGAAGGUGUCCGGGCUUUGAAGCGCCGGACUGGUUGAUUGCCUUGAGAGGCUGCUUUGCGCUUCUGCUGCGAGGGCCGCGGUGUGCUCCUCUGUUCGGAGAGAGCACUCUGUGUUUCCAUUGACUGUAAUAACUCCGCGAGGUCCUGACAUCUUGAGCUUGAGGUAUGCAUAGUGCGGUACCGCAUUGAAUCUAGCAAAUGCGGUUCGCUCGAGCAGCGCGUGGUAACCACUGCGGAAUGGGACUAUAUCGAAGAUUAGCUCUUCGCUUCGGAAGUUAUCCGGGGAUCCGAAGACCACUUCCAGUGUAAUUGAGCCUGUGCAAUGGGCCUCUACACCUGGAAUGAGGCCUUUAAAGGUCGUUUUUGUGGGUUUGAUCCUUGAGGGGUCUAUACCCAUUUUGCGCACUAUAUCCUGAUAAAGUAGGUUCAGGCUGCUGCCGCCAUCCAUAAGGACUCGAGUGAGGUGAAAUCCGUCAAUGAUUGGGUCUAGGACUAGUGCGGAAAAUCUACCAUGAUGGAUACUAGUGGGGUGGUCCCUUCGAUCGAAGGUGAUCGGAUAGGAGGACCAAGGGUUGAACUUUGGGGUGACUGGCUCGAACGCAUAUACGUCCAUGAGCGCACGCUUCCGCUCCCUCUUAGGGAUGUGGGUUGCGUAUAUCAUGUUCACCGUCUGCAGUUGCGGGGGAAACCUCUUCUGUCCUUCGAUGUGCGGCUGCCGGGGCUCCUCCUCGUCAUCGCUAUGCGGCCCCUUGUCCUUCUUUUCGGCAAUUAACUUGCGGGCCUGCUUGAACACCCAACAAUCCCUGUUGGUGUGAUUGGCUGGCUUGUCUAGGGUGCCGUGUAUUUGACACGAGCGAUCGAGUAUACGUUCCAAGCUGGAUGGACCUGGCGUACUUUGUUUGAAUGGCUUUUUCCGCUGACCGGGUUUAGAGCCUUUGAAUCCGGCAUUGACUGCCGUAUCCUCGGUAUUUUCGCUGUUAAUGCGGCGGUUAUGUUUGUUGUGACAUGACCUGCUAUUGCCAUCCUUGGUAUCGGAGGUACCAUGGUUCUUUGAUAUGUUAUUACUACGGGCCAGCCAGCUGUCUUCUCCCGCACAAAAGCGGGUCAUGAGCGUCGUGAGAGCUGCCAUAGAUUUCGGCUUUUCCUGACCAAGGUGCCAGGCUAGCCACUCGUCUCGGAUGUUGUGUCUGAAAGCCGCUAAGGCCUCUGCAUCCGGACAGUCGACGAUUUGAUUUUUCUUUGUGAGGAACCAAGUCCAGAAUUGCCUAGCCGACUCUUCUGGCUGCUGAAUUAUGUGGCUCAAGUCAUCGGCGUCUAGUGGUCGCACAUAAGUGCCCUGAAAGUUGUUGAGGAAUGCGGCUUCCAGAUCUUCCCAACAGCUAAUGGAGUCCGCUGGCAAGCUGUUAAGCCAAUGCCGCGCUGGUCCUUUGAGCUUUAGUGGAAGAUAUUUGAUGGCGUGUAAGUCAUCACCGUGGGCCAUGUGGAUGUGGAGGAGGAAAUCCUCGAUCGAUACUGCAGGAUCUGUUGUGCCGUCGUAUGAUUCAAUAUUUACAGGUUUGAAACCUUCUGGGAAUUGAUGAUCCAUUACUUCGUCUCUGAAGCAUAAGGGGUGUGCGGCGCCUCUGUAGUGGGCUAUAUCGCGACGCAGCUCGAAUGGGUCUUGCCCGCUGUGUUCGGCCCGGCCGGAUUUGCUUUUACUGUAUCCGGCGUGACAUUUAUCGUCUCGCAGAGUUGUGCGCCCUCGUGAUCCGUAGAUCGAUCUUGCAUGCUUUGCUUUGUCCUCCAAUAUAUCUCGCAGGUCUGGCGUAUCUCCCCAUGCCUUUUUAUUUGAAUGGCGUCGGGGUGGAGGCUGAGUUUUUGGCUGGACUGCCUCUCUAUCGCGGCCACGAGGUGGCCGAUCCGGGCAGUAACCUGCACUUUGGGUAAUUCUUGGAGGGGUGCUUGAGUUUAUAUUCCUCGGCCGCGAGGACUUCAGUCCAUCUGUUAGUUAAGAGAUCUUGAUCAGCUUGAAGCUGCUGCUGCUUUUUCUUUAGGCUAUUUUCCGUGGCCAUAAGCCGGUGCUUGAAGCGCUCUUGUUCGAUGGGAUCCUCUGGUACAUCGAAUUCAUCAUCGCCGAGGCUUGCCUCGUCUUCGGAGGCGGGCGUGUAAUUGUCAUCCUCCUCCUCUCCGUCUGCCGCUCUUUCAGGAGGGUUGGCUCCUCCAUCCUCCUGCUCUAAAUCUUGCUGGAGGGGAUUAUUGUUGUCUUCGGCACUAUCCGGAGUGUUAUUAUCUCCUGUGCCGGUAUCACCACUUUUGCUUUGGCGGGACUUAGAGCGGCGCCGCUGACAUCGGCGCUUGGGUUGCUUCUUGGAGAGGUCAUCCUCCGUUAUCUCGUCGCCAUUGCCUUCUUUGGGUGUAUCCACCAUGUAUAUGUCGUAUGAUGAUGUGGCUUUCGAGUGCCCUAUGGGCGCUGGUUCAUGUUCAUCUCCUACAUCGUCGUCCAUACCAUCGAUGUCUUCGGAGUCGAAGUCGAGCAUGUCGGUUAAAUUAUCGACAGUGGCUACGAAGUGGGUGGUGGGUGGGCAUCGAAUUUCUUCGUCGUCCGCCUCCCAAUCCUGUUGGCCAUAGUCCGGCCAGGGCUCUCCUGACAAAGAGAGAGACUUUAGUGAAUUCAGAAUGUCACCGAAGGACGAGUGCUGCAAGAUAUCAGCGGCGGCGAAUUCCAUGAUCGGCGCCCAGUCGGAUUCAAUUGGCAGGGGCGCGGACGGUUCGGAGUCCGGAAAAGAGUCCGGCACCUUGGAGUCACGGGCUUUGCAGAGGAUUAGGCUGGUGUUCAACUCGAUCACCGUUGAGACUGCAGCCCCUGAGGCGGUGUCUAGCCACCCGUCCUCGACUGGCGCAGUUGGCUCCGAGCUAAGGGUCAGAGCUGAUGCGGGCGCGGCCUCUGGGGUACUGUCCGGUGGUAGAGCUAGGUCAUACCCAUCGUGACAGUGCAGCGCGCCCGGCUGUGGCUUGAAUCCGUCGAAGAUCAAGUCUCCGAGGAUGUCGGCCGUGUAGUUCAAACUUCCAAAUCUGACCUGAUGGCCAGGGGUGUAGCUUUCAAUCUGCUCCAGAUGGCCAAGCGAAUUAGCCCGUAGUGCAAAGCCGCCGAACACUGGACCGCAUCGUUGUUCAUGAUCGGAGGAGCCAUCGGGCCUAAAGGUGACGACACCGAGGAAAUCUCAAUGGAAGCACCAAUGUCGGUGUCAAAUCCGGCGGAUCUCGGGUAGGGGGUCCCGAACUGUGCGUCUAGGCCGGAUGGUAACAGGAGGCAGGGGACACAAUGUUUUACCCAGGUUCGGGCCCUCUUGAUGGACGUAAAACCCUAUGUCCUUCUUGAUUAAUAUUGAUGAUAUGUGUAGUACAAGAGUAGAUCUACCACGAGAUCAGAGAGGCUAAACCCUAGAAGCUAGCCUAUGGUAUGAUUGUAUACGUCCUACGGACUAAAACCCUCCAGUUUAUAUAAACACCGGAGAGGGUUAGAGUUACACAAGGUCGGUUGCAAAGGAGGAGAUAUCCAUAUCCGUAUUGCCUAGCUUGCCUUCCACGCCAAGUAGAGUCCCAUCCGGACACGGGACGGAGUCUUCAAUCUUGUAUCUUUAUAGUCCAACAGUCCGGCUGUCCGGAGACCCCCUAAUCCAGGACUCCCUCACCCCCACUCCCUAUCGAACCCUAGCCCAAUCGCCCCACCUCCCCCACACCCCCUCGCCAGCCUCCCCACCUCUUGAUCCCAUCUGGAUCGGGGAGGGGAUCACCCCCAUCGACCCCGUCGCCGUCGCCGGAUCGCCCGUCAGCGUCGCCAGGCCUCCUCCCCGCCGCCCGUCUCCGGCUCGCCUCCCCUCUCGCUCCUCUUUCCCGACCCGAUCAGGAUCGUGAACGAGCAAUGAGCGCGACGCCCCCCCUUCAUCGGCGCCAUCACCGUGCGCCACCACCACCGCCUGAAGACCUCGCCGUCGCUGACCUUGUGUCGUCUCCUGGUAUCCCUUCCCGACUCGCGUCCUCAAGCCAGGCCGACCCCCUUCUCGGCAAUGCUGUGAGACGCCCCCCGUUUCCCUCCUCUUUCCACCGUGUUCACCGCGCCGCCUGACGAAGCUACGUACCUAGGGUAGGGGCAUGGACCUGUCCUAAGAGCCCUACCCAAGGACAUCCCUGGAAGAAGUCACCUUUCAAUCGACUUGAAGGUACCCACUCGACGGGUUUAAGACACUCGACCAAGAAGCUACCACUCGACAUGAAGCCAAUCACUCGACUGCCAGGAGAUCUAAAGUCAUUCCACGGGCAAACGGUCGGCUAUUAAGUAGUCUUUAUGGUCAUUAUAGCACUUUAUUACCAGCAUUACCAGUAACGCCCCGCCUUAAUGUACAUUGAACCCUUGGUAACGUAGGCUGGCCGGGGUCCUGGCGCGCUCUAUAUAAGUCACCCCCUCCUCCGAGACAAGGGUUCGCACCUCUAUUGUUCACAUGCCUAUAAUCCAAUCGACCGCCUCCGGGCACUGAGACGUAGGGCUGUUACUUCCUCCGCGAAGGGCCUGAACUCGUACACCUUGGUGUGUUUACAACUUCCCAAUAGCUGAGAUCUAGCCUCUCCAUACACACCCCCCUACAUCACUGUCAGAGUUAGAACCACAAUAGUUGGCGCCCACCGCGGGGCCAGAAUCUUAGCGCUUACUUGGAGAAGUUGCGAUUCUUCUGAUCCCUUUGAUCAUGGUUUCAUGCGGAGUUUUGGUGGAGGGGCGCGAGAUCCGUCUCGGCGCGCUCACAUUCAUCGCCGACGACUCCGCUUGGUUUCAGGAGGCUCCACUCGACAUCGACGUGCUCCCCGUCCGUGGUGCGACGCACUUCCGCGCAUGCGUUCGUGGCGUCCUCCUGCGGCAGCCGUCGACCCAGUAUCGGUCGGCCCUCGUGUCGUCUCCCCGCUCUGUCUCCCUCCGACGCAAGCGCUUUGGUAGGUCGAGACUUUAGAGGUGGGUGAGGCAUGCCGUGGCUCGCCAGUCGGCCGCCCCACAAGUCGCGGCAAUCGAGCCCGACAAAUCCCUCUGCAGCCUGUUCGACUGGCUCCGCGGAGACUUCAUCCGAGUGUGACAGCAGAGACCCAGCGGCUGAGGUUCUGGCGGUCGAUGGGACACACUGUCCUCCCGGUUUCCCUCGCGCUAAUGGAGGCGCGGGUGGGGGCGACCCGUCGCAUCCCCACGAUGAGUAUCUCCCCGAAUGUCUCACGGCAUCGCAGCGAGAGGAACUUCACCGCCGGAACAUAGACGCACUCCACACUCCUAUCGUCGGAGAAACCCCCGAGGCCCGGGCCUUGGAGGACGCGCGCUUGGCUAACUUGGCUGAGCGCACUCGACUGGAGAAUCUCCAGCUAAUACUCGAUGAGCAAGCGCGCCAGUGAGCUCCCGAGUCCAGUCGACGUCAGCUCUUUCCGCCGAUGCAGGUAUAUUGAACCCUAGUUCAGAAUUUGGCCGCCGCGGCCCGUAUAGCAGAGUCAAUUCAGCCCUCCCAGUCAGAGGCUGGCAGGGGCUUGUUGCAGAUCAGAGCAUUGCUCCGGGCGGCGGGGAACCAGAAUUCCGCUGUUUCUCAGUCGCAGAAUAGGAUCCACAGUCGAUCCGUUGCAACAGAUACAGUCCAGUCGGCUCACAGCCCGAGAUCGCCCCCGAGGCGUGAGGGACAUGGAGACCGGCACGAUCAGUACAGAAGAAAUGAGCAGUAUGAUCACCGAUUCGAUCGUGAGGAUCGACGUCGAGUGCCAACCCCUCCCCCGAGGAGUGGGUCAUAUGCGCCUCGAUAGCGAGAUGACAGGCGCCCUCAUAGUGUUGGGCAGAGGAUUCCAGUCGACCCCAGGGACCCAGGCUUUGAUGCGAGAUCCAUCCUUGAUCAAGGUCUGGUUGACAGGAACGGGGCUCACCGAGAAUGCCAGGACAGAGAUGCGCCUGCCAGCAGCAGAGUGCGUGUUUCAGGGACAGAGUGUUUCAGUCGAGCCAUCAGAGCCACAGUGAUUCCUCCCAACUUCAGGUUGGCGACUGGAGUCAGCUAGUUCACCGGUGAGUCUAAGCCUGACACUUGGCUCGAAGAUUACCGAGUGGCUGUACAGAUUGGCAGUGGCAAUGAUGAGGUGGACAUGAAGCAUUUGCCUCUCAUGUUAGAGGGCUCAGCCAGAGCAUGGCUAAAUCAGUUAGUGCCCAGCAGCAUUUACACUUGGGAGGACCUCUCCCGAGUGUUUGUCACAACCUUUGAGGGAACAUGCAAGCGACCUGCAGGCCUUACAGAGUUGCGGUCUUGCACGCAGAAACCGAAUGAAACGCUGAGGGAUUACAUCCAGAGGUGGAUCACAUUGCAUCACACAGUUGAGAAUGUUCCAGAUCAUCAAGCAGUUUGUGCCUUCAAAGAAGGCGUUAAGUACAGAGAAUUGAAUCUGAAGUUCGGUCGAACUGGAGAGAUGUCUCUGAAUCGGAUGAUGGAGAUUGCCACCAAAUACGCUAAUGGUGAAGACGAAGAUCGCCUCCGGAGUGGCAAGCGCAAGGCAGUCGCCCAAGAAACCGGAGGAAACUCCAGUCAGAAACAGAAGCGGAAGGCUGAGCCAGCCGCCCCUGGGGAGGCCCUGGCCGUAACCCAGGGAAAUUUCAAGGGAAAACCCAAGGGCCCCUGGAAGCCCAAGAAAGUCAAGGAUCAAGAUGGAAAUGAUGUUUUGGAUCUGCCAUGUCACUCCACACCAAGAAAGAUGAAGAGGGUAAUUUUAUUUACCCAAAGCAUACCACUCGACAGUGCCAGCUCCUGAUCCAGCAGUUUCAGGGCAAGCAACCCAAAGAUAAGGAAAAAGAGCCAGACAGAGUUGAGGACAAGGAUGAUAGUGACGAUGGAUACCCCCAAGUCAAUUCCACCCUGAUGAUUUUUGCUGAUGUCGAAAGCAAAAGUCGACUGAAAGUCAUUAAUCGUGAAGUGAAUAUGGUUGCUCCGGCAACACCUAGUUAUCUGAAGUGGUCUCAGGCUGCCAUAACAUUCGACCAGUCUGAUCACCCUACGCACAUUGCCACCCCUGGGAGGCAAGCUUUGGUGGUCGACCCAGUUGUCGAAGGCACUCGACUGACCAAAGUCCUGAUGGAUGGUGGCAGUGGCCUGAACAUACUGUAUGCUAAAACAUUGAAAGGGAUGGGCAUUCCGAUGUCCGGGCUCAGUACCAGCAACAUGAGCUUCCACGGAGUCAUUCCCGGGAAGUAAGCCGAAUCACUCGGCCAGAUUGCUCUUGAUGUGGUUUUCGGUGAUUCAAAGACUUACCGCAAGGAAAAGUUGACAUUCGAGGUUGUGGACUUCCAAAGUGCUUAUCAUGCCAUUUUGGGCAGACCAGCUUAUGCACGCUUCAUGGCCUGACCAUGUUAUGUGUAUCUCAAAUUGAAGAUGCCUGGUCCUAAAGGUGUGAUCACUGUUACAGGCAAUCGGAAGAAGGCAGAAGAGUGUUUUCAGAAAGGCUCAAAGAUUGCUGACGCUCAGAUGGCAGUGGUUGAGCUGCAAGAGUAUCAGAAGACUGCAGAUCCGAGUGAGUUGCUACGAGCUAAGAAGCCCACUUCGGAGUCAGCUUUUCAGUAGUCUGGUGAAAUGAAGGCAGUUCACAUUCACCCGACCAACCCCGAGGCUGCCCCGACUCACAUCUCAAAGACGCUCGACUCCAAAUAGGAAGAAGUGCUCAUCCAGUUCCUCCGUGAGAACUGGGACAUCUUCGCAUGGAAGCCUUCUGACAUGCCUGGAAUAACCAGGGGGCUGGCUGAGCACCGUCUACGAGUCGACCCAAAGUUCAAGCCUAUGAAAGAACAUCUUCGACGGUCCGCCGUCCAAAAGAGGAAAGCUAUUGGCGAGGAGGUGGCUCGGCUCUUAGCAGCAGAGUUCAUCCGAGAGAUGUACCACUCUGAGUGGCUCGCCAAUGUUGUCAUGGUCCCCAAGAAGGACAAGUCGCUUCGCAUAUGCAUCGACUUUAAACAUAUCAAUCGGGCCUGCCCGAAAGAUCAUUUUCCUCUCCCUCGCAUCGACCAAAUAGUCGACUUGACCGCGGGGUGUGAGCGAUUGUCUUUUCUAGACGGCUAUUCCGGGUACCAUCAGAUCCGUCUGUAUGGACCCGAUGAGAUCAAAACAGCUUUCAUCACUCCAUUCGGGUGCUUCCGUUAUGUCACCAUGCCCUUCGGCCUCAAGAACGCUGGAGCCACGUUCAUGAGGAUGAUUCAGAAGUGUUUGCUCACUCAAAUCAGUCGGAACGUGGAAGCAUACAUGGAUGAUAUUGUGGUCAAGUCGCGGAAAGGUUCCGACCUGCUGACUGACCUUGCUGCAACCUUUGCCAACCUUAGGAGGUAUGAUAUCAAGCUUAAUCCAUCAAACUGCACAUUCGGAGUUCCGGGUGGAAAGUUACUCGGUUUUCUCGUUUCCGAAUGAGGAAUCAACGCCAAUCCCGAGAAAGUUGGCACCAUACUCCGGAUGAAGCGCCCUGUGCGUGUGCACGAUGUCCAGAAGCUUAUGGGUUGCUUGGCCGCUCUAAGUCGAUUCAUUUCUCGUCUCAGUGAAAAGGCAUUGCCUCUUUACCGACUGAUGAAGAAGUCUGACAAGUUCGAGUGGACUCCAGAAGCUGAUGCAGCGUUUGCAGACCUCAAAGCUCUGCUCUCCACCCAGCCGGUGCUUGCUGCCCCAAUCAGUAAAGAGCCUUUGCUGCUUUACAUUGCAGCCACAGGACAAGUUGUCAGUACAGUACUUAUGGUCGAGCGGGAAGAUGAAGGAUAGGCCUUCAGAGUUCAACGCCCAGUAUAUUAUGUGUCUGAAGUUUUGACACCUUCAAAACAAAGAUAUCCUCAUUAUCAGAAGCUUGUAUACGGGAUUUAUAUGACCACGAAGAAGGUUGCACAUUACUUCUCUGACCACUCCAUUACAGUCGUCAGCGACGCCCCACUGUCAGAGAUUCUGCAUAACAGAGAUGCAACUGGUCGAGUGGCGAAGUGGGCGAUUGAACUCCUUCCCCUAGAUAUCAAGUUUGAAGCAAAUAAGGCUAUCAAGUCCCAAGCAAUUGCAGAUUUCAUCACCGAGUGGAUCGAACAGCAGCUUCCGACUCAAGUUCACCCGGAGCACUGGACCAUGUUCUUCGAUGGAUCUAAGAUGCUGAAUGGUUCCGGUGCUGGGGUAGUAUUGGUCUCCCCCCGAGGAGAUAAGCUCAGAUAUGUUCUCCAGAUUCACUUUGAUUCCUCCAAUAAUGAAGCAGAAUAUGAAGCACUUUUGUAUGGGUUGCGCAUGGCCAUUUCACUUGGCGUCCGUCGCCUCAUGGUCUAUGGCGACUCAGAUUUGGUGGUUAAUCAGGCGAUGAAGGAGUGAGACGUCAGAAGUCCGGCAAUGACUGGUUAUUGCAAUGUAGUGAGAAAGCUAGAAAAGAAAUUCGAGGGGUUAGAGCUUCAUCACAUCCCCCGACUGAAAAAUCAGGUAGCUGACGAUUUGGCAAAGAUAGGCCCCAAGAGAGAAGCCAUUCCCAGCAACGUGUUCCUGGAACACAUUCAUUCGCCAUCAGUCCAAGAAGAUCCUUUUACAGAAGAAGCCCCGCAGCCGAAAAGUGCCACAGAUCCGACUGAAGUCGAAGUCCCUGCUGUGGUCGACCUAAUCAUGGAAGUCUUCGCAAUCACUCCCGACUGGACGAUACCGUACAUCGCGUAUAUCCUAAGGAAAGAACUCCCGGAGGACGAGGAAGAGGCUCGACAGAUCGUCCGCCGAUCCAAAGCCUUCACAGUCACAAGGGGACAGUUGUAUAGAGAAAGCGCGACUGGGAUCGGUCAGAAGUGCAUAACACUAGAAGAGGUUCAGAUAAUCCUUGACGACAUCCACUCGCGGACCUGUGGUCACCAUGCGUCUUCUCGGACCAUUGUGGCUAAAGCAUACCGAGCGGGAUUUUACUGGCCAAGAGCAAAUGAGAUGGCAAAAGAGAUAGUCGACCAGUGUGGAGGGUGCUAGUUCUACUCCAACAUGUCACACAAGCCUGCGUCAGCCCUGAAGACCAUUCCACUCGUCUGGCCCUUUGCUGUCUGGGGACUGGACAUGGUUGGUCCACUAAGAACAGGCAGGAGCGGUUUCACUCAUGUGCUUGUGGUAGUCGACAAGUUUACCAAAUGGAUUGAGGCUAAGCGCAUCAAGAAUCUUGAUGCUUGCACUACUAUCAGUUUCGUCAGAGGGCUAACAUUCAGAUAUGGAGUCCCGCAUAGCAUCAUCACUGACAAUGGGUCAAACUUUGAUUCGGACAAGUUCAGAGCUUUUUGCGCCUCUCAAGGCACACGAGUCGACUACGCAUCGGUCGCCCAUCCCCAGUCGAAUGGACAAGCAGAGAGAGCAAAUGGUUUGAUUCUCAAAGGACUAAAGCCUCGACUGAUGCGCGAUCUCAAGCACGCGGCAGGUGCUUAGGUCGACGAGCUUCCGUCAGUUCUGUGGGGAUUGAGGACCACCCCGAACCGGUCGACUGGAGGAACUCCAUUCUUUCUGGUUUAUGGAGCCGAGGCAGUUCUGCCGAGUGAUCUUCUUCACAACGCACCCCGAGUCGAACUUUAUACCGAAGAUGAAGCAGAACAAGCCCGGCAAGACGCAGUCGACCUACUAGAAGAAGAGAGGGAGAUGGCCAUGAUCAGAUCGACCAUUUAUCAGCAAGACUUGCGUCGAUUCCACGCUAGGAAUGUGAAGAGUCGAGCCUUCCAAGAAGGAGAUUUGGUCCUCCUAGUGGAUCAACAGAAACCACACAAGCUUGCUCCUACUUGGGAAGGCCCCUUCAUCGUCACCAGAGUCCUCCACAAUGGAGCGUAUCACCUCUACAAUGUUGAUCGCCAGAUCGAUGAGCCGCGAGCUUGGAAUGCGGAACUGCUCCGCCCCUUUUACACUUGAGUUCUCCCUUGGACGAGAUGUAAUAAGAAAAAAUUUCUGCAGUUCAUUUUUAUCAAAGGCAAGAGUGUUCCAAUAAUUGCUGUCACUUUUGUUUGCAUACGAAAUCCCCCAGUGGGUGACUUAGCUGCGAAUCCGUUUCGCCUAAGUUUGAAAAAUCCUACCGAGUGGAGAGCCAGAUUCCCACUCGGGGGCUUAGCUCCAGCCCAGUGCUUGCCUAAGUGUUCAAAAAUCCUACCAAGUGAGAGCAAUCCUCCCACUUGGGGGCUUAGCUGCAGUCCAGUACUCGCCUAAGUUCUCCCACUUAGAGACUUAGCUGCAGUCAGGCACUCGCCUAAGUUUGAAAAAAUCCUACCGAGUGGAGAGCAAUCCUCCCACUCGAGGGCUUAGCUGCAGUCCAGUACUCGCCUAAGUUCUCCCACUUAGAGACUUAGCUACAGUCAGGCACUCGCCUAAGUUUGAAAAAAUCCUACCGAGUGGAGAGCAACCCUCCGACUCGGGGGCUUAGCUGCAGUCCAGUACUCACCAAAGUUCUCCCACUUAGAGACUUAGCUANNNNNNNNNNNNNNNNNNNNNNNNNNNNNNNNNNNNNNNNNNNNNNNNNNNNNNNNNNNNNNNNNNNNNNNNNNNNNNNNNNNNNNNNNNNNNNNNNNNNNNNNNNNNNNNNNNNNNNNNNNNNNNNNNNNNNNNNNNNNNNNNNNNNNNNNNNNNNNNNNNNNNNNNNNNNNNNNNNNNNNNNNNNNNNNNNNNNNNNNNNNNNNNNNNNNNCUCUCCUUCCGAGCUACGCCACAAGUACAACAUGCGCUCUGCAAGGAGGACGAGGUGCAGGUCGACUGCUACCCUCUCCUUCCGAGCUACGCCACCAAUUCAAAAUCCUACUGAGUGGAGAGCAAACCUCCCACUCGGGGGCUUAGCUGCAGCCCAGUGCUCGCCUAAGUAUUUGAAAUCCUACCGAGUGGAGAGCAAACCUCCCACUCAGGGGCUUAGCUGCAGCNNNNNNNNNNNNNNNNNNNNNNNNNNNNNNNNNNNNNNNNNNNNNNNNNNNNNNNNNNNNNNNNNNNNNNNNNNNNNNNNAAAUCCUACCGAGUGGAGAGCAAACCUCCCACUCGGGGGCUUAGCUACAGCCCAGUGCUCGCCUAAGUAUUUAAAAAUCCUACCGAGUGGAGAGGAAACCUCCCACUCGGGGGCUUAGCUGCAGCCCAGUGCUCGCCUAUGUGUUUAGAAAUCCUACCGAGUGGAGAGCAAACCUCCCACUCGGGGGCUUAGCUGCAGCCCAGUGCUCGCCUAAGUGUUUAGAAAUCCUACCGAGUGGAGAGCAAACCUCCCACUCGGGGGCUUAGCUGCAGCCCAGUGCUCGCCUAAGUGUUUAGAAAUCCUACCGAGUGGAGAGCAAACCUCCCACUCGGGGGCUUAGCUGCAGCCCAGUGGUCGCCUAAGUGUUUAAAAAUCCUACCGAGUGGAGAGCCAGACUCCCACUCGGGGGCUUAGCUGCAGCCUAGCGCUCGCCUAAGUGUUUAAAAAUCCUACCGAGUGAGAGCAAACCCCUCACUCGGAGGGCUUAGCUGCAGCCCGGUGCUCACCUAAGUACAGGACACAACCCAAUCCGCAAGAAGUUACGCCACAAAUACAAGGUUAUUCCGAGUGAAGAUCAAGUUGCACUCGACAGAUCAAACCAUGAAGAUAUCCAACGAGAAAUCAAGUUCGGAUAAAGCCUAAAGGUCCCAGACCUCAGAUCAAAGUACUCGAGCCCUCGGCUCGGCAGAGUUUAACGGUUACAAAUCCACUCAGCAUUCCGAGGCAAAUUUAAAGUGAAGCACGACGAACUCGUCCAAGUCGAUCCCGUCUGCAAUACGAGUGGCAGCAGCGAUGAAAGUCUCCAUGAAGUCUUGAAAGCUGUGCUUCCUGGUAUUGGCAACUUGGAUGGCGGCCGGCUUUUCUUCUCGCGCCUCCUUGCAAUGGACGCGGACCAGAGACAGAGCGACAUCAGCACCACAUCUAGCAGAAGAUUUCUUCCAUUCCGCCACUCAACCCGGGACUUCAUUCUGUCGAGCCAUCAGAGACUCGAGGUCGUUCUGAAGCAUCAUCCCAGGCCAGAGUGAUGUGUCAAUCCGCGACAUCGCAACCUUCAGUCGAGCAAGAUAGUCAACAACACUGGUAACACGAGACUCCAGUCGGAGCACGUUCAUAGCAGCUUCAUCCUUCACGAGAGAAUUGGCGGGGUCCAAGCCUGGCUCCACUCGACUGGUUUCCUCUUCGAAGUUCUGGCAGAAUUCUGCAAACACGAUUCAAGAGUCAGACAUUGGCUCUACACAGGCUUGGCAACUGCAAGACAGUCGGGGCAGAGUAAUUACCUUCGAGCAUGACGAACAGCUUCUUGGUGAGUCCACCGAGAUAAGCCUCCAGAUCAUUUACCUUCCCCGCCAGCUUACCCGCCUGGUCGUGUAGAACCAUCUUUUCAUUCUUCAGUCGGCUGACCUCUUGAUUAGCUGUCUCGAGAGCAGUUUUCAGCCUCGAGUUCUCCUGUUCAAGAGUUCCGACCGAAGCCAUUUUCUCUUCUCCAAGCUUCGUUCUGCUCAAGGCCUCCUUCUGUGAUUCUGCAAGAUCUUGAUCCUUCUUCUUCAGAGCUUCUUCCAGUUUAUCUGCGGCACGUCGAGUGAAAUCAACAUCAAGAAUGGACAAGCAAGAAAAAUCACUCGUCAAGAAUGGAGAACCUCACCAGCCAUACCUUUUGCUUCUUCUUGCGCCUUCCUCAAAUUCUCUUGAGCAAGCUUCAAGUUAAGGUUGAGCUGGAUCUGCUUAUUCUCCAACUCAGUAUAGCGAGCUACAAGUUCACAGGAUUUCUGCAAAAAGAAAAAUCAGUGGACAGACGUCCAAGAUAAGUUGCUUCCCAAUAACUAAAAGACAACGAUGGCGUUUCUAAGACUAUAGCCGAAUCUAAAACAUUCGACAGUAGUCUCGGGGACUACACCCAGUGGGUGCACUCUGCGUGCCCCCAUUGUAAAAAAAGUCGACUGCCCGCAGUCGACCGGAUACAGUUCCAUUCGACAUGGCCUGACCAGACCGAAUGAAGAAAUACAGCUACAACAACACAAUAUAAAGACUACAGUCGACUGCCAGCAGUCCACCAUAGUCUCGGGGACUACACCCAGUGGGUGCACUUAGCGUUCCCCCACUCGUCCAAGAAUUGGCAGACACACCCAGUGGGUGUACAGAUAUAAAGAUCUUCAAAAAAAAAGAUUCUUCAAACAGCAUAUCGUAACAGACCAAGUGUUGAGUCGACUGACCUGGACGUUACUCUGAAGAGCCGAACUCGCGUCAUAAGCCGCUUGGCUGGCCUCCCAAGCCGCUUUCACUUGUUCCAUCAUAAUCCCCGCCUGGCGUAUGGCCUCUUUUGCAGCAGCUGCUUGGUCCUCAGGGACGGGGUACGUGGCAAAAAGCGAAGGCGGAUCCGCAGUCGACGUCAAGGGCCGCACCCUCGUCAGAGGAAUGGCGAAAGUCACAGAAGCCCGAGUGGUUUCACCACCGUCUCGGGCUACGGCCUCAGGCGCCGGAGUGGAUUGUGGGGUCUCGCCAGCCGACGCUCCCCUGUUCCUUCUCACUCUCAGCGGCACGUCAUCGUCGUCAUCCGGAAGGUUGAUAACAUGAUAAGGAGCUACAAGAAAAAAUUCAAUCGACCAGAGUUGCAAUAAGUGUCCAGUCGACUGAAGGCAGAACAUCAGUAAUCAUACCAGGGUGGAGGUAACAGCAUCCUCCAUCUCUUGGUCGUCGUCCUUGGCAGAGACCUCCGAAGUAGGAGCACUGCAAAUCUCGAAAGUCAGUCAGUUGGCUCAAUGAAUCGACCAAGGAUCUGUCCACGGUCGACAAAGGAAAACAAGUUUUGUUAUUACCCAGAAAUGGUGGGGACAGCCAUCUUCAUCUUGGGCAGAGCCUUGGGCGGCUUGGACGGCGUCGCGCGUGGGUGCUUGGGAGCCUUUCCAGUCAGCGUAGGAGAAGAGGUUCGAGGGCGUUUCGACAACUGCCCAACAGGAGCAGUCGCCUACCACGUUCCCGCGCUGGAUCAUGUGUGAGCUUGGAUCGCCUCUCCCGGUGGGGGGGGGGGGGGGGUCAACCUCCUCCUCCUCCUCUUCGCUGGAGUUGACGUCGUCGUCUCCCUCUCCUUCGCCAUCGGACUCCCACUCGCCUUGAUCGUCUCCACUCUCACAUCCGCUCGCCUCCCCUUCCUCAGUUGGCUCCUGUGCCCCGUUGGGUGUCGAGUACAUCUCAGUAGUCGCCUGGAAAACAACAGACAAGACAAAAGUUAGUCGACCAAUUCAAAGAAGACCAAUGAAGAAAACAAGAUUUCAAUCGGGAGCGUAAAGUCAGACCUGGUCCACUUCGUAUUGUUGUCGAGUGGAGAAACCCUCCUGGCGCCUCGGGGGUUGUCUUUGUUUCCUGUGAUGCUCGUCAGCCACCCCUCCAACAUCUCAUCAGUGACCUCCUCCGGGUGGAUCCGAGUGGUGUCUUCGAGGCCCGAGUACAGCCACAUCGGGUGGCCGCGAGCCUGGAGCGGUUGGAUGCGCCUCCGAAGAAAGACCUCCAGCAAGUCCAUGCCAGUCACGCCAUCACGGACGAGCUGAACCACUCGACCAACCAGCACUUUGAAUUGGGUCUUUUCUUCUGGCGUCACUUUCAGAGAAGCAGGUUUUUGAGCUCGGUCGAGAGAGAAAUGGGGAAGCCCGGUCGACUGUCCUGGGGUCACCUGGUCUUUGCAGUAAAACCAGGUCGCCUGCCAACCACGGACCGACUCUGGGAAAAUGAUAGAUGGAAAACAACUCUUUCCCCUCGUCUGGAUCGCGAGGCCCCCGCACAGCUGGAUCACUUGCGUCCUUUCCUCACUCGACUUGGCCUUCUUGACCGAUUGGGAGCGGCAAGUAAAGAUGUGCUUAAAGAGCCCCCAAUGGGGGCGGCAACCCAGGAAACCCUCACACAAGGAAAUGAAGGUAGCAAGGUACACGAUAGAGUUGGGAGUGAAGUGGUGGAGCUGCGCUCCGAAGAAAUUUAGAAAACUCCGGAAAAAAGGAUGAGGAGGCAGAGAAAACCCUCGAUCGAUGUGGGUGGUGAGAAGGACACACUCACCAUCACGGGGUUGAGGCUCGACUUCUCCCCCCUGGAGACGCGCAGCCUCGUAAGGAAUGACUCCCCCCUCAACCAUAUCGUCGAGGUCUUCCUGCCGAAUCACCGACGGCAUCCAAUCGCCCUGGAUCCAGCCUCUGGGCAGAGCAGUCCUUGAGGAAGAUCCGCCCCAAGCGGACUUCUUCCCUUUCCCCUGCACCGACGCCUUCUUCGCGCGCUCCAGAGCAGACGUCUUGCCCUUCACCAUCGUCGCCGGCGAAUCUCAAACGGGUCUGCGGCGCUAGGGUGAGAGCGGAGGUGGCGGAGGACUUCGCGAAGGGAGAAAGAAGAGAAAGAAGAGAAAGGAGAGAGCACUGUUCGGGAACCCGAGCAGGCGGCUUAUAAGAGGCCGCUCCUGAGUGGCUGACUGGUAGGCCCAGGCUAUCCCGUCAAAUCCCGCAGUAGACGCGCGCGCAGCUCGUGGCGGAAAAGGUGGCACGGGAAUCGAGGAGCUUCUGCCUUAUCACAUCCGAUUACUGCGGCCGCGCCCGUCCCGCUCGCUCCCCGAUGUUCAAAUCCCGCGAAAUCCGCGGGCUGCGGAACAACUCAUCAAAUAGAAGAUCCCUCUCGUGCCGGCACUCGGUAUUUCACAAGUAAGGAAAUUCACUCGACGGGAGACCAAGAAUGGAUCAAGGCGACCGAAAGAAGUUGACAACGUCAUCCUUGGCGAUAGAUCUAGUACAAGACGUCCAUAUGACGCUAAAAACCAGUCGGAAGGACCCCCAACUCCUUCCCCACUCGAACCUCGAUCCAUUCGGGGGCUAAUGACGAAGCUACGUACCUAGGGUAGGGGGAUGGACCUGUCCUAAGAGCCCUACCCAAGGACAUCCCUGGAAGAAGUCACCUUUCAAUCGACUUGAAGGUACCCACUCGACGGGUUUAAGACACUCGACCAAGAAGCUACCACUCGACACGAAGCCAAUCACUCGACUGCCAGGAGAUCUAAAGUCAUUCCACGGGCAAACGGUCGGCUAUUAAGUAGUCUUUAUGGUCAUUAUAGCACUUUAUUACCAGCGUUACCAGUAACGCCCCGCCUUAAUGUACAUUGAACCCUUGGUAACGUAGGCUGGCCGGGGUCCUGGCGCGCUCUAUAUAAGCCACCCCCUCCUCCGAGACAAGGGUUCGCACCUCUGUUAUUCACACGCCUAUAAUCCAAUCGACCGCCUCCGGGCACCGAGACGUAGGGCUGUUACUUCCUCCGCGAAGGGCCUGAACUCGUACACCUUGUUGUGUUUACAACUUCCCAAUAGCUGAGAUCUAGCCUCUCCAUACACACCCCCAACAUCACUGUCAGAGUUAGAACCACGACACCGCCUGCCGUGCCCCUCGCCGCACGCCCACCACCGCGCCAGCCCCCACUCUGUGGACGACCCUAGCCGCGCCCGCGCCGUGAUCCCCUUUUCCGCCCUACCUUCCCGCACUCGCCGCGGUCCCGAUGCUCCCCCGCGCCCUCUUUCAGGGGCGCCGACUGCCCCUGUCCCAUUACUCGCCGCCGCGCCUCGCCACCGCUCUACUGCUACGUUACUACUGCGCUGCGGCCGCCGCCUCUUCCCGCUGCUCCGCUAGCGCCGAAGCUCCCGGCUGGCUCUGCCACUGGUCACGUUUAACUACCGGUCUAAAUGGCCUAACCUCCCGGCAAAUGAACCCCCAGUAACCCACUGACACCGGGAGCCACAUCCCCUAAUUAACCAUUAAUAAAUUAAAACUCUUAAAUUAACAUUAGUGUAUGACAUGUGCGUCCCCUGUUAAUUAAUAAUUUACAUUAGUGUAUGACAUGUGCGUACCCUGUUAAAUAAACUGAUUUAAUUAAAAUCUAUUAACUUCGAGUCUAUGACAUAUCACUACUUGGGAAAAUCCUAGCAGUAGCGUGGGUAUUUUUCCUAUCAGUUGCGCCGGAUACCGCUCUACUGAUAAGGCACUACAGCUAACAUGUAGCAGUAAUGCGUGUCAUCCAACGCUACUGCUGUACAUGGCUAGCAGUAGCGAGCUUUAGUGCAAAGCGCUGCUGCUAAUAUCUGCAGCGCUUUUCAGCAUGAAGUGAUACUGGUAAGGGACCUCUACUACUAACUUUAUUCCCCUCGCUACUGCUAGUUUUAUUAGUUUCUGUUUUUUUCUGCAUAUUUCUUUUGUAUUUGAACAGGCUUUAUACAAUAAUAUUUAGCGUAUCAUACACAUACAAAUGUAAUCAUAGCAUAUACAUACAAAUAGUCUCGUCAAAUCAUGUCAUCAUCAUAAUCAUCAUCCAUCACAAAGUGGUCUCUCGUCAUCAUCUCUAAAAUAGCGAUACAAGUCUCGAUUACUUGCAACUACAUUGUCAUCCGUCUAAACAAUGAUAUACGCGAGAAGAGCUAUCACUAUGAGUGAGAGCGGAACUAUGCAGUACAUGAGUUUGUAUCCCUCUCUCGCAUUAGCGUGAACCUAAACUAACUACUAGUUGUCGCUCGGAAACCAGAAACCGGUACACCUGGGCCUGACACUCCGUCCACUCAUCUUAUACUCCUGGCGUAGCACUUCUGUGCCAUCGAUGAUCUAUGCACCUGCAUCGUCACAUGAGUCGAUGAUAUGCAACAUAUAUAGUUGAGCAAUAGAAACAGACAGACUUGGCAAAAAUAGAAGCAACAUAUCAUAAGCAUAAAUAACAAAGUUCAUCAUACCCAAAAUGCCCUAACUAGAGUGAUCUUCGCUAGUCGAGGAGGACGGUUUAAUUACAUCACAAAUAAUGUUUCAUCUUGCAUAACUCAAAGUGCCAUCAUACAGAAAGUAUGAACUAAACGGACACAUUGUCAUAUGUCGACAAUCACUCCAACAUGUCGUGCCAUCGAUCCAAGUCAAGGAGAUAGUCCCCGAGCUUAGUGAAAGGCUUCAGGUUGAGACGCUGAGCGGCAACGCGUGUUCGGACGUCUUCCCUCGACAUUUUUCCUUCUUCAUAGAACAUCCCUGUUUUUUCGAUGACCUCCCUCAUGAUGAUUUGGGCAAGUUCGCACUGGAAGUGAUAGAACUCAUCUUGAAGUCGAUGAUCCUCGAUAUCUCCUAAGUUCUUUGCCCAUUGCAGAAUAUGGGCAUCGCCGAAUCUAGGUGUCAUGCAAAGGUUCUGGUGAUCCCGUAUGUACUCCAUCAUGUGGUGUAGGACAUAGAAUCCAUCAUUAAGAGAAUCACUCAGUUGCUGGAUACAGCAGAAGCCGGUCUUAUGGCCGAAGGCGGGCCUGCCGUCCCUUUUCUUCUUGUCCUUGACCUCUCCACCCCGUGCACCGUAGUAAAACAUAGCACCGUCGAGAACAUACUUGAUGUGGGUGUAAUCCUUUUUUUUAAUGUUCUUCGAUGAGUCCAAGUAAAGAGCGUGGGAGUAUCGGGGGUAGAGGAUGAUGAGGAUGGUGCACCCGCCGCUGCGCAAAAUAAGUACACCUCAAAUUAAUUAGCCUCCACCGUGCAAAUGAAUGAUUGAAAUCGUAGGAAGGAUAUCCGCGUGGAUGACUUACAGGGGAUGAUAAGGCACAAGAAUCACCUCCUUGUCCUUAUUGGCACGCAUGAAAUUGACGAUGUAUUCCUCGCGUAUUCACGGUGCUUUGCGUGGACUCACAAGAAGACCUCGUGCAUGAAGUACCGAUCAGUGACACAGAUAUGAGGUAUUUGCUCAACCCCGAUGAGGUAGUUCAUGUGCAAGGCAUAAAGGUGGACGAAUGUAAAAUCCAGCUUCUUUAAGUGAAACAUGUCGAAGAUGUAAUCCAAUCGAAGGAAGAACUUGUUCGAGGGGAAUGUGUCGAUGUACGACAAUUGCAGCGACACGUUAACCACGGAGAGUGGGUAUGCUGGAUUUUUUGAGGCAAUGAGGCCUUUCUCUAUCAGCAACACAUCAUCAUGAAGUCUCCUUAUAUCGCCAAAUCAGGCCCCUAGCGCUGCUUUAGGUAGGAUUGGUUAACCGGGGAUACGCCAUAUUGCCGCACCGAGGAUAUCUAUACGGUCUUGAACCCGAGCCUGCUGAGGUGGCUGGAUCAUAGAAGCACCUUUGUUUCCUUUCCUCGGUGUCUUCCUUGGCUUCUUUGCUACCGGAAAGUCGUCUAUAAUAUGUUCAGCCUCUGGAGGCGGCAAUUCAGGCACCAACUCAUGCGCUCAAACCCUGAGUAGGCGCCAGUAUUGAGGUAUUGUUGAAUGUCAUCGUCGUCCUCAUCUAUGGCGAUGUCACUAGCGACAAAUCGAGCCUCUUCCUCACCCCGUCCGCUAUCACCCAGCACGACAGCCGACGCUAAUUGGGUAGGUGGGGUGUUGAUGUUCGUACCUAACUGCGUGCUCGUGUGUGUGCUCCCGGCCGCCUCCAGACAAAGCAGACUCUUUGACCACAACAGGACCCACCCAUUGCAACCACCAAGCCGCUGCGGGGUCUCGUCGUCAUCCCCUAGUAUCGGAGGAGCCAAAUUCUCGUGGCCCGGUUUGACACUGGCCACGAAAACUUUGAAGACAUACGGGGGGAUUGGUCGGCCAUGGAACAAUGGUUCCUUCGGCUUCAUUACCGUCACCUUCCCCACGUCCACCUUUUGGUCGCCGAUGUUGUACAAUAUGGUGCACGGGGUUACAUCGGCCUGCAAAGACACCGUGAGAUUAUACAUUUAUGGAAGAGGGCCGGUGUGACAGAUACCGUGAGGGCGUCGAGCUCAGCCAAAGACGAAGGACAGCUGAGCACGGCCGGUGUGGGAGCCGGUGUGGGAGCCGGUGCAGGUGCAGGUGCUGGUGCAUCGCUAGUCGUGCUACUCCCGAAGAAGUCAACAAUGGGAAAGUCCGCUGCAUUUUUUCUGGAUUUUGCAUGCUCCAAUUGAAAACGGCUGGAACCAAGACAAUAGACAUAUCUGCAACCACCUGUUUUGCGGCAGCUACCGUUAUCGUGACAGUCUCAGAUGAUUUCUUCUCUACUGCAAUCUCAACCUUCUUGUCGAUGUUUUCUUCAGUUAACCUCCAUCUUUCCUUUCUCUCCUCCGUGGUCUCACGGUAGCACUUCUUCCACGUGGCCCCGUCUCCGACACCGUGAACGCGUCCAUACGACGACCGAGUCUCCACUGGGAGUCCUUUCAAUAUGUUCAAUGCCCGGUUGAAUGGAGUGUCCCACUUGGGCCUCGCCAACGCCUCAGACGGCGAGUCUCUUUCGGUCGCAAUCUUGUGCUGCUCUCUCUACAAAAGGAACAAGGAUCAUUUACAAAUAUGACUAAACGUGCAGUCGAAUUGAUCAGAAACUAAAAUUACCAGCAGUCUCAUGAACUCCGUCGUGAUCGGGUCCGUCUUGAAAACCUUCUUGACCGAGUGCCAAUGGUGCCGUGCCCUGAGGACGUCAUGCUCCUACAGGACGGUGAAGUCCGCCAAGGGGUCUAGGAUGCCAGACUUUCGCGUUUCGUGUCCUCCUUGGCCCAUAUGGACCUCUUCCUGCUGUAACCACGGCUUCCGAGGUGGCGGUGCCCCAUGUUCCUUUGUUGAAACCCCUUCAUGUACUUUGACUUUGUUUUGGCAGUUUCAGCCUCGCAAGCCGCCUUGAAUAUUUCAAAGUGCUCUCCCGUGAUUGUCGGAUUAUCCUUUACAAUCUCGGAGUAGGGUUGAUACGUCUCCAAUGUAUCUAUUAUUUUUGAUUGCUCCAUGCUAUAUUAUCUACUGUUUUGGACAUUAUUGGGCUUUAUUAUCUACUUUUAUAUUAUAAUUUGGACUAACCUAUUAACCGGAGGCCCGAGCCCAGAAUUGCUGUUUUUUUGCCUGUCUUAGGGUUUCAAAGAAAAGGAAUAUCAAACGGAGUCCAAACGGAAUGAAACCUUCGGGAACGUGAUUUUCUCAACGAACAAGACCCAGGAGACUUUGACCCUACAUCAAGACACAAGGCGAAUCAUGUACGUAGCCACUAGUGAAACAUAUUAUCUUUAUUAUAUCUAUCAGAUCUCACUCUCGUAAGUGGCCGUGUUGGGAUUGACAACCCCUAUUCAUGUUGGUUGAGAGGAUUGAUUUGUUUUGUGCAAGUACAAAGGACUCGCGCGUAGCCUCCUAUUGGAUUAAUAGCUUGGUUCUCAAAAAGUGAGGGAAAUACUUACGCUACUUUGUUGCAUCAUCCCUUCCUCUUCGGGGAAAACCAACGCAGUGCUCAAGAGGUAGCAAGAAGGAUUUGCUGNNNNNNNNNNNNNNNNNNNNNNNNNNNNNNNNNNNNNNNNNNNNNNNNNNNNNNNNNNNNNNNNNNNNNNNNNNNNNNNNNNNNNNNNNNNNNNNNNNNNNNNNNNNNNNNNNNNNNNNNNNNNNNNNNNNNNNNNNNNNNNNNNNNNNNNNNNNNNNNNNNNNNNNNNNNNNNNNNNNNNNNNNNNNNNNNNNNNNNNNNNNNNNNNNNNNNNNNNNNNNNNNNNNNNNNNNNNNNNNNNNNNNNNNNNNNNNNNNNCCUCCACCCUCGUGGGCCCCCUGUUGCUCCACCGACGUACUCCUUCCUCCUAUAUAUACCUACGUACCCCCAAACGAUCAUAUACGGAGCCAAAACCCUAAUUCCACCGCCACAACUUUCUGUAUCCACGAGAUCCCAUCUUGGGGCCUGUUCCGGAGCUCCGCCGGAGGGGGCAUCAAUCACGGAGGGCUUCUACAUCAACACCAUAACCUCUCCGAUGAAGUGUGAGUAGUUCACCUCAAACCUACGGUUCCAUAGUUAUUAGCUAGAUGGCUUCUUCUCUCUUUUUGGAUCUAAAUACAAUGUUCUCCCCCUCUCUUGUGGAGAAUUAUUCGAUGUAAUCUUAUUUUUGCGGUGUGUUUAUUGAGACCGAUGAAUUGUGGGUUUAUGAUCAAGUCUCUCUAUGAAUAAUAUUUCAAUCUUCUCUGAAUUAUUUUAUGUAUGAUUGGUUAUCUUUGCAAGUCUCCUCGAAUUAUCAGUUUGGUUUGGCCCACUAGAUUGAUCUUUCUUGCAAUGGGAGAAGUGCUUAGCUUUGGGUUCAAUCUUGCGGUGUCCUUUCCCAGUGACAGUAGGGGCAGCAAGGCACGUAUUGUAUUGUUGCCAUCAUGGACAACAAAAUGGGGUUUUCAUCAUAUUGCAUCAGUCUAGCCCUCUACAUCAUGUUAUCUUGCUUAAGGCGUUAAUUUGUUUUUAACUUAAUACUCUAGAUGCAUGCUGGAUAGCGGUCGAUGAGUGGAGUAAUAGUAGUAGAUGCAGGCAAGAGCGGUCUACUUGUCUCGGACAUGAUGCCUAUAUACAUGAUGAUACCUAGAUAUUCUCAUAACUAUGCUCAAUUCUGUCAAUUGCUGAACAGUAAUUUGUUCACCCACCGUAGAAUACUUAUGCUCUCGAGGGAAGCCACUAGUGAAACCUAUGGCCCCGGGUCUAUCUUUAUCAUAUUAAUCUUCUACUACUUAGUUAUUUCCUUUGCUUUUUACUUUUCCUUUAUUUUACUUUGCAUCUUUAUCACCAAAAUACCAAUAAAAUUAUCUUUAUCAUAUCUAUCAAAUCUCACUCUGGUAAGUGGCCGUGUAGGGAUUGACAACCCCUAUUCGUGUUGGUUGCGAGGAUUUAUUUGUUUUGUGCAGGUACGAGGGACUCGCGCGUAGCCUCCUACUGGAUUGAUACCUUGGUUCUCAAAACCUGAGGGAAAUACUUACGCUACUUUGCUGCAUCAUCCCUUCCUGUUCGGGGAAAACCAACGCAGUGCUCAAGAGGUAGCAAGGGUUCCUUUUUGUCGACGAUCCGAUGUUUCAACCUUGUUUUCCAGGCGGCCAACGCGUCGCUAAACUUGGGCAUGGCGUGUUUGUUUAUCUUCUUCAUUGCCACGUCCUUAUCUGGAUCAUUAUUAUCCUUUUCAUUGCAGUCAGGGAACAAGAAUAUCUGGUGCAGCUUCUUUAGGAGGGAGGGCCUCAUAUUAUCUAUCUUCUGUAGUUUCCCAUCGUUGAUCGUGGCAGUUGUCCGUACGAUGCAACCUAUUUGAUUGCCGUAGCACGAUCGCGCUUCCUCGGGCGCUAUUGUCUCAAAAAUACCGUUGUCCAUCUCCGUGACCACCAGUCUAGUACUCAUGAGCUGGUUUGGGUGCCGUGGCCUCUUUGCUUUCGGUUCUAGACCAGCUCCGCUAGUCUCGGCGCCGGUCUCAGUCUCAUCACCGGUCUGCAUGUCGGUAUCAGUCCCCGAUGCGACAGCACAGUCGCUGCAACAUGGGUAAGGGAGACCACAUCAGUGCUGGGGUGGUCUGAAAAUUGGGACACACUUUCGCGCAUUGCGGGCCGCCUCUCAGACAGCUACUGGGGAGGCGGCGGAGUACCUGGGUGCGCGACGAAUCCCCGGGAACUCGGUGACCAACUUCCUUCCCAUGUAGCGCAUGGAGACGAUGGCGACCCCGCCGAAGAGCAGCUUAGUUGCGAGCUGCACAGCCUCGUCCACCUCCUAAGUUGGGACCUCCGCGCGAGCGUUGCGGGGCCGCCGCUCGGAUGGCUUCUGGAAGGCGCUUGUACAUGGGCACAGGGUGAAUCCCGGCAAGAGCUGGCCAUUGGUGCGCGCAAGUAGACGACGACGUCGCCGACGAAGAGCAGCCCGGCCAGCUCGCCUCACUCUCCUUUGAUUAGAAUUGAAAGAUUGGGAAGAAGCAGACUUGAGCCUGCAGGGAAAGGAUAAGGUGACGAUGCAGUCUCCACUCGUUCGGGGCGACACGCGUACUGAAUGUAUGAGAAACGCGACGUGGCAGGGACCCCAAGAUACUCCCUCCAUUUAUUUUUAGUCUGCAUAUAAAGUUUGGUCAAAGUCAAGAUUUGUAAAUUUUAACUAACUUUAUAAUAAAAAAAAUCAACAUUCACAAUAUGAAAUAAUUAUUACCAGAUGCGUCAUGAAAUGUAUUUCCAUACUAUAUAGGUUUGGUAAUGUAGAUGUUCAUAUUCUUUUAUAUAAAUGGGAAGUAGAGGCACUCUUCCAUAUAAUGAAGUUUAUAAUAUAUGUGCUUAUAUUAUACUAUAAUUGUUUGAAUAACUUAGCAUAUGUUCAGAUGUAUGAUAUCUGUAAUUUAAGCGCUUGAAUUUUACAUAUAAAUAUUUAUUAAUAAAUAUGUACCCCUAUAAUAGCUAGGCCGUGCAGUUGCACGGGUAGAUGACUAGUGAUUACAAUCUUGUUUGUGUGCAAGUCAAGCUUAUCUAGUUUACACGUAACAACUUGUAGAACAUUACAAAAUUUAUGCUUGCUAAUAACUUCUAGAACACUACAACACUUGACAUGUAAAAGGAAUUUGACGAGUCAUGGCCUACUAAAGAAAGUUACAUUACUAGUCUUAUAUCUAUCUUAAUAGACCACACAAGACUACAAAUUAAGUACCGUGACAGCCAUGAUUAUCUAGUUUAUGCGUAACAAUUUGCAGAAAAUUACAAACUUAGUUUUAGAAAAAUAGGCAAUCCAGAUUAGUGUUUGAGCUGUAAAGUGAAUAAGAUGAGUCAUGCGUGUUAUCACACCUUUUUGGUGGUGGAAUGAUAGUGCAAAACAAGGAACUUUAAUGAACAGUCCAAUAAUACACUUGUAAGUAGUGCCACCAAACAGAACAUACCAAAUGAUGAUUUUGAGAAGCAUCCAAGCACUUUCCACACAAACAAAUGCCAAUUGUGAAAGAGAUCAUUCCAUGGCAGCUAUAAAUAGCCCCGUAGCAUGACGAUCAUCCUUCCUCAUCCAUCAUUCUCAUAAGUAGAGCGCAUCAUUUAAGCCAAGCAAGCUGUGGUCAAUACAAAUCCACCAUGAAGACAUUUCUCAUCCUUGCCCUCCUUGCUAUCGUGGCGACCACCGCCACAACUGCAGUUAGAGUUCCAGUGCCACAAUUGCAGCCACAAAAUCCAUCUCAGCAACAGUCACAAGAGCAAGUUCCAUUGGUACAACAACAACAAUUUCUAGGGCAGCAACAACCAUUUCCACCACAACAACCAUAUCCACAGCCGCAACCAUUUCCAUCACAACAACCAUAUCUGCAGCUGCAACCAUUUCCGCAGCCGCAACUACCAUAUUCGCAGCCACAACCAUUUCGACCACAACAACCAUAUCCACAACCGCAACCACAAUAUUCGCAACCACAACAUCCAAUUUCACAGCAGCAGCAGCAGCAACAACAACAACAACAACAAGAACAACAAAUACUUCAACAAAUUUUGCAACAACAACUGAUUCCAUGCAUGGAUGUUGUAUUGCAGCAACACAACAUAGCGCAUGGAAGAUCACAAGUUUUGCAACAAAGUACUUACCAGCUGUUGCAAGAAUUGUGUUGUCAGCACCUAUGGCAGAUCCCUGAGCAGUCGCAGUGCCAGGCCAUCCACAAUGUUGUUCAUGCUAUUAUUCUGCGUCAACAACAAAAACAACAACAACAACCAUCGAGCCAGGUCUCCUUCCAACAGCCUCAGCAACAAUAUCCAUUAGGCCAGGGCUCCUUCCGGCCAUCUCAGCAAAACCCACAGGCCCAGGGCUCUGUCCAGCCUCAACAACUGCCCCAGUUCGAGGAAAUAAGGAACCUAGCGCUACAGACGCUACCUGCAAUGUGCAAUGUCUACAUCCCUCCAUAUUGCACCAUCGCGCCAUUUGGCAUCUUUGGUACUAACUAAGAAGAAAAUAACUCUAGUACUAGAUAUAUGAAACACCGUUUUCUCAGUCCAUGGUUUGGUCGUUGUAGCGGUGAAAAAAUAAAGUGACAUGCACUAUCAUGUAAGAACCCAAACUAUACUAGUUCAAACUUGGGAAUAAAAGACAAACACAGGUCUUGUCUACAUAUUUAUGCUGCAUCUAUUUAUAUAUUAAAAGUAAUAUAAGGUGAACCAGGAGCAAGGUAAAUAUGGUAGAAAAUUGCACGUUAAUUAGAAAUUACUAGCCCUCGAUCUGGUAAAUCUUAACAAAUAUAAUUAUCUUGACCGUUAGAUUUAUGUAACAUAUAUAAUGCUCUAGGCCUCCAACGACUGUACGUGACACAUCUGAACGCAGAUAUGUUAAAGAAAAUAUAUUUGGUAAAUGGUGGGCCUCUUUAAAAAGAGAACUUACGUACAUACACCAACUAAGAAAAACACAUACAUGUAAACGGGAAAAGGAUGAGAUUUUCUCACAUACGUGUGUUGAUGCUUAAAAGUGGCAUGAUCAUAAAGCAGCAUGCCAGGGUGAAAACCUUGCCGGGGUAAAAUCUUGCCGGUGUGAAAGCUUGCCGGUGUGAAGGCUUGCCGGUGUGGAAAGCUUGCCGGCACAGAAAGAUCGCCGGUGCUUGCCGGUGUGAAAUCUUGCCGGGGGAGAAACCUUGUCAGGGAGGAACCCUUGCCGGAGUACAAACCUUGCCGUAGUGAAACCUUGCCGGUGUGAAAGCUUGCCGGGUAGAAACAUUGCCGGUGUGGAAAGCUUACUCGGAUGGAAAACUUGCCGGGUUGGAGGCUGUGAUAGUCAAUCGAACGAGAAGUUGAAGAUGGGCUCAAAAGGUUAUUCAGAUGAUCUCGGAUGGAAAAAUGAUCUACAGGGGUUGUCUUCGUCUCGUCGAAACGAUCGAUUUUGAUAUAAAAAUCAUUCAAAUCCGAGUUCGUAUGCAAAAUUUAGAGCAAUCGGAGUGCAGCCCUGUCACGAGGCGAGAUGUGGCGCGCCCCACCAAACACAUGUCUGACGGGUAGCGCGAGGAAAUAGCCUGUGUUGCGAGACCGAUCUGACCCUCAAGAUGAUCUCUGAUCCAAAAACCUUCAACAUGAAAGUUGUUCGUCUCAUCGAAACGGUCAAGAUUGCUUUUGGGCUUGUUUUCAUCCGGGAUCGUUUACCACCGCAAAAAAGACCCGCAAGGUGCAGCCAGUUUAAACCGAACAGUUUUGGAAAGUUUGGAUAAACCAGUCCGAAUUUGACUAGGGUUUUGGACGUGAAUUGAUGUAAUUUUCUUGUAAGGAAAGCCUAGAUAAAUUCUUUGCUUGUACGGGAAGUCCAGCUGCCUCUUAUAUAUGUUGGGGGUGACGGGCGAUUGAAACAACACACAAUCGAACAAACACAUCUACUACUUUUUCGUGUUCAUCUACUUUUUAUCUCUCCCUUGUAUCUUUCUUCUCGUUCUUCGCUAGUUCUUCUUGCUGGAGGCUGCGGAUCCACGAGGCUCUAGGGGCGAGCGAAUCGACCUAGGGCAGCCCUGACGGGGUCCCUCCCGGGUGCGCGGGGUUUCGGGUCUGCAAAAGCGCCCGCCGACUGUCUUGCGUAUCACGCUAUCGGUCGGGUCUCCUUCGACGUGAGCUGCGGUGCAUCACCCCCGGCAUCGAGGGUACACGUGACGUGUUCGUGUGCGAACACACUUUUUCGCGACUCCACUGGGGACGAAGCUUUGAAUAGUCUCCAGCCUGUUCUUGCUACGAGGAGAGCGUCAUCAAGCGACUGCAUUCUACAACGGUAACAUGUAUCAUCAAUCUCCUUGCGUAGAUGCAAAUAGCCAUUAUGUUGAUGUUGCUAGAUCUUUCAAUGGACAUGUGAUGUCGGCCAGCCCUAAUGAGGAAAGGCCGACUAGUUAUUCCAUUGGAGAAACUUGGAAUUUACAGAAUCGUGACAUGCAACUUAUGAAUCUGAACUUUCGUGCAUCGGCAACAACUUUCAAUAUGCCGGUGAACAACACGAUUUGUUCGAGUGAUCAAUAUAGGACACCUCAUGUAAAAGUUUUAUCCAUCGGCAGCCGACUCGCAAUAUGCUGGUUCAUCCCCAAACAUGCCGAUGAAUGGGGGAAUCAGCCAUGCUUCUGUUAGCUAUUUGGCCGGUUAUCCUCAAACAUCAUAUACUACACCUCAUCCGAUUAAUUGUUCAGUGGCAUAUGAAACUAAAAAUAUUAAUAACACGGCUCACGUUCACGGUCAUGGACGAGUGAAUGGGGAUACUAUAGGAGCAUAUGUGUGUGACGCCCCCAAUUUAAUCGUACACUAAUCAUACACGCAAACAUGUACGAUCAAGAUCAGGGACUCACGGGAAGAUAUCACAACACAACUCUACAAAUAAAAUAAGUCAUGCAAGCAUCAUAUUACAAGCCAGGGGCCUCGAAGGCUCGAAUACAAGAGCUCGAUCAUAGACGAGUCAGCGGAAGCAACAAUAUCUGAGUACAGACAUAAGUUAAACAAGUUUGCCUUAAGAAGGCUAGCACAAACUGGGAUACAGAUUGAAAGAGGCACAGGCCUCCUGCCUGGGAACCUCCUAACUACUCCUGGUCGUCGUUCUGAGGGCAGCACGUAGUAGUAGGCACCUCCAGCGUAGUAGGAGUCGUCGUCGACGAUGGCGUCUGGAUCCUGGGCUCCAGCAUCUGGUUGCGACAACCAGGUAGAAGGGAUAGAGGGAAAAGAAGGAGAAAGCAACCGUGAGUACUCAUCCAAAGUACUCGCAAGCAAGGAGCUACACUACAUAUGUAUGCGUUGGUAUCAACUGGAAUAAGGCUAUUAUAUGUGGACUGAACUGCAGAAAGCCGGAAUACGAGGGAGAUAGCUAGUCCUUUCGAAGACUACGCUUUUGGUAACCUCCAUCUUGCAGCAUGUAGAAGAGAGUAGACGGAAGUCCUCCAAGUAGCAUCGCAUAGCAUAAACCUAACCGAUGAUCCUCCCCUCGUCGCCCUGUGCGAGAGCGAUCACCGGUUGUAUCUGGCUCUUGGAAGGGUGUGUUUUAUUAAGUAUCCGGUUCUAGUUGUCAUAAGGUCAAGGUACAACUCCGGGUCGUCCUUUUAUCGAGGGACACGGCUAUUCGAAUAGAUAAACUUCCCUGCAGGGGUGCACCACAUAACCCAACACGCUCGAUCCCAUUUGGCCGGACACACUUUUCUGGGUCAUGCCCGGCCUCGGAAGAUCAACACGUCGUAGCCCUACCUAGGCACAACAGAGAGGUCAGCACGCCGGUCUAAAUCCUAUGGCGCAGGGGUCUGGGCCCAUCGCCCUUUGCACACCUGCACGUUGCGAACGCGGCCGGAAGCAGACCUAGCCUAGUGGCGUUCCAGUCCAAUCCGGCGCGCGCCACUCAGUCACUGAUGUCACGAAGGCUUCGGCUGAUACCACGACGUCGAGUGGCCAUAACUGUCCCCGCAUAGAUGGUUAGUGCGUAUAAGCCAGAUGGCCAGACUCAGAUCAAAUACCCAGAUCUCGUUAAGCGUGUUAUGUAUCCGCGAACACCGACCAGGGCCAGGACCACCUCUCUCCUACGUGGUCUGAACCUGCCCUGUCGCUCCGCCACAAAGUAACAGUCGGGGGCCGUCGGGAACCCAGGCCCACCUCUACCGGGAUGGAGCCACCUACCCCUUCAGCCCCAACUACGAACAGUACCACAGGUAAUGUAACAGUGUAAAGUAUAUAGUAAAUGCCCGUGAUCACCUCCCGAAGUGAUCACGGCCCAGUAGUAUAGCAUGGCAGACGGACAAGAGAGUAGGGCCACUGAUGGAACACUAGCAUCCUAUACUAAGCAGUAGGAUAGCAGGUAAUGGUAACAAUAGUAGUAGCAAGGACAGGCUAUGCAUCAGGAUAGGAAUAACGGAAAGCAGUAACAUGCUACACUACUUUAAUGCAAGCAGUAUAGAGAAGAGUAGGCGAUAUCUGGUGAUCAAAGGGGGGGCUUGCCUGGUUGCUAUGGCAAGAGAGAGCGGUCGUCAACACCGUAGUCGUACUGUGUAGCAGCGCCGUCAGUCUCGGUGUCUAGCGAGAGAAGAGGGGGAGGAAACAAUAAAUAUAAUGCAAACAAAUGCAUGAUGAUGCAUGACACGACAAAGCGUGAUGCUAGGUGUGCCCUAACGCGGUACGAGGUGGUACCGGUGAAGGGGGGAAACAUCCGGGAAAGUAUUCCCGGUGUUUCGCGUUUUCGGACAGAGGAGUCAGAGGGGGAAAGUUGCGUGUUCGGUAUGCUAGGGAGGCGUGGUGGACGAACGGGUUGUCUAUCCGAGUUCGUCUCGUCGUUCUGAGCAACUUUCAUGUUGAAAAUAAUUUAAUCCGAGUUACGUAUUAAAAGAUAUGGUUUUCUAAAGAUUUUACUAAUUUCUGGAAUUUAAUUAAUUAUUUAAUUUAAUUUGAAAUUUGGAUUUAUGACAUCAGCAUGAUGUCAUGCUGACAUCAGCAGUCAACAUGGGUUGACUAGGUCAACUGAUGCGUGGGUCCAGUGGGACCCACCUGUCAUACUAUAUUAGGUUAAUUAGGGUUUAGUUAAUUGAUUAGGCUAAUCUAAUCAGGAUUACUUUGUUUAAUUAAUUCUUUAAUUAAUUAAUUAUCAUUUUAACUAAUUUUAAUUAUUAUUUAUUAAUUCAUUCAUUUUUUUAAAUUAUUAUUUUUAUUUCGUUCUCGUUUCAGGGGGGCGUGGGGCCCCGCACACAGGGCCACCGCGAGGCUGUUGCCAGCGGGCGCUGGGGCGAUGGGUGCGGGCGCACCCGAGCGGGCACUCGCCCGCAGGGCGGGAUGAGCCGCCGGCGGGCAGCGACAGGCGCGUGCCAACCGGGCGGUGGCCGCGGCUGAUAGGGCGCAGGAAGGGGAGAGGCGAGAACGCGACGCACGGGGAAGCAGCAUCAGGGGCGAGGAGCACCACGGGACGAAGCGCAGCGGGCGCCGGUCNNNNNNNNNNNNNNNNNNNNNNNNNNNNNNNNNNNNNNNNNNNNNNNNNNNNNNNNNNNNNNNNNNNNNNNNNNNNNNNNNNNNNNNNNNNNNNNNNNNNNNNNNNNNNNNNNNNNNNNNNNNNNNNNNNNNNNNNNNNNNNNNNNNNNNNNNNNNNNNNNNNNNNNNNNNNNNNNNNNNNNNNNNNNNNNNNNNNNNNNNNNNNNNNNNNNNNNNNNNNNNNNNNNNNNNNNNNNNNNNNNNNNNNNNNNNNNNNNNNNNNNNNNNNNNNNNNNNNNNNNNNNNNNNNNNNNNNNNNNNNNNNNNNNNNNNNNNNNNNNNNNNNNNNNNNNNNNNNNNNNNNNNNNNNNNNNNNNNNNNNNNNNNNNNNNNNNNNNNNNNNNNNNNNNNNNNNNNNNNNNNNNNNNNNNNNNNNNNNNNNNNNNNNNNNNNNNNNNNNNNNNNNNNNNNNNNNNNNNNNNNNNNNNNNNNNNNNNNNNNNNNNNNNNNNNNNNNNNNNNNNNNNNNNNNNNNNNNNNNNNNNNNNNNNNNNNNNNNNNNNNNNNNNNNNNNNNNNNNNNNNNNNNNNNNNNNNNNNNNNNNNNNNNNNNNNNNNNNNNNNNNNNNNNNNNNNNNNNNNNNNNGGCCUGGGGUUUGUCCUAGCUAGCAGCUGGGCCGAGUGGCCCAGUGGGGGGGGGGUUGUUUUAUUCCUUUCCCUUUUAUACCUUUUCACACUUUUCUUCUUUUGUUUUAUUUUAGUUACACAUUAAUUUUAAUUUUUGACAAAUAUAUCUAUAGCCCCUAAAAUAAUGUUUCAGAACAAUCCACUACUAUAGAAAGUUUUACCCUGAUAAAAUAGUCUAGUAUUUUAUAAAAUACCAAACUCGUUUAAAUAGUUGUUUAGCUACUAUUUAAAUCAUUUUAGUGCUUUAAAUCUUUUUACUAAAAUGUGGUUCCUCCACCAUUUGGACUUAGGAUUUAUUUGUCCCAUUUUGAACAUUUUAGUCUUAACGUUUGAAGAAUUUACCGUUUGACUCGAUUUUGAAUUUGAAUUUGAAUCGGUGUCGAACUAACACGAGAUUAGCAACAGUAACCAUCGUGACGUGGCAUCAUUAACAGAGGUUUACUGUAUAUCAAAUACCCGGGCGUCACAAUUCUCCUCCACUACAAGAAAUCUCGUCCCGAGAUUUAAGAGGGGAGUAUGGGGGAAAGAUCUGGUUACGAAAUUCUAACGAGUCUUCUCGGUCUUGCUUGCUCUUGUCGAAAUGGUCGAUCCAUUAUGUUGAUGUUUUCAUUUCUCUGCUUCAGGUCAUCAUGGUGAAGUCGUCCUUUUCUUCGGGAACUCCAACGUGCUUACGAAUAGGUAAGGGGCAGCUUGGCUACGACAGAAUGCUUAUGAGGGAAACAAUCUGGUGAUAACCCAUGAAUGAACAUAAGAUUAUCUCUCGAGUUGAACAUAUAAAAUACAUCAAGAGUAAGGUACGAAGGUACCAUGAGAAGUUUCAAACGGAUAGGCAAUCGUUCGAUGUCUGAAACAACACGCGAAAGGGGUCCAGAGCAACGAGAUUGAGUAUUGCGUCUGUUACCAGAAUAGAUCACUAGGACGGUGGUCUGUGAAUUACAUACAAGGUCACGCACGAGGAAUAACUUUAGGAACAGGGGGUGUACAGGAGAGUCAGGUUCGAUCCUGUGGAACUGUGGGUUAUGGGCCCACCAUGUGGGUUAAAGUAGGAAGGGCAGUGACGUCUUGCAAGAUCAUGUAAGCAAGGCAUGUCAGAGGAUAGCCUGUCAGCUAUGUCGACGACAACAUCGAUACCAAGGGCGAGGGACGAAGAGAACCAUUUUCCUGCUCGUUGAACGAGGCGGACCAAUAAGAAAAGUUCUCGUCCAUCAGUGGUUACCAGAAUGUCAUCAACAAAGGUAAUAGGGUCUUUCUGACAGAGUGGUACAACGAGGUGACUGCUUAUAUAAUAUAGAUUACAAGAAGGUUUAAACAGAACAAUGGAAAGGAAAAUGUGUGUAAACACACAUUUCAAGGGUAUAUCCUUCCCAAGGACAAGCAAAGCAAGAUAUCCAUGAAAGGAUAUAAUGUAGAAAACUCUUUAGGUAAGGUGAGAGAAAUUUCAUGACAUUACCCAUACAAUGGUGUUUGGAUAAAUGAGCGAGAAACAUUUAGCAUUGGGCUUCAAAUGUUCUUUGUGGAAAAUUGGAGUACCACAGACAUGCUUCGAGAUAGCGUUGGCGUGGUAUUCAAGCAAAGGUCAGACUUAGGAUGCACAAAGGAUUCAUCAGGAACAACUUAUAGAAUAAGUCUUACCAUUUCUCAAGGAAGAAUAGAUAACCUUGCUAAAAAGAAAAACUAUAACAUUAGGUCCUCCGACCAGGUGGGCUAGGCAUGCUAUCACCUUACUGGGUUAUAUUGAUAACAAUGUUAUAACUCUUGGAAAUAUGUCUCAACCAUCAUAUCUGACCGAGAUUCAGAUCCGAUUGGUGUCAGGAUACAUCAGACAUCAGGAUGCCUGAGAAGAGAAGGUGCAACACAAUUUAACGAGAUGACACUGCGAGAAUCUCAGAAAUGAUCUAUGGAAGCGAGUUCCGAAGCAAGAGUUCAUCAUUAAACCAAGGAGAGGAUGAGGGGUGGCUGAUGAACUAACGGCAAUUCAUCGAGAUUUCCAAAAGAUGGAUUUCCACAAUCAUGUGAACAAAGAGUUAACAUUUGUCAGAUCAAACAAUAUAAUGAGGUGUGCUCGAGGAAAACAUACUCAAUUAAACAUUGGUGGAAAGCUGCACCCAAAAUAUGGGCUUAGGUAGCCUGAUCAAUGUUGGAACGGUGAUUCGAUAACCAAUAUUCUAAGAAUGAAAGGUCGACCAUUAACUUCAAAGCAAUAUGGUUGCUAGAAGUACAGAAUCCAAGCAACAACGUUCACCUGUUGGUAUCCCGGUUAGAAUCAACACGGGAACCAAGAAAGAAUGAUGAUGGUGAGGAGUAUCGCUAUACCAAGAAUUCUCAAGAGGUGGAGCAAUCCUCACAACAUACAUGUCAUCAAGGACAUUGAUACUUCAAGGUAGAAUAUCAUAAAAGCUAGAUAGCAAGUUGCAUCCAUAACAUGGACAAGUUUGUGUUGGGGGAAGGCAAGAAAGUGAUCGAUGAUAACACAAAUCAUCGAGGGCAAGGAUGGUACUUUUCAUUAUGAAUUCGAUUGAUAUCCUGCAAGAGCUCAAGAUGUGGGUGCUGAUGACGACACAUUUGUCGAGAGAUUUCAUGAAGAUGUAGUCUAUCGGCGAUGACAUCAAGUCAAAGGAAUUAUGAAGCAAAAGGUUAUCGGAACCAUGGGUACGACACAAACUCAAAAUCAAGCUUGUUGUUCAAGGUGAAAGAUAUGACGAGAAAGAUCAACGUAAGCUUAGCUCAUCGUUGAAAGUUGUGUUCCGGGAAGAAGGACCAGGUAGCACAGUUAAAAUUUAGCACGGUAAUGAUAUAGCCAACCGGGCUAGGAAUGACUUGAAGGAUUAUUAAACUCAUAAGCAGUAAAAAUUACUUAUAGUUAUUGAAUCGAAGUACAGACUCGAUUCACUGUCGGUGUCCUUGAGUGUCUAACAACUCAGAACCCGGGGAAAAUUUUGGAACCAGUGAGAAAUAAUACUUGAAGAAUAACUCAUAAGAAGUUAUGCAGUUCCAUGAUAAUCUCGAGAUACCAGGGGGUAAUACUCGACGACAGAUCAAAGUAGAGGUUGGACUAGGGAUUGCUCUGUAGAAGACAAGUGCUCAAACUUGCACGAGAAAUGGAAUCAAGGAGAAACAUGGUCGAAACCUCGUCCACAGGUACAAGAUGAACUUAUAACAAGUGGACAAUUAUUUUAAGAGAAGCUUCCAUGAUAAGGUAUACAUCGUGUCCAUGGGCAUGAACACAGGGUUCAAGGUCGACUCCCACUUAUUCAACACAUAACCUUUCAUGCACCUCUCGUAUUUCAAAAAUGACAUUAGUUCUUGAAAGUUUUUACCUGGUGCAAUACCAGAUACAUAUUACCCGUGAAAUCUUUCGGGUUCACACGGAUUAGGCAAGGCGUAGGUUCAACCCAUCAGGGCAUCUUAGGAACAUAUACCACAAACUUCGGAGUAAAUAAUACAAGCUUGAAAGUAGAGCAUGGUUGACAAAAGGGGAGGAUACAAUUUACCACAGGCAUUAUGUAUCGGAGAAAGAACUCACAAGGUGAUUAAUUUUGAAGGACACUGUCGGAUAAUAAUCCAACAGUGGAAUUGGCGAUCCACAAUGGAGCUGAUGUGAGUAUCGAUACCCAAUCAGAGGAAGAAAGAAUGCAAAUGCAUCGGUUUAUAGAACAUCUGAAUAAUUCAACGUUUAAAUAGCAAAGGAAUUAUGAUUUUCAAAUCAAGGGAUCGGGAGCAAAUGCUCUGAUUAGGGAUGGGUAAGUAGAAUAGCCUUAGGGGUACAUGCGACGACAUUUGGAUUUGUUGAGAACCAGCUCAUGUUUAAAAUGACGUCUGAGCCGGAAUGAUAAUUUAAAAGGAUCAACUGAUGAUUGCGUGCAUUCGCACUCAUGUUGAGUCAAUAGGAUCAAAAAGACGAUGCCUAAGGAUACUAACGAAUAUUUCCAGACAUAUGGAAAGCAUCCAUAAUGCAAGCAGGCAAGUAUUGCAGAGCAAUAAGCUACUAAGGAUUUUUGGAGGAUCGAAUAGUAUUUUGAAGACCAUUGUGAAACACAUGAACAACUGGGGAUGAGUGGAUACUCGACAAGUGCGAGGAUUUAAUUGAAGGGGUAUUCAUGUGGCAAGGAACUGCUAGGCAGUAGGCACAAAGUAUUCUCGGAACAAUAGAGAGAAUUUUGGGGCAUCUUGUAAUAACAAGAUCAAUGAGGAAUGAUUAUAUGAAUAGCACAUGUAGGUGGUUAUCCAUAGAGGUCUAUCGAUAGAAGGGAAUUGCAAAAGCAACAGGCACAAGGUCUCGACAGAAUAUCGGAGAGUAUCUUCGAAAUCUUCUAGUGUAGUCGGCGAUCAUCUGGAUUGAAAGGGCUCUCCGGGAGAAAGUAUUUUCGAGAACCUAAGUUAGAUUUUUAGUAAAUUCAUUAAACCCGAAUAGGAGGGAGUUCAGAGUCCCAGAGCAUAGACGAGGAAUAAAAGAUCCUAAUACCACCCAAUGGCGACGUGGGCCCAUAGGCCACACAGCCAUGUUAGUAAAGGUUUUGCAAUGACUAGACUCAACUUCGGCCAAGGAGGUGGAAAGGGGAUUCCUACAGGCAGUCGGCUCUGAUACCAACUUGUGACACCCCCGAUUUAAUCGUACACUAAUCAUACACGCAAACGUGUACGAUCAAGAUCAGGGACUCACGGGAAGAUAUCACAACACAACUCUACAAAUAAAAUAAGUCAUACAAGCAUCAUAUUACAAGCCAGGCGCCUCGAAGGCUCGAAUACAAGAGCUCGAUCAUAGACGAGUCAGCGGAAGCAACAAUAUCUGAGUACAGACAUAAGUUAAACAAGUUUGCCUUAAGAAGGCUAGCACAAACUGGGAUACAGAUCGAAAGAGGCGCAUGCCUCCUGCCUGGGAUCCUCCUAACUACUCCUGGUCGUCGUUCUGAGGGCAGCACAUAGUAGUAGGCACCUCCAGUGUAGUAGGAGUCGUCGUCGACGAUGGCGUCUGGAUCCUGGGCUCCAGCAUCUGGUUGCGACAACCAGGUAGAAGGGAUAGAGGGAAAAGAAGGAGAAAGCAACCGUCAGUACUCAUCCAAAGUACUCGCAAGCAAGGAGCUACACUACAUAUGUAUGCGUUGGUAUCAACUGGAAUAAGGCUAUUAUAUGUGGAUUGAACUGCAGAAAGCCGGAAUACGAGGGGGAUAGCUAGUCCUUUCGAAGACUACGCUUCCGGUAACCUCCAGCUUGCAGCAUGUAGAAGAGAGUAGACGGAAGUCCUCCAAGUAGCAUCGCAUAGCAUAAACCUAACCGAUGAUCCUCCCCUCGUCGCCCUAUGAGAGAGCGAUCACCGGUUUUAUCUGGCUCUUGGAAGGGUGUGUUUUAUUACGGUUCUAGUUGUCAUAAGGUCAAGGUACAACUCCGGGUCGUCCUUUUACCGAGGGACACGGCUAUUCGAAUAGAUAAACUUCCCUGCAGGGGUGCACCACAUAACCCAACACGCUCGAUCCCAUUUGGCCGAACACACUUUUCUAGGUCAUGCCCGUCCUCGGAAGAUCAACACGUCGCAGCCCUACCUAGGCACAACAGAGAGGUCAGCACGCCGGUCUAAAUCCUAUGGCGCAGGGGUCUGGCCCCAUCGCCCUUUGCACACCUGCAUGUUGCGGACGCGGCCGGAAGCAGACCUAGCCUAGUGGCGUUCUAGUCCAAUCCGGCGCGCGCCACUCAGUCGCUGACGUCACGAAGGCUUCGGCUGAUACCACGACGUUGAGUGCCCAUAACUGUCCCCACGUAGAUGGUUAGUGCGUAUAAGCCAGAUGGCCAGACUCAGAUCAAAUACCCAGAUCUCGUUAAGCGUGUUAAGUAUCUGCGAACGCCGACCAGGGCCAGGCCCACCUCUCUCCUAGGUGGUCUGAACCUGCCCGGUCGCUUCGCCACAAAGUAACAGUCGGGGGCCGUCGGGAACCCAGGCCCACCUCUACCGGGAUGGAGCCACCUGCCCCUUUAGCCCCCAACUCCGAACAGUACCAUAGGUAAUGUAACAGUGUAAAGUAUAUAGUAAAUGCCCGUGAUCACCUCCCGAAGUGAUCACGGCCCAGUAGUAUAGCAUGGCAGACGGACAAGAGUGUAGGGCCACUAAUGGAACACUAGCAUCCUAUACUAAGCAGUAGGAUAGCAGGUAAUGGUAAUAAUAUUAGUAGCAAGGACAGGCUAUGCAUCAGGAUAGGAAUAACGGAAAGCAGUAACAUGCUACACUACUCUAAUGCAAGCAGUAUAGAGAAGAGUAGGCGAUAUCUGGUGAUCAAAGGGGGGGCUUGCCUGGUUGCUCUGGCAAGAGAGAGGGGUCGUCAACACCGUAGUCGUACUGUGUAGCAGCAACGUCGGUCUCGGUGUCUAGCGAGAGAAGAGGGGGAGGAAACAAUAAAUAUAAUGCAAACAAAUGCAUGACGAUGCAUGACACGACAAAGCGUGAUGCUAGGUGUGCCCUAACGUGGUACGAGGUGGUACCGGUGAAGGGGGGAAACAUCCGAGAAAGUAUUCCCGGUGUUUCACAUUUACGGACAGAGGAGUCAGAGGGGGAAAGUUGCGUGUUCGGUAUGCUAGGGAGGCGUGGUGGACGAACGAGUUGCGUAUCCGGGUUCGUCUCGUCGUUCUGAGCAACUUUCAUGUUGAAAAUAAUUUAAUCCGAGUUACGUAUUAAAAGAUAUGGUUUUCUAAAGAUUUUACUAAUUUCUGGAAUUUAAUUAAUUAUUUAAUUUAAUUUGAAAUAUGGAUUUAUGACAUCAGCAUGAUGUCAUGCUGACAUCAGCAGUCAACAUGGGUUGACUGGGUCAACUGACGCGUGGGUCCAGUGGGACCCAUGAAGGAAAUAUGCCCUAGAGGCAAUAAUAAAGUUAUUAUUUAUUUCCUUAUAUCAUGAUAAGAGUUUAUUAUUCAUGCUAGAAUUGUAUUAACCGGAAACAUAAUACAUGUGUGAAUACAUAGACCAACAGAGUGUCACUAGUAUGCCUCUACUUGACUAGCUCGUUAAUCAAAGAUGGUUAUGUUUCCUAACCAUGAACAAAGAGUUGUUAUUUGUUUAACGAGGUCACAUCAUUAGUAGAAUGAUCUGAUUGACAUGACCCAAUCCAUUAGCUUAGCACCCGAUCGUUUAGUAAGUUGCUAUUGCUUUCUUCAUGACUUAUACAUGUUCCUAUAACUAUGAGAUUAUGCAACUCCCGUUUACCGGAGGAACACUUUGGGUACUACCAAACGUCACAACGUAACUGGGUGAUUAUAAAGGAGUAUUACAGGUGUCUCCAAUGGUAGAUGUUGGGUUGGCGUAUUUCGAGAUUAGGGUUUGUCACUCCGAUUGACGGAGAGGUAUCUCUGGGCCCUCUCGGUAAUACACAUCACAUAAGCCUUGCAAGCACUGCAACUAAUAAGUUAGUUGUGAGAUGAUGUAUUACGGAACGAGUAAAGAGACUUGCCGGUAACGAGAUUGAACUAGGUAUUGGAUACCGACGAUCGAAUCUCGGGCAAGUAACAUACCGAUGACAAAGGGAACAACGUAUGUUGUUAUGCGGUCUGACCGAUAAAGAUCUUUGUAGAAUAUGUAGGAGCCAAUAUGGGCAUCCAGGUCCCGCUAUUGGUUAUUGACCGGAAGCGUGUCUCGGUCAUGUCUACAUUGUUCUCGAACCGUAGGGUCCGCACGCUUAACGUUACGAUGACAGUUAUUAUGAGUUUAUGCAUUUUGAUGUACCGAAGGUUGUUCGGAGUCCCGGAUGAGAUCACGGACAUGACGAGGAGUCUCGAAAUGGUCGAGACGUAAAGAUUGAUAUAUUGGAAGCCUAUGUUUGGGCACCGGAAGCGUUCCGGGUGAAAUCGGGAUUUUACCGGAAUACCGGGAGGGUUACCGGAACCCCCCGGGAGACUAAUGGGCCUAUUGGGCCUUAGUGGAAAAGAGAAAAGGGAAGCCCACUAGCUGGCCAGCGCCCCCCUAGAGUCCUAUUAGGAAUAGGACAAGGGGCCGGCCCCCCUUCUCUCUCUUUUUCCCCGGGAGUCCUAAUAGGAUUAGGAUUAGGGGGAGGAGUCCUACUCCCGGUGGGAGUAGGACUCCCCUGCGCCUCCUCUCUCCUAGCCGGCCGAACCCCCUGCCCCUGGCCUUUUAUAUACGGGGGCAGGGGGCACCCCAAGACACACAACUUGAUCCUUGAGAUCGUUCCUUAGCCGUGUGCGGUGCCCCCUGCCACCAAAUUCCACCUCGAUCGUACCGUUGUAGUGCUUAGGCGAAGCCCUGCGUCAGUAGUACAUCAAGAUCGUCAACACGCCAUCGUGCUGACGGAACUCUUCCUCGACGCUUUGCUGGAUCGGAGCCCGAGGAACGUCAUCGAGCUGAACGUGUGCUAAGAACUCGGAGGUACCGGAGUAACGGUGCUUGGAUCGGUCGGAUCGGGAAGAAGACGUACGACUACUUCCUCUACGUUGUGUGAUCGCUUCCGCAGUCGGUCUGCGUUGGUACGUAGACAACACUCUCCUCUCUCGUUGCUGUGCAUCACCAUGAUCUUGCGUGUGCGUAGGAAAAUUUUUGAAAUUACUGCGUUACCGAACAGUGGCAUCUGAGCCUGGUUUUAUGGUUUGAUGUUAUAUGCACGAGUAGAACACAAGUGAGUUGUGGGCGAUACAAGUCAGACUGCCUACCAGCAUGUCAUACUUUGGUUCGGCGGUAUUGUUGGUUGAGACGAUCCGGACCAACCUUACGCGUACUCUUACGCGAGACCGGUUCCCUCGACGUGCUUUGCACAUAGAUGGCUUGCGGAAGACUGUCUCUCCAACUUUAGUUGAACCAAGUGUGACUACGCCCGGUCCUUGAGAAGGUUAAAACAGAGUCUAUUUGACGAACUAUCGUUGUGGUUUUGAUGCGUAGGUGAGAUGAGUUCUUACUUAAGCCCGUAGCAGCCACGUAAAACUUGCAACAACAAAGUAGAGGACGUCUAACUUGUUUUUGCAGUGUAUGUUGUGAUGUGAUAUGGUCAAGGCAUGAUGCUGAUUUUAUUGUAUGAGAUGAUCAUGUUUUGUAACUAAGUUAUCGGCAACUGGCAGGAGCCAUAUGGUUGUCGCUUUAUUGUAUGCAAUGCAAUCGCGAUGUAAUGCUUUACUAGAUUACUAAACGGUAGUAAUAGUCGUGGAAGCAUAAGAUUGGCAAGACGACAACGAUGCUACGAUGGAGAUCAAAGUGUCGCGCCGGUGACGAUGGUGAUCAUGACGGUGCUUCGGAGAUGGAGAUCACAAGCACAAGAUGAUGAUGGCCAUAUCAUAUCACUUAUAUUGAUUGCAUGUGAUGUUUAUCCUUUUAUGCAUCUUAUCUUGCUUUGAUUGACGGUAGCAUUAUAAGAUGAUCUCUCACUAAAUUAUCAAGAAGUGUUCUCCCUGAGUAUGCACCGUUGCCAAAGUUCGUCGUGCCCAGACACCACGUGAUGAUCGGGUGUGAUAAGCUCUACGUCCAUCUACAACGGGUGCAAGCCAGUUUUGCACACGCAGAAUACUCAGGUUAUACUUGACGAGCCUAGCAUAUGCAGAUAUGGCCUCGGAACACAGAGACCGAAAGGUCGAGCGUGAAUCAUAUAGUAGAUAUGAUCAACAUAACGAUGUUCACCAUUGAAAACUACUCCAUCUCACGUGAUGAUCGGUUAUGGUUUAGUUGCUUUGGAUCACGUGAUCACUUAGAAGAUUAGAGGGAUGUCUAGCUAAGUGGGAGUUCCUAAGUAAUUUGAUUAACUGAACUUAAACUUAUCAUGAACUUAGUACCUGAUAGUAUCUUGCUUGUUUAUGUUGCUUGUAGAUAGAUGGCUCGUGCUAUUGUUCCGUUGAAUUUUAAUGCGUUCCUUGAGAAAGCAAAGUUGAAAGAUGAUGGUAGCAAUUACACGGACUGGGUCUGUAACCUGAGGAUUAUCCUCAUUGCUGCACAGAAGAAUUACGUCCUGGAAGCACCGCUGGGUGACAGGCCUGCUGCUGGAGCAACGCCAGAUGUUAUGAACGUCUGGCAGAGCAAAGCUGAUGACUACUCGAUAGUUCAGUGUGCCAUGCUUUACGGCUUAGAAUCGGGACUUCAACGACGUUUUGAACGUCAUGGAGCAUAUGAGAUGUUCCAGGAGUUGAAGUUAAUAUUUCAAGCAAAUGCCCGAAUUGAGAGAUAUGAAGUCUCCAAUAAGUUCUAUAGCUGUAAGAUGGAGGAGAACAGUUCUGUCAGUGAGCAUAUACUCAAAAUGUCUGGGUAUAAUAAUCACUUGAUUCAGAUGGGAGUUAAUCUUCCAGAUGAUUGCAUCAUUGACAGAAUUCUCCAAUCACUACCACCAAGCUACAAGAGCUUCGUGAUGAACUAUAAUAUGCAAGGGAUGAACAAGACUAUUCCCGAGCUCUUCGCAAUGCUGAAAGCUGCGGAGGUAGAAAUCAAAAAGGAGCAUCAAGUGUUGAUGGUUAGCAAGACCACUAGUUUCAAGAAAAAGGGUAAAGGGAAGAAGAAGGGAAACUUCAAGAAGAACAGCAAGCAAGUUGCUGCUCAAGAGAAGAAACCCAAGUCUGGACCUAAGCCUGAAGCUGAGUGCUUCUACUGCAAGCAGACUGGUCACUGGAAGCGGAACUGCCCCAAGUAUUUGGCGGAUAAGAAGGAUGGCAAAGUGAGCAAAGGUAUAUGUGAUAUACAUGUUAUUGAUGUGUACCUUACUAGAGCUCGCAGUAGCACCUGGGUAUUUGAUACUGGUUCUGUUGCUAAUAUUUGCAACUCGAAACAGGGACUACGGAAUAAGCGGACACUAGCAAAGGACGAGGUGACGAUGCGCGUGGGAAACGGUUCCAAAGUCGAUGUGAUCGCGGUCGGCACGCUGCCUCUACAUCUACCUUCGGGAUUAAUAUUAGACCUAAAUAAUUGUUAUUUGGUGCCAGCGUUGAGCAUGAACAUUAUAUCUGGAUCUUGUUUAAUGCGAGACGGUUAUUCAUUUAAAUCAGAGAAUAAUGGUUGUUCUAUUUAUAUGAAUAAUAUCUUUUAUGGUCAUGCACCUUUGAAGAGUGGUCUAUUCUUGUUGAAUCUCGAAGAUAGUGAUACACAUAUUCAUAAUGUAGAAGCCAAAAGAUGCAAAGUUAAUAAUGAUAGUGCAACUUAUUUGUGGCACUGCCGUUUAGGUCAUAUCGGUGUAAAGCGCAUGAAGAAACUCCAUACUGAUGGGCUUUUGGAAUCACUUGAUUAUGAAUCACUUGGUACUUGCGAACCGUGCCUCAUAGGCAAGAUGACUAAAACACCGUUCUCCGGUACUAUGGAGAGAGCAACAGAUUUGUUGGAAAUCAUACAUACCGAUGUAUGUGGUCCGAUGAAUAUUGAGGCUCGCGGCGGAUAUCGUUAUUUUUCACCUUCACAGAUGAUUUAAGCAGAUAUGGGUAUAUCUACUUAAUGAAACACAAGUCUGAAACAUUUGAAAAGUUCAAGGAAUUUCAGAGUGAAGUUGAAAAUCAUCGUAACAAGAAAAUAAAAUUUCUACGAUCUGAUCGUGGAGGAGAAUAUUUGAGUUACGAGUUUGGUGUACAUUUGAAAAAUUGUGGAAUAGUUUCGCAACUCACGCCACCCGGAACACCACAGCGUAAUGGUGUGUCCGAACGUCGUAAUCGUACUUUACUAGAUAUGGUGCGAUCAAUGAUGUCUCUUACUGAUUUACCGCUAUCGUUUUGGGGUUAUGCUUUAGAGACGGCCGCAUUCACGUUAAAUAGGGCACCAUCAAAAUCCGUUGAGACGACGCCUUAUGAACUAUGGUUUGGCAAGAAACCAAAGUUGUCGUUUCUCAAAGUUUGGGGCUGCGAUGCUUAUGUGAAAAAGCUUCAACCUGAUAAGCUCGAACCCAAAGCGGAGAAAUGUGUCUUCAUAGGAUACCCAAAGGAAACUGUUGGGUAUACCUUCUAUCACAGAUCCGAAGGCAAGACAUUCGUUGCUAAGAAUGGAUCAUUUCUAGAGAAGGAGUUUCUCUCGAAAGAAGUGAGUGGGAGGAAAGUAGAACUUGACGAGGUAACUAUACCUGCUCCCUUAUUGGAAAGUAGUACAUCACAGAAAACUGUUUCUGCGACACCUAUACCAAUCAGUGAGAAAGCUAAUGAUGAUGAUCAUGAAGCUUCAGAACAAGAUACUACUGAACCACGUAGAUCAACCAGAGUGAGAUCCGCACCAGAGUGGUACGGUAAUCCACUUCUGGAAGUCAUGAUGCUAGAUCAUGAUGAACCUACGAACUAUGAAGAAGCGAUGGUGAGCCCAGAUUCCGCAAAGUGGCUUGAGGCCAUGAAAUCUGAGAUGGGAUCCAUGUAUGAGAACAAAGUAUGGACUUUGGUUGACUUGCCCGAUGAUCGGCAAGCAAUUGAGAAUAAAUGGAUCUUCAAGAAAAAGACUGACGCUGACGGUAAUGUUACUGUCUAUAAAGCUCGACUUGUCGCAAAAGGUUUUCGACAAGUUCAAGGGGUUGACUACGAUGAGACUUUCUCACCCGUAGCGAUGCUUAAAUCCGUCAGAAUUAUGUUAGCAAUUGCCGCAUUUUAUAAUUAUGAAAUAUGGCAGAUGGAUGUCAAAGCUGCAUUCCUGAAUGGAUUUCUGGAAGAAGAGUUGUAUAUGGUACAACCAGAAGGUUUUGUCGAUCCAAAAGGAGCUAACAAAGUAUGCAAACUCCAGCGAUCCAUUUAUGGACUGGUGCAAGCAUCUCGGAGUUGGAAUAAACGCUUUGAUAGUGUGAUCAAAGCAUUUGGCUUUAUACAGACUUUUGGAGAAGCCUGUAUUUACAAGAAAGUGAGUGGGAGCUCUGUAGCAUUUCUGAUAUUAUAUGUGGAUGACAUAUUGCUGAUUGGAAAUGAUAUAGAAUUUUUGGAUAGCAUAAAGGGAUACUUGAAUAAAAGUUUUUCGAUGAAAGACCUUGGGGAAGCUGCUUACAUAUUAGGCAUAAAGAUCUAUAGAGAUAGAUCAAAACGCUUAAUUGGACUUUCACAGAGCACAUACCUUGACAAGAUUUUGAAGAAAUUCAAAAUGGAUCAAGCAAAGAAAGGGUUCUUGCCUGUGUUACAAGGUGUGAAGUUGAGUAAGACUCAAUGCCCGACCACUGCAGAAGAUAGAGAGAAAAUGAAAGAUGUUACCUAUGCUUCAGCCAUAGGCUCUAUCAUGUAUGCAAUGCUGUGUACCAGACCUGAUGUGUGCCUUGCUAUAAGUUUAGCAGGGAGGUACCAAAGUAAUCCUGGAAUGGAUCACUGGACAGCGGUCAAGAACAUCCUAAAAUACCUGAAAAGGACUAAGGAUAUGUUUCUCGUAUAUGGAGGUGACAAAGAGCUCACCGUAAGAGGUUACGUUGAUGCAAGCUUUGACACUGAUCCGGACGAUUCUAAAUCGCAAACCGGAUACGUGUUUACUUUAAACGGUGGAGCUGUCAGUUGGUGCAGUUCUAAACAAAGCGUCGUAGCGGGAUCUACAUGUGAAGCGGAGUACAUAGCCGCUUCGGAAGCAGCGAACGAAGGAGUCUGGAUGAAGGAGUUCAUAUCCGAUCUAGGUGUCAUACCUAGUGCAUCGGGUCCAAUGAAAAUCUUCUGUGACAAUACUGGUGCAAUUGCCUUGGCAAAGGAAUCCAGAUUUCACAAGAGGACCAAACACAUCAAGAGACGCUUCAACUCCAUCCGGGAUUUAGUCCAGGUGGGAGACAUAGAGAUUUGCAAGAUACAUACGGAUCUGAAUGUUCCAGACCCGUUGACUAAGCCUCUUCCACGAGCAAAACAUGAUCAGCACCAAGGCUCCAUGGGUGUUAGAAUCAUUACUGUAUAAUCUAGAUUAUUGACUCUAGUGCAAGUGGGAGACUGAAGGAAAUAUGCCCUAGAGGCAAUAAUAAAGUUAUUAUUUAUUUCCUUAUAUCAUGAUAAGAGUUUAUUAUUCAUGCUAGAAUUGUAUUAACCGGAAACAUAAUACAUGUGUGAAUACAUAGACCAACAGAGUGUCACUAGUAUGCCUCUACUUGACUAGCUCGUUAAUCAAAGAUGGUUAUGUUUCCUAACCAUGAACAAAGAUUUGUUAUUUGUUUAACGAGGUCACAUCAUUAGUAGAAUGAUCUGAUUGACAUGACCCAAUCCAUUAGCUUAGCACCCGAUCGUUUAGUAAGUUGCUAUUGCUUUCUUCAUGACUUAUACAUGUUCCUAUAACUAUGAGAUUAUGCAACUCCCGUUUACCGGAGGAACACUUUGGGUACUACCAAACGUCACAACGUAACUGGGUGAUUAUAAAGGAGUAUUACAGGUGUCUCCAAUGGUAGAUGUUGGGUUGGCGUAUUUCGAGAUUAGGGUUUGUCACUCCGAUUGACGGAGAGGUAUCUCUGGGCCCUCUCGGUAAUACACAUCACAUAAGCCUUGCAAGCACUGCAACUAAUAAGUUAGUUGUGAGAUGAUGUAUUACGGAACGAGUAAAGAGACUUGCCGGUAACGAGAUUGAACUAGGUAUUGGAUACCGACGAUCGAAUCUCGGGCAAGUAACAUACCGAUGACAAAGGGAACAACGUAUGUUGUUAUGCGGUCUGACCGAUAAAGAUCUUCGUAGAAUAUGUAGGAGCCAAUAUGGGCAUCCAGGUCCCGCUAUUGGUUAUUGACCGGAAGCGUGUCUCGGUCAUGUCUACAUUGUUCUCGAACCGUAGGGUCCGCACGCUUAACGUUACGAUGACAGUUAUUAUGAGUUUAUGCAUUUUGAUGUACCGAAGGUUGUUCGGUGUCCCGGAUGAGAUCACGGACAUGACGAGGAGUCUCGAAAUGGUCGAGACGUAAAGAUUGAUAUAUUGGAAGCCUAUGUUUGGGCACCGGAAGCGUUCCGGGUGAAAUCGGGAUUUUACCGGAAUACCGGGAGGGUUACCGGAACCCCCCGGGAGACUAAUGGGCCUAUUGGGCCUUAGUGGAAAAGAGAAAAGGGAAGCCCACUAGCUGGCCGGCGCCCCCUAGAGUCCUAUUAGGAAUAGGACAAGGGGCCGGCCCCCCUUCUCUCUCUUUUUCCCCGGGAGUCCUAAUAGGAUUAGGAUUAGGGGGAGGAGUCCUACUCCCGGUGGGAGUAGGACUCCCCUGCGCCUCCUCUCUCCUCGCCGGCCGAACCCCCUGCCCCUGGCCUUUAUAUACGGGGGCAGGGGGCACCCCAAGACACACAACUUGAUCCUUGAGAUCGUUCCUUAGCCGUGUGCGGUGCCCCCUGCCACCAAAUUCCACCUCGAUCGUACCGUUGUAGUGCUUAGGCGAAGCCCUGCGUCGGUAGUACAUCAAGAUCGUCAUCACGCCGUCGUGCUGACGGAACUCUUCCUCGACGCUUUGCUGGAUCGGAGCCCGAGGAACGUCAUCGAGCUGAACGUGUGCUAAGAACUCGGAGGUACCGGAGUAACGGUGCUUGGAUCGGUCUGAUCGGGAAGAAGACGUACGACUACUUCCUCUACGUUGUGUGAUCGCUUCCGCAGUCGGUCUGCGUUGGUACGUAGACAACACUCUCCUCUCUCGUUGCUGUGCAUCACCAUGAUCUUGCGUGUGCGUAGGAAAUUUUUUGAAAUUACUGCGUUACCCAACAACCCACCUGUCAUACUCUGUUAGGUUAAUUAGGGUUUAGUUAAUUGAUUAGGCUAAUCUAAUCAGGAUUACUUUGUUUAAGUAAUUCUUCAAUUAAUUAAUUAUCAUUUUAACUAAUUUAAUUAUUAUUUAUUAAUUCAUUCAUUUUUUUAAAUUAUUAUUUUUAUUUCGUUCUCGUUUCAGGGGGGCGUGGGGCCCCGCACACGGGGCCACCGCGGGGCUGUUGCCAGCGGGCGCUGGGGCGCUGGGUGCGGGCGCACCCGAGCGGGCACUCGCCCGCAGGGCGGGACGAGGCUGCCGAGGCAUCGACAGCGGGGCAAGCCNNNNNNNNNNNNNNNNNNNNNNNNNNNNNNNNNNNNNNNNNNNNNNNNNNNNNNNNNNNNNNNNNNNNNNNNNNNNNNNNNNNNNNNNNNNNNNNNNNNNNNNNNNNNNNNNNNNNNNNNNNNNNNNNNNNNNNNNNNNNNNNNNNNNNNNNNNNNNNNNNNNNNNNNNNNNNNNNNNNNNNNNNNNNNNNNNNNNNNNNNNNNNNNNNNNNNNNNNNNNNNNNNNNNNNNNNNNNNNNNNNNNNNNNNNNNNNNNNNNNNNNNNNNNNNNNNNNNNNNNNNNNNNNNNNNNNNNNNNNNNNNNNNNNNNNNNNNNNNNNNNNNNNNNNNNNNNNNNNNNNNNNNNNNNNNNNNNNNNNNNNNNNNNNNNNNNNNNNNNNNNNNNNNNNNNNNNNNNNNNNNNNNNNNNNNNNNNNNNNNNNNNNNNNNNNNNNNNNNNNNNNNNNNNNNNNNNNNNNNNNNNNNNNNNNNNNNNNNNNNNNNNNNNNNNNNNNNNNNNNNNNNNNNNNNNNNNNNNNNNNNNNNNNNNNNNNNNNNNNNNNNNNNNNNNNNNNNNNNNNNNNNNNNNNNNNNNNNNNNNNNNNNNNNNNNNNNNNNNNNNNNNNNNNNNNNNNNNNNNNNNNNNNNNNNNNNNNNNNNNNNNNNNNNNNNNNNNNNNNNNNNNNNNNNNNNNNNNNNNNNNNNNNNNNNNNNNNNNNNNNNNNNNNNNNNNNNNNNNNNNNNNNNNNNNNNNNNNNNNNNNNNNNNNNNNNNNNNNNNNNNNNNNNNNNNNNNNNNNNNNNNNNNNNNNNNNNNNNNNNNNNNNNNNNNNNNNNNNNNNNNNNNNNNNNNNNNNNNNNNNNNNNNNNNNNNNNNNNNNNNNNNNNNNNNNNNNNNNNNNNNNNNNNNNNNNNNNNNNNNNNNNNNNNNNNNNNNNNNNNNNNNNNNNNNNNNNNNNNNNNNNNNNNNNNNNNNNNAGUGGCCCAGUGGGGGGGGGGGUUGUUUUAUUCCUUUCCCUUUUAUACCUUUUCACACUUUUCUUCUUUUGUUUUAUUUUAGUUACACGUUAAUUUUAAUUUUAGACAAAUAUAUCUAUAGCCCCUAAAAUAAUGUUUCAGAACAAUCCACUACUAUAAAAAGUUUUACCCUGAUAAAAUAGUCUAGUAUUUUAUAAAAUACCAAAGUCGUUUAAAUAGUUGUUUAGCUACUAUUUAAAUCAUUUUAGUGCUUUAAAUCAUUUUACUAAAAUGUGGUUCCUCCACCAUUUGGACUUAGGAUUUAUUUGUCCCAUUUUGAACAUUUUAGUCUUGACGUUUGAAGAAUUUACCGUUUGACUCGAUUUUGAAUUUGAAUUUGAAUCGGUGUCGAACUAACACGAGAUUAGCAACAGUAACCAUCAUGACGUGGCAUCAUUAACAGAGGUUUACUGUAUCUCAAAUACCCGGGCGUCACAAUGUGCCUAAUAUUGCAGGAGAUGAGGUGGCUCUGGCUGCAUUAAAAUUUUUAGCCCAAAAUAAGAAGAUUAGUGAUAUUUUCCUUGAGCAACACGACAAGGGAUUGGUUCCUCAUUAUGAGGCAAUAAUAGCUAGGGUUUUGAAAGAAGACCAAGUGUUGCCGAUUGAUCAAAUUGUCGAGAGAAAAUAUUCAACAAUGAUGCAGAUGCCUUCACCUAUCAUUGCAACAUGUUAUACACCCCCUGUACAAGCGCAAAAUUUCGGCAACAUCAAUUCAUUGCCGAAAGAUCCUAAAAGUAUUGGGGGGCAAGCCGAUCCAAGCAGGGUUGAGUUUAAAGAAAAAUAUCUAGCCCAGGUGGACAAGAUCAAGCCAAAGCUCACAGGGAAUAGAGUCAACGAAUUUACUACACCUACCCUUGAGGAAUUACCAGCAGAAUAUCAACAGGCCUACGAAGCACUCAAGAAGAAACGUGGAGAGAGAUAUUUGCAAGAAUACGUCAAGUGCCUUCCUCCAUGUAGCAACCAUGUUGGCCCUUCUACACUAUUGAGGCAAGAUAAAAAAGAAGCUUUGCAAGCAAACCAGCAAAAAAGGAUUCACUCGGCUAAUACGGUGGAUUCGGUUGAAACCGGAUUGAGCAACAGGAUGUUUAAGGCCGAGUGCGUUGCAUCGUGCCAGCCGAGUGCAUCGUUCCAGACGAGUGCAUCACCAGCUAAAGCCGAGUGCAUCAAGCCAACUAUUGCCUCGUGUACGAAAAUAGAAGAUGCAAGCUUGGCUGAGCAAAGGAACGACAAACGCAACAAAUUGGUUGUGCUCGAUUUUUCUGGAUGUAAGGGAGCUUACAUGCUACCUUAUGAGUUUCAUGCUAAAGAUAUUGAUGAGCAUCAAGAACACAGUAAUGGCUGAACACAGUUCAGUUAACGAUGAACAUCAAGACCAAGAAAAUGCGGCCGAGCAAAGUUCAACUGACAAAGAGCGUCCGAGUGAAAUCCACUCGGGCAAUCCGACUGAAAUAUACUCGGGCAAUUCAAGUGAAAUAUACUCGGGCAACCUGAGUGAUGAGGCACCAGAUCCAGAAAAAGAGGAAGAGGCAUUGGAGAAUUAUUCAGAAGUGGAGCAAUGUAUUGUUCCAGUGGUACAACCAUCUUCUCCUUCCAACGUCUUCACAAAGGUACACCUAGCAGAUAGUUUACUCAAUUUUCGAUUUGGUCAAAAUCAUAUUGUUGAUGCACCUAUUAGUAAGAUUCUAAUUAAUUUUGAAAGACCAAUUGAAAUGAGUAAUCUUUUUGUUAGGAAGGAUCUUGUCACUAAUCAUGAUAGUCAACACAUGGUAUCGUUCAUAGAGGUUAAUAGUGACAACUUAUCAAAACCAAAGUUGUUCUUGUCAUGCCAACUGAACUUUGUAUUCAUAUGGACAACUUUGUUUGUUUCAUGCCUAGCUAACAUUUGGACUCCUAUGAGCCGUAUAUUCUGUAAUUAUUUUAGUUGCAGAAACAUAAAGUCAGGUCCAAAGUCCUUCGAAGCCGAUUCAAAUGCAUCAGGAAAAGAAGAUGAAUCUUUCCCAAUUGAUAAAAUUGGCGAGCAAAAAUAUGGUUUUACAACAAUGCAUAUGCCUUCACCUAAUACUACAUCAUAUUAUACAGCCCCUACACAAUUGCAAAGUUUCGGCAACACCCAUGUGCCAUUGCCGAAAGAAUCUAAAAGCAAUGGGGGACAAUCGUAUCCGAAGUGGGCUGAAAAUGAGAAAAAGAUUAAAGCCAAUUUCGCCGCUCGCCGGCAGAAACAAAAAGAAACAGAAUUGGCUCAAGUGAAAGAAGCAUUGCCAAUUGGUAGAAGCAAUGUAAAGAAAGAUGAUUCAGAACAUGAAAGUACUAAGGUUAAAAGAGCCGAAUCAAGGAGUAUAUAUUCUGAAUCCAUCAAAUGCAAAGAGGCAAGCAUUAUUGAGAAAGGGCAUGGCAAGCAUAGCAAAGCGACCAUACUUGAUUUUUCUAAAGUUAAUGGAACCUACUUCCUGCCCUAUGAGUUUUGUGCCAGAGAAAUUGAUGAACUUCAAGGACAAGAAUAAGUAGCCGAACAAAGUUCGGCCGACAAAAAUCUUCAAUGUAAUGAUGCACGAAAUCAACAAAAAGAUGAUGAAGAAGCGUUGGGGAGCCAUCCAAAGGCGGAGCAAGAUAUUGUUCAAGUCACACCACCAUCGUGCUCUCCCAACAUAUUUGAAGAGGUAUGUUUAGCAAGUAAUUUACCUAUUUUCAGAUUUGGUCAGGACUUUAUUGUUGAUGCAUCUAUUAGAAAAAUCCUCAUAAGUAAUUUUGAAAGACCAAUGAAGCAGGGUAAUUUACUUGCUAGCAAUAAAGUUGUUAUUGAGCAUAUCGGUCAACCCAUUACGCCAUUUAUAAAGACCGAUAGUGACUUAUUAUUACAGCCAAAGUUUUCCCCGUUGCUUUAUCUAAAGUUCAUAUCUAUUUGGGUAGCUUUGCUUAUUUCAUACUUGGCUUGCACUUGGUCCCAAUUGAGACAUGUGUGUUCUAACUAUUUUCGUUUUAGAAAUUUAAAGCCAAGAUUAAAUUCUGUUGAGAAAACCGAUGCUAGUAUAAUAUCUUACCCAAAGACAUCGGAGAUAGAUUGCAAAACACAAUGCAUAGCCGAAUGGUGUGAUGCAAAAUCUGAACCAUUCGUUUGCUUCAUUCCGAAGCCGUUCUCACAGCAAGAUCGGCUAGAAAACAAGAAGUAUACCUUCAAUUCAAGCAUGUGUGUUCAAAUAUUUGAUUUGUUGCUGAAAAAUAAUUACAUUACAAUUCUUGAUCACCAUGUUAAGCCAUCAAUCCAAGGACGAAUGUAUUGUAAGUUGCAUGAUUCGUCCAAGCAUAAUUUUGAGGAUUGCAACAUGUUUCGUCAAAUAGUUAAAUCGGCCAUUGAAAAAGGACGAUUGAAGUUUGUUGAAACACCAAGAGAUGACCAGUCUAUUCCGAUUGGUCCCGAUGGCAAAAAGUUUUUGCAUCGACUGCUUCAAGCCGAUCCAUUUAAAGAGAAGGUAAAAACUGCAGGUGAUGGGAUCAAGCUUUCAAGUAAAGAAGUUGUUGAAGAGCAUAAUGAACAUAAUCUUGAGGGUGAGAAUUCCAUCCAAGCUACAAUGGAGACGCCAAGGACUGGGGGGCAGCAAGCAAAUCCAACGAUCGAUGAAAGAAAACCAAAAGAAAACAAAGGCCGAAAUAAGCGCAAGUGUAAAAGAUCAAAAAUCACCUUCGAUGAACUAUUUGAGAAAUAUCAAAAGAAGAGUGAAGAGAAGAAUGCUUAUCGGCCCAAUCAUGCAAAGAAACCAAGAUCACCCCCAAGGCGCAAAUAUGAGGAUCGGUAUUGGCAAUGUGAGAGUUUCAAUGCAACAUAUUCAUAUCCUUAUUUUGGGCCGCCAAUGCCAAUGCCGUGGAUGCCUCCCUAUGCUCAUGUAGAUCCAUAUUCAUCAUGGGACAGGUAUGAUACAAGGGCACAUUCUCCAUCUUAUUUUAGACCAUCUCACCAAUAUUAUGCAGCUCCGAGAAGAUCAACAUUUGAACAGUCACAUGUUAAAGACCGUUUCAAUUAUAAGGAAUCGGUCCGGACACCAUGGAUGAAAAAAGAGGUGGUCAAGCAAGUCUACCGCGUGAAACUAUGAAGGACCGAGCCGAAGGAUUCAACAUCUUUGGUCUACACAUUAUCCAAAUUCUUCAACUAUGUCGUUAACGCCUAUGCCAUGGAAUUCGUCAUCAGGUAUGAUCGGUAACCCUCAAUGGGCUUAUUUUAAUCCAUGGAUGCAAUAUAAUUUCUUACGUCAUGAAAGGGUAUUACCAAGUCACUAUACAUUUGAUUAGCUACAAGUUUGUUGCUGAUCCAAAGGGCCGAAAUACUUGAUUUGUCAUUUCAUUUGUUUAUUUCGGCUAUAUGUGCUUUGAAUGAAGUUUAGAUGGUAAUGGCCGAUGAUAUUUAUCUAUCGUCCUAAGAGUAUGUCAAUGCAUGGCAGGUGUAGUAUUCUAAUAUCGUCCUUAGUUUGAUUGGUGAGCGAGACAAUGUACAUGCUCAUGAAAAUUUAUAUGUAUGCCUAUAUUAUGAUUGAAUGGAGUUGAGACAUCAUGACCGAUGUCAUUGAAUAUAUGCUGCAUAGACCAAUUCAUAGCUGCGGAAUUGGUUGAUGGGCUUAUACUUUGUUUGGAUAUGAUUUGGCUUAUGCAUCUUUGAGAUCUAUAAGAGGCCAAAUCAUAGUUGAUUUUGUUACUGAACAUCGGAUUAGUGUCAUGCAUAAUAUUAAUAUUAGCCUUGUCUCUCUAGUACUAUGGAGAUUAUGUUUUGAUGGUUCAAUUCAUAGCAAUGGCCAAAGUGUUGGUGUUGUUUAUAUAUUUCUUUAUGGUACUAUUUUUUGAAGCCUCGUGCCGCUUAGAAUAUUUUUAUGCACGAUUAAUCAAGGCCGAAUAUGCAUUGUUAUUCGGAUUGACUCUUUUACUUGCUAUAGGUGUUAUACAUAUUGAGGCUUUUGGUGAUUCGUUCUGAGUAGUGCAACAAAUAUCCAAGGAUUAUCAAUGUGUUUUACCGAAUCACUUAUAGUUUAUCUUGGGCUAUGUCUAGAUGAAGAAUUUACCUUGGGUUGCAUUCAAAUUGUUCAUAUAUUUAGACAUGGCAAUUGGAGAGAGUUGGCAUAGCAAGCAUCCGGCUACCAUGUCCAUCAUGUUGUAUUGCAUUUCUCUCAAUAGCCGAUGCUUAGUCUUGUCAACAUAGGUAAGGUCGAACCGAAGUCCAGAACUUCGGCCACUAAUGAAAUUUUUAUGCAGGCCAAAGUAAGGAUUGGAGAAAGUUUAUUGUUGAUUGUCUACAAAAUCCUAGCAAAAGGGUGAACAAUAUGGUUCGGAGGAUGACAUUGAGAUACAUAUCUAUGGAACUUUAUCACCGGAUUGUUAAUGAAGCUGAGAAGGUUUCACCCGAGUUUGCAUCAGAAAGUUCACACAAGACAUGGCCGAUAUAUACUUAUCGUCCUAAGAACAUAUAAAUGGCCGAUGGAGUGUUGACAUCGUCCUUAGAACAAACUUGGUACAAGUAUUUUUCGACACGCUAGGUUUACCGAAAAACAGUGGGGCAUGUGUUGACGCUCAAAAGUGGCACGAUCAUAAAGCAGCAUGCUGGGGCGAAAACCUUGCCGGGGUAAAAUCUUGCCGGUGUGAAAGCUUGCCGGUGUGAAAGCUUGCCGGUGUGAAGGCUUGCCGGCGUGGAAAGCUUGCCGGCACAGAAAGAUCGCCGGUGCUUGCCGGUGUGAAAUCUUGCCGAGGGAGAAACCUUGUCAGGAAGGAACCCUUGCCGGAGUACAAACCUUGCCGGAGUGAAACCUUGCCUGUGUGAAAGCUUGCCGGGUAGAAACAUUGCCGGUGUGGAAAGCUUACUCGGACGGAAAACUUGCCGGGUUGGAGGCUGUGAUAGUCAAUCGAACGAGAAGUUGAAGAUGGGCUCAAAAGGUUAUUCAGAUGAUCUCGGAUGGAAAAAUGAUCUACACGGGUUGUCUUCGUCUCGUCGAAACGAUCGAUUUUGGUAUAAAAAUCAUUCAAAUUCGAGUUUGUAUGCAAAAGUUAGAGCAAUCGGAGUGCAGCCCUGUCACGAGGCGAGAUGUGGCGUGCCCCACCAGACACAUGUCUGACGGGUAGUGCGAGGAAAUAGCCUGUGUUGCGAGACCGAUCUGACCCUCAAGAUGAUCUCUGAUCAAAACACCUUCAACAUGAAAGCUGUUCGUCUCGUCGAAACGGUCAAGAUUGCUUUUGGGCUUGUUUUCAUCCGGGAUCGUUUACCACUGCCAAAAAGACCCGCAAUGUGCAGCCAGUUUAAACCGAACAGUUUUGGAAAGUUCAGAUAAACCAGUCCGAAUUUGACUAGGGUUUUGUACGUGAAUUGAUGUAAUUUUCUUGUAAGGAAAGCCGAGAUAAAUUCUUUGCUUGUACGGGAAGUCCAGCCGCCUCUUAUAUAUGUUGGGGGUGACGGCCGAUUGAAACAACACACAAUCGAACAAACACAUCUACUACCUUUUCAUGUUCAUCUACUUUUUAUCUCUCCCUUGUAUCUUUCUUCUCGUUCUUCGCUAGUUCUUCAUGCUGGAGGGCUGCGGAUCCACGAGGCUUUAGGGCCUAGCUAGCGAAUCGACCUAGGGCAGCCCAUAGCCGCCGCAAUCCCUGACGGGGUCCCUCUCGGGUGCGCGGGGUUUCGGGUCUGCAAAAGCGCCCGCCGACUGUCUUGCGUAUCGCGCUGUCGGUCGGGUCUCCUUCGACGUGAGCUGCGGUGCAUCACCCCUGGCGUCGAGGAUACAUGUGACGUGUUCGUGUGCGAACAACGUGCUCCCUGGCUCCACCCCAUUGAAAAAAUAUACAUCUGGAGGCUGCUUUGUUUCCUCAUCAAAAAAAACUUACGUUAAAAAGAUUGCAUGCAUCCCAGGAAAAAUAAUCAAGAAGUCGGACUCAUCCUUACAAAAACAAGGAACGUGUUAAGUUGACUUCAAAGAAAAAAGGAACAUGUUAAGUUAAAAAAAACAAGAAACCUGUUAAGUUAGAAAAAAACAAGGAACGUGUUGUCCUAGGAAAGAUAUGUGUCAAAUCUUACAAAAAAAAGAAUACACACACGUACGUUCAUGCACUUGGAAAAUAGAAAAAAAAGAACAUCACGUAUGUAUACACUUUGGAAACUCAUUACAUGACCAUGUCUGAUAUACUCCUCUAAUGCUUAACAUUAGUGCCUAAUAAUUUAUAUUUAAAAUUUAAUUUACUGAUCAAAUAUCCCCACUGUUUAAAUUUUAAUUUGGCACAUUGUUUGACUACAGUAUGAACCUAAAUUUCCUCUUAUUAAUAUAUAUCAUGGUAAUAAUCCAAAGGCGACUAAUCUGCGCCGGUGCACCGGCGCAAUCAAUUUGGCCGGACACAGCGCGGCCUUUUGAUUAGAUUGCAUUUAACCAUCAGAUCUGGAAUCGUUUUCUUUCCAAUUAAACGGAUUCAACCAAACAGCAGAGGGGAAAACAAAGCAGCGCCGCCGCCAACACUAGCCAUGGACGAUCGAUGUACCAAAACCUUGAAUAACUGCCGCCGGUCGCCACCCUCGCCGCUGGUGGCCGCCCUCGCCGUCGGUCACCGCCGAUCACCGCCCUCGCUGCCUGCGUUUCUCAUCGGCUUCAUGCAUGCAACAGCAUGCAGUCGUGGUUGCAGGCUUGCAGCUCCGGCUCCGGGGGACAUGGCCGCAUCUCCGGUAACGCCAGCCGCCGACCGCAGCACCUGUCGUUAUGGUCGCGUUGUACCUCGCCGUGUGCCCUCCCGAGGCUCUUGCUGGUUCCAACAAAAAACAAUACGUGUUGUAGCAAAAAAGUUUAUCGCUUCCAGCAAAAAAGCUUACCGCUACAGCCCGCCAUCGUCAUUGUAGCAAAAAUGUUAACCCGAUGUAGCUUUUGUGGUUGCCGACUGCAACAAAAAAUGACGUGGUUGUAGCAAAACACAAAAGAAAAAUGCCGGCCGGCCGCUGUGUAUGGUGGUAACAAACCCUAUAGCCGGUGGUAGCGAAAAACUUCAUAGUUUGCAGCAAAAAAAUGUUGUCGCCCGUCGUCGAGGUUGCAUCGUCUUCAUGAAUUAUGUCGCAAAAAAACAUUGUCGCCGGUAGUAGCAAAUGAAGCCGCCGGUAGUAGCAAAACAAGACACUGGUUCCAGCCAAAAAAUAAAUCAGCGACAGAACCUUUGGUUGGUUACAACAAAAAAACUUGUCGGUUGUAACAUCCCUCGCCGCCGGAUGUAGCAUCUCCCGGGGCUGGUUGCAACACUCCAUAAAAAAAAUGUUGUCUAUGAGCGCAUCCAUGGCGACUGCUGCACCAUCAGCAACGAGGGGAAGAGGAGGCAAUGAAAAUCGUUCGAGUCGUAGCUCCACAGGACGCGGCUGCAGCAUGGGGAGUCCAAAAAUCUGUCACAAGCAACAUGCGCCUCACCAUCCUCCUGCGCAGGAGAGAGAAGAAAAAGGAAUAAGAGGAAGAAGAAAGGAAACGGGAGGAAGAAAAAAGAAACGAUUGGUGGUGGGCUGAGGCAAUUAGUCAAACGAGGGGCACGCGGGGCCGCAGGAUACAGCGCAAUCGAACGAAGCGCGCGCGUCCGGCCGAAGACUCGGCCGGACUGCCGUCUGGAAACGUUUCCCUAAUCCAAAGGCUUUGUCUGAAUGACAAGUCGUCUGGGUUACCGGCUAACUAGAAAAAAGAUAAAUAUGCUAGAGAAUUUCAUAAUAAUUAGAAAUAUCUAGCCUUUAAUUAUGUAAAUCAGAAAAUCACAACCGUUGGAUUUACUUUAAAGGUAAAUUUCUCUAAAUUCCCACCAUUGCCAGUAUGUAGAAACAUGUGCUGCUUCAAUUCUCCCAUAAUCACCAAUCAAUCAACAACACAAAACAUACCUCAGUUAAAAAAACUGAACAAAAAAAAAGAAAAAAGAAGAAAGGACAAGAUACACGCAUGUACACGACAGCCUUGGCUUGAAACACAUCAGUAGAUCAAGUGUCCGCCUCCCUUACACAGAAUAAACUCAUAGGGAAGAAAAUAAUUGUGCAACCUAACCUUAUACGUACUAUUCUAUCCUCACGUCCCAUGAGGUUUACUAGCCUACCGCCGCCGCAUCAUGCCAUCCCCUCCUUUCAGCUCCCAUGCUUUCCAGCACCCUCAUUGCCGCGCCACUACUUGCCUAGGGAUAUUGCUGCUCAGACCGUGGAGCUUAACCUGCUUCUUCUUCAGCAAAUAUGGUACUGCUUUAGGAUCCUUCUCACAUCAGCACGUAUGGGCCUCAUUAUACUGCAGCUCCUGGACCUCCUACAAUUGGUUGGCUAUGGCCAGUUGAUCGAUGUGCCGAAGUCCAGGUCUGUUUGCUGGCACAUAUGCUUUGGAAAUAGGCCACUAUGUUUGUACUUCAAAAUUGUUUCUGUAUUCUUGAGUGGUACAUCCUUUUAAGCGCCAGUUUUUUAUGUCAAUUCAUGCUGACAACACUUAACCUAGCCUUUCAUCUUCACGUACUAAAUACAGGAGCAAGUAAAAACAACAGACCACCUAAUUGCUCUGCAUGUACUACAUAGGAAAAUUUGUCAUGUUCUACGAUCGCACCAUCCCACACUUCUCUCUUGGUAUGGGCGCCAAUUGAGGGAUUGAUAAAACUGAAACGAAGACGUCACGGGGCUGGAAGUACCGCUAGCCUGGUUUGCACUGCAACCUACUCAACGCCAUCAGAAACUAGCAACUGAGGCAGUUGUUGAUCGAUUCUCUCAAAUUGCUCUCAUGUAAGUACUACCCCUUGCAUGUGCGUACAUACCUUUGUUCCAUUCUCAAACAGAUAGAACAUUUAUGAUCGGUGCAUGGCUAUUUUUCAUCACAUGACAUCCAGAUAACAAGCAUGAAAGGACUACAUUGGAGAUCAAAAAAUAUUGGUUCCUGGCUAGAGGACCACUACCUAUGGACUUGUCUCCAUAGAAUUUGUUCCCAAGACGUUAUUUUAAUUAACCUCUUUAGCUUUCUUCCAUUGCAAACGGUGAUGUGCAUCAUGGUAUAUACGUGACCAUCUUGCACAUGUAUACACAAGAGGCUCAGACGGAGGUGCUGGAUUCUGGACGAGGGAAUAUGAAGCAGGAGUGAGCGAAGAGUAAAUAAUGGUGGGAGUACCGAUUGGUGUUAUGAAGAAAAAUGCCAUUCAAAGAUUGAUUAGUGUCAUGGAAGAUUAAUUUCUGAAUGCGAAUAUAUAUGUUACAUUGGUUUGGAUCUUUUUGAGAUAAUUGCACCUAAAUUAGGUUCUUUCUUAUUUCAUAUGUAUACCUUAUUUCAGUAAAAGUUCACAACGAACUUAGUAGGACAAAUAUAAUUUUGUUUGUGCUUUCUGUUGUCCGCCACCAAAGCUCAGUUUGAACUCUCUAGAAAUGGACAAUGAUUUAUGCAUUCUAUAUCUUCUUGAUUGAUUAGUCAUGACAAGGAAAUAAAAUGAUUGACUGAUAUAGCAUAACUUUGGAACGAUCUGUUCGUAGAGGUUACUACAAAUUAGAGUAGUGUCUGUUGGAAUUUUGCUAGUAGGCCUUUGGCCCAAAGCCCAACUAAAAUUCUGAAAUUCUCUUGGCUCAUUCAUGCACACAUGUGAGUGGAGUGAGUGAGACUAAAGUUUAGUCCCUCCCCGAAAGUUGAGAGAGUGUUGCACCUCUUUAUAAGGUGAGCUCUUCUACCACUUGUAUGAGCAUGGGAAGAGGAGACCUACACGCGCGCUCCUCCUCCUCGCUCACCAUGCCUCGUCACGACGCGCCGCGCCGCACCGCGUGGUGGGUUGUGGGAUUGAGCCGAGCCGAGGACGUUGUCUAUAUUUUUGCUGCUCGGGAAAAAUUAAUGAGUCAUUAAUUAAUAAUUAAUGGACGCGUUAAUUACUGAACCGUUUCCGAUUCUUUUGGAUCCUGACGACUCGGACGUGGGGUUUACUCCCACGACCUACCCGACCUGCACUACAUAGCCAGGCAGACGUCUACCUUAGCCGCCGCCCCUUCGUAUGGUUUCUCACCACCGUUACAGAUCAUUGCGCCGCCAAGCAAGUUUUCUCCAUCCCUCGUUUCGGCGUGCACCGGGAGAAGGGACAGCAGGCCUCCGGAACCCCGCCUCUCGUGAUCCUGUACGGAAGAGGGGCGAUCAGGUUUUUGGGGAGCGCAUCGCACGACUGCUGGCAGCGACGACUUCGCGAACGACGACUUCUUCCCCGACCUCGGCAACCUCAUCCUCGAGGACAUGGGCGACAACGUCAACGCCGGCGGUGCUACACCCACUGCACCGUAUGUUAUUCUAUCCUUCUUGUUCGAGAUCGUGGUAGAAUUCAUGUUUCUAGUAUGUGCCCUAGAGGUGAUCUGUUCAUCUACUAUGCUAGUUCGCAUGAUUAGUUUAAUCUCUGCUAUUGCUGUCAUGAUCUAUUUCCUAUUUAUUCGGAUUAAAUCUCGUAGUAAUUUUCUCAUUUUUCCAACAAUCCAAAAACCUAAUUAUAGGCAACUUACUCCGAGUGGUUUUGAUGCGCAUCUGAAAGCCGCCUGCCUUUAAGGGGGCGCAAUAUAAGAGGUGGCGCACGAGAGCAGUCUACUGGUUUCAGAUCAUGGGCUGCUAUGACGCCAUCGAUACCCUCUUUAAAGGCACUCUUCUGAGUGUUCUUGAUGACUCCAUUGUGGAUUCGUAUAUGUCGUUGACAACGGCAAGAAUAUGUGGGCUGCGCUCGAGGCCAAGUUUGGUGCCUCGGAUGCUAGUAGCGAGUUGUACGUCAUGGAGCAAUUCUAUGACUCCAAGAUGACUGAUGAGCGCCCUGUUGUACAGCAGGCUCAUGAGAUACAGUCGCUCGGAAAAGAACUUGAGUACUUCAAGUGUGUGUUGCCGAACAAAUUUUUUGCCGGAGGCAUCAUUGCCAAGCUUCCACCUUCGUGGAACAAUUUUGCUACUUCCCUGAAACACAAGAGACAGGAGUUUUUCGUUGCGGAUCUCAUUGGUACUCUUGAUGUUGAAGAGAAGGCGAGAGCAAAGGAUACACGUGCUCGAGUUGCUGAGGGAGGUUCUAGUGCCCACAUGGUACAGAAGAAGAACUUCCAGCCCGUUCAAAAACAACAAGAACAAAACUCAGGGCAAAGGCAAGUUUGAUACAAAGAACAAGCCAUCACAUUCUACCAACUUCAAGAAGAAUUCUCAUAAGAAGGGGAAGGGACUUUGCCAUGUCUGCGGUGAUCCUAAUCACUGGGCUCUGAAGUGUCCUAACUGCUUUGAGGAGCGCGAACAUGAGAAGAGCGGCAAGUCCGCUAAUGUUGUCAUCGGUGAUACUGAUAUGAAGGAAUCAGGGUACGGUAUUUUUCCUACCAUCCUUUCAGUUUUCCAAACCCCUGAUUGGUUAAUUGACACCGGUGCCAAUGUACAUGUUUGUGCUGAUGCCUCCAUGUUUUCUUCUUACCAGGCCAUUGGGACUUCACCCGUGCUGAUGGGGAACGGGUCACAUGCCAUCGUUCGAGGUGUUGGUACGGUCGAUCUGAAGUUUACUUCGGGGAAGACCGUGCGUCGGAAGAACGUUCAUCAUGUUCCAUCCAUCAAUAAAAAUCUCGUUAGCGGUUCCCGUUUAUGUCGAGAUGGUUUUAAGUUGGUUUUCGAAUACACUAAAGUUGUAAUUUCUAAGUACGGACAAUUUGGUGGAAAAGGCUAUGAGAGCGAAGGCUUGUUUUGCCUGUCUUUGUCAGAUAUUUUCACUAAAGUUAUUAAUAAUGUUUGCCACAACAAUGAGUCUGAUAUUUGGCAUUCACGACUUUGUCACAUUAACUUUGGUUGCAUGACGCGGCUAGCCAAUAUGAAUUUAAUUCCGAAAAUCUCUACUGUCAAAGGCUCUAAGUGCCAAGUAUGUGUGCAAGCUAGCUAAGCAACCUCGCAAGUCCCAUAAGACUGUAGAGGCAAGAGACUUGGCGCCACUAGAGCUUAUACAUUCUGAUAUUUGUGAGAUGAAUGGCGUGUUGACAAAAGGUGGAAAGAGAUACUUCAUGACGUUGAUUGAUGACUCCACUAGAUAUUGUUAUGUGUAUCUUAUGAAAUCAAAAGAUGAGGCUUUGACUUUCUUCAAAAACUAUAAAGCUGAGGCAGAGAACCAACUUGAUCAAAAAAUUAAACGGCUUAGGUCCGAUCAUGGUGGAGUGUAUUUUUCCAAUGAAUUUGAUCUGUUUUGUGCGGAACAUGGUAUAAUCCAUGAGAGGAUGCGUCCCUACUCAGCCUAGUCAAAUGGGGUAGCCAAAAUAAAGAACCGAACUCUAACUGAUAUGGUUAACACCAUGUUAGACACUUCAGGUCUAUCCAAGGAAUGGUGGGGGCAGGCGCUAACGACUGCGUGUCAUGUCCUAAACAGAGUACCCACAAAGCAUAAGACCAUGACUCCAUUUGAGGAAUGUGAAAGGAAAAUGUUGAAACUCUCUUACCUACGUACUUGGGGUUGUUUGGCGAAAGUCAAUAUACCAAUUCCCAAGAAGCGCAAGGUUGGACCAAAAACCGUGGAUUGUGUUCUUCUGGGCUAUGCUUUUCAUAGCAUCGGCUAUAGAUUUUUGAUAAUAAAAUCUGAGGUAUCCGACAUGCAUGUUGGUACGAUUAUGGAGUCGAAUGAUGCAACUUUCUUUGAGGACAUAUUUCCUAUGAAGGAUAUGUCGAGUUCAUCAAAUCAGGAGACACCUACUCCAUCUAGUGAGGAAUUCACUGUAAUUCCUGAACCCACCAUUGCGAUGGAACACGUUGAGAAUCCUGUUGAGGGUGACAAUGGAACUCCUAUGAGGAGUAAGAGACACAGGACUACAAAGUCCUUUGGUGAUGAUUUCAUUGUGUUCCUCGUGGAUGACACACCCAGGACUAUUUCAGAAGCCUGUGCAUCUCUUGAUGCUAACUACUGGAAGGAAGCUGUACGUAGCGAGAUGGAUUCCAUCUUAGGUAACGGAACCUGGGAGAUCACUGACCGUCCUUAUGGGUGCAAACUUGUAGGAUGUAAGUGGGUGUUCAAGAAGAAGCUUAGACCUGAUGGUACGAUUGAAAAGUACAAGGCACGGCUUGUGGCCAAGGGUUAUACCCAGAAAGAAGGUGAAGACUUCUUUGAUACUUACUCACCCGUGGCUAGAAUGACCACAAUUCGGGUGCUACUAUCACUUGCUGCCUCACAUGGUCUUCUCGUUCAUCAAAUGGAUGUUAAGACAGCUUUCCUCAAUGGAGAGAGUUGGAGGAAGAAAUUUACAUGGAUCAGCCAGAUGGUUUUGUAGUACCUAGUUAGGAAGGAAAGGUGUGCAAGUUAUUAAAGUCUUUAUAUGGCCUUAAACAAGCUCCUAAAGAGUGGCAUGAGUAGUUUGAAAGAACAUUAACUGCUGCCGGCUUUGUAGUAAACGAUGAUGACAAGUGCGUGUACUAUCGCUAUGGUGGGGCGAAGGAGUUAUUCUUUCUCUGUAUGUCGACGACAUAUUGAUCUUUGGAGCCAAACUUGAUUUAAUCAAGGAGGUUAAGGAUUUCUUAUCUUGUUGUUUUGAGAUGAAGGAUCUAGGAGUAGCUGAUGUUAUCUUAAACAUCAAGCUGUUGAGAGAUGAGAAUGGUGGGAUCACACUACUUCAGUCUCACUAUGUGGAAAAGGUCUUGAGUCAUUUUGGGUAUAGCGACUGCACACCUUCUCCAACUCCAUAUGAUGCUAGUGUGUUGCAUCGAAAGAAUCGAUGGAUUGCUAGAGAUCAACUGAGGUAUUCUCAUAUUAUUGGCCCGCUUAUGUAUUUGACGAGUGCCACGAGGCCUAACAUCUCAUUUGCUGUUAGCAAGCUGAGUCGGUUUGUGUCAAAACCGGGAGAUGAUCGUUGGCAUGCUCUUGAGAGAGUUAUGCGCUAUUUGAAAGGCACCGCGAGCUAUGGGAUUCACUACACCGGGUAUCCAAGGGUACUGGAGGGUUAUAGUGACUCAAACUGGAAGUCCUGCAAACAGACCAUCUUAACAAGGUCAAGUAUGGAAGCAGAACUCACAGCAUUAGAAACUGCCACUGUGAUAAUCAAACUAUGAUCGUCAAGAUAAACAGUUACGGACAAUAUGAAGUCCUCAAGGCAUGUGAAGAGGAGACUGAAAUCUGUCAGAAAAUUGAGGAACUCUGGAGUUAUUACGUUGGAUUAUAUCGAAACAUCGAAAAAUUUGGCAGAUCCCUUCACAGAGGGUCUAUCACGUAAUGUGAUAGAUAAUGCAUCGAUGGAGAUGGGUCUGAGACCCACCGCAUGAGUUGUCCAUAGUGGUCUAUGUGAUCGGAGAUCCCGUGAAGUAGAAGUGGGAGACAAGUUGUUGAUCAGCUGGGAGGAUAGUAUCCCUAUAUUACCUAUCCCACUCCAUGAAGAUGCAAUACUCUCCUAAUCUGCAUGGCAGGUUGACACUUAUGUUAAUGUGUUCCAAGUGGCUUAUUCGGGUAAGCAGAGAUGUUGUCCUGCAGAACAUCUUCUAAGGAACACACCUAUAUGAAUUUGACUGUUAACGUCGCAGUAUGUGAGAAUUGGGUGUUCUCUAAUAAAUUGAUGAAAAGGCCCUGGAGUAUGACGUAUACGCUCCACCCGCGGGGAAGCCUUGCGGCAGCCCAGUAUCGGUCAAGAAUUUGUGUGAAACUAGUCUCGCAGAAAAUUUGUAGUUCAAGGCGUAGUCCAAACGGAAUAUCAAACGGAGUCCAAACGGAAUGAAACCUUUGGGAACGUGAUUUUCUCAACGAACAAGACCCAGGAGACUUGGACCCUACGUCCAGACACAAAAGAGGAGGCCACGAGGUAGGGGGGCGCGCCCUCCACCCUCGUGGGGCCCCUGUUGCUGAAGGACAUAUGCCCUAGAGGCAAUAAUAAAGUUAUGAUUUAUUUCCUUAUAUCAUGAUAAAUGUUUAUUAUUCAUGCUGGAAUUGUAUUAACCGGAAACAUAAUACAUGUGUGAAUACAUAGACAAACAAAGUGUCACCAGUAUGCCUCUACUUGACUAGAUUGUUAAUCAAAGAUGGUUAUGUUUCCUAACCAUAGACAAAGAGUUGUUAUUUGAUUAACGGGAUCACAUCAUUAGUUGAAUGAUCUGAUUGACAUGACCCAUUCCAUUAGCUUAGCACCCGAUCGUUUAGUAUGUUGCUAUUGCUUUCUUCAUGACUUAUACAUGUUCGUAUGACUAUGAGAUUAUGCAACUCCCGUUUACCGAAGGAACACUUUGUGUGCUACCAAACGUCACAACGUAACUGGGUGAAUAUAAAGGAGUUCUACAGGUGUCUCCAAAGGUACAUGUUGGGUUGGCGUAUUUCGAGAUUAGGAUUUGUCACUCCGUUUGUCGGAGAGGUAUCUCUGGGCCCUCUCGGUAAUGCACAUCACAUAAUCCUUGCAAGCAUUGCAACUAAUGUGUUAGUUGUGAGAUGAUGUAUUACGGAACGAGGAAAGAGACUUGCCGGUAAUGAGAUUGAACUAGGUAUUGGAUACCGACGAUCGAAUCUCGGGCAAGUAACAUACCGAUGACAAUGGGAACAACGUAUGUAGUUAUGCGGUCUGACCGAUAAAGAUCUUCGUAGAAUAUGUAGGAGCCAAUAUGGGCAUCCAGGUCCCGCUAUUGGUUAUUGACCAUAGACGUGUCUCGGUCAAGUCUACAUUGUUCUCGAACCGUAGGGUCUGCACGCUUAAAGUUACGAUGACAAUUUCAUUAUGAGUUUAUGUAUUUUGAUGUACCGAAGGUUGUUCGGAGUCCCGGAUGUGAUCACGGACAUGACGAGGAGUCACGAAAUGGUCGAGACAUAAAGAUCGAUAUAUUGGAAGCCUAUAUUUGGACAUCGGAAUCGUUCCGGGUGAAAUCGGCAUUUUACCAGAGUACCGCGGGGUUACCGGAACCCCCGGGGGGGUUAUUGGGCCUACAUGGGCCUUGAAGAAGAGAGGAGGCAGGAGGUGGCCGCGCGCCCCUCCCCUUCCUAGUCCGAAUAGGACAAGGGAAGGGGGGUGGCGCCCCCCCUUUCCUUCCCCUCUUCCUCCUCUUUCCCCCCUUCUCCUUCUCCAACUAGGAAAGAAGGGAGUCCUACUCCCGGUGGGAGUAGGACUCCCCCUGGCGCGCCCCUCCUUGGCCGGCCGCCCCCUCCCCUUGGUUCCUUCAUAUACGGGGGCAGGGGGCACCCUAGGACACAGAAGUUGAUCUUCGUGAUCGUUCCUUAGUCGUGUGCGGUGCCCCCCUCCACGAUAUUACACCUCGAUCAUAUUGUAGCAGUGCUUAGGCGAAGCCCUGUGACGGUUAAACAUCAAGAUCGUCACCACGCCGUCGUGCUGACCAAACUCCUCCCCGAAGCUUUGCUGGAUCCGAGCCGGGGGUGCGUCAUCGAGCCGUACGUGUCUCAAGAACUCGGAGGUGCCGGAGUAAAGGUGCUUGGAUUGGUUGGACCGGGAAGACGUACGACUACUUCCUCUACGUUGCGUCAACGCUUCCGCUUCGGUCUACAAGGAUACGUAGACAACACUCUCCCCUCUUGUUGCUAUGCAUCACCAUGAACUUGCGUGUGCGUAGGAAAUUUUUUGAAAUUACUACAUUCCCCAACAGUGGCAUCCGAGCCUAGGUUUUAUGGUUUGAUGUUAUACGCACGAGUAGAACACAAGUGAGUUGUGGGCGAUAUAAGUCAUACUGCCUACCAGCAUGUCAUACUUUGGUUCGGCGGUAUUGUUGGAUGAAGUGGCCCGGACCGACAUUACGCGUACGCUUACGCGAGACUGGUUCUACCGCCGUGCUUUGCACAUAGAUGGCUGGCGGGUGUCAGUUUCUCCAACUUUAGUUGAACCGAGUGUGGCUACGCCCGGUCCUUGCGAAGGUUAAAACGGCAUCAACUUGACAAACUAUCUGUCACAGCCCUAGAAUUUGCUUGUAGCUAUUUACCCGAGUGAGCAUGAUGCAUCAUGUCUAAAUUCUGAAAGUUGAAUUGAGGUUAGUAGAAACCCUCAUAAAUCACUUCAAAAAUAAUCAACAUUAAAAUCUUUUCAAAGAAGUCCAAGAAAGUGUUCCUCUUAGUCUCUGAAAAUAUUGGCAAGAGGUAAAACUUAAAACAAUAUUUUUGGAAUCUCAGAGAUAUUUAUUUUGGGCCUUUGAAUUAAUUCAAUAACAAUUUGCAUUGGAUAUAUAUUUUAUAUAUAACUAAUAUAUGUCCAAUAAUUCUAGAACAUUUUAUGUGGUUUGUUAUAUUUUAGUUCUAGCCACAUAAUUAUUUUCAGGAUUUUAUUAAAUGGUUUAGUAUUUUUACUAAACCAAAACAAAACAGAACAAAAUAGAAAAAAACUGAAACAGAAAGCAAACAGAAAAUAGAGAGAGAGAGAGGAGCUACCUGGGCUUACCUGGCGCCCCAACUGGCCCACCUCUGUAGCAGCCCAACUGGCCAAAGCCAGCCCGGCCCAUCAGGGGCAGCACUGUCUUCUUCCUCCUGCCAGGAGGAGAAGCAGCUGCGUGCCCGAUGGCCGGCGAGCCGCGCUGGCUCCUCCCUGCCUGCGUGCCCCCCCUCGACUUCCUGGAUGCCAUGCACUCCCCCUCGCCCCCUGCACCUCUCCUCUCUCCCCCUGGACCCCAUCCCCUCCUCUGCUCCCCUCUCGCGCGCACCACCGAGCGGAGCUCGUCGUCAUCGUCGCCGUACUCGUGGCCACCGGCCACCCCUCGCCCUGCCGCUGCGCCCAAAAGCUCUGCCAUUUCGUCCUCGACCCCCUCACCGAGCCACGCCACCGCGGGAGCCCCACAUCGCGGCUACGAGUCGUCCUCCCCGAGCACGGCCGCCGGACUUCAUCGAUGAAUUCGUCGCCUUCCGGUCGUCCCCGAGCCAGCUGAGCUCCGCUUCGACCUCACCGUGAGAUCCUCUACCAAACCCCUCUCUCCCCGCCGUCUAUUUCCUCCUCUAGCCUCACUAACCACCGUGGCCGAAGCUCGCCGCCGCCGUACCUCAUCGCCGCCACGGCCAUAGCUGCCGCCACCCACGCCCGAGCUUUGCCCCAUGCUCAGCACUCUCCCAGGAGCCGGGCGCGCCCACCCAUUCGACCCGUUGUGCCCCCUAGCGCCAACCCCGACCUCGCCCGAAUUCCGGCCGCCGCAAAAGUUGCCGCCACCGUCGAUUUAGUCAACCCCGGUGCGAGGUGUUGCCACCGAUGGAUGCGCGAGUCUCCCAGCUCGCCGUAGCCACAAACCACGAGCGAAACGAUGCUCUGUAGCUCCGUCCCGAGCAUCUCCGGCGAGCCACGGCCGUGCUUUUGGUCGCCGGCGUCGACCGCUGACGUGGUCGCUUAAUUAAGUCUAAUCACCACUAAUCCCUGCCUAACAGACGCUGACUCACGGGCCCCACCUGUUAAUUAACCACAAGGUUAUACCCUGUUUAAUUUAAGCUAAUGACCGUGGCCCCACGGGUCAGUUUGACCUGGCCACGUCACCGUUGACCUGGUCCCACACGUCAGCCACAGAAACCAGCCCUGGGUCACUGACCAGUGGGCCCCACUAGUCAGGUUUGACCCGGACCAGCCCUGUUGACUUGCUUACGUCACCCUGAUGUCAUGCUGACGCAGUAAUUAAUUUCUGUUUUAUAAUAAUUCAGAAAAUUUCAGAAAAUGUCCAAAACUUCUAAAAAUCAUAGAAAUUAAACUGUAACUCCAAAUAAAAUAAAUUAUAUAUGUAAAAUUAUCAGAAAAAUUCAAGGAAUCUGUUUAUGGCAUUUUCAUGCAUGUUUGAAAAAUGUUUGACCUCUGUUUUGGACAAAACAAUAAAGGGCAUUUAAAUAAUCAUAUAUGGAGUUUGAAUUUGAAUCUUGUAUUCAAACCAACUUCAUUUAAUUGUGUUGUUAGUUGCUUUAGGUCAAUCAAUAGCAUAUUGCCAUGUCAUUAUCAUGCAUCAUAUUGUUGCAUCGCAUUGAUUGUGUCCUUCCUUGUUUGCCGGUAAUUGCCCCCUCUCAGUAGACGUUGUUUCCGACGACGUGAUCGAUGACACCGAUGAAGAGCUAUUCUAUCUUCAGAAGUGCCAGGCAAGCACAACCCCCUUGUUCAUUCCGAUACAAGCCCACUCUCUCGCUCCUGCUCUCUUUUACUGCAUUAGGACAACAAUGAUUCAUUUGUUACUUGUUGCGGUAGUUGAACCCCUUAUCCUCUGCAUGACCUAUCAUUGCCACAGUAAUUAGAUGAAACCCGCUAGCAUGAGUAGGAGUUGUUUGAGCCCUGAUGUGCCUACUCAUUCAUGCUUGUUUGUCAUGCCUGCUACUGCUUAGAGUUGAGUCAGGUCUGAUUCAUCGGGGAUGGAUCGGAGGUGUGUAAACAUGUCCUAUUGUGUGUGAGCUAAGUGUGUGAACACGUUUUGGUAAAGGUAGCGGUGACAGGCCAUGUAGGAGUACAUGGUGGGUUGUCUCAUUGAAACCGUCCACAGGAACUAAGUUCUGUGUUUGUGAUCCAUGAAACAGCUGCUACCACACGUUGGGCCCCGAAAUAUGACCCCGCUCGACUUACUGACCCCUCUCUUCCUCUGUCCAGGAGUUGCAAUUAGUUUCUGGUGUUUAUAGGAUAUGUGUUGGCGGCCGUGUGUAGCGCUGACCCUAGGGGUGGGCUAUGAUGCGGUAGAUACACUGUGGCCCGGUGUACCGGGCGCCCGUUUGGUGUCUCUGGAACCCUGCACACAUCGUUUGGGGCUGUGAGCGAAACUCCGUCCGGAUCUCCUCGCGGAUGGAACCCGAAUAGGCGAUAAACCUGGACUAGAGACUUGUGUGGUUAGUCAGGUCGUGGUCUACACCCACGUCGGCUUUCGCUUGAAGUCUGCCGAGCACAUGUCGUGUGCAGACGCUAAGUGGUGGAAACAUGUGUGACGAAGUACACCCCCGCAGGGUUAUAAAUGAUCUAUUCGAAUAGCCGUGUCCGCGGUAAAGGACUUCUGGGUUGCCUAUAACAGUUCAUAGACAAGUGAAAGUGGAUACUCUAAAAACUCGCAAGAUAAGUGUGAGUGCUACGGAUGGCCUUCUCGUAGGGAGACGAGAGCGGAUCCAUAGUGGUCUAUUGAAUGGUGAAUAUGUGGACUCGUGUGCGCCACCUUAAAAGAGUUGCUUGCCAUCGUAGUUCAGGUUAGCCCCGGAAUCAAAGCUGGCUUGCUGCCGUUAAACUCCACCCCCCUUUGAUGAUACCGAUGCAUAUGUAGUUUAGAUCUGAUGUAAGUAUUGCUGAGUACCUUUGUACUCACGUUUGCUUAAUUUAUGUUUUGCAGAGAGACUUCAGUCUCGCUAGUAGUUCCGCGUGGACUUCGACGUUUAGCUUGAUACCUCAGCUACGAUCUUGUGCCCUCGACAGGAUCUGGUAGAUAGUCAGGCUUCUUAGCCUUUUUCAUUUAUAGAUGUCUGUACUCAGACAUGUUAAGCUUCCGCAUGUGCUUUGCAUUGUAUGCUAUGAUUGUCGGGUCAUGAGACCCAUGCUUGUAAUAUCUAGCUCUUCGGAGCCUAAUGAAUUAAUACUUGAGUCGUAGAGUCUUGUUUUGAUGCCAUGUUGUAUUUACACAUAUCGAGCAUAUUGUGUGUAUGAUUGAAAUGCUUGGUAUGUGUAGGAUCCAACAACCUAGUUGUUUAUCCUUCGCAGCCUUUCUUAUGGGGAAAUGUAGUCUAGUGUUCCUCGAGCCAUAGUAGUCCGCUACAGCCCGGUUCACCGGAGUCCUGCUAGCCCAGCACUACUGUUCAGGACACUUGACUGGCCGGCAUGUGUUUCACUUCAUCCCUAUGUCUGUCCCUUCGGGGAAAUGUCACGCGGUGAUUUCCGGAGUCCUGCCUAGCCUGCUACAGCCCGGGAUCCCCGGAGUCCUGUUAGCCCAGUGCCACAGCCCGGAAUAACUCAUUGAUGACCGACAUGUUCGAUGUGAUUCAUGUAUGCCUGUCUCCAUAGGUCUGUGCCACUUUGGGUUCACGACUAGCCAUGUCGGCCCGGGUUCUUUGUCAUAUGGAUGCUAGCGACACUAUCAUAUACGUGAGCCAAAAGGCGCAAACGGUCCCGGGCCAGGUAAGGUGGCACCCGUGGGAAUACCGUGCGUGAGGCCACAAAGUGAUAUGAUGUGUUACAUGCUAGAUCGGUGUGACCUAGGAUCGGGGUCCUGAUAGCGUUGGUAUCAGAGCCUGACUGCCUGUAGGAUUACCAAGCCAAACUGGUCGAAGUUGAGUCUAGAAAUGCUUUAGUUAUGUAAGGGAAUUGAUUGCGGAAGGGAACGUAAGGCUCUUUUUAUUCCUUAUACCUCAUGCCCUUGUGAUCUGAGUCAUCCUCUUCCUUUCUAUGGGGAUUAAGAACUAGGCUUUCUUAUCUAUCUAUCAGGAUGACGUGUUACUAACCCGUUGACUUAUAGGAUUGAUGGAUUCAUGCUGCAGUUCAGUUCCUACUACUUCCAUAUAUUCAUAACUGGCCGCAGAACCUUGAUAUUAUGAUUCGAGUGGUUAUGCCACCAUUUUUGCAGGAUGUCUCAAAUCUUUUCGAGCAUUUACAGCCGUUAUGCUGUCCGAGUCAUCCCAGGUUUCUAAAUAGUCUGAUGCAUUUGCAAACCUUUUCCCCUGUUCCUGAUGUCCAUUUAGGCCAGGUUAAUCACACUAAUUGUGAGUUGGCGUAUUCUUUUGCCUGGACAUAUAUUUUGGAAUUAUUAUUAUGACCCUAGAUGUCUUAGAGUGCCACCUAGUAAUCGAACCAUGUUUUGCGUUUCUAGUGUGAUGAUUCUGGCCGUUAUUCUUGAAAGCAUCCCGUGAUGCCAUUUAGUUAGUAGGCAUUCUAUUCCUGGGUUUUGAACCCGAGACCCACCCUACCUGCUUCAUGUUGAUAGUGUUUGCUAGUUCCUUAGGACAUUAGUAAACCUUGUGAUAGACCUCGAGGUCCGUGGUAUUUCCUUCUUCCAAUUAUCAUGAACCAUUCAUGGCAGGAGUUCUUUUGAACCAAAAGGUCACGACAGAGUGCUCUUGAUGAGUUCUCCAUUCUAUAUUGUGGCUCUGCCAGUUCUACCUUUCUGCAUGGGUUAUCCGGAAGAAAUAUGUUGAACUCGUUCGACAUACUAACCUAUGCAUCCACAACUCAGAAAGUUAUAUGUUCCUUGAGUUGUUCCUCUUCAGUUGUAUUCCGACCAUCCUCUAUCAGUAGAUAGCCAAGAGUAUGUGUGCAUUUGUGUUCAUCGGUGCCUCUUAUUCUUGUGGUUCGUCGAGCCGUUCUAUUUUAGAAUGACUAGGAGAAACAAACUCCAGUACCUCAUCCAUAUCUAGGGUUGGGUCAAAAUAGUUGUAUUCCGCAGAUCAAAAUGCAACCCAGCUUUUGGUUCUGUUCUACCCUGAAGUAUUACCCACCUUAUGUCAAGAGCGACGUGAGAAUUGCACCUUCUCCUAUGAAUUCUUGACGCAGUGAUACUUCUUGCCAUCAUUGUUCAUUCCUCGGUUCCUGUGUUAUUGUAACCAGAAUGCCGGCACGUGAGUCGUUAUGUGUGAAAUCAAUACUCCUAGCAACUAUGCUGCUUGGUAGUUAAUGGACAAUAUUCUCAUUCUUAGCGUGUUGGUUAUUGAAUUAUCAUUCUAAGACUGAUCGUGCUACCUAGUCCAUAUUUCUGGUGCACACUUCGAUCAAUGGGUUAGGACUGUGCCAAUCCCUCACUCUUUGAUCAUAUCAUCUUGCCCUGAAAAGCAAGGUUGUUCUCGAGCUUAGUAACAUACCGGUGGUUCGUGAUUUUCCGAAUAUCUUCUCAGAAGUGUUACUAGGUUGUCACCUGACCGUUAUGUUGAGUUCAUGAUCAAGAUGGUUUUUCAAUAAACCACUUUUCCCUAAGAAUCUGUGUUGGAUACCCCUGAGCUAGUUGGUUAAGCUUAACAACAACUUGGAGAGUUGGAAGAUGAAAACUUGUCCGACUUAGCUCAUCCCUAAGGGAUAUCCUUGUGUGUGUGGGUGUUGAAGAAAGAUGAUAUAUUCACCAAUUGGUCCUCAUGAUCAGUUGUUGUAUCUAUUAUCUUGUCCAAACCUUGAUUUGAGUGUGGGCUAUCGUCAAAUCAAAUCAGAACCAACGAUGUUCAUAAUGUUGUCUUACUUACGGUUGUCCCUCGAGCAUACACCAUUAUAUAUUUGGUUUGACCAAUACUAUCACAUUGUUCACAUAGUGGUGGAAGUCCAGUGAUAUGGAAAUACCGAUGCGUUGUUGUUGAUCCCAUCAGCAGCCUUUUGUCUCCCCCAUGAGUCAUGUUGAAUGCUACACUAGUAUUGGAAACUUAUAAGCAUUAUCUUUGUGUUUCGUUCAUGAAGCAUAUGUUUGGAUGAAAGAAGUGACUUCCUCUAAUUCAUGUGCACUCGAUGUAAGUUGCCACCAUGAAUUGAGCAAGGUUUGUUUUGUUUCCCUUGGAAUCAUCCCAAAUCAGUCAUGCAUAUGUGCGAAGUAUUCUAUGGUUUGGUAGAUUAAUUACCUCCACUCCAUAUGUGUUCCUAGCACACCAAGCCACUGGUUGAUUUGUUCAAGGAGAAGAAGUUCCUUCUUAAGAAUCAUGACUUAUGUUAGGACUUUGUUAUCCUCGAUAAUGGUUCCCCACCUGAACUCGGUAGUGUUUUAUUAUAAGACUACCAUGUGGUCAUGCUUUUCUGGGACAGCGUGUUCACAUGUGUUUAGCAGAACCAGCUCAUGCUUUGGAGCUUACUACCGUAGUUCAUUCCCCGAGAAUCUCGCAAUGUCGUCUCGUCGAUUUGUGUUGCAAACCUUCAUUUUCCUUUCUAGACUCGAUGAGUCUGGAAUAUCCCGUCACCAACCAGAUCUGAAUCUCAGGCAGAUAUGAUGGUUGGAGCAUUUUCCAAGAACUAUAAUAUUGGUCUCCCGAUAACCGGUAAAGUGGAUGUCGUGGCCAACACAUCCAGCCGGGCGACCUAUUAUUGUAGUAUCUUGAUUGAAGAAAGUUGGCCACCUUCCCAUGAGGAUUUCAUAGGAUUUACUCCAGAAGUUGUUCCUUAUGGAUCUAUUGUAUUCCGAAGUCCGACCACUACUUGGUGGCUAUGCCGAUGCUUAAAGCAUGACCGUGGUUGCCCCCUCUCAGUAGACGUUGUUUCCGACGACGUGAUCGAUGACACCGAUGAAGAGCUAUUCUAUCUUCAGAAGUGCCAGGCAAGCACAACCCCCUUGUUCAUUCCGAUACAAGCCCACUCUCUCGCUCCAGCUCUCUUUUACUGCAUUAGGACAACAACGAUUCAUCUGUUACUUGUUGCGGUAGUUGAACCCCUUAUCCUCUGCAUGACCUGUCAUUGCCACAGUAAUUAGAUGAAACCCACUAGCAUGAGUAGGAGUUGUUUGAGCCCUGAUGUGCCUACUCAUUCAUGCUUGUUUGUCAUGCCUGCUACUGCUUAGAGUUGAGUCAGGUCUGAUUCAUCGGGGAUGGAUCGGAGGUGUGUAAACAUGUCCUAUUGUGUGUGAGCUAAGUGUGUGAACACGUUUUGGUAAAGGUAGCGGUGAGAGGCCAUGUAGGAGUACAUGGUGGGUUGUCUCAUUGAAACCGUCCUCAGGAACUGAGUUCUGUGUUUGUGAUCCAUGAAAUAGCUACUACGACACGUUGGCCCUGAAAUAUGACCCCGCUCGACUUACUGACCCCUCUCGUCCUCUGUCCAGGAGUUGCAAUUAGUUUCUGGUGUUUAUAGGAUAUGUGUUGGCGGCCGUGCGUAGCGCUGACCCUAGGGGUGGGCUAUGAUGCGGUAGAUACACCGUGGCCCGGUGUACCGGGCGCCCGUUUGGUGUCUCGGGAACCCUGCACACAUCGUUUGGGGCUGUGAGCGAAACUCCGGCCGGAUCUCCUCGCGGAUGGAACCCGAAUAGGCAAUAAACCUGGACUAGAGACUUGUGUGGUUAGUCAGGUCGUGGUCUACACCCAUGUCGGCUUUCGCUUGAAGUCUGCCGAGCACAUGUCGUGUGCAGACGCUAAGUGGUGGAAACAUGUGUGACGAAGUACACCCCUACAGGGUUAUAAAUGAUCUAUUCGAAUAGCCGUGUCCGCGGUAAAGGACUUCUGGGUUGCCUAUAACAGUUCAUAGACAAGUGAAAGUGGAUACUCUAAAAACUCGCAAGAUAAGUGUGAGUGCUAUGGAUGGCCUUCUCGUAGGGAGACGAGAGCGGAUCCAUAGUGGUGUAUUGAAUGGUGAAUAUGUGGACUCGUGUGCGCCACCUCAAAAGAGUUGCUUUCAAUCGUAUUUCAGGUUAGCCCCGGAGUCAAAGCUGGCUUGCUGUAGUUAAACUCCACCCCCCCCCUUUGAUGAUACCGAUGCAUAUGUAGUUUAGAUCUGAUGUAAGUCUUGCUGAGUACCUUUGUACUCACGUUUGCUUAAUUUAUGUUUUGUAGAGAGACUUCAGUCUCGCUAGUAGUUCCGCGUGGACCUCGAGGUUUAGCUUGAUACCUCAGCUACGAUCUUGUGCCCUCGACAGGAUCUGGUAGAUAGUCAGGCUUCUUAGCCUUUUUCAUUUAUAGAUGUCUGUACUCAGACAUGUUAAGCUUCCGCAUGUGCUUUGGAUUGUAUGCUAUGAUUGUUGGGUCAUGAGACCCAUGCUUGUAAUAUCUGGCUCUUCAGAGCCUAAUGAAUUAAUACUUGAGUCGUAGAGUCUUGUUGUGAUGCCAUGUUGUAUUUACACAUAUCGACCAUAUUGUGUGUAUGAUUGAAAUGCUUGGUAUGUGUAGGAUCCGACAACCUAGUUGUUUAUCCCUCGCAACCUUUCUUAUGGGGAAAUGUAGUCUAGUGUUCCUUGAGCCAUAGUAGUCCGCUAUAGCCCGGUUCACCGGAGUCCUACUAGCCCAGCACUACUGUUCAGGACACUUGACUGGCCGGCAUGUGUUUCACUUCGUCCCUAUGUCUGUCCCUUCGGGGAAAUGUCACGCGGUGAUUUCCGGUGUCCUGCCUAGCCUCCUACAGCCCGGGAUCCCCGGAGUCCUGUUAGCCCAGUGCCACAGCCCGGAAUCACUCGUUGAUGACCGACAUGUUCGAUGUGAUUCAUGUAUGCCUGUCUCCAUAGGUCUGUGCCGCUUUGGGUUCACGACAAGCCAUGUCGGCCCAGGUUCUUUGUCAUAUGGAUGCUAGCGACACUAUCAUAUACGUGAGCCAAAAGGCGCAAACGGUCCCGGGCCAGUUAAGGUGGCACCCGUGGGAAUACCGCGCGUGAGGCCACAAAGUGAUAUGAUGUGUUACAUGCUAGAUUGGUGUAACCUAGGAUCGGGGUCCUGACACUAUCGUUGUGGUUUUGAUGCGUAGGUAAGAUUGGUUCUUGCUUAAGCCCGUAGCAGCCACGUAAAACUUGCAACAAACAAAGUAGAGGACGUCUAACUUGUUUUUGUAGGGCAUGUUGUGAUGUGAUAUGGUCAAGACAUGAUGCUAAAUUUUAUUGUAUGAGAUGAUCAUGUUUUGUAACUGAGUUAUCGGCAAUUGGCAGGAGCCAUAUGGUUGUCGCUUUAUUGUAUGCAAUGCAAUCGCCCUGUAAUGCUUUACUUUAUCACUAAGCGGCCGGUAGCGAUAGUCGUAGAAGCAUAAGAUUGGCGAGACGACAACGAUGCUACGAUGGAGAUCAAGGUGUCGCGCCGGUGACGAUGGUGAUCAUGACGGUGCUUCAGAGAUGGAGAUCACAAGCACAAGAUGAUGAUGGCCAUAUCAUAUCACUUAUAUUGAUUGCAUGUGAUGUUUAUCUUUUAUGCAUCUUAUCUUGCUUUGAUUGACGAUAGCAUUAUAAGAUGAUCUCUCACUAAAUUAUCAAGAAGUGUUCUCCCUAUGUAUGCACCGUUGCUAAAGUUCGUCGUGCCCAGACACCACGUGAUGAUCGAGUGUGAUAAGCUCUACGUCCAUCUACAACGGGUGCAAGCCAAUUUUGCACACGCAGAAUACUUGGGUUAAACUUGACGAGCCUAGCAUAUGCAGAUAUGGCCUCGGAACACGGAGACUGAAAGGUCGAGCGUGAAUCAUAUAGUAGAUAUGAUCAACAUAAUGAUGUUCACCAUUGAAAACUAAUCCAUUUCACGUGAUGAUCGGUUAUGGUUUAGUUGAUUUGGAUCACGUGAUCACUUAGAGGAUUAGAGGGAUGUCUAUCUAAGUGGGAGUUCUUAAGUAAUAUGAUUAAUUGAACUUCAAUUUAUCAUGAACUUAGUCCCUGAUAGUAUCUUGCUUGUUUAUGUUGAUUGUAGAUAGAUGGCCCGUGCUGUUGUUCCAUUAAAUUUUAAUGCGUUCCUUGAGAAAGCAAAGUUGAAAGAUGAUGGUAGCAAUUACACGGACUUGGUCCAUAACUUGAGGAUUAUCCUCAUUGCUGCACAGAAGAGUUACGUCCUGGAAGCACCGCUGGGUGCCAGGCCUGCUGCUGAUGCAACUGACGACGUUAAGAACGUCUGGCAGAGCAAAGCUGAUGACUACUCGAUAGUUCAAUGUGCCAUGCUUUACGGCUUAGAACCGGGACUUCAACGGCGUUUUGAACAUCAUGGGGCAUAUAAGAUGUUCCAGGUGUUGAAGUUAAUAUUCCAGCAGAAUGCCCGGAUUGAGAGAUAUGAAGUCUCCAAUAAAUUCUAUAGCUGCAAGAUGGAGGAGAAUAGUUCUGUCAGUGAGCAUAUACUCAAGAUGUCUGGGUAUUGUAAUCACUUGAUUCAACUGGGAGUUAAUCUUCCGGAUGAUAGCGUCAUUGACAGAAUUCUCCAAUCACUUCCACCAAGCUACAAGAGCUUCGGGAUGAACUAUAAUAUGCAAGGGAUGGAUAAGACAAUUCCCGAGCUCUUCGCAAUGCUAAAGGUUGCGGAGGUAGAAAUCAAGAAGGAGCAUCAAGUGUUGAUGGUCAACAAGACCACUUGUUUCAAGAAAAAGGGCAAAGGGAAGAAGAAGGGGAACUUCAAGAAGAACAGCAAGCAAGUUGCUGCUCAGGAGAAGAAACCCAAGUCUGGACCUAAGCCUGAAACCGAGUGCUUCUACUACAAGCAGACUGGUCACUUGAAGCGGAACUGCCCCAAGUAUUUGGCGGAUAAGAAGGAUGGCAAAGUGAACAAAGGUAUAUGUGAUAUAGAUGUUAUUGAUGUGUACCUUACUAGAGCUCGCAGUAGCACCUGGGUAUUUGAUACUGGUUCUGUUGCUAAUAUUUGCAACUCGAAACAGGGACUACGGAUUAAGCGAACACUGGCAAAGGACGAGGUGACGAUGCGCAUGGGAAAUGGUUCCAAAGUCGAUGUGAUCGCGGUCGGCAUGCUACCUCUACAUCUACCUUCGGGAUUAGUAUUAGACCUAAAUAAUUGUUAUUUGGUGCCAGUGUUGAGCAUGAACAUUAUAUCUAGAUCUUGUUUAAUGCGAGACGGUUAUUCAUUUAAAUCAGAGAAUAAUGGUUGUUCUAGUUAUAUGAGUAAUAUCUUUUAUGGUCAUGCACCCUUGAAGAGUGGUCUAUUUUUGAUGAAUCUCGAUAGUAGUGAUACACAUAUUCAUAAUGUUGAAGCCAAAAGAUGCAGAGUUGAUAAUGAUUGUGCAACUUAUUUGUGGCACUGCCAUUUAGGUCAUAUCGGUGUAAAGCGCAUGAAGAAACUCCAUACUGAUGGACUUUUGGAACCACUUGAUUAUGAAUCACUUGGUACUUGCGAACCGUGCCUCAUGGGCAAGAUGACUAAAGCACCAUUCUCCGGUACUAUGGAGAGAGCAACAGAUUUGUUGGAAAUCAUACAUACAGAUGUAUGUGGUCCGAUGAAUGUUGAGGCUCGUGGCGGAUAUCAUUAUUUUCUCACCUUCACAGAUGAUUUAAGCAGAUAUGGGUAUAUCUACUUAAUGAAACAUAAGUCUGAAACAUUUGAAAAGUUCAAAGAAUUUCAGAGUGAAGUGGAAAAUCAUCGUAACAAGAAAAUAAAGUUUCUACGAUCUGAUCGUGGAGGAGAAUAUUUGAGUUACGAGUUUGGUGUACAUUUGAAACAAUGCGGAAUAGUUUCGCAACUCACGCCACCCAGAACACCACAACGUAAUGGUGUGUCCGAACGUCGUAAUCUUACUUUACUAGAUAUGGUGCAAUCUAUGAUGUCUCUUACAGAUUUACCGCUAUCGUUUUGGGGUUAUGCUUUAGAGACGGCCACAUUCACGUUAAGUAGGGCACCAUCAAAAUCCGUUGAGACGACAACUUAUGAACUGUGGUUUGGCAAGAAACCAAAGUUGUCAUUUCUUAAAGUUUGGGGCUGCGAUGCUUAUGUGAAAAAGCUUCAACCUGAUAAGCUCGAACGAUAAUCGGAGAAAUGUGUCUUCAUAGGAUACCCAAAGGAAACUGUUGGUUACACCUUCUAUCAUAGAUCCGAAGGCAAGACAUUCGUUGCUAAAAAUGGAUCCUUUCUAGAGAAGGAGUUUCUCUCGAAAGAAGUGAGUGGGAGGAAAGUAGAACUUGAUGAGGUAACUAUACCUGCUCCCUUAUUGGAAAGUAGUUCAUCACAGAAACCGGUUUCUGCGACACCUACACCAAUUAGUGAUGAAUUUAAUGAUGAUGAUCAUGAAAUUUCAGAUCAAGUUACUACUGAGCCUCGUAGAUCAACCAGAGUAAGAUCCGCACCAGAGUGGUACGGUAAUCCUGUUCUAGAAGUCAUGCUACUAGAUCAUGAUGAACCUACGAACUAUGAAGAAGCGAUGGUGAGCCCAGAUUCCGCAAAAUGGCUUGAAGCCAUGAAAUCUGAGAUGGGAUCCAUGUAUGAUAACAAAGUAUGGACUUUGGUUGACUUGCCCGAUGAUCGGCAAGCAAUUGAGAACAAAUGGAUCUUUAAGAAGAAGACUGACGUGACGGUAAUGUUACUGUCUACAAAGCUCGACUUGUCGCAAAAGGUUUUCAACAAGUUGAAGGGAUUGACUACGAUGAGACCUUCUCACCCGUAGCGAUGCUUAAGUCUAUCCGAAUCAUGUUAGCAAUUGCCGCAUUUUAUGAUUAUGAAAUUUGGCAGAUGGAUCUAAAAACUGCAUUCCUGAAUGGAUUUCUGGAAGAAGAGUUGUAUAUGAUGCAACCAGAAGGUUUUAUCGAUCCAAAGGGAACUAACAAAGUGUGCAAGCUCCAGCGAUCCAUUUAUGGACUGGUGCAAGCCUCUCGGAGUUGGAAUAAACUCUUUGAUAGUGUGAUCAAAGCAUUUGGGUUUGUAUAGACUUUUGGAGAAGCCUGUAUUUACAAGAAAGUGAGUGGGAGCUCUAUAGCAUUUCUGAUAUUAUAUGUGGAUGACAUAUUACUAAUCGGAAAUGAUAUAGAAUUUCUGGAUAGCAUAAAGGGAUACUUGAAUAAGAGUUUUUCAAUGAAAGACCUCGGUGAAGCUGCUUACAUAUUGGGCAUUAAGAUCUAUAGAGAUAGAUCAAGACGCUUAAUUGGACUUUCACAAAACACAUACCUUGACAAAGUUUUGAAGAGGUUCAAAAUGGAUCAAGCAAAGAAAGGGUUCUUGCCUGUGUUACAAGGUGUGAAGUUGAGUAAGAAUCAAUGCUCGACCACUUCAGAAGAUAGAGAGAAAAUGAAAGAUGUUCCCUAUGCUUCAGCAGUAGGCUCUAUCAUGUAUGCAAUGCUGUGUACCAGACCUGAUGUGUGCCUUGCUAUAAGUUUAGCAGGGAGGUACCAAAGUAAUCCAGCAGUGGAUCACUGGACGGCGGUCAAGAACAUCCUGAAGUACCUAAAAAGGACUAAGGAUAUGUUUCUCGUAUAUGGAGGUGACAAAGAGCUCAUUGUAAACAGUUACGUUGAUGCAAGCUUUGACACUGAUCCGGACAAUUCUAAAUCGCAAACCAGAUACGUGUUUACAUUAAACGGUGGAGCUGUCAGUUGGUGCAGUUCUAAACAAAGCGUCGUGGCAGGAUCUACAUGUGAAGCGGAGUACAUAGCUGCUUCGGAAGCAGCAAACGAAGGAGUCUGGAUGAAGGAGUUCAUAUCCGAUCUAGGUGUCAUACCUAGUGCAUCGGGUCCAAUGAAAACCUUUUGUGACAAUACUAGUGCAAUUGCCUUGGCAAAGGAAUCCAUAUUUCACAAAAGAACCAAGCACAUCAAGAGACGCUUCAAUUCCAUCCGAGAUCUAGUCCAGGUGGGAGAGAUAGAGAUUUGCAAGAUACAUACGGAUCUGAAUGUAGAAGACCCAUUGACUAAGCCUCUUCCACGAGCAAAACAUGAUCAUCACCAAGGCUCCAUGGGUGUCAGAAUCAUUACUGUGUAAUCUAGAUUAUUGACUCUAGUGCAAGUGGGAGACUGAAGGAAAUAUGCCCUAGAGGCAAUAAUAAAGUUAUUAUUUAUUUCCUUAUAUCAUGAUGAAUGUUUAUUAUUCAUGCUGGAAUUGUAUUAACCGGAAACAUAAUACAUGUGUGAAUACAUAGACAAACAAAGUGUCACUAGUAUGCCUCUACUUGACUAGCUCGUUAAUCAAAGAUGGUUAUGUUUCCUAACCAUAGACAAAGAGUUUUUAUUUGAUUAAUAGGAUCACAUCAUUAGUUGAAUGAUAUGAUUGACAUGACCCAUUCCAUUAGCUUAGCACCCGAUCAUUCUUCAUGACUUAUACAUGUUCCUAUGACUAUGAGAUGAUGCAACUUCCGUUUACUGGAGGAACACUUUGUGUGCUACCAAACGUCACAACGUAACUGGGUGAUUAUAAAGGAGCCCUAUAGGUGUCUCCAAAGGUACAUAUUGGGUUGGCGUAUUUCGAGAUUAGGAUUUGUCACUCCGUUUGUCGGAGAGGUAUCUCUGGGCCCUCUCGGUAAUGCACAUCACAUAAGCCUUGCAAGCAUUGCAACUACUGUGUUACUUGUGAGACGAUGUAUUACGGAACGAGUAAAGAGACUUGCCGGUAAAGAGAUUGAACUAGGUAUUGGAUACCGACGAUCGAAUCUCGGGCAGGUAACAUAUCGAUGACAAAGGGAACAACGUAUGUAGUUAUGCGGUCUCAACGAUAAAGAUCUUCGUAGAAUAUGUAGGAUCCAAUAUGGGCAUCCAGGUCCUGCUAUUGGUUAUUGACCGGAAACGUGUCUCGGUCAUGUCUACAUUGUUCUCGAACCGUAGGGUCCGCACGCUUAAAGUUACGAUGACAGUUUCAUUAUGAGUUUAUGUAUUUUGAUGUACCGAAGGUUGUUCGGAGUCCCGGAUGUGAUCACGGACAUGACGAGGAGUCUCGGAAUGGUCGAGACAUAAAGAUCGAUAUAUUGGAAGCCUAUAUUUGGACAUCGGAAUCGUUUUGGGUGAAAUCGGCAUUAUACCGGAGUACCGGGGGGUUACCGGAACCCCCCGGGGGGUUAUUGGGCCUACAUGGGCCUUGAGGAAGAAGAGAGAAGGAGGUAGGAGGUGGCCGCGCGCCCCUCCCCUUCCUAGUAUGAAUAGGACAAGGGAAGGGGGCGGUGCCCCCCCCUUUCCUUCCCCUCUUCCUCCUCUUUCCUCCCUUCUCCUUCUCCAACUAGGAAAGAAGGGAGUCCUACUCCCGGUGGGAGUAGGACUCCCCCCUGGUGCGCCCCUCCUUGGCCGGCCGCCCCCUCCCCUUGGCUCCUUUAUAUACGGGGGCAGGGGGGCACCCUAGGACACAGAAGUUGACCUUCGUGAUCGUUCCUUAGCCGUGUGCGGUGCCCCCCUCCACGAUAUUACACCUCGAUCAUAUUGUAGUAGUGCUUAGGCGAAGCCCUGCGACGGUUAAACAUCAAGAUCGUCACCACGCCGUCGUGCUGACGAAACUCCUCCCCGAAGCUUUGCUGGAUCGGAGCUCGGGGUGCAUCAUCGAGCUGUACGUGUGUCAAGAACUCGGAGGUGCUGGAGUAACGGUGCUUGGAUUGGUUGGACCGGGAAGACGUACGACUACUUCCUCUACGUUGCGUCAACGCUUCCGCUUCGGUCUACGAGGGUACGUAGACAACACUCUCCCCUCUCGUUGCUAUGCAUCACCAUGAUCUUGCGUGUGCGUAGGAAAUUUUUUGAAAUUACUACAUUCCCCAACAGUUGCUCCACCGACGUACUCCUUCCUCCUAUAUAUACCUGCGUACCCCCAAACGACCAGAUACGGAGCCAAAACCCUAAUUCCACCACCGCAACUUUCUGUAUCCACGAGAUCCCAUCUUGGCGCCUGUUCCGGAGCUCCACCGGAGAGGGCAUCGAUCACGGAGGGCUUCCACAUGAACAGCAUAGCCUCUCCGAUGAAGUGUGAGUAGUUGACCUCAGACCUACAGUCCAUAGUUAUUACCUAGAUGGCUUCUCCUCUCUUUUUGGAUCUCAAUACAAUGUUCUCCCCUCUCUUGUGGAGAACUAUUCGAUGUAAUCUUCUUUUUGCGGUGUGUUUAUUGAGACCGAUGAAUUGUGGGUUGAUGAUCAAGUCUAUCUAUGAAUAAUAUUUGAAUCUUCUCUGAAUUCUUUUAUGUAUGAUUGUUUAUCUUUGCGAGUCUCUUCGAACUAUUAGUUUGGUUUGGCCUACUAGAUUGAUCUUUCUUACAAUGGGAGAAGUGCUUAGCUUUAGGUUCAAUCUUGCGGUGUCCUUUCCCAGUGACAGUAGGGGCAGCAAGGCAUGUAUUGUAUUUUUGCCAUCGAGGACAACAAGAUGGGGUUUUCAUCAUAUUGCAUUAGUUUAUCCCUCUACAUCAUGUCAUCUAGCUUAAGGCGUUACUCUGUUUUUAACUUAAUACUCUAGAAGCAUGCUGGAUAGCGGUCGAUGAGUGGAGUAAUAGUAGUAGAUGCAGGCAGAAGUCGGUCUACUUGUCUCGGACGUGAUGCCUAUAUACAUGAUCAUACCUAGAUAUUCUCAUAAAUAUGCUCAAUUCUGUCAAUUGCUCAACAGUAAUUUGUUCACCCACCAUAGAAUAAUUAUGCUCUCGAGAGAAGCUACUAGUGAAACCUAUGGCCUCGGGAUCUAUGUUUAUCAUAUUAAUCUUCUACUACUUAGUUAUUUCCUUUGCCUUUAUUUUACUUUUCAUUUUUAUCAAAAAAAAUACCAAACAUAUUAUCUUUAUCAUAUCUAUUAGAUCUCACUCUCGUAAGUGGCCGUGUAGGGAUUGACAACCCCUAUUCGUGUUGGUUCCGAGGAUUUAUUUGUUUUGUGCAAGUACGAGGGACUCGCACGUAGCCUCCUACUGGAUUGAUACCUUGGUUCUCAAAAACUGAGGGAAAUACUUAUGCUACUUUGCUGCAUCAUCCCUUCCUCUUCGGGGAAAACCAACGCAGUGCUCAAGAGGUAGCAAGAAGGAUUUCUGGUGCCGUUGCCGGGGAGGUCUACGCAAAAGUCAACAUACCAAGUACCCAUCACAUACCCUUAUCUCCCGCAUUACAUUAUUUGCCAUUUGCCUCUCGUUUUCACCUCCCCCACUUCACCCUUGCCGUUUUAUUCGCCGUCUCUCUCUAUCCUCCCUCUCUUUCUCUAUUUGCCUCUUUUUUCCCGCUUGCUUUCUGUUUGCUUGUGUGUUAGUUGCUUGCUUGUCAUGAUGGCUCAAGAUAAUACUAAAUUAUGUGACUUCACGAUGGCUAAAGCUUGGUUUUCAUCUUUGCCUAAAAAUAGUAAUGAUUCAUGGAAUAAGUGCAAAGAUGCUUUUUUCUCUAAGUAUUUUCCUCCUGCUAAGAUCAUCUCUCUUAGAAACGAUAUUAUGAAUUUUAAGCAACUUGAUCAUGAACAUGUUGCACAAGCUUGGGAGAGAAUGAAACUAAUGGUACAUAAUUGCGCUGCCCAUGGUUUAAAUUUGUGGAUGAUUAUACAAAUAUUUUAUGCCGGAUUGAAUUUUGCUUCAAGAAAUCUUUUAGAUUUGGCCGCGGGAGGCACUUUUAUGGAAAUCACUUUAGGAGAAGCUACUAAACUCAUAGAUAAUAUUAUGGUGAAUUAUGCUCAACGGCAUACUGAAAGAUCUACUAAUAAAAAGGUGCAUGCGAUAGAAGAAAUUAAUGUUUUGAGUGGAAAGAUGGAUGAACUUAUGAAAUUAUUUGCUAAUAAGAGUGUUUCUUCUAAUCCUAAUGAUAUGCCCUUGUCUAGUUUGAUUCAGAAUAAUAACGAAUCUAUGGAUGUGGAUUUUGUUGGUAGGAACAAUUUUGGUAACAACGCGUAUAGAGGAAAUUUCAACCCUAGGCCUUAUCCUAGUAAUCUCUCUAAUAAUUAUGGUAAUUCCGACAACAAUUCUUAUGGAAAUUAUAAUAAGAUGCCCUCUGAUUUUGAAUCUAAUAUUAAAGAAUUUAUUACUUCGCAAAAGAAUUUCAAUGCUUUGAUUGAAGAAAAAUUGCUUAAGAUUGAUGAUUUGGCUAGGAACGUUGAUAGAAUUACUCUUGAUGUUGAUUCUUUGAAACUUAGAUCUAUUCCACCUAAGAAUGAUGUCAAUGAGUCUCUCAAAGCCAUGAGAAUUUCCAUUGAUGAGUGCAAAGAAAGAACCGCUAGGAUGCGUGCUAAGAAAGAUGCCUUUAUAAUAGCGUGUUCUUCUAGUUCCUAUGAAAAUAAUGAUGAAGAUCUAAAAGUUAUUGAUGUGUUCCCUAUUAAAUCUUUGUUUUGCAAUAUGAAUCUUGAUAGUGAUGGGACUGAAUAUGAUCCACCUUUACCUAGAAGGCGUUCCAAGAAUUCAGAAUUUGUUGAUCUUGAUGCUAAAAUUGAUAAAGGAGGGAUUGAAGAAAUUAAAACCCUAGAUGUUGCUAAACCCACUAUUAUGGAUUUCAAGGACUUUAACUAUGAAAAUUGCUCUUUGAUUGAUUGUAUAUCCUUUUUACAAUCCGUGCUAAAUUCUCCUCAUGCUUAUAGUCAAAAUAAAUCGUUUACUAAACAUAUCGUUGAUACCUUGAUGCAAUCUUAUGAAGAAAAACUUGAAUUGGAAGUUUCUUUCCCUAGAAAGCUUUAUGAUGAGUGGGAACCAACUAUUAAAAUUAAAAUUAAAUAUCAUGAAUGCUAUGCUUUAUGUGAUUUGGGUGCUAGUGUUUCCACGAUUCCAAAGACUUUGUGUGAUUUGUUAGGUUUCCAUGAUUUUGAUGAUUGCUCUUUAAACUUGCGCCUUGCGGAUUCCACUAUUAAGAAACCUAUGGGAAGAAUUAAUGAUGUUCUUAUUGAUGCAAAUAGGAAUUAUGUGCUUGUAGAUUUUAUUGUUCUUGACAUAGAUUGCAAUCUUUCAUGUCCUAUUAUUCUUGGUAGACCUUUCCUUAGAACGAUUGGUGCAAUUAUUGAUAUGAAGGAAGGAAAUAUUAGAUUCCAAUUUCCAUUAAGGAAAGGCAUGGAACACUUUACUAGAAAGUCAAUUAAAUUACCUUAUGAAUCUAUUAUGAUAGCCACUUAUGGAUUGUUGGGGAACGUAGUAAUUUCAAAAAAUUUCCUACGCACACGCAAGAUCAUGGUGAUGCAUAGCAACGAGAGGGGAGAGUGUUGUCUAUGUACCCUCGUAGACUGAAGCGGAAGCGUUGACGCAACGUAGAGGAAGUAGUCGUACGUCUUCCUGAUCCGACCGAUCCAAGCACCGUUACUCAGGCACCUCCGAGGUCUUGGCACACGUUCAGCUCGAUGACGAUCCCCAGGCUCCGAUCCAGCAAAGCGUCGGGGAGGAGUUCCGUCAGCACGACUGCGUGGUGACGAUCUUGAUGUUCUACCGUCGCAGGGCUUCGCCUAAGCACCGCUAAAAUAUGACCGAGGUGUAAUAUCAUGGAGAGGGGCACCGCACAAGGCUAAGGAACAAUCACGAAGAUCAACUUGUGUGUCCAUGGGGUGCCCCCUGCCCCCGUAUAUAAAGGAGUGGAGGACGGGAGGGCGACCCUCUCUAUGGCGCGCCCUAGGGGAGUCCUACUCCCAUAGGGAGUAGGAUUCCCCCUUUUCCUAGUCCAACUAGGAGUCCUUCCAUGUAGUAGCACUAGUGCAGAACCGGGCAAUAGCACCGGUUCGUAAGGCCCUUUAGUGCCGGUUAGGUAACCGGCACUAAAAUUUCAGCACUAAAGGCCCCCCCUUUAGUACCGGUUCAGCACGAACCGGUGCUAAAGGGCAACCACAUGGCACGAGCGAGCUCCGGGGGCCGGGAGCCCUUUAGUACCGGUUGGUAACACCAACCGGUACUAAAAUGUUUGGGGGGUUUUUGGUUUUAUGAUUUCUUUUUCAUUAAAUUUUGUGUUUUCCAUUUUAAUUCUUUUUCGUUUGCUGGUAUUUUACGGUACUACACGUUGUACACGUUAUAUAUAUAUAUAUAUAUAAAUAGAAUUUCUAGUAGAACCAAUCAUAUAUAUAUCAUCAAUCAUGUCUCACAAAACACCAUAUUAAUUCACACAUACACACAUGUAUAGCUAUAUACAAUUUCUCCUACAUAUGCAUGUUGCCUUCGGAGCCAGUGGCAUUAGCCUGAUUGGUGCCUUCGGAGCACGAUGACAAUUGGAAGUGGUUCAUGACCUGGUCGAUGGGGGCGGUAGCGGGUAAUAGUAUUCUCCCUUCGGAUUUAUGACCUGGUCGAGCAAAAAUCCUGCUAUUUCCUAUUGAAGUGCUUCUACGCGCUCCGUUUCUAGGAGCUUGUCCCGCACCUCUUUGAACUAUUAAGAAGGAGAUCAAUAUGCAUGUGUAUUAGUUGUGUGACUAGAUAUUGAUAAUGGUGUAAAAAUUGUGAAUAGUGUUCUGACAAGCGUACCCAUUCCUGUCUUUGAGAUCUGCUCCUUCCGGACGCCAUCAUGCGAAUGUUCUCGCAAACGCAGAAUGCACACAGUUCAGUCCCCUGCGCCUGCUUCAGGGCCUUUAUUACGAGAAUGGAAUUUAAUUUGAUCAGAUAAUAAUUAAUCAAGCAUGAUAAUUAAAGAGAUGGCAGCUAGCUAGCUAGCUAGUACUACUUAAUUACUUACCUUGGCUCGAGACCAUUUCAGCUGUGGUUUCCAUUCGCCUUCCGUGUCGCUGAUGAACCUUGCCCAAGCCCUGCCCGCCGACAAAGAAAAUGAAUAAAGGGGUUAUUAAAUAGUUCAUAUCAUGAAAUGAAGAACUAAAUAGGCCGAGAUAUAUAGUUAAUAAUGAUUGAAAUUACCUGUUGACUAUCCCAAACAAGAUGUUAUAGUCACUAUUUCCUUUGAGUAGCGAGUCCAGUAUUUCAACUAUUCCGGCAUCAACUUUAAUGAUACACAAGAUCCAGUGAAAUCUGCAUGCACACACGUUUGCAAGUCUUAAUUAAGCGGGCAUAUGUAAGCAAAAACAUGUAGCUAGCUAGUAGGCAAAAAUAGAGAAUUUGUAGUACAAGAAAGUGUGACUCACUGGCAGUUGUAAGGAAGUAGUAUAUCUUCAUUGUAUUUGAGGAGCUUCAAGAACUCUAGCAUGCUGUCCUCUACCUCUUUUUCAUGAUGCUUGUUUAUUUUCCAUGUGUAUUCAUUAACGGUGUUUGGGUCAAUGAACCCAAUGCCAUAGCGUCCACCUUUUCUCAUUCCAUACAUCUUCAUCCUGCAUAAUACCACAGAAAAGAAUAUAGUAAGGAUAAUUACACGUAAUGAUUGAUCAAAAGGAUCACUACAGCUAGCUUGAGACUUAAAUUACAGAAAGAAAUCACUUACAGACAAUAGCAACUGACGAUAGAUUUGUCGAGUGUGUCUUGAUUGUAUAACUGAAACAGUUCAGAAUACUCAACGGCCACAACUUUCUCAUGGUAGUAAUCAUCCUUCUUGACAUACACCAUGAGGGACUCUCGAUCGGAUCUCUUGGUAAUGUCCAUGUACCAUUGAUGCAAUUCAUACAUUCUCGUUGGGAGCUUCUUGACAUCUUCUGGCUCGACCAAAGGUUGGCCCCGAACAUAUUUCCGUUUUAUUUCCUCCUCUGUAAUCAGAGGCAUGUCCUCGAUCUCGAGGAGUUGUCCAACAGUGAUCUUGAGUUCUUCAGCCUGCAUUAUAUGCUCCUCGGUUAUUACCACAUCGCCCACCUCGGGAAUGUAAACUGUUUGGCCACAAUAAUAUUGGGCGCGCGUACUGUCACGUGUUGUUGGCGGCACAACAAGCGGNNNNNNNNNNNNNNNNNNNNNNNNNNNNNNNNNNNNNNNNNNNNNNNNNNNNNNNNNNNNNNNNNNNNNNNNNNNNNNNNNNNNNNNNNNNNNNNNNNNNNNNNNNNNNNNNNNNNNNNNNNNNNNNNNNNNNNNNNNNNNNNNNNNNNNNNNNNNNNNNNNNNNNNNNNNNNNNNNNNNNNNNNNNNNNNNNNNNNNNNNNNNNNNNNNNNNNNNNNNNNNNNNNNNNNNNNNNNNNNNNNNNNNNNNNNNNNNNNNNNNNNNUUCCCAGCUGGGCAACGGUUUUCCUGCAUUUUUUGACAGCUGCUUGUUGUUUGCUCGAGCUCGAGCUCGCCUCCUUCUGUAGACGUUGUCGAUGUAACUUCCUGAUGUGGCGCUCAUAGUCUGUUUCAACAGGCUUAGGAGCUAGUGGUUGAGCCAUACGAAUGAAGUGGUCAACUACUUCCACAGGCACUUUCUCCCUUGGCGGCGGUGGCGGUUUCGGUCCAAAAUGGGCGUCGACUUCUGCCCGCACUAUGGCAUUGGUUUGCUCCUCAGUCCUGUCGUAAGCCCUCACAGGAAGAGGAGUACUGAGGUUUGGACCAUAUUUAUAUCGCUUGCCUCCACCUGUACUUCCUGUACUAUCACCUCGACUCGUACCGCUACGCACCAUAGCUGCGGGGUGUCUCUUCUGCGAUUGCUGAGGCGGCGGAGACGGCAGACGGGGCUGAGUUAGACGAGGAGGAGUGGCCUGAAGCUGUGCCGGACUUGGAGGAGGAGUGGCCUGAGGUUGUGCCGGACUUGGAGGAGGAGUGGACGUCUGACGCUGUGUCGGACUUGGAGGAGGAGUGGCCUCACACAUUGCCGGACUUGGAGGAGGAGGAGUGGCCUCACGCGUUGAUGGACUUGGAGCGGGAGUCUGCUGACUCGGUGGUGGACUUCGACGAGGAGUCGGGUGACGCGGUGUCGGUGGCCUUCGAAAGAUGAUGCAAUCCUUUCUCCAUAGGAUGACAUGAUGUAUGGCCUCUCCCAAUGUGUGCUCGUCGUCACCUCUAGGAAUGUCAAGUUGUAGCUCCGAAUAUGGGUCCACCACCUCAUCAACCAAGACACGAGCAUAGCCUGCUGGAAUCGGGUUGCAAUGGAAGGUUGCCUCGGGGGAAUUUGAAAAAGCAACGGCGUCCGCCACCUUCAUGGAUAUGUUCUUCAUUUUGAAGUGUACCUCGCAGUUAGUGUUCUCCGUGAUGUCAUCCAUGGGGUAUCUAUCCAGCACUGCGUCGCCCGGGGCGGAACCCACGCUGCUUCUCGGCAUGGAUGGGGUGGUGGUAUCCAAUGCUGGAUCAUCCGCUAGGUGCUGCAGCUGCUGAGACCCCAUUUGCUGGCUAAGUGAGUCGAUCUGCUCCUGCUGCCGCUGGAAUUUAGCUGCCAAUUCCGCUUGACUUGCUUCUAGGCCUUGAAGGCGUUCAUAGUCCCGCUUCCUUUGCUCCUCCUCCAUCUUCCUCUUCUUCUCCUCCGCAAUCUUCUUUCUCGCACGGGUUCUGUAGUCGGCGUUCCAGUCCGAAAACCCCUCAUACCACGGAAUAGCGCCCUUGCCUCGUGGUCUUCCCGGGUGUUCAGGAUUUCCCUGGGCACGCGUAAGCUCGUCCUUCUCUCUGUUGGGCUGAAACACCCCCGAUCGAGCCUCUUCUAUUGCAACAAGUAGCGCAUCGUCGGCUCCAUUCAGACAUGCCUUCGUCAAAACAUUGCCUGUCUUCGGGUCCAACUCCCCCCCAUGCGCAUAGAACCAAGUCCUGCACCUAGGGGGCCAACUCUUAGUAAACGGAGUGGCACCUGCAUCCUCCAUCUCUUUCUCAGACUUAUCCCACUUAGGCAUUGCCACCGUGUAGCCAGCUGGCCCCAGCUUAUGGAACUUAUCCUUUUUUCGGCAUUCUUCUUGUUUAUUCUCGACCGUUCCUUAGCUAAUUCGGAAUCCUUGAAUUUCAUGAAAUCGUCCCAAUGAGAACUUUGAUUCUCUAGUAUCCCCUCGAAUACUGGAGUCUUCCUUCCUCCCUUGACGUACUUCUCCCACGUCGUUCUCUUGUGGUUCUUGAAUGCAACCGCCAUCUUCCUAAAAGCAGCGUCCUUGACUUUCUGCACAUCUGCUUCCGUGAAAUGAUCUGGUAGGGUGAAAUGUUCCAUGAGAGUAUCCCAAAGCAGUUUUUUAUAUUCUCGUCUACAAAAGUAUCAUUUGGACGUGGCUUUGCUGGCUUUCUCCAUUCUUGAAGGGAGAUCGGGAGUUGGUCCUUCACAAGAACUCCACACUAACGAACGAACUUGUCCGCAAUCUUCUUAGGCGCUAAUGGUUCGCCAUUAGGUUUGAAUGCCUCGAUAUUGUACUUUACGCCCUCCUUCAACUUUUUGUUCGGGCCUCGUUUUGUCCUUUUGCCUGAAGAUUUGCUCGAUCCGGAUGGCUGAAAGAAGAAAGAUCGAUUCGUUAAUAUAUCUUCAACUCAUUUAAAACAUGCGAUGAUCACCAGAUUCCUGCUUAUAUAAAUAUAUAUACCUCGCCGGUACAUGUUGUUUCAGGGUCAACAUGUUCUUCGUCGUAGUUCAGGACUUCAUCUUCUCGGUCAUCGCGAUCAAAUAUCAUAUCACCCUCUCCGGUGUUGUUUAGAAAUUCAGAGCCGUCAAAAUCUUCUUCAUUCUGAUCAUCAUCUGGCCCGCGUAUGAUACCGAACAUGGUAUGUUCUCUCUCUCUGUCGGUAUUGUCCGCCAUAGCUUUUAUUUAACUAUGCCAAAAGAAAUAUAAAAUAAUUUAGUAUAAUCUCGAAUAAUAGAUAUAAUCUCGAAUACAUCGUCUCGAAUAAUAGAUAUAAUCUCGAAUACAUCGUCUCGAAUAAUAGAUUUAAUCUCGAAUACAUCGUCUCGAAUAAUAGAUAUAAUCUCGAAUACAUCGUCUCGAAUAAUAGAUUUAAUCUCGAAUACAUCGUCUAGAAUAAUAGAUUUAAUCUCGAAUACAUCGUCUCGAAUAAUAUAUAAUAUUGAAUAGUACAUCAUUGGCUAGGCGGUGGACACCCAAAGAGAAGGAACCCUCACAGGAUCAUAGCUGAAGUGAGAGCCCCGAAGAAACUGCCAGGUUUUGGAGAACCUUCCGCCCUCUAACGCAACCAUGUAGCGAUGGAUGUAAUCGUCCUCCUCCCUGACACGACGACGUACCACCUCCGGCGGGGCCGGCUCCCUCCGCACCGAAACUGGCCCACGCGAACGCCACCAAACGAGAUCAGGGUCGAUCACAGGACCCGGGGCCGGGUUCCUCAUCAAGCGGCGCGCCCCUCCAGGCAGCACCUCCCAGUGCCAGCCCGGCGGAGCCCAGUCCCGGACAUGGGUCAGCUGGACGUCGUCGCGGACGUGUCGACGGUGAGGAUGUGGGCCGGGCAUCGUCGACAACAAAUACUAGCUAUAUGCCCGCAAAAAGUAACAUUUUUUUAAUGAUUGGAAUUUGAUAACUAAAAUUUCUAACAUUUCUAUAUAACACUAAUUAUGCUAUCAUUGCAUAUGUCAAAAUUCUAUAUGCUAUUUCAUACUAAUUAAGCAUCUAACACUAAAAACAGAAAACACAACUUCUAUACAUCCAUUAAAAAAACUGAAAAACAACAUUAUAUAAACAAAUUUCAAUACUAAUUAAACACUAAUUAUAUCCAUCUAACAUGCAUUCAUACAUAUAUGCUAGUGAAAAAAUAAUAAUCUAAAAAAUCUAAACUAAUUAAACAUACAAAAUACGUAUAUACUAAUAUAUACAUGCAUUAAUUCAUACAUAUGUACGUGUGUGUGUGUGUGUGCUCGGGGAGGGGUGGUGCCCAUGGUGGCCGCCGGGGGCGAGGGAGAGGGGUUAGAGGGGGAGAGCUCACAGCAGGGUGACGGCGACGGCCAGGGGCGGCGACGGGCCGGGGUGUGACGCGGGGGCGGCGACGCGGGGACGGUGCGACGGGGACGGGCCUGGGGCGGCGACGGGGACGGGCCCGAUGACGGGGACGGGGGCGGCGACGGCGACAUCGUCGAUUGAUCGGGGUGCGCGGGCGGUGCUUCAAUGGGGAAACAGAGGAAGAAACAAAGGGAGAAUGAAAUUUUCGUAAGUGUUCUAUAUAUAGAAGGCACCUUCAGUACCGGUUGGAGCCACCAACCGGUACUAAAGGCCUGUUUUGGCCAGGCCAAGCCGCGGGAAGCACCCCCCUUUAGUACCGGUUCCUGGCUCCAACCGGUACUAAAGGCCCCCCCUUUAGUACCGGUUGGUGCCACCAACCGGUACUAAAGGGGGGUACGCUGCCAGGCGAGGGGCACAAAACUUUAGUCCCACCUCGCUAGCCGAGGGGCACUCACACCUUCUUAUAAGCCCCGCCGUCGCUGCUGUCUCGAGCUCCACUCUUAAGCACGCCUUCUGGGCCUACCUCUUCUGCGAUGCCCUGUUGGGCCUACUGGGCUAGUGGGCCUGCAUCCUGGCCCAACUUGAAUAUGGGUUUCUAGUCGUAUGCAGGCCGCUGUGGCCCAGUAGGUGGGCUUUUUUUUCUUAUUUUUUUGCUUUAUUUAUUUUUGUGAAUAACUUAACUUUGAAAAUAGAUUUUUCAGUGAUUCUUUUUUCUUAUGUUUAAUAUUAGUGUGUUUUAUCAUUAUAUUCAAUUUGGUAAUGCUUAGGUUAUUUAAAAAAUGAAAUGCCUUUGUAACGGAUGAGUUUUCGUCCGAAACCCUGAUACUUCGAAACAGAUUGUCCAUUUUGUACACGAAGUGCAUCCAGUUUUUGCGGUAACCCUCUCUACUUUUUUGCACAUGCUAUGUGGGUGAAAUUAUGAUACCAUGCCAACUUUCAUCCUUUUCUGAGUUCAUUUGAAAUUCUUUUCAAUUUUAGGGUCAUUUAGGUGAAAAAAAUCAGUAAAUGCAUGAAAGAAUUUGCUUGCACAUAAAAUUUCUUCGCGUUUCAAAUGCCAAAACACAUAACUAGCUACCCUAACUAUUACAGAGAUUCCCUCCUGGGUGUGAAACACAGAAGAAAGUGAUGAUAGUUACGCCGAUCAUAUCCCAGAUCUUUGGGUGUGAAACUUUUUCUUCGCGUGUGUCCCUUUGCGUCGUAGCCAUGGAAAAUCUUCAUCAUUUAACGGGAUGCUCGGGUCAAUAUUCACUGUGAAUGGAGCAAUUUCAUCAAACUUUUCAUAAUCAUCUGACUUGUCUGUUUUGUCAUCCACUCCCAUGAUGUUUCUCUUCCCAGAAAGAACUAUGUGCCGCUUUGGCUCAUCGUACGAUGCAUUCACUUCCUUAUCUUUUCUUUUUCUUGGCUUGUUAGACAUGUCCUUCACACAGAAAACCUAUGCCACAUCAUUGGCUAGGACGAACGGUUCGUCUGCAUACGCAAGAUUGUUGAGAUCCACUGUUGUCAUUCCGUACUGCGGGUCUUCCAUUACCCAGCCUCGUGUCAUAUUAACCCAUUUGCACCGAAACAAAGGGACCUUCAAACCACGUCGAUAGUCAAGUUCCCAUAUGUCCUGUAUAUAACCAUAAUAUGUUUCCUUUCCCGUCUUGGUUUCUGCAUCAAAGCGGACACCACUGUUUUGGUUGGUGCUCUUAUUAUCUUGGGCGAUCGUGUAAAAUGUAUUACCAUUUAUCUCGUACCCUUUGAAAGUCAUUAUAUUCGAAGAUGGUAAUUGGGAUAGCAAGUACAUGUCAUCUUCAAUAGAGGUGUCAUGCAUGGUACGUGGUUGCAACCAGCUGGCGAAACUCCUGGUUUGUUCACGUGUAAUCCAGUCAUCAGACCGCUCCGGGUGUUUGGAGCGUAGCAAAUUCUUGUGUUCAUCCAUAUACGGAGCCACCGAGGCAGAAUUCUGUAGAACUAUGUAGUGUGCUUCAGUGAGAGAAUGUCCAGCCAUAUAUACAUAUUAUUUGUUCCCCUCCUAGCGUGCCUUUUCCAUCCAGUCUGCCCUUAUGCCGCGAUUCAGGAACACCAAUCGGCUUAAGGUCAGGAAUAAAGUCAAUACAAAACUCACUGACCUCCUCAUUUUGACGGCCCUUGGAGAUGCUUCCUUCUGGCCUAGCACGGUUAUGAACAUAUUUCUUUAAGUCUCCCACGAACCUCUCAAAGGGGAACAUAUUGUGUAGAAAUACAGGACCCAAAACGUUAAUCUCUUCGCAUAGGUGAACUAGGACGUGCGUCAUGAUGUUGAAGAAGGAUGGUGGGAACACCAACUCGAAACUGACAAGACAUUGCACCAAAUCAUUCUGUAACCUUGGUAUGAUUUCUGGAUCGAUUACCUUCUGAGAGAUUGCAUUGAGAAAUGCACAUAGCUUCACAAUGGCUAAUCGAACGUUUUCCGGUAGAAGCCCCCUCAAUGCAACCGGAAGUACUUGCGUCAUAAUCACGUGGCAGUCAUGAGACUUUAGGUUCUGGAACUUUUUCUCUGCCAUGUUUAUUAUUCCCUUUAUAUUCGACGAGAAGCCAGAUGGUACCUUAAUAAUGAGUAGGCAUUCAAAGAACAUUUCCUUCUCUUCUUUGGUAAGAGCGUAGCUUGCAUGACCCUGAUGUAUGCCGUCUUUUCCGUGCAUACGUUGCUGGUCCUCCUGUGCCUUAGGUGUAUCUUUUGUCAUCCCAUACACGCCCAAGAAGCCAAGCAGGGUCACACAAAGAUUCUUCGUCACGUGCAUCACGUCGAUUGCGGAGCGGACCUCGAGGUCUUUCCAAUAGUGCAGGUCCCAAAAUAUAGAUUUCUUCUUCCACAUGGGUGCGCGUCCGUCAGCGUCAUUCGGAACAGGUUGUCCACCAGGACCCUUUCUAAAGACCACCUUCAAAUCCUUGACCAUAUCAUGUACAUCAGCACCAGUACGGUGGCGAGGCUUCGUCCGGUGAUCCGCCUCACCUUUGAAAUGCUUGCAUUUCUUUCUUACGGGAUGCCUGCUCGUAAGAAAUCGACGAUGUCCUAGGUACACAUUCUUAUUAGCCAAAUAUAUACUGUCGGUAUCGUCCAAACAGUGCGUGCAUGCGCGGUAUCCCUUGUUUGUCUGUCCUGAAAGGUUACUGAGAGCAGGCCAAUCAUUGAUGGUCACGAACAGCAACGCCUUUAGGUCAAAUUCUUCCCCCAUGUGCUCAUCCCACACACGUACACCUGUUCCAUUCCAUAGUUGUAAGAGUUCUUCAACUAAUGGCCUUAGGUACACAUCAAUGUCGUUGCCGGGUUGCUUAGGGCCUUGGAUGAGCACUGGCAUCAUAAUGAACUUCCGCUUCAUGCACAACCAAGGAGGAAGGUUAUACAAACAUAGAGUCACAGGCCAAGUGCUAUGGUUGCUGCUCUGCUCCCCAAAAGGAUUAAUGCCAUCUGCGCUUAGACCAAACCAUACGCUCCUUGCGUCAUUUGCAAACUCCUUCCCGUACUUUCUUUCGAUUUUUCUCCACUGUGAACCGUCAGCGGUUAGUGUCAACUUUCCAUCUUUCUUACGGUCUUCGCUGUGCCAUCGCAUCGCCUUGGCAUGCUCUUUGUUUUGGAACAAACGUUUCAACCGUGGUAUUAUAGGAGCAUACCACAUCACCUUGGCAGGAAUCUUCUUCCUGGGGCGCCGGCCCUCGACAUCACCAGGGUCAUCGCGGCUGAUCUUAUAGCGCAAUACACCACAUACCGGGCAAGCGUUCAAAUCCUCGUACUCACCACGGUAGAGGAUGCAAUCAUUAGGGCAUGCAUGUAUCUUCUCCACCUCUAACCCUAGAGGGCAGAGAACCUUCUUUGCUUCGUACAUACUCUCGGGCAAUUCGUUGUCCUUUGGAAGGAUAUCCUUUAUCAUUACCAGCAACUUUCCAAAUCCCUUGUCAGAUACACCAUUCUCUGCCUUCCAUUGCAGCAAUUCCAGUGUGGUGCCCAGUUUUUUCUUGUCAGCUACGCAAUUCGGGUACAACAAUUUUUUGUGAUCCCCUAACAUGCACUGCAACUUCUUCUCCAAAUCACUUGCGCAGUUUCUCUUUGCAUCGGCAAUGGCCCGACCUAGAUCAUCAACGGGCUCAUCUGAUGCCUCUUCUUCAGCUUCUUCCCGCAUUGCCGGCUCAGCUUCUUCCCGCAUUACCGGCUCAGCUUCUUCCACCAUUGUUGUAUCAUCGUAUUCAGGGAACCCAUGGCCAGGAUAGCUGUCGUCGUCCUCUUCUUCUUCAUUGUCUUCCAUCAUAACCCCUCUUUAUCCGUGCUUGGUCCAAACAUUAUAAUGGGGCAUGAAACCAGACUUAAACAGGUGGACGUGAAUGGUUCUUGACGUACAGUAAUUGUGACCAUUCUUACAGCGAGCACAUGGACAAGGCAUAAAACCAUCCGCCCCCUUGUUUGCCUCAGCCGCAAGCAGAAAAGUAUGCACGCCCUCAACGAACUGGGGAGAGCAUCGGUCAUCGUACAUCCAUUGCCGGCUCAUCUUCAUUACACAACAACGAAUAGAACAAAUUAAUACAAGUUCAUACAUAAAGUUCAUACAACACUUAAAUGCAACAAACAAAUAACUCUCUAGCUAAAGCAUUUAAAUGCAACAACAAAUACGAUCAAGAUCGCAACUAAGGUAACAAUGGAUCCAACAGCAUAAUGAAACCAAGCCUCACUAUCGAUGGCAUAUUUUCUAAUCUUUCUAAUCUUCAAGCGCAUUUUCUCCAUCUUGAUCUUGUGAUCAUCGACGAUACCGGCAACAUGCAACUCCAAUUCCAUCUUCUCCCCCUCAAUUCUUUUCAAUUUUUCUUUCAAGUACUCGUUUUCUCUUUCAACUAAAUUUAACCUCUCGGCAAUAGGGUAGGUUGGAAUUUCCGGUUGAUGGGCAUAAUUUGUAAUAAACACGAAAUGCAACUAGUUUUAAAAGAGAAUAUACAUACCACAUCCGAAUCAUAACAAGGACUAGGGCCGACGGGGACGGAUAUCAAAACCAUGGCACUAUAUGUAUAACAAACAACGUACAGGUAAGAUAAUUAUACGAGUAACUAUAUAUCCAAAUCACACAAACAUCAAUUUUUAUAUAAAAUUUCAUGAACAAGAGGCUCACCACAAGGUGGUGCCGGCGACGGGACGGUGCGGGCGAUCCACGGUGGCUACGAUGGAGAUUUAGAAGGCACUAAGUAAACCACACCUACAUAUGCAAACUAAAUGUUAUUUUUGACCUCAAAUUGCAUAUAAAUCAAAUACUAGCACAUAUAUAUAUAUCAUCCCAAAUUACUAAACUCACAAAUUAAUCACUAUAUAAAGCAUUGCAAGAGCUAAUCUAGCAACGAGAGAUGAAAGGACAAAGUUGCUAACCUUUGUGAUCAUUUGAAUGGAUGGGGGCCUUCAAAUCUUGACAAAUUUUGGGCAAAAUGUGUGAUGAGCUCGAGAGGAAGAGGGGAAGAACAGAGAGGAGAGGGGAAAGGGGAAGAAUAGAGCGAGCUCGGGUGGACGAAGGGUUUAUGUAGGACGACCUUUAGUACCGGUUUGUGCCAAGAACCGGUACUAAAGGGGCUGGAGGGGCCCCAUACUGACAACAUCCUGCCACCACUCUCAUUAGUACCGGUUCGUGGCACGAACCGGUGCUAAAGGUUCGCCAUGAACCGGUACUAAUGAAAGCAGCCUGGUUAGCCGUUGGAACCGGCACUAAUGUAUACAUUAGUGCCGGCUCAAAUACAAACCGGCACUAAUGUGCUUCAUGUUUGACCCUUUUUCCACUAGUGUAGGAGUAGGAGACAAGGAAGGGGAAGGGAGAAGGGAAAGAAGGAGGGGGCGCGGCCCCUCCCCCUAGUCCAAUUCGGACUAGGCCUUGGGGGGGCGCGCGGCCUGCCCUAGGCAGCCCCUCUCUCUUUCCCGUAUGGCCCAAUAAGGCCCAAUACUUCUCCCGGCGAAUUCCCGUAACUCUCCGGUACUCCGAAAAAUACCCGAACCACUCGAAACCUUUCCGAUGUCCGAAUAUAGUCGUCCAAUAUAUCGAUCUUUACAUCUCGACCAUUUCGAGACUCCUCCUCAUGUCCCCGAUCCCAUCCGGGACUCCGAACUCCUUCGGUACAUCAAAACUCAUAAACUCAAAAUAUAACUGUCAUCGAAACCUUAAGCGUGCGGACCCUACAGUUCGAGAACAAUGUAGACAUGAUCGAGACACAUGUCCGGUCAAUGACUAAUAGCGGGACCUGGAUGCCCAUAAUGGCUCCUACAUAUUCUACGAAGAUCUUUAUCGGUCAGACCGCAUAACAACAUACGUUGUUCCCUUUGUCAUCGGUAUGUUACUUGCCUGAGAUUUGAUCGUCGGUAUCUCAAUACCUAGUUCAAUCUUGUUACCGGCAAGUCUCUUUACUCGUUCCGUAAUACAUCAUCUCGCAACUAACUCAUUAGUUGCAAUGCUUGCAAGGCUUAUGUGAUGUGCAUUACCGAGAGGGCCUAGAGAUACCUCUCCGACAAUCGGAGUGACAAAUCCUAAUCUCGAAAUACGCCAGCCCAACAUGUACCUUUGGAGACACCUGUAGAGCUCCUUUAUAAUCACCCAGUUAUGUUGUGACGUUUGGUAGAACACAAAGUGUUCCUCCGGCAAAUGGGAGUUGCAUAAUCUCAUAGUCAUAUGAACAUGUAUAAGUCAUGAAGAAAGCAAUAGCAACAUACUAAACGAUUGGGUGCUAAGCUAAUGGAAUGGGUCAUGUCAAUCAGAUCAUUCAACUAAUGAUCUGAUCCCGUUAAUCAAAUAACAACUCUUUGUCCAUGGUUAGGAAACAUAACCAUCUUUGAUUAACGAGCUAGUCAAGUAGAGGCAUACUAGUGACACUCUGUUUUCUAUGUAUUCACACAUGUAUUAUGUUUCCGGUUAAUACAAUUCUAGCAUGAAUAAUAAACAUUUAUCAUGAUAUAAGUAAAUAAAUAAUAACUUUAUUAUUGCCUCUAGGGUAUAUUUCCAUCAGUCUCCCACUUGCACUAGAGUCAAUAAUCUAGAUCACAUCGCCAUGUGAUUUAACAUCAAUAGUUCACAUCUUUAUGUUAUUGGUUCACAUCUCCAUGUGACUAACACCCAAAGGGUUUACUAGAUUCAAUAAUCUAGUUCACAUCGCUAUGUGAUUAAGACCCAAAAAGUGAUCAUGUUUUGCUUGUGAGAGAAGUUUAGUCAAUAGGUCUUCCACAUUCAGAUCCGCAUGUAUUUUGCAAAUUUCUAUGUCAACAAUGCUCUGCAUGGAGCUACUCUAGCUAAUUGCUCCCACUUUCAAUAUGUAUCCAGAUUGAGACUUAGAGUCAUCUGGAUCAGUGUCAAAACUUGCAUCGACGUAACCCUUUACGACGAACCUUUUGUCACCUCCGUAAUCGAGAAACAUAUCCUUAUUCUACUAAGGAUAAUUUUGACCGCUGUCAAUAGAUCUACUCCUAGAUCACUAUUGUACUCCCUCUCUUAACACAGUGUAUGGUAUACAAUAGAUCUGGUACACAACAUGGCAUACUUUAUAGAACCUAUGACUGAGGCAUAGGGAAUGACUUUCAUUCUCUUUCUAUCUUCUGCCGUGGUCGGGCUUUGAGUCUUACUCAACUUCACGCCUUGUAACACAAGCAAGAAACUUUUUCUUUGACUGUUCCAUUUUGAACUACUUCAAAAUCUUGUCAAGGUAUGUACUCAUCGAAAAAACUUAUCAAGCGUCUUGAUCUAUCUCUAUAGAUCUUGAUACUCAAUAUGUAAGCAGCUUCACCGAGGUCUUUCUUUGAAAAAACUCCUUUCAAACAUUCCUUUAUGCUUUGCAGAAUAAUUCUACAUUAUCUCCGAUCAACAAUAUGUCUUUCACAUAUACUUAUCAGAAAUGAUGUAGUGCUCCCACUCACUUUCUUGUAAAUACAGGCUUCACUGCAAGUCUGUAUAAAACUAUAUGCUUUGAUCAACUCAUGAAAGCGUAUAUUCCAACUCUGAGAUGCUUGCACCAGUCCAUAGAUGGAUCGCUGGAGCUUGCAUAUUUUGUUAGUACCUUUAGGAUUGACAAAACCUUCUGGUUGCAUCAUAAACAACUCUUCUUUAAUAAAUCCAUUAAGGAAUGCAGUUUUGUUUAUCCAUUUGCCAGAUUUCAUAAAAUGCGGCAAUUGCUAACAUGAUUCGGACAGACUUAAGCGUAGAUACGAGUGAGAAACUCUCAUCGUAGUCAACACCUUGAACUUGUCGAAAACCUUUUUGCGACAAUUCUAGUUUUGUAGAUAGUAACACUACUAUCAGCGUCCGUCUUCCUCUUGAAGAUCCAUUUAAUCUCAAUGGCUUGCCGAACAUCGGGCAAGUCAACCAAAGUCCACACUUUGUUCUCAUACAUGGAUCCUAUCUCAGAUUUCAUGGCCUCAAGCCAUUUAUCGGAAUCUGGGCUCAUCAUCGCUUCCUCAUAGGUCGCAAGUUUGUCAUGGUCAAGUAACAUGACCUCCAGAACAGGAUUACCAUACCACUUUGGUGCGGAUCUCAAUCUGGUUUACCUACGAGGUUUGGUAGUAACUUGAUCUGAAGUUACAUGAUCAUCAUCAUUAGCUUCCUCACUAAUUGGUGUAGGAGUCACAGGAACAAAUUUCUGUGAUGAACUACUUUCCAAUAAAGGAGAAGGUACAAUUACCUUAUCAAGUUUUCUACUUUCCUCCCACUCACUUCUUUCAAGAGAAACUCCUUCUCUGGAAAGGAUCCAUUCUCAGUCAACGAAUAUCUUGCCUUCGGAUCUGUGAUAGAAGGUGUACCCAACAUUUUCUUUAGGGUAUCCUAUGAAGAUGCACUUUUCCGAUUUGGGUUUGAGCUUAUCAGGAUGAAACUUUUUCACAUAAGCAUCACAACCCCAAACUUUAAGAAACGACAACUUUGGUUUCUUGCCAAACCACAGUUCAUAAGGCGUCGUCUCAACGGAUUUUGAUGGUGCCCUAUUCAACGUGAAUGCAGCUGUCUCUAAUGCAUAACCCCAAAACGAUAGUGGUAGAUCGGUAAGAGAUAUCAUAGAUCGCACCAUAUCUAAUAAAGUACGGUUAUGAUGUUCGGACACACCAUUACAUUGUGGUGUUCCAGGUGGCAUGAGUAGUGAAACUAUUUCACAUUGUUUUUAACUGAAGGCCAAACUCAUAACUCAAAUACUCUUCUCUACGAUCAGGUCGUAGAAACUUUAUUUUCUUGUUACGAUGAUUUUUCACUUCACUCUGAAAUUCUUUGAACUUUUCAAAUGUUUCAGACUUAUGUUUCAUCAAGUAGAUAUACUCAUAUCUGCUCAAAUCAUCUGUGAAGAUCAGAAAAUAAUGAUACCUGUCGCGAGCCUCAAUAUUCAUCGGACCACAUACAUUAGUAUGUAUGAUUUCCAACAAAUCUGUUGCUCGCUCCAUUGUUCUGAAGAACAGAGUCUUAGUCAUCUUGCCCAUUAGGCAUGGUUCGCAAGCAUCAACUGAUUCAUAACCAACUGAUUCCAAAAGCCCAUCAGCAUGGAGUUUCUUCAUGCGCUUUACACCAAUAUGACCUAAACGGCAGUGCUACAAAUAAGUUGCACUAUCAUUAUUAACUUUGCAUCUUUUGGUUUCAAUAUUAUGAUUAUGUGUAUCACUACAAUCGAGAUCCAACGAACUAUUUUCAUUGGGUGUGUAACCAUAUAAGGUUUUAUUCAUGUAAACAGAACAACAAUUUAUUCUCUUACUUAAAUGAAUAACCGUAUUACAAUAAACAUGAUCAAAUCAUAUUCAUGCUCAACGCAAACACCAAAUAACACUUAUUUAGGUUCAACACUAAUCCUGAAAUUAUAGGGAGUGUGCGAUGAUGAUCAUAUCAAUCUUGGAACCACUUCCAACAUACAUCAUCACUUCACCCUUAACUAGUCUCUGUUUAUUUUGCAACUCCCGUUUCGAGUUACUAAUCUUUGCAACUGAACUAGUAUCAAAUACUGAGGGGUUGCUAUAAACACUUGUAAAGUACACAUCAAUAACAUGUAUAUCAAAUAUACUUAUGUUCACUUUGCCAUCCUUCUUAUCCGCCAAUCACUUGGGGUAGUUCCGCUUCUAGUGACCAGUGCCUUUGCAGUAGAAGCACUUAGUCUCAGGCUUAGGACCAGACUUGGGCUUCUUCACUUGAGCAGCAACUUGCUUGCUGUUCUUCUUGAAGUUCCCCUUCUUCCCUCUGCCCUUUUCUUGAAACUAGUGGUCUUGUCAACCAUCAACACCUGAUGUUUUUCUUGAUUUCUACCUUCAUUGAUUUCAGCAUCACGAAGAGCUUGGGAGUUGUUUCCGUUAUCCCUUGCAUAUUAUGGUUCAUCACGAAGUUCUACUAACUUGGUGAUGGUGACUAGAGAAUUCUGUCAAUCACUAUCUUAUCUGGAAGAUUAACUCCCACUUGGUUCAAGCAAUUGUAGUACCCAGACAAUCUGAGCACGUGCUCACUAGUUGAGCGAUUCUCCUCCAUCUUUUAGCUAUAGAACUUGUUGGAGACUUCAUAUCUCUCAAGUCGGGUAUUUGCUUGAAAUAUUAACUUCAACUCCUAGAACAUCUCAUAUGGUCCAUGAUGUUCAAAACGUCUUUGAAGUCCUGAUUCUAAGCCAUUAAGCAUGGUGCACUAAACUAUCAAGUAGUCAUCAUAUUGGGCUAGCCAAACGUUCAUAACGUCGGCAUCUGCUCCUGCAAUAGGUCUGUCACCUAGCGGUGCAUCAAGGACAUAAUUCCUCUAUGCAGCAAUGAGGAUAAAACUCAGAUCACGGAUCCAAUCCGCAUCAUUGCUACUAACAUCUUUCAACACAAUUUUCUCUAGGAACAUAUCAAAAUAAACAUAGGGAAGCAACAACGCGAGCUAUUGAUCUACAACAUAAUUUGCAAAAUACUACCAGGACUAAGUUCAUGAUAAAUUUAAGUUCAAUUUAAUCAUAUUACUGGAGAACUCCCACUUAGAUAGACAUCCCUCUAAUCCUCUAAGUGAUCACGUGAUCCAAAUCAACUAAACCAUGUCCGAUCACCACGUGAGAUGGAGUAGUUUCAUUGGUGAACAUCACUAUGUUGAUCAUAUCUACUAUCUGAUUCACGCUCGACCUUUCGGUCUCCGUGUUCCGAGGCCAUAUCUGUAUAUGCUUGCCUCGUCAAGUAUAACCUGAGUAUUCCGCGUGUGCAACUGUUUUACACCCGUUGUAUUUGAACGUAGAGCCUAUCACACCCGAUCAUCACGUGGUGUCUCAGCACGAAGAAGUUUCGCAACGGUGCAUACUCAGGGAGAACACUUCUUGAUAAUUAGUGAGAGAUCAUCUUAAAAUGCUACCGUCAAACUAAGCAAAAAUAAGAUGUAUAAAAGAUAAACAUCAUAUGCAAUCAAAAUAUGUGACAUGAUAUGGCCAUCAUCAUCUUGCUUCUUUGAUCUCCAUCUCCAAAGUACUGUCAUGAUCUAUAUCGUCAUCGGCAUGACACCAUGAUCUCCAUCAUCUUGAUCUAUAUCAAUGUGUCGUCACGUGGUCGUCUCGCCAACAAUUGCUCUUGCAACUAUUGCUAUCGCAUAGCGAUAAAGUAAAGCAAUUAUUGGACGCUUGCAUCUUAUGUAAUAGAGAGACAACCAUAAGGAUUUUGCCAGUUGUUGAUAACUUCAACAAAACAUGAUCAUCUCAUACAACAACUUAUAUCUCAUCACGUCUUGACCAUAUCACAUCACAACAUGCCCUGCAAAAACAAGUUAGACGUCCUCUACUUUGUUGUUGCAAGUUUUACGUGGCUGCUACGGGCUUAAGCAAGAACCAAUCUUACCUACGCAUCAAAACCACAACGAUAGUUUGUCAAGUUGGUGCUGUUUUAACCUUCGCAAGGACCGGGCGUAGCCACACUCGGUUCAACUAAAGUUGGAGAAACUGUCACCCCCAAGCCACCUAUGUGCAAAGCACGUCGGGAGAACCGGUCUCGCGUAAGCAUACGCGUAAUGUCGGUCUGGGCCGCUUCAUCCAACAAUACCGCCGAACCAAAGUAUGACAUGCUGGUAAGCAGUAUGACUUAUAUCGCCCACAACUCACUUGUGUUCUACUCGUGCAUAUAACAUCAACACAUAAAACCUAGGCUCAAAUGCCACUGUUGGGGAACGUAGUAAUUUCAAAAAAUUUCCUACGCACACGCAAGAUCAUGGUGAUGCAUAGCAACGAGAGGGGAGAGUGUUGUCAACGUAGCCUUGUAGACCGAAGCAGAAGCGUUGACGCAACGUAGAGGAAGUAGUCGUACGUCUUCCCGAUCCGACCGAUCCAAGCACCAUUACUCCGGCACCUCCGAGUUCUUGGCACACGUUCAGCUCGGUAACGAUCCCCAGGCUCCGAUCCAGCAAAGCGUCGGCGAGGAGUUCCAUCAGCACGACGGCGUGGUGACGAUCUUGAUGUUCUACCGUCGCAGGGCUUCGCCUAAGCACCGCUACAAUAUGACCGAGGUGUAAUAUCGUGGAGAGGGGCACCGCACACGGCUAAGGAACGAUCACGAAGAUCAACUUGUGUGUCCAUGGGGUGCCCCCUGCCCCCGUAUAUAAAGGAGUGGAGGAGGGGAGGGCUGGCCCUCUCUAUGGCGCGCCCUAGGGGAGUCCUACUCCCAACGGGAGUAGGAUUCCCCCUUUUCCUAGUCCAACUAGGAGUCCUUCCAUGUAGUAGGAGUAGGAGACAAGGAAGGGGAAGGGAGAAGGGAAAGAAGGAGGGGGCGCGGCCCCUCCCCCUAGUCCAAUUCGGACUAGGCCUUGGGGGGCGCACGGCCUGCCCUAGGCAGCCCCUCUCUCUUUCCCGUAUGGCCCAAUAAGGCCCAAUACUUCUCCCGGCGAAUUCCUGUAACUCUCCGGUACUCCGAAAAAUACCCGAACCACUCGGAACCUUUCCGAUGUCCGAAUAUAGUCGUCCAAUAUAUCGAUCUUUACGUCUCGACCACUUCGAGACUCCUCGUCAUGUCCCCGAUCCCAUCCGGGACUCCGAAAUCCUUCGGUACAUCAAAACUCAUAAACUCAUAAUAUAACUGUCAUCGAAACCUUAAGCGUGCGGACACUACGGUUCGAGAACAAUGUAGACAUGACUGAGACACGUCUCCAGUCAAUAACCAAUAGCGGGACCUGGAUGCCCAUAUUGGCUCCUACAUAUUCUACGAAGAUCUUUAUCGGUCAGACCGCAUAACAACAUACGUUGUUCCCUUUGUCAUCGGUAUGUUACUUGCCCGAGAUUUGAUCGUCGGUAUCUCAAUACCUACUUCAAUCUCGUUACCGGCAAGUCUCUUUACUCGUUCCGUAAUACAUCAUCUCGCAACUAACUCAUUAGUUGCAAUGCUUGCAAGGCUUAUGUGAUGUGCAUUUCCGAGAGGGCCCAGAGAUACCUCUCCGACAAUCGGAGUGACAAAUCCUAAUCUCGAAAUACGCAAACCCAACAUGUACCUUUGGAGACACCUGUAGAGCUCCUUUAUAAUCACCCAGUUACGGUGUGACGUUUGGUAGCACACAAGGUGUUCCUCCGGCAAACGGGAGUUGCAUAAUCUCAUAGUCAUAGGAACAUGUAUAAGUCAUGAAGAAAGCAAUAUCAACAUACUAAACGAUCGGGUGCUAAGCUAAUGGAAUGGGUCAUGUGAAUCAGAUCAUUCAACUAAUGAUGUGAUCUCGUUAAUCAAAUAACAACUCUUUGUCCAUGGUUAGGAAACAUAACCAUCUUUGAUUAACGAGCUAGUCAAGUAGAGGCAUACUAGUCACACUCUGUUUGUCUAUGUAUUCACACAUGUAUUAUGUUUCCGGUUAAUACAAUUCUAGCAUGUAUAAUAAACAUUUAUCAUGAUAUAAGGAAAUAAAUAAUAAUUUUAUUAUAGCCUCUAGGGCAUAUUUACUUCAUGGAUUGCCUACCAAAGAUGGCAAUAGCUAGAUCUAUCCUUGCUUGUUAUGCCUAACUAGGGGCGUUAAACGAUAGCGCUUUUUGGGAGGCAACCCAAUUUUGUUUUUAUUCCUUGAUUUUUGCUCCUGUUUAGUAAUAAAUAAUUUAUCUAGCCUCUGUUUUGGUUGUGUUCUUUGUGUUUAAUUAGUGUUUGUGCCAGGUAGAACCGUUAGGAAGACUUGGGGAAAGUCUUGUUACACUUGCUGUAAAAAACAGAAACUUCAGCGCUCACGAGAACUGCUGCCAUUUUUAUUUGGAAAGUGCUAUUUAGUUAAUUAUUUCCGCAGAUGAUUAAUAGAUAAAUUCCUCACGUCCAGCACUUUAUUUUAGAAUUUUUGGGGUUCCAGCUCUUGAGCUAGCUACAGAUUACUACAGACUGUUCUGUAUUUGAAACAUUCUGUUUUUUCGUGUGUUGUUUGCUUAUUUUGAUGAACCUAUGGCUAGUAAAAUAGUUUAUAAACCACAGAGAAGUUGGAAUACAGUAGUUAUAACACCAAUAUAAAUAAAUAAUGAGUUCAUUAAAGUACCUUGAAGUGGUCUUUUUUAUUUUCUUUCGCUAACGGAGCUCACAAGAUUUUCUACUUCAAGUUUGUGUUGUGAAGUUUUCAAGUUUUGGGUAAAAAUUUGAUGGAUUAUGGAACAAGUAGUGACAAGAGCCGAAGCUUGGGGAUGCCCAUGGCACCCCCAAGAUAAUCUAAUUACACCUAAAAGCCAAAGCUUGGGGAUGCCCGGGAAGUCAUCCCCUCUUUCGUCUACUUCUAUGGGUAACUUUACUUGGAGCUAUAUUUUUAUUCGCCACAAGAUAUGUGUUUUGCUUGGAGCGUCUUGUAUUGUUUGACUCUUUAUUUUUUAGUUUACCACAAUCAUCCUUGCUGUACACACCUUUUGAGAGAGCCAUACAUGAUUUGGAAUUUGUUAGAAUACUCUAUGGGCUUCGCUUAUAUCUUUUGAGUUAUAUAGUUUUGCUCUAGUACUUCACUUAUAUCUUUUAGAGCACGGUGGUGGAUUUGUUUUAUAAAAACUAUUGAUCUCUCAUGCUUCACUUAGAUUAUUUUGAGAUGCUUAAUAGCAUGGUAAUUUGCUUAAAAUCCUAAUAUGCUAGGUAUUCAAAGUUAGUAAAAUUUUCUUACGAGUGUUUUUAAUACUAAGAGAAGUUUGAUGCUUGAUGAUUGUUUUGAGAUAUGGAGGUAAUAAUAUCAAAGUCGUGCUAGUUGAGUAGUUGUGAAAUUGAGAAAUACUUGUGUUGAAAUUUGCAUGUCCCGUAGCAUGCACGUAUUGUAAACGUUGUGUAACAAAUUUGAAACAUGAGGUGUUAUUUGAUUGUCUUCCUUAUGAGUGGCGGUCGGGGACGAGCGAUGGUCUUUUCCUACCAAUCUAUUGUUUGGGAACGUACUAAUUUCAAAAAAAAUCCUACGCACACGCAAGACCAUGGUGAUGCAUAGCAACGAGAGGGGAGAGUGUGAUCUACGUACCCUUGUAGAUCAACAGCGGAAGCGUUGAUGCAACAUAGAGGAAGUAGUCGUACGUCUUCCUGAUCCGACCGAUCGAAGCACCAUUACUCCGGCACCUCCGAGUUCUUAGCACACGUACAGCUCGAUGACGAUCCCGGGCUCCGAUCCAGCAAAGGGUCGGGGAGGAGUUCCGUCAGCACGACGGCGUGGUGACGAUCUUGAUGUUCUACCGUCGCAGGGCUUCGCCUAAGCACUGCUACAAUAUGAUGGAGGUGGAAUAUGGUGGCACGGGGCACCGCACACGGCUAAGGAACGAUCUCAAUGAUCAACUUGUGUGUCUAGAGGUGCCCCCUGCCUCCGUAUAUAAAGGAGCCAAGGGGGAGGGGGCCGCCGGCCAGGAGGAGGGCGCAGGAGGAGUCCUACUCCUACCGGGAGUAGGACUCCCCCCCCCCAAUCCUAGUUGGACUAGGAUUCCCCGAGGGGGAAAGAGAGAGAGGGGGGCCGGCCACCUCUCCUAGUCCUAAUAGGACUACGGGAGGGGGGAGGCGCGCGGCCACCUUGGGCUGCCCCUUUCUCCUUUCCACUAAAGCCCAUCAAGGCCCAUAUGGCUCCCGGGGGGUUCCGGUAACCUCCCGGUACUCCGGUAAAAUCCCGAUUUCACCCGGAACACUUCCGAUGUCCAAAUAUAGGCUUCCAAUAUAUCAAUCUUUAUGUCUCGACCAUUUCGAUACUCCUCGUCAUGUCUGUGAUCACAUCCGGGACUCCGAACUAACUUCGGUACAUCAAAAUGCAUAAACUCAUAAUAACUGUCAUCGUAACGUUAAGCGUGUGGACCCUACGGUUCGAGAAUAAUGCAGACAUGACUGAGACACAUCUCCGGUCAAUAACCAAUAGCAGGACCUGGAUGCCUAUAUUGGCUCCUACAUUUUCUACGAAGAUCUUUAUCAGUCACACCGCAUAACAACAUAUGUUGUUCCCUUUGUCAUCGGUAUGUCAUUUGCCCGAGAUUCGAUCGUCAGUAUCCAAUACCUAGUUCAAUCUCGUUACCGGCAAGUCUCUUUACUCGUUCCGUAAUACAUCAUCUCGCAACUAACUCAUUAGUUGCAAUGCUUGCAAGGCUUAAGUGAUGUGCAUUACCGAGAGGGCCCAGAGAUACCUCUCCGACAAUCGGAGUGACAAAUCCUAAUCUCGAAAUACGCCAACCCAACAUCUACCUUUGGAGACACCUGUAGUACUCCUUUAUGAUCACCCAGUUACGUUGUGAUGUUUGGUAGCACCCAAAGUGUUCCUCCGGUAAACGGGAGUUGCAUAAUCUCAUAGUCAUAGGAACAUGUAUAAGUCAUGAAGAAUAGCAACAGCAACAUACUAAACGAUCGGGUGCUAAGCUAAUGAAAUGGGUCAUGUCAAUCAGAUCAUUCAACUAAUGAUGUGACCUCGUUAAUCAAAUAACAACUCUUUGUUCAUGGUUAGGAAACAUAACCAUCUUUGAUUAACGAGCUAGUCAAGUAGAGGCAUACUAGUGACACUCUGUUUGUCUAUGUAUUCACACAUGUAUUAUGUUUCCGGUUAAUACAAUUCUAGCAUGAAUAAUAAACAUUUAUCAUGAUAUAAGGAAAUAAAUAAUAACUUUAUUAUUGCCUCUAGGGCAUAUUUCCUUCAGUCUCCCACUUGCACUAGAGUCAAUAAUCUAGAUUACACAGUAAUGAUUCUAACACCCAUGGAGCCUUGGUGCUGAUCAUGUUUUGCUCGUGGAAGAGGCUUAGUCAACGGGUCUGCAAUAUUCAGAUCCAUAUGUAUCUUGCAAAUCUCUAUGUCUCCCACCUAGACUAGAUCCCGGAUGGAAUUGAAGCGUCUCUUGAUGUGCUUGGUUCUCUUGUGAAAUCUGGAUUCCUUUGCCAAGACAAUUGCACCAGUAUUGUCACAAAAGAUUUUCAUUGGACCCGAUGCACUAGGUAUGACACCUAGAUCGGAUAUGAACUCCUUCAUCCAGACUCCUUCGUUUGCUGCUUCCGAAGCAGCUAUGUAUUCUGCUUCACAUGUAGAUCCCGCUACGACGCUUUGUUUAGAACUGCACCAACUGACAGCUCCACCGUUUAAUGUAAACACGUAUCCGGUUUGCGAUUUAGAAUCGUCCGGAUCAGUGUCAAAGCUUGCAUCAACGUAACCUCUUACGGUGAGCUCUUUGUCACCUCCAUAUACGAGAAACAUAUCCUUAGUCCUUUUCAGGUAUUUCAGGAUGUUCUUGACCGCUGUCCAGUGAUCCACUCCUGGAUUACUUUGGUACCUCCCUGCUAAACUUAUAGCAAGGCACACAUCAGGUCUGGUACACAGCAUUGCAUACAUGAUAGAGCCUAUGGCUGAAGCAUAGGGAACAUCUUUCAUUUUCUCUCGAUCUUCUGCAGUGGUCGGGCAUUGAGUCUGGCUCAACUUCACACCUUGUAACACAGGCAAGAACCCUUUCUUUGCUUGAUCCAUUUUGAACUUCUUCAAAAUCUUGUCAAGGUAUGUGCUUUGUGAAAGUCCAAUUAAGCGUCUUGAUCUAUCUCUAUAGAUCUUUAUGCCUAAUAUGUAAGCAGCUUAACCGAGGUCUUUCAUUGAAAAACUCUUAUUCAAGUAUACCUUUAUGCUAUCCAGAAAUUCUAUAUCAUUUCCAAUCAGCAAUAUGUCAUCCACAUAUAAUAUCAGAAAUGCUACAGAGUUCCCACUCACUUUCUUGUAAAUACAGGCUUCACCGAAAGUCUGUAUAAAACCAAAUGCUUUGAUCACACUAUCAAAGCGUUUAUUCCAACUCCGAGAGGCUUCCACCAGUCCAUAAAUGGAUCGCUGGAGCUUGCACACUUUGUUAGCUCCCUUUGGAUCGACAAAACCUUCCGGUUGCAUCAUAUACAACUCUUCUUCCAGAAAUCCAUUCAAGAAUGCAGUUUUGACAUCCAUCUGCCAAAUUUCAUAAUCAUAAAAUGCGGCAAUUGCUAACAUGAUUCGGACAGACUUAAGCAUCGCUACGGGUGAGAAGGUCUCAUCGUAGUCAACCCCUUCAACUUGUCGAAGACCUUUUGCGAGAAGUCGAGCUUCGUAGACAGUAACAUUACCAUCACCGUCAGUCUUCUUCUUGAAGAUCCAUUUAUUCUCAAUUGCUUGCCGAUCAUCGGGCAAGUCAACCAAAUCCAUACUUUGUUCUCAUACAUGGAUCCCAUCUCAGAUUUCAUGGCUUCAAGCCACUUUGCGGAAUAUGGGCUCACCAUCGCUUCUUCAUAGUUCGUAGGUUCAUCAUGAUCUAGCAGCAUGAUUUCCAGAACAGGAUUACCGUACCACUCUGGUGCAGAUCUCGCUCUGGUUGAUCUACGAGGUUCAGUAGUAUCUUGUCCUGAAGUUUCAUGAUCUUUAUCAUUAGCUUCCUCACUAAUUGGUAUAGGUGUCGCAGAAACAGUUUUUCUGUGAUGUACUACUUUCCAAUAAGGGAGCAGGUAUAGUUACCUCGUCAAGUUCUACUUUCCUCCCACUCACUUCUUUCGAGAGAAACUCCUUCUCUAGAAAUGAUCCAUUCUUAGCAAUGAAUGUCUUACCUUCGGAUUUGUGAUAGAAGGUGUACCCAACAGUCUCCUUUGCGUAUCCUAUGAAGACACAUUUCUCCGAUUUGGGCUCGAGCUUAUGAGGUUGAAGCUUUUUCACAUAAGUAUCGCAGCCCCAAACUUUAAGAAACGACAACUUUGGUUUCUUGCCAAACCACAGUUCAUAAGGCGUCGUCUCAGCAGAUUUUGAUGGUGCCGUAUUUAGCGUGAAUGUGAGCGUCUCUAAAGCAUAACCCCAAAACGAUAGCGGUAAAUCAGUAAGAGACAUCAUAGAUCGCACCAUAUCUAGUAAAGUACGAUUCCGAUGUUCGGACACACCAUUACACUGUGGUGUUCCAGGUGGCGUGAGUUGCGAAACUAUUCCACAAUUUUUCAAAUGUACACCAGACUCGUAACUCAAAUAUUCUCCUCCACGAUCAGAUCGUAGAAACUUUAUUUUCUUGUUAUGAUGAUUUUCAACUUCACUCUGAAAUUCUUUGAACUUUUCAAAUGUUUCAGACUUAUGUUUCAUUAAGUAGAUAUACCCAUAUCUGCUUAAGUCAUCUGUGAAGGUGAGAAAAUAACGAUAUCCACCACGAGCCUCAAUAUUCAUCGGACCACAUACAUCAGUAUGCAUGAUUUCCAACAAAUCUGUUGCUCUCUCCAUAGUACCGGAGAACGGUGUUUUAGACAUCUUGCCCAUGGGGCACGGUUCGCAAGUACCAAGUGAUUCAUAAUCAAGUGGUUCCAAAAGUCCAUCGGUAUGGAGUUUCUUCAUGCGCUUUAUACCGAUAUGACCUAAACGGCAGUGCCACAAAUUAGUUGCACUAUCAUUAUCAACUCUGCAUCUUUUCGCCUCAACAUUAUGAAUAUAUGUGUUACUACUAUCGAGAUUCAUCGAAAAUAGACCACUCCUCAAAGGUGCAUGACCAUAAAAGAUAUUACUCAUAUAAAUAGAACAACCAUUAUUCUCUGAUUUAAAUGAAUAACCGUCUCGCAUCAAACAAGUUCCAGAUAUAAUGUUCAUGCUCAACGCUGGAACCAAAUAACAAUUAUUUAGGUCUAAUAUUAAUCCCGAAGGUAGAUGUAGAGGUAGCGUGCUGACCGCGAUCACAUCGACUUUGGAACCGUUUCCCACGCGCAUCGUCACCUCGUCCUUCGCCAGUGUUCGCUUAAUCCGUAGUCCCUGUUUCGAGUUGCAAAUAUUAGCAACAGAACCAGUAUCACAUACCCAGGUGCUACUGCGAGCUCUAGUAAGGUACACAUCAAUAACAUGUAUAUCACAUAUACCUUUGUUCACCUUGCCAUCCUUCUUAUCCGCCAAUACUUGGGGCAGUUCCGCUUCCAGUGACCAGUCUGCUUGCAGUAGAAGCACUCAGUUUCAGGCUUAGGUCCAGACUUGGGUUUCUUCUCUUGAGCAGCAACUUGCUUGCCGUUCUUCUUGAAGUUCCCCUUCUUCUUCCCUUUGCCCUUUUUCUUGAAACUAGUUGUCUUACUGACCAUCAACACUUGAUGCUCCUUUUUGAUUUCUACCUCCGCAGCUUUCAGCAUUGCGAAGAGCUCGGGAAUAGUCUUGUUCAUCCCUUGCAUAUUAUAGUUCAUCACAAAGCUCUUGUAGCUUGGUGGCAGUGAUUGGAGAAUUCUGUCAAUGACGCAAUCAUCUAGAAGAUUAACUCCCAUCUGAAUCAAGUGAUUAUUAUACCCAGACAUUCUGAGUAUAUGCUCACUGACAGAACUGUUCUCCUCCAUCUUGCAGCUAUAGAACUUAUUGGAGACUUCAUAUCUCUCAAUCCGGGCAUUUUCUUGAAAUAUUAACUUCAACUCCUGGAACAUCUCAUAUGCUCCAUGACGUUCAAAACGUCGUUGAAGUCCCGAUUCUAAGCCGUAAAGCAUGGCACACUGAACUAUCAAGUAGUCAUCAGCUUUGCUCUGCCAGACGUUCAUAACAUCUAGUGUUGCUCCAGCAGCAGGCCUGGCACCUAGCGGUGCUUCCAAGACGUAAUUCUUCUGAGCAACAAUGAGGAUAAUCCUCAAGUUACGGACCCAGUCCGUGUAAUUGCUACCAUCAUCUUUCAACUUUGCUUUCUCAAGGAACGUAUUAAAAUUCAACGAAACAACAACACGAGCCAUCUAUCUACAAUCAACAUAAACAAGCAAGAUACUAUCAGGUACUAAGUUCAUGAUAAGUUUAAGUUCAAUUUAAUCAAAUUACUUAAGAACUCCCACUUAGAUAGACAUCCCUCUAAUCGUCUAAGUGAUCACGUGAUCCAAAUCAACUAAACCAUAACCGAUCAUCACGUGAGAUGGAGUAGUUUUCAAUGGUGAACAUCGUUAUGUUGAUCAUAUCUACUAUAUGAUUCAUGCUCGACCUUUCGUUCUCCGUGUUCCGAGGCCAUAUCUGCAUACGCUAGGCUCGUCAAGUUUAACCUGAGUAUUCUGCGUGUGCAAAAACUGGCUUGCACCCGUUGUAGAUGGACGUAGAGCUUAUCACACCCGAUCAUCACGUGGUGUCUGGGCACGACGAACUUUGGCAGCAGUGCAUACUCAGGGAGAACACUUCUUGAUAAUUUAGUGAGAUAUCAUCUUAUAAUGCUACCGUCAAUCAAAGCAAGAUAAGAUGCAUAAAAAGAUAAACAUCACAUGCAAUCAAUAUAAGUGAUAUGAUAUGGCCAUCAUCAUCUUGUGCUUGUGAUCUUCAUCUCCGAAGCACCGUCAUGAUCACCAUCGUCACCGGUGCGACACCUUGAUCUCCAUCGUAGCAUCGUUGUCGUCUCGCCAAUCUUAUGCUUCCACGACUAUCGCUACCGCUUAGUGAUAAAGUAAAGCAUUACAUCGCGAUUGCAUUGCAUACAAUAAAGCGACAACCAUAUGGCUCCUGCCAGUUGCCGAUAACUCGGUUACAAAACAUGAUCAUCUCAUACAAUAAAAUUUAGCAUCAUGUCUUGACCAUAUCACAUCACAACAUGCCCUGCAAAAACAAGUUAGACGUCCUCUACUUUGUUGUUGCAAGUUUUACGUGGCUGCUACGGGCUUAAGCAAGAACCAAUCUCACCCACGCAUCAAAACCACAACGAUAGUUUGUCAAAUAGACUCCGUUUUAUCCUUCGGAAGGACCGGGCGUAGCCACACUCGGUUCAACUAAAGUUGGAGAAACAGUCGCCCGCAAGGCACCUGUGUGCAAAGCACGUCGGGGGAACCGGUCUCACGUAAGCGUACGCGUAAUGUUGGUCCGGGUCGUCUCGUCCAACAAUACCGCCGAACCAAAGUAUGACAUGCUAGUAGGCAGUAUGACUUGUAUCACCCACAACUCACUUGUGUUCUACUCGUGCAUAUAACAUCAAACCAUAAAACCUAGGCUCGGAUGCCACUGUUUGGGAACGUAGUAAUUUCAAAAAAAUUCCUACGCACACGCAAGAUCAUGGUGAUGCAUAUCAACGAGAGGGGAGAGUGUGAUCUACGUACCCUUGUAGAUCAAUAGCGGAAGCAUUGACGCAAUGUAGAGGAAGUAGUCGUACGUCUUCCUUAUCCGAUCGAUCCAAGCACCAUUACUCCGGCACCUCUGAGUUCUUAGCACACGUACAGCUCGAUGACGAUCCCCGGGCUCCGAUCCAGCAAAGCGUCGGGGGGGAGUUCCGUCAACACGACGGCGUGGUGAUGAUCUUGAUGUUCUACCAUCGCAGGGCUUCGCCUAAGCACUGCUCCAAUAUGAUCGAGGUGGAAUAUGGUGGCAGGGGGCACCGCACACGGCUAAGGAACGAUCUCAAUGAUCAACUUGUGUGUCUAGAGGUGCCCCCUGCCUCCGUAUAUAAAGGAGCCAAGGGGGAGGGGGCCGCCGGCCAGGAGGAGGGCGCAGGAGGAGUCCUACUCCUACCAGGAGUAGGACUCCCCCCCCCCAAUCCUAGUUGGACUAGGAUUCCCCGAGGGGGAAAGAGAGAGGGGGGGCCGGCCACCUCUCCUAGUCCUAAUAGGACUAGGGGAGGGGGGAGGCGCGCGGCCACCUUGGGCUGCCCCUUUCUCCUUUCCACUAAAGCCCAUCAAGGCCCAUAUGGCUCCCGGGGGGUUCCGGUAACCUCCCGGUACUCCGGUAAAAUCCCGAUUUCACCCGGAACACUUCCGAUGUCCAAAUGUAGGCUUCCAAUAUAUCAAUCUUUAUGUCUCGACCAUUUCGAGACUCCUCGUCAUGUCCGUGAUCACAUCCGGGACUCCGAACUAACUUUGGUACAUCAAAAUGCAUAAACUCAUAAUAACUGUCAUCGUAACGUUAAGCGUGUGGACCCUACGGUUCGAGAAUAAUGCAGACAUGACUGAGACACAUCUCCGGUCAAUAACCAAUAGCGGGACCUGGAUGCCCAUAUUGGCUCCUACAUUUUCUCCGAAGAUCUUUAUCGGUCAGACCGCAUAACAAAAUACGUUGUUCCCUUUUCAUCGGUAUGUUACUUGCCCGAGAUUUGAUCGUUGGUAUCUCAAUACCUAGUUCAAUCUCGUUACCGGCAAGUCUCUUUACUCGUUCCGUAAUACAUCAUCUCGCAACUAACUCAUUAGUUGCAAUGCUUGCAAGGCUUAUGUGAUGUGCAUUACCGAGAGGGCCCAGAGAUACCUCUCCGACAAUCGGAGUGACAAAUCCUAAUCUCGAAAUACGCCAACCCAACAUCUACCUUUGGAGACACCUGUAGAGCUCCUUUAUAAUCACCCAGUUACAUUGUGACGUUUGUUAGCACACAAAGUGUUCCUCCGGGAAACGGGAGUUGCAUAAUCACAUAGUCAUAGGAACAUGUAUAAGUCAUGAAGAAAGCAGUAGCAACAUACUAAACGAUCGGGUGCUAAGCUAAUGAAAUGGGUCAUGUCAAUCAGAUCAUUCAACCAAUGAUGUGACCUCGUUAAUCAAAUAACAACACCUUGUUCAUGGUUAGGAAACAUAACCAUCUUUGAUUAACGAGCUAGUCAUGUAGAGGCAUACUAGUGACACUAAGUUUGUCUAUGUAUUCACACAUGUAUUAUGUUUCCGGUUAAUACAAUUCUAGUAUGAAUAAUAAACAUUUAUCAUGAUAUAAGGAAAUAAAUAAUAACUUUAUUAUUGCCUCUAAGGCAUAUUUCCUUCAUCUAUCCCCCUAGGAGCAUGCGCGUAGUACCGAGGUUUUUGAUGACUUGUAGAUUUUUGCAAUGAGUAUGUGAGUUCUUUAUGACUAAUGUUGAGUCCAUGAAUUAUACGCACUCUCACCCUUCCAUCCUUGCUAGCCUCUUCGGUACCGUGCAUUGCCCUUUCCCACAUUGAGUGUUGGAGCAAACUUCGCCAAUGCAUCCAAACCCUGUGAUAUGAUACGCUCUUUCACACAUAAACCUCCUUAUAUCUUCCUCAAAACAGCCACCAUACCUACCUAUUAUGGCAUUUCCAUAGCCAUUCCGACUUAUAUUGCCAUGCAACUUUCCACCAUUCCGUUCAUCAUGACACAUUUAGCAUUGUCAUAUUGCUUAGCAUAAUCAUGUAGUUGACAUAGUAUUUGUGGCAAAGCCACCGUUCAUAAUUCUUUCCUACAUGUCACUAUUGGUCCACUGCAUAUCCGGUACACCGCCGGAGGCAUUUAUAUAGAGUCAUACUUUGUUCUAGUAUCGAGUAGUAAUUAUUGAGUUGUAAAUAAAUAGAAGUGUGAUGAUCAUCAUUAAUAGAGCAUGGUCCCAAAAAGAGAAAAAAGGAAGGGCCAAAAAAAGGCCAAAUAAAAAAAUAUAAAAAAGGGGGGCAAUGCUACUAUCCUUUUUUUCCACACUUGUGAUUCAAAGUAGCACCGUAAUCUUCAUGAUAGAGAGUAUCUUGAUUUGUCACUUUCAUAUACUAGUGGGAAUUUUGCAUUGUAGAACAAUGGGCCUCCUCAAGUGCCCUAGCUCUUCGUGAGCAAGCAAGUUGGAUGCACACCCACUUAGUUUCUUUUGUUGAGCUUUCAUACAUUUAUAGCUCUAGUGCAUCCGUUGCAUGGCAAUCCUUACUCCUUGCAUUAACAUCAAUCGAUGGGCAUCUCCAUAGCCCAUUGAUUAGCCUCAUUGAUGUGAGACUUUCUCCUUUUUGUCUUCUCCACAUAACCCCAGUGAUUAUAUUCUAUUCCACCCAUAGUUUUAUGUCCAUGGCUUGCAAUCAUAUAUUGCGUGAAAGUUUAUAGGUUUGAGAUCACUAAAGUAUGAAACAAUUGCUUGGCUUGUCAUCGGGGUUGUGCAUGAUGAGAGCAUUCUUGUGUGAAGAAAAUGAAGCAUGAUUAAACUAUAUGAUUUUGUAGGGAUGAACUUUCUUUGGCCAUGUUAUUUUGAGAAGACAUAAUUGCUCAGUUAGUAUGCUUGACUCUUUUGGAUCUGAAUAUUCAUACCACAAGUAAGAAGAAUUACAUUAAAAUCAUGCCAAGUAGCACUCCGCAUCAAAAAUUCUGUUUUUAUCAUUUACCUACUCUAGGACGAGCAGGAAUUAAGCUUGGGGAUGCUUGAUACGUCUCCAACGUAACUAUAAUUUUUGAUUGCUCCAUGCUAUAUUAUCUACUGUUUUGGACAAUAUUGGGCUUUAUUAUCCACUUUUAUAUUAUUUUGUAACUAACCUAUUAUCUACUGUUUUGGACAAUAUUGCCUAGAUUUGCUGUUUUUUUGCCUGUUUUAGGGUUUCGAAGAAAAGGAAUAUCAAACGGAGUCCAAACGGAAUGAAACCUUCGGGAACGUGAUUUUCUCAACGAACAAGACCCAGGAGACUUGGACCCUCCGUCAAGACACAAAAGAGGAGGCCACGAGGUAGAGGGCGUGCCUACCCCCCCCCCCCUGCGCGCCCACCACCCUCGUGGGCCCCCUGUUGCUCCACCGACGUACUCCUUCCUCCUAUAUAUACCUACGUACCCCCAAACGAUCAUAUACGGAGCCAAAACCCUAAUUCCACCGCCGCAACUUUCUGUAUCCACGAGAUCCCAUCUUGGGGCCUGUUCCGGAGCUCCGCCAGAGGGGGCAUCGAUCACGGAGUGCUUCUACAUCAACACCAUAACCUCUCCGAUGAAGUGUGAGUAGUUCACCUCAGACCUACUGUUCCAUAGUUAUUAGCUAGAUGGCUUCUUCUCUCUUUUUGGAUCUAAAUACAAUGUUCUCCCCCUCUCUUGUGGAGAAUUAUUCGAUGUAAUCUUCUUUUUGCGGUGUGUUUGUUGAGACCGAUGAAUUGUGGGUUUAUGAUCAAGUCUAUCUAUGAAUAAUAUUUCAAUCUUCUCUGAAUUAUUUUAUGUAUGAUUGGUUAUCUUUGCAAGUCUCUUCGAAUUAUCAGUUUGGUUUGGCCUACUAGAUUGAUCUUUCCUGCAAUGGGAGAAGUGCUUAGCUUUGGGUUCAAUCUUGCGGUGUCCUUUCCCAGUGACAGUAGGGGCAGCAAGGCACGUAUUGUAUUGUUGCCAUCGAGGACAACAAGAUGGGGUUUUCAUCAUAUUGCAUGUGUCUAUCCCUCUACAUCAUGUUAUCUUGCUUAAGGCGUUAAUCUGUUUUUAACAUAAUACUCUAGAUGCAUGCUGGAUAGCUGUCGAUGAGUGGAGUAAUAGUAGUAGAUGUAGGCAGGAGCGGUCUACUUGUCUCGGACGUGAUGCCUAUAUACAUGAUGAUACCUAGAUAUUAUCAUAACUAUGCUCAAUUCUGUCAAUUGCUCAACAGUAAUUUGUUCACCCACCGUAGAAUACUUAUGCUCUCGAGGGAAGCCACUAGUGAAACCUAUGGCCCCGGGUCUAUCUUUAUCAUAUUAAUCUCCUACUACUUAGUUAUUUCCUUUGCUUUUUUACUUUGCCUUUAUUUUACUUUGCAUCUUUAUCACAAAAAUACCAAUAAAAUUAUCUUUAUCAUAUCUAUCAAAUCUCACUCUUGUAAGUGGCCGUGUAGGGAUUGACAACCCCUAUUCGCGUUGGUUGCGAGGAUUUAUUUGUUUUGUGCAGGUACGAGGGACUCGUGCGUAGCCUCCUACUGGAUUGAUACCUUGGUUCUCAAAACCUAAGGGAAAUACUUACGCUACUUUGCUGCAUCAUCCCUUCCUCUUCGGGGAAAACCAACGCAGUGCUCAAGAGGUAGCAAGGGUUCCUUUUUGUCGACGAUCCUAUGUUUCAACCUUGUUUUCCAGGCGGCCAAUGCGUCGCUAAACUUGGGCAUGGCGUGUUUGUUUAUCUUCUUCAUUGCCAGGUCCUUAUCUGGAUCUUUAUUAUCCUUUUCAUUGCGGUUAAUGAACAAGAAUAUCUGGUGCCGCUUCUUUAAAAGGGAGGGCCUCAUAUUAUCUAUCUUCUGUAGUUUCCCAUCGUUGAUCGUGGCAGUUGUCCGUACGAUGCAACCUAUUUGAUUGCCAUAGCACGAUUGCGCUUCCUCGGGCGCUAUUGUCUCAAAAAUACCGUUGUCCAUCUCCGUGACCACCAGUCUAGUACUCGUGAGCUGGUUUCGGCGCCGUGGCCUCUUUGCUUUCGGUUCUAGACCAGCUCCGCUAGUCUCGGCGCCGGUCUCAGUCUCAUCGCCGGUCUGCAUGUCGGUAUCAGUCCCCGAUGCGACAGCACAGUCGCUGCAACAUGGGUAAGGGAGACCACAUCAGUGCUGGGGGGGUCUGAAAAUUGGGACACACUUUCGCGCAUCGCGGGCCGCCUCUCAGACAGCUACUGGGGAGGCGGCGGAGUACCUGGGUGCGCGGUAAAUCCCCGGGAACUCGGUGACCAACUUCCUUCCCGUGUGGUGCAUGGAGACGACGACGACCCCGGCAAAGAGCAGCUUAGCCGUGAGCUGCACAGCCUCGUCCACCUCCUAAGUUGGGUCCUCCGCGCGAGCGUUGCGGGGCCGCCGCUCGGAUGGCUUCUGGAAGGCGCUUGUACAUGGGCAUAGGGUGAAUCCCGGCGAGAGCUAGCCAUUGGCGCGCGCAAGUAGACGACGACGUCCCCGACGAAGAGCAGCCCGGCCAGCUCGCCUCACUCUCCUUUGAUUAGAAUUGAAAGAUUGGGAAGAAGCAGACUUGAGCCUGCAGGGAAAGGAUAAGGUGACGAUGCAGUCUCCACUCGUUCGGGGCGACACGCGAAUUGAAUGUAUGAGAAACGUGACGUGGCAGGGACCCCAAGAUACUCCCUCCAUUUAUUUUUAGUCUGCAUAUAAAGUUUGGUCAAAGUCAAGAUUUGUAAAUUUUAACUAACUUUAUAAUAAAAAAAUAUCAACAUUCACAAUAUGAAAUAAUUAUUACCAGAUGCGUGAAGAAAUGUAUUUCCAUACUAUAUAGUUUUGGUAUUGGAGAUGUUCAUAUUUUUUUAUAUAAAUGGGAAGUAGAGGCACUCUUCCAUAUAAUGAAGUUUAUAAUAUAUGUGCUUAUAUUGUACUAUAAUUGUUUGAAUAACUUAGCAUAUGUUCAGAUGUAUGAUAUCUGUAAUUUAAGCGCUUGAAUUUUACAUAUAAAUAUUUAUUAAUAAAUAUGUACCCCUAUAAUAGCUAGGCCGUGCAGUUGCACGGGUAGAUGACUAGUGAUUACAGUCUUGUUUGUGUGCAAGUCAAGCUUAUCUAGUUUACACGUAACAACUCGUAGAACAUGUUUAUGCUUGCUAAUAACUUCUAGAACACUACAACACUUUACAUGUAAAAGGAAUUUCACGAGUCAUGGCCUACUAAAGCAAGUUACAUUACUAGUCUUAUAUCUAUCUUAACAGACCACACAAGACUACAAACUAAGUACCAUGACAGCCAUGCUUAUCUAGUUUAUGCGUAACAAUUUGCAGAAAAUUACAAACUUAGUUUUAGAAAAAUGGGCAAUCCAGAUUAGUGUUUGAGCUGUAAAGUGAAUAAGAUGAGUCAUGUGUGUUAUCACACCUUUUUGGUGGUGGAAUGAUAGUGCAACAACAAGGAACUUUAAUGAACAGUGCAAGAAUACACUUGUAAGUAGUGCCACCAAACAGAACAUACCAAAUGAUGAUUUUGAGAAGCAUCCAAGCACUUUCCACACAAACAAAUGCCAAUUGUGAAAGAGAUCAUUCCAUGGCAGCUAUAAAUAGCCCCGUAGCAUGACGAUCAUCCUUCCUCAUCCAUCAUUCUCAUAAGUAGAACGCAUCAUUUAAGCCAAGCAAGGUGUGGUCAAUACAAAUCCACCAUGAAGACAUUUCUCAUCCUUGCCCUCCUUGCUAUCGUGGCGACCACCGCCACAACUGCAGUUAGAGUUCCAGUGCCACAAUUGCAGCCACAAAAUCCAUCUCAGCAACAGCCACAAGAGCAAGUUCCAUUGGUACAACAACAACAAUUUCUAGGGCAGCAACAACCAUUUCCACCACAACAACCAUAUCCACAGCCGCAACCAUUUCCAUCACAACAACCAUAUCUGCAGCUGCAACCAUUUCCGCAGCCGCAACUACCAUAUUCGCAGCCACAACCAUUUCGACCACAACAACCAUAUCCACAACCGCAACCACAGUAUUCGCAACUACAACAACCAAUUUCACAGCAGCAGCAGCAGCAGCAACAACAACAACAACAACAACAACAACAACAACAACAACAACAACAACAACAACAACAACAACAACAACAACAACAACAACAAGAACAACAAAUCCUUCAACAAAUUUUGCAACAACAACUAAUUCCAUGCAUGGAUGUUGUAUUACAGCAACACAACAUAGCGCAUGGAAGAUCACAAGUUUUGCAACAAAGUACUUACCAGCUGUUGCAAGAAUUGUGUUGUCAGCACCUAUGGCAGAUCCCUGAGCAGUCGCAGUGCCAGGCCAUCCACAAUGUUGUUCAUGCUAUUAUUCUGCAUCAACAACAAAAACAACAACAACAACAACCAUCGAGCCAGGUCUCCUUCCAACAGCCUCAACAACAAUAUCCAUUAGGCCAGGGCUCCUUCCGGCCAUCUCAGCAAAACCCACAGGCCCAGGGCUCUGUCCAGCCUCAACAACUGCCCCAGUUCGAGGAAAUAAGGAACCUAGCGCUACAGACGCUACCUGCAAUGUGCAAUGUCUACAUCCCUCCAUAUUGCACCAUCGUGCCAUUUGGCAUCUUCGGUACUAACUGAGAAGAAAAUAACUCUAGUACUAGAUAUAUGAAACACCGUUUUCUCAGUCCAUGGUUUGGUCAUUGUAGCGGUGAAAAAAUAAUGUGACAUGCACUAUCAUGUAAGAACCCGAACUAUACUAGUUCAAACUUGGGAAUAAAAGACAAACACAGGUCUUGUCUACAUAUUUAUGUUGCAUUUAUCUAAAGAUAACAAAAUGAGUCUAAAAUUUGAAUUAAAUUGAAGUAUUUUCUUGGACUUUAAUUUGCACAUUAAUUAGAAAUUACUAUCCCUCGAUCUGGUAAAUCUUAACAAAUAGAAUUAUCUUGACCGUUAGAUUUAUGUAACAUAUAUAAUGCUCUGGGCCUCCAACGACUGUACGUGACACAUCUGAACGCACAUAUGUUAAAGAAAAUAUAUUUUGUAAAUGGUGGGCCUCUUUAAAAAGAGAACUUACGUACAUACACCAACUAAGAAAAACACAUACAUGUAAAUGGGAAAAGGAUGAGAUUUUCUCACGUACAUGUGUUGAUGCUUAAAAGUGGCACGAUCAUAAAGCAGCAUGCCGGGGCGAAAACCUUGCCGGGGUAAAAUCUUGCUGGUGUGAAAGCUUGCCGGUGUGAAGGCUUGCCGGCGUGGAAACCUUGCCGGCACAGAAAGAUCGCCGGUGCUUGCCGGUGUGAAAUCUUGCCGGGGGAGAAACCUUGUCAGGGAGGAACCCUUGCCGGAGUACAAACCUUGCCGGAGUGAAACCUUGCCGGUGUGAAAGCUUGCCGGGUAGAAACUUUGCCGGUGUGGAAAGCUUACUCGGAUGGAAAACUUGCCGGGUUGGAGGCUGAGAUAGUCAAUCGAACGAGAAGUUGAAGAUGGGCUCAAAAGGUUAUUCAGAUGAUCUCGGAUGGAAAAAUGAUCUACAGGGUUGUCUUCGUCUCGUCGAAACGAUCGAUUUUGAUAUAAAAAUCAUUCAAAUCCGAGUUCGUAUGCAAAAGUUAGAGCAAUCAGAGUGCAGCCCUGUCACGAGGCGAGAUGUGGCACGCCCACCAGACACAUGUCUGACGGGUAGUGUGAGGAAAUAGCCUGUGUUGCGAGACCGAUCUGACCCUCAAGAUGACCUCUGAUCAAAAAACCUUCAACAUGAAAGUUGUUCGUCUCGUCGAAACGGUCAAGAUUGCUUUUGGGCUUGUUUUCAUCCGGAAUCGUUUACCACCGCAAAAAAGACCCGCAAGGUGCAGCCAGUUUUAACCGAACAGUUUUGGAAAGUUUGGAUAAACCAGUCCGAAUUUGACUAAUGUUUUGGACGUGAAUUGAUGUAAUUUUCUUGUAAGGAAAGCCUAGAUAAAUUCUUGGCUUGUACGGGAAGUCCAGCUGCCUCUUAUAUAUGUUGGGGGUGGCGGCCGAUUGAAACAACACAUAAUCGAACAAACACAUAUACUACUUUUUCGUGUUCAUCUACUUUUUAUCUCUCCCUUGUAUCUUUCUUCUCGUUCUUCGCUAGUUCUUCAUGCUGGAGGGCUGCGGAUCCACGAGGCUCUAGGGGCGAGUGAAUCGACCUAGGGCAGCCCAUAGCCGCCGCAAUCCCUGACGGGGUCCCUCCCGGGUGCGCGGGGUUUCGGGUCUGCAAAAGCGCCCGCCGACUGCCUUGCGUAUCACGCUGUCGGUCGGGUCUCCUUCGACGUGAGCUACGGUGCAUCACCCCCGGCGUCGAGGGUAAACGUGACAUGUUCGUGUGCGAACACACUUUUUGGCGACUCCGCUGGGGACGAAGCUCUGAACAGUCUCCAGCCUGUUCUUGCUACGAGGAGAGCGUCACCAAGCGGCUGCAAUCUACAACGGUAACAUGUAUCGUCAAUCUCCUUGCGUAGAUGCAAAUAGCCAUUAUGUUGAUGUUGCUAGAUCUUUCAACGGACAUGUGAUGUCGGCCAGCCCUAAUGAGGAAAGGCCGACUAGUUAUUCCAUUGGAGAAACUUGGAAUUUACAGAAUCGUGACAUGCAACUUAUGAAUCUGAACUUUCGUGCAUCGGCAACAACUUUCAAUAUGCCGGUGAACAACACGAUUUGUUCGAGUGAUCAAUAUAGGACACCUCAUGUACAGGAGGGUAUCUCAAAGUUUUAUCCAUCGGCAGCCGGCUCGCAAUAUGCGGGUUCAUCCCCAAACAUGCCGAUGAAUGGGGGAAUCGGUCAUGCUUUUGUUAGCUAUUUGGCCGGUUAUCCUCAAACAUCAUAUACUACACCUCAUCAGAUUAAUUGUUCAAUGGCGUAUGAAACUAAAAAUAUUCAUAACUCGGCUCACGUUCACGGUCAUGGCCGAGUGAAUGGAGAUACUAUAGGAGCAUAUGUGCCUAAUAUUGCAGGAGAUGAGGUGGCUCUGGCUGCAUUAAAAAUUUUAGCCCAAAAUAAGAAGAUUAGUGCUAUUUUCCUUGAGCAACACGACAAGGGAUUGGUUCCUGAUUAUGAGGCAAUAAGAGCUAGGGUUUUGAAAGAAGACCAAGUGUUGCCGAUUGAUCAAAUUGUCGAGAGAAAAUAUUCAACAACGAUGCACAUGCCUUCACCUAUCAUUGCAGCAUGUUAUACACCCCCUGUACAAGCGCAAAAUUUCGGCAACAUUAAUUCAUUGCCGAAAGAUCCUAAAAGUAUUGGGGGGCAAGCCGAUCCAAGCAGGGUUGAGUUUAAAGAAAAAUAUCUAGCCCAAGUGGACAAGAUCAAGCCAAAGCUCACAGGGAAUAGAGUCAACGAAUUUACUACACCUACCCUUGAGGAAUUACCAGCAGAAUAUCGACAGGCCUACGAAGCACUCAAGAAGAAACGUGGAGAGGGAUAUUUGCAAGAAUACUUCAAGUGCCUUCCUCCAUGUAGCAACCAUGUUGGCCCUUCUACACUGUUGAGGCAAGAUAAAAAAAGAAGCUUUGCAAGCAAACCAGCAAAAAAGGAUUCACUCGGCUAAUACGGUGGAUUCGGUUGAAACCGGAUUGAGCAACGGGAUGUUUAAGGCCGAGUGCGUUGCAUCGUGCCAGCCGAGUGCAUCGUUCCAGACGAGUGCAUCACCAGCUAAAGCCGAGUGCAUCAAGCCAACUAUUGCCUCGUGUACGAAAAUAGAAGAUGCAAGCUUGGCUGAGCAAAGGAACAACAAACGCAACAAAUUGGUUGUGCUCGAUUUUUCUGGAUCUAAGGGAGCUUACAUGCUACCUUAUGAGUUUCGUGCUAAAGAUAUUGAUGAGCAUCAAGAACACAGUAAUGGCUGAACACAGUUCAGUUAACGAUGAACAUCAAGACCAAGAAAAUGCGGCCGAGCAAAGUUCAACUGACAAAGAGCGUCCGAGUGAAAUCCACUCGGGCAAUCCGACUGAAAUAUACUCGGGCAAUUCGAGUGAAAUAUACUCAGGCAAUCCGAGUGAUGAGGCACCAGAUCCAGAAAAAGAGGAAGAGGCAUUGGAGAAUUAUUCAUAAGUGGAGCAAUGUAUUGUUCCAGUGGUGCAACCAUCUUCUCCUUCCAAUGUCUUCACAAAGGUACACCUAGAAGAUAGUUUACUCAAUUUUCAAUUCGGUCAAAAUGAUAUUGUUGAUGUACCUAUUAGUAAGAUUCUAAUUAAUUUUGAAAGACCAAUUGAAAUGAGUAAUCUUUUUGUUAGGAAGGAUCUUGUCACUAAUCAUGAUAGUCAACACAUGGUAUCGUUCAUAGAGGCUAAUAGUGACAACUUAUCAAAACCAAAGUUGUUCUUGUCAUGCCAACUGAACUUUGUAUUCAUAUGGACAACUUUGUUUGUUUCAUGCCCGGCUAACAUUUGGACUCGUAUGAGCCGUAUAUUCUGUAAUUAUUUUAGUUGCAGAAACAUAAAGCCAGGUCCAAAGUCCUUCGAAGCCAAUUCAAAUGCAUCAGGAAAAGAAGAUGAAUCUUUCCCAAUUGAUAAAAUUGGCGAGCAAAAAUAUGGUUUUACAACAAUGCAUAUGCCUUCACCUAAUACUACAUCAUAUUAUACAGCCCCUACACAAUUGCAAAGUUUCGGCAACACCCAUGUGCCAUUGCCGAAAGAGUCUAAAAGCAAUGGGGGACAAUCGUAUCCGAAGUGGGCUGAAAAUGAGAAAAAGAUUAAAGCCAAUUUCGCCACUCGCCGCCAGAAACAAAAAGAAACAGAAUUGGCUCAAGUGAAAGAAGCAUUGCCAAUUGGUAGAAGCAAUGUAAAGAAAGAUGAUUCAGAACAUGAAAGUACUCCGGUUAAAAGAGCCGAAUCAAGAAGUAUAUAUUCUGAAUCCAUCAAAUGCAAAGAGGCAAGCAUUAUUGAGAAAGGGCAUGGCAAGCAUAGCAAAGCGACCAUACUUGAUUUUUCUAAAGUUAAUGGAACCUACUUCCUGCCCUAUGAGUUUCGUGCCAGAGAAUUUUGAUGAACUUCAAGGACAAGAACAAGUAGCCGAACAAAGUUCGGCCGACAAAAAUCUUCAAUGUAAUGAUGCACGGAAUCAAGAAAAAGAUGAUGAAGAAGCGUUGGGGGGCCAUCCAAAGGCGGAGCAAGAUAUUGUUCAAGUCACACCACCAUCGUGCUCUCCCAACAUAUUUGAAGAGGUAUGUUUAGCAAGUAAUUUACUUAUUUUCAGAUUUGGUCAGGACUUUAUUGUUGAUGCAUCUAUUGGAAAAAUCCUCAUAAGUAAUUUUGAAAGACCAAUGAAGAAGGGUAAUUUACUUGCUAGCAAUAAAGUUGUUAUUGAGCAUAUCGGUCAACCCAUUACGCCAUUUAUAAAGACCGAUAGUGACUUAUUAUUACAGCCAAAGCUUUCCCCGUUGCUUUAUCUAAAGUUCAUAUCUAUUUGGGUAGCUUUGCUUAUUUCAUACUUGGCUUGCACUUGGUCUCAAUUGAGACAUGUGUGUUCUAACUAUUUUCGUUUUAGAAAUUUAAAGCCAAGAUUAAAUUCUGUUGAGAAAACCGAUGCUAGUAUAAUAUCUUACCCAAAGACAUCGGAGAUAGAGUGCAAAACACAAUGCAUAGCCGAAUGGUGUGAUGCAAAAUCUGAACCAUUCGUUUGCUUAAUUCCAAAGCCGUUCUCACAGCAAGAUCGGCUAGAAAACAAGAAGUAUACCUUCAAUUCAAGCAUGUGUGUUCAAAUAUUUGAUUUGUUGCUGAAAAAUAAUUACAUUACAAUUCUUGAUCACCAUGUUAAGCCAUCAAUCCAAGGACGAAUGUAUUGUAAGUUGCAUGAUUCGUCCAAGCAUGAUUUUGAGGAUUGCAACAUGUUUCGUCAAAUAGUUAAAUCGGCCAUUGAAAAAGGACGAUUGAAGUUUGUUGAAACACCAAGAGAUGACCAGUCUAUUCCGAUUGGUCCCGAUGGCAAAAAGUUUUUGCAUCGGCUGCUUCGAGCCGAUCCAUUUAAAGAGAAGGUAAAAACUGCAGGUGAUGGGAUCAAGCUUUCAACUAAAGAAGUUGUUGAAGAGCAUAAUGAACAUAAUCUUGAGGGUGAGAAUUCCAUCGAAGCUACAAUGGAGACGCCAAGGACUGGGGGGCAGCAAGCAAAUCCAACGAUCGAUGAAAGCAAACCAAAAGAAAACAAAGGCCGAAAUAAGCGCAAGUGUAAAAUAUCAAAAAUCACCUUCGCUGAACUAUUGGAGAAAUAUCAAAAGAAGAGUGAAGAGAAGAAUGCUUAUCGGCCCAAUCAUGCAAAGAAACCAAAAUCACCCCCAAGGCGCAAAUAUGAGGAUCCGUAUUGGCAAAGUGAGAGUUUCAAUGCAACAUAUUCAUAUCCUUAUUUUGGGCCGCCAAUGACAAUGCCGUGGAUGCCUCCCUAUACUCAUGUAGAUCCAUGUUCAUCAUGGGACAGGUAUGAUACAAGGGCACAUUCUCCAUCUUAUUUUAGACCAUCUCACCAAUAUUAUGCAGCUCCGAGAAGAUCAACAUUUGAACAGUCACAUGUUAAAGAUCGUUUCAAUUAUAAGGAAUCGGUCCGGACACCAUGGAUGAAAAAAGAGGUGGUCAACCAAGUCUACCGCGUGAAAAGAGAUGGUCGUAAGUGUGCUACUUCAGAUUUGAUCUCAAAUAAUAAAGAGCCAAUUAAAGUGUUGACAUUGUCUACAAAAGGCAAUGAGACGAAGCAACCAAUUAUUGAGAGUCAAAGUGCCAAAUCAGAAGAAAAGAAGUUGAGAGUGCACAAGGUCAAAAAGGAAUUGCCAUUGGUCAGAACAGAAUCAUAGCCGAGAUGCCCACUCGGCUUAUCGUAUUGGCAAAAGAGGGAAUUACACAAACUUAGUGCACAAGAACUUGAAGAAAGGAACAUGGCAUGGGUUCCCAAAGGAAGUGCUCAAAAUAAGAAUUAUGUGCAUGCCUCCAUUACAAGAAGUGCGGCAAAAGUGAAGAAGGAAAAGAGUAAAAACUAUGAAGGACCAAGCCGAAGGAUUCAACAUCUUUGGUCUACACAUUAUCCAUAUUCUUCAACUAUGCCAUUAACGCCUAUGCCAUGGAAUUCGUCAUCAGGUAUGAUUGGUAACCCUCAAUGGGCUUAUUUUAAUCCAUGGAUGCAAUAUAAUUUCUUACGUCAUGAAAGGGUAUUACCAAGUCACUAUACAUUUGAUUAGCUACAAGUUUGUUGCUGAUCCAGAGGGCCGAAAUACUUGAUUUGUCAUUUCAUUUGUUUAUUUCGGCUAUAUGUGCUUUGAAUGAAGUUUACAUGGUAAUGGCCGAUGAUAUUUAUCUAUCGUCCUAAGAGUAUGUCAAUUCAUGCCCGGUGUAGUAUUCUAAUAUCAUCCUUAGUUUGAUGGAGAGCGAGACAAGGUACAUGCUCAUGAAAAUUUAUAUGUAUGCCUAUAUUAUGAUUGAAUGGAGUUGAGACAUCAUGACCGAUGUCAUUGAAUAUAUGCUGCAUAGACCAAUUCAUAGCUGCAGAAUUGGUUGGUGGGCUUAUACUUUGUUUGGAUAUGAUUUGGCUUAUGCAUCUUUGAGAUCUAUAAGAGGCCAAAUCAUAGUUGAUUUUGUUACUGAACAUCGGAUUAGUGUCAUGCAUAAUAUUAAUAUUAUCCUUGUCUCUCUAGUACUAUGGAGAUUAUGUUUUGAUGGUUCAAUUCAUAGCAAUGGCCAAAGUGUUGGUGUUGUUUAUAUAUUUCUUUAUGGUACUAUUUUUUGAAGCCUCGUGCCGCUUAGAAUAUUUUUAUGCACGAUUAAUCAAGGCCGAAUAUGCAUUGUUAUUCGGAUUGACUCUUUUACUUGCUGUAGGUGUUAUACAGAUUGAGGCUUUUGGUGAUUCGUUAUGAGUAGUGCAACAAAUAUCCAAGGAUUAUCAAUGUGUUUUGACGAAUCACUUAUAGUUUAUCUUGGGUUUGUCUAGAUGAAGAAUUUACCUUGGGUUGCAUUAAAUUUUUUCAUAUAUUUAGACAUGACAAUUGGAGAGAGUUGGCAUAGCAAGCAUCCGGCUACCAUGUCCAUCAUGUUGUAUUGCGUUUCUCUCAAUAGCCGAUGCUUAGUCUUGUCAACAUAGGUAAGGCCGAACCGAAGUCUAGAACUUCGGACACUAAUGAAAUUUUUAUGCAGGCGAAAGUAAGGAUUGGAGAAAGUUUAUUGUUGAUUGUCUACAAAAUCCUAGCAAAAGGGUGAACAAUAUGGUUCGGAGUAUGACAUUGAGAUACAUAUCUAUGGAACUUUAUCACCGGAUUGUUAAUGAAGCUGAGAAGGUUUCACCCAAGUUUGCAUCAGAAAGUUCACACAAGACAUGGCCGAUAUAUACUUAUCGUCCUAAGAACAUAUAAAUGGCCGAUGGAGUGUUGACAUCGUCCUUAGAACAAACUUGGUACAAGUAUUUUUCGGCAUGCUAGCUUUACCGAAAAACGGGAGGGCAUGUGUUGACGCUCAAAAGUGGCACGAUCAUAAAGCAGCAUGCCGGGGCGAAAACCUUGCCGGGGUAAAAUCUUGCCGGUGUGAAAGCUUGCCGGUGUGAAGGCUUACCGGCGUGGAAAGCUUGCCGGCACAGAAAGAUCGCCGGUGCUUGCCGGUGUGAAAUCUUGCCGAGGGAGAAAUCUUGUCAGGGAGGAACCCUUGCCGGAGUACAAACCUUGCCAGAGUGAAACCUUGCCGGUGUGAAAGCUUGCCGGGUAGAAACAUUGCCGGUGUGGAAACCUUACUCGGAUGGAAAACUUGCCGGGUUGGAGGCUGUGAUAGUCAAUCGAACGAGAAGUUGAAGAUGGGCUCAAAAGGUUAUUUAGAUGAUCUCGGAUGGAAAAAUGAUCUACACGGGUUGUCUUCAUCUCGUCCAAACGAUCGAUUUUGAUAUAAAAAUCGUUCAAAUUUGAGUUUGUAUGCAAAAGUUAGAGCAAUCGGAGUGCAGCCCUGUCACGAGGCGAGAUGUGGCGCCCCCCACCAGACACAUAUCUGACGGGUAGCGCGAGGAAAUAGCCUGUGUUGCGAGACCGAUCUGACCCUCAAGAUGAUCUCUGAUCAAAAAACCUUCAACAUGAAAGUUUUUCGUCUCGUCGAAACAGUCAAGAUUGCUUUUGGGCUUGUUUUCAUCCGGGAUCGUUUACCACCGCAAAAAAGACCCGCAAUGUGCAGCCAGUUUAAACCGAACAGUUUUGGAAAGUUCGGAUAAACCAGUCGGAAUUUGACUAGGGUUUUGGACGUGAAUUGAUGUAAUUUUCUUGUAAGGAAAGCCUAGAUAAAUUCUUUGCUUGUACGGGGAGUCCAGCCGCCUCUUAUAUAUGUUGGGGGUGACGGCCGAUUGAAACAACACACAAUCGAACAAACACAUCUACUACUUUUUCGUGUUCAUCUACUUUUUAUCUCUCCCUUGUAUCUUUCUUCUCGUUUUUCGCAAGUUCUUCAUGCUGGAGGGCUGCGGAUCCACGAGGCUCUAGGGCCGAGCGAAUCGACCUAGGGCAGCCCAUAGCCGCCGCAAUCCCUAACGGGGUCCCUCUCAGGUGCGCGGGAUUUCGGGUCUACAAAAGCGCCCGCCGACUGUCUUGCGUAUCGCGCUGUCGGUCGGGUCUCCUUCGACGUGAGCUGCGGUGCAUCACCCCCGGCGUCAAGGUUACAUGUGACGUGUUCGUGUGCGAACAACGUGCUCCCUGGCUCCACCCCGUUGAAAAAAUAUACAUUUGGAGGCCACUUUGUUUCCUCAUCAAAAAAAACUUACGUUAAAAAGAUUGCAUGCAUCCCAGGGAAAGUAAUCAAGAAGAAGUCGGACUCUUCCUUACAAAAACAAGGAACGUGUUAAGUUAACUUCAAAGAAAAAGGAACAUGUUAAGUUAAAAAAAAGAAGAAACAUGUUAAGUUAGAAAAAAACAAGGAACGUGUUGUCCUAGGAAAGAUAUGUGUCAAAUCUUACAAAAAAAAGAAUACACACACGUACGUUCAUGCACUUGGAAAAUAGAAAAAAAAGGAACAUCACGUAUGUAUACACUUCGGAAACUCAUUACAUGACCAUGUCUGAUAUACUCAUCUAAUGCUUAAUAUUAGUGCCUAAUAAUUUAUAUUUAAAAUUUAAUUUACUGAUCAAAUAUCCCCAAUGUUUAAAUUUUAAUUUGGCACAUUGUUUGGCUAUAGUAUGAACCUAAAUUUCCUCUUAUUAUUAUAUAUCAUGAUAAUAAUCCAAAGGCGACUAAUCUGCGCUGGUGCACCGGGGCAAUCAAUUCGGCCGGACACAGCGCGGCCUUUUGAUUAGAUUGCAUUUAACCGUCUGAUCUGGAAUUGUUUUCUUUCCAAUUAAACGGAUUCAACCAAACAGCAGAGGGGAAAACAAAGCAGCGCCGCCGCCAACACUAGCCAUGGACGAUCGAUGUAGCAAAACCUUGAAGAACCGCCGCCGGUCGCCACCCUCGCCGCUGGUGGCCGCCCUCGCCAUCGGUCACCGCCGGUCGCCGCCCUCGCCGCCUGCGUUUCUCAUCGGCUUCAUGCAUGCAACAACAUGCACUCGUGGUUGCAGGCUUGCAGCUCCGGCUCCGGGGGACAUGGCCGCAUCUCCGGUAACGCCGGCCGCCAACCAUAGCACCUGUCAUUGUGGUCGCGUUGUACCUCACCGUGUGCCCUCCCAAGGCUCUUGCUGGUUCCAACAAAAAACGAUACCUGUUGUAGCAAAAAAGUUUAUCGCUUCCAGCAAAAAAGCUUUCCGCUACAGCCCGCCAUUGUCAUUGUAGCAAAAAUGUUAACCCGAUGUAGCUUUUGUGGUUGCCGACUGCAACAAAAAAUGACAUGGUUGAAGCAAAACACAAAAGAAAAACGCCGGCCGGCCGCUGUGUAUGGUGGUAACAAACCCUAUAGCCGGUGGUAGCGAAAAACUUCAUAGUUUGCAGCAAAAAAAUGUUGUCGCCCGUCGUCGAGGUUGCAUCAUCUUCAUGAAUUAUGUCGCAAAAAAACAUUGUCGCCGGUAGUAGCAAAUGAAGCCGCCCGGUAGUAGCAAAACAAGACACUGGUUCCAGCCAAAAAAAAUCAGCGACAGAACCUUUGGUUGGUUCCAACAAAAAAACUUGUCGGUUGUAACAUCCCUCGCCGCCGGAUGUAGCAUCUCCCGGGGCUGGUUGCAACACUCUAAAAAAAAGUUGUCUAAGAGCGCAUCCAUGGCGACUGCUGCACCGUCAGCAACGAGGGGAAGAGGAGGCAAUGAAAAUCGUUCGAGUCGUAGCUCCACAGGACGCGGCUGCAGCAUGGGGAGUCCAAAAAUCUGUCACAAGCAACAUGCGCCUCGCCAUCCUCCUGCGUAGGAGAGAGAAGAAAAAGGAAUAAGAGGAAGAAGAAAGGAAACGGGAGAAAGAAAAAAGAAACGAUUGGUGGUGGGCUGAGGCAAUUAGUCAAACGAGGGGCACGCGGGGCCGCAGGAUACAGCGCAAUCGAACGAAGCACGCGCGUCCGGCCGAAGACUCGGCCGGACUGCCGGCUGGAAACGUUUCCCUAAUCCAAAGGCUUUGUCUGAAUGACAAGUCGUCUAGGUUACCGGCUAACUAGAAAAAAGAUAAAUAUGCUAGAGAAUUUCAUAAUAAUUAGAAAUAUCUAGCCUUUAAUUAUGUAAAUCAGAAAAUCACAACCGUAGGAUUUACUUUAAAGGUAAAUUUCUCUAAAUUCCCACCAUUGCCAGUAUGUAGAAACAUGUGCUGCUUCAAUUCUCCCAUAAUCACCAAUCAAUCAACAACACAAAACAUACCUCAGUUAAAAAAAACUGAACAAAAAAAAGAAAAAAAGAAGAAAGGACAAGAUACACGCAUGUACACGACAGCCUUGGCUUGAAACACAUCAGUAGAUCAAGUGUCCGCCUCCCUUACACAGAAUAAAUUCUAGGGAAGAAAAUAAUAGUGCAACCUAACCUUAUACGUACUAUUCUAUCCUCACGUCCCAUGAGGUUUACUAGCCUACCGCCGCCGCAUCAUGCCAUCCUCUCCUUUCAGCUCCCAUGCUCUCCAGCAUCCUCCUUGCCGCGCCACUACUCGCCUAGGAAUAUUGCUGCUCAGACCGCGGAGCUUAACCUGCUUCUUCUUCAGCAAAUAUGGAACUGCUUUAGGAUCCUUCUCACAUCAGCACGUAUGGGCCUCAUUAUACUGCAGCUCCUGGACCUCCUACAAUUGGUUGGCUAUGGCCAGUUGAUCGAUGUGCUGAAGUCUAGGUCUGUUUGCUGGCACAUAUGCUUUGGAAAUAGGCCACUAUGUUUGUACUUCAAAAUUGUUUCGGUAUUCUUGAGUGGUACAUCCUUUUAAGUGCCAGUUUUUUAUGUUAAUUCGACAACACUUAACCUAGCCUUUCAUGUUCACGUACUAAAUACAGGAGCAAGUAAAAAAAACAGACCACCUAAUUGCUCUGCAAGUUCUACAUAGGAAAAUUUGUCAUGUUCUACGAUCGCACCAUCCCACCCUUCUCUCUUGGUAUGGGCGCCAAUUGAGGGAUUGAUAAAACUGAAAUGAAGACGUCACAGGGCUGGAAGUACCGCUAGCCUGGUUUGCACUGCAACCUACCCAACGCCAUCAGAAACUAGCAACUGAGGCAGGUGUUGAUCGAUUCUCUCAAAUUGCUCUCAUGUAAGUACUACCCCUUGCAUGUGCGUACAUACCUUUGUUGCAUUCUCAAACAGAUAGAACAUGUAUGAUCGGUGCAUGGCUAUUUUUAGGUAUAGCGACUGCACAACUUCUUCAACUCCAUAUGAUGCUAGUGUAUUGCAUCGAAAGAAUCAACGGAUUGCUAGAGAUCAACUGAGGUAUUCUCAUAUUAUUGGCUCGCUUAUGUAUUUGACGACUGCCACGAGGCCUAACAUCUCGUUUGCUGUUAGCAAGCUGAGUCGGUUUGUGUAAAAACCAGGAGAUGAUCAUUGCCAUGCGCUUGAGAGAGUUAUGCGCUAUUUGAAAGGCACCGCGAGCAAUGGGAUUCACUACACCGGGUAUCCAAGGGUACUGGAGGGUUAUAGUGACUCAAACUGGAUAUCUGAUGCUAAUGAGAUUAAGGCCACAAGUGGUUAUGUUUUUACACUUGGUGGUGGCACUGUUUCUUGGAAGUCCUGCAAACAGACCAUCUUAAUGAGGUCAACUAUGGAAGCGGAACUCACAGCAUUAGAAACUACCACUGUUGAAGCAGAGUGGCUUCGUGAGUUCUUGAUGGACUUACCUAUAGUUGAAAAACCAAUACCCCCUAUCCCUAUGAACUGUGAUAAUCAAACUGUGAUUGUCAAGAUAAACAGUUCUAAGGACAAUAUGAAGUCCUCAAGGCAUGUGAAGAGGAGACUGAAAUCUGUCAGAAAAUUGAGGAACUCCGAAGUUAUUACGUUGGAUUAUAUCAAAACGUCGAAAAAUUUGGCUGAUCCCUUCACAAAGGGUCUAUCACGUAAUGUGAUAGAUAAUGCAUCGAUGGAGAUGGGUCUGAGACCCACCGCAUGAGUUGUCCAUAGUGGUAACCCACUCUAUGUGAUCGGAGAUCCCGUGAAGUAGAAGUGGGAGACAAGUUGUUGGUCAGCUGGGAGGAGAGUAUCCCUAUAUUACCUAUCCCACUCCCUGAAGAUGCAAUACUCUCCUAAUCUGCAUGGCAGGUUGAUACUUACCUUAAUGUGUUCCAAGUGGCUUAUUCGGGUAAGUAGAAAUGUUGUCCUGCAGAACAUCUUCUGAGGAACACACCUAUAUGAAUUUGACUGUUAACAUUGUAGUCUGUGAGAAUUGGGUGUUCUCUAAUAAAUUCAUGAAAAGGCCCUGGAGUAUGACGUAUACGCUCCACCCGCGGGGAAGCCUUGCGGCAGCCUAGUAUCGGUCAAGAAUUUGUGUGAAACUAGUCUCGCAGAAAAUUUGUAGUUCAAGGCAUAGUCCACUAUUUAAGUUGUGAUCUAGUGUAGCAUAAAUCUCUAAGUGGAAGUUCAACUUCAUAGUCUCCACUAAGCACCGGUAUAUAAACAAUGUUUUGGAACUAAAUGAUGAGAUGUUCCAAUGAGUCUUUGUGGGGGAAUUGUUGGAAUUUUGCUAGUACGCCUUUGGCCCAAAGCCCAACUAAAAUUAUGAAAUUUUCUUGGCCCAUUCAUGCAUACAUGUGAGUGGAGUGAGUGAGACUAAAGUAUAGUCCCACCCCGGAAGUUGAGAGAGAGCACCUCUUUAUAAGGUAAGCUCUUCUACCACUUGUAUGAGCAUGAGAAUAGGAGACCUACACACGCGCUCCUCCUUGCUCGCCACGCCACGCCUCGUCACGACGCGCUGCAGGUUGCGGGAUUGAGCGGAGCCGAGGACAGAGCUAUGCACGUUGUCUAUUUUUUGCUACCCGGGAAAAAUUAAUGAGUCAUUAAUUAAUAAUUAAUGGACGCGUUAAUAACUGAACCGUUUCCGAUUCUUUUGGAUCGUGACGACUCGGACAUGGGGUUUACUCCCACGACCUACCCGGCCCGCACUAUAUAGUCAGUCAGACGUCUACCCUAGCCGCCGCCGCUUCGUAUGGUUUCUCACCACCAUUCCAGAUCAUUGCGCCGCAAAGCAAGUCUUCUCCAUACCUCCUUUCGGCGUGCACUGGGAGAAGGAACAGCAGGCCUUCGGAACCCCGCCGCUCGUGAUCCUGUACGGGAGAGGGGCGAUCAGGUUUUUGGGGAGCGCACUCGCGCGACUGCUGGCAGCGACGACUUCGCGAAUGACGACUUCAUCCCGGACCUCGGCAACCUCAUCCUCGACGACAUGGGUGACAACGUCAACGCCGGCGGUGCUGCAGCCGCUGCACCGUAUGUUAUUCUAUCCUUCUUGUUCGAGAUCGUGGUAGAAUUCAGGUUUCUAGUAUGUGCCCUAGAUGUGAUCUGUUCAUCUACUCUGCUAGUUCGCAUGAUUAGUUUAAUCUCUGCUAUUGCUGUCAUGAUCUAUUUCCAAUUUAUUCGGAUUAAAUCUCGUAGUAAUUUGCUCAUUUUUCCAACAAUGCCAUCUGAUAGAUGAUGUAAUUCUCGUCAAGUUUGACGUUGUUGAGCUAAUUUACAAAAAAACCUCAUCAUUAUUGGAUGUCCUUAACAGCUCAAGAACAAGUUGGGGUCGAACUAAUGGAUUUUACACUUUUACAUUAAAGGUUUAGCUAAAGCUAGCAGGUGUUUUUAAACCUGAUUUUUUUCCUCCUAAAUUUCUUUGUAUUUUCUUAUUGACACUAUUUAUACAAUCAUCUGACAAAGAUUUGCUAAAGCUGCUUGUAGAUACGUUGAAACCUGAAAAGCUUCUUUGGUUUUCUCAUAGGUCUUAAUUCUUAUGUAAUACCAAGAUGCAUUGUGGUAGUGUACAUGUGUUAAAUUCGUGUUGUUAUUCACAAUUUGCGACAAAAUUUAGCUCACGCUACAUUUCAAUAUGUUGAAAUGUGAAAGCUCUUUUUCUUCUCCUUUCUACACCUUGCAUCGGAUUGCAUCCCUUUAGUUAUCCAACAUUUUGUACAACAUGUAGAGAUUAGGAAGUUCAUCAUAGUUUGUCUAUUUCGGUGCUAAUAAAUGUAUGAAAUCUGCAUUUCCAAGCUAUUAGGACAAGUAAAAAAUAAUAAUUUUACUAUAGGAUUCAAAAACAGCAGUUCUGAAGUGCACUUUAUUUAUUUGCGAAAGUGACCACAUUUUGUUUCAUUUUUCUAUAGACAAAUCUACUAAUACAUACUCACGAUAAAACUAUAAAAGUUCUAGUCCGCACAUUGGGCGGGCCACCCGGCUGGUUCGUCUAAAGAAAACAAAAUGAGUCUGGAAUUUGAAUUAAAUUGAAGUAUUUUCUUGGACUUUCAAAUUGAGUAUAGUUAAAGUAGUAAGGACUAUCCACAUCCUUGGCUUGCCCCUAAUCAAUUAUUUCCAGAGAAGCAUUCAAUUCAUCAAUCAAUUACAUUGAUUUUAGUGGCUGGUACUUCUCCUGAACAUCAGUAUAUUCACCGUGGCCACUCCAAAUCGGCAAGAAUGAGGUACCAGUGCUCUGGAGCAGUGCAAGCUAAUUGCUUCUCAUGUGAAGGGGUGCGGGCGCGGGAGAGGUAUUUCUGGUGGGCCAAGGGACUAAGAAGCGACCGUGGCAGCGGUACAGACGCCCGCAAAGCCCCAUAGUUUGUUUUUGAUUUACAGGAAAAUUGCACAUCCAUACUGGCCUGGGGAAUAUAGGACCGUAUUGGAUGGAAAACCAUGUCCGGAUGGUUGCGAGCGGUUUGAGGGUUAGCUUUUGUAACACCCGGUUAGUUAUGCUACAGCAAUUCCCUGCUAAUGAUGUCACGUCACCACGAUUACUGUUGUUAACCUCACAAUGAUUGAAUCCCAUUCAAAUUCAAAUUUAAAAUAAAGGCAAACAUCAAAAGUUUUCAAACAUGAAAACUAAAAUCUUUGAGAGGUGACAAAUAAUGCAUAAGUAAUUAUGGUGGAGAAACCACACUUUAAUUAAAUGUUAAAAUACUCUAAAAUGAAAAAAACAGUGGCUUAAACUAUUAUUUAAAUGCUUUUAAAAUAGUAAAAAUCUUCUAACUAAAUUAUUUGGGUACCAAACUUUUGGUGGCAGUGGUAUAUUUAGUAGAACUAAUUUAGAUGCUAAUUAUAUAAUUUACAAAAUUAGAAUAAAUUGAAAAAUAGGAUAAAACGGAAAAGGAAAGACAAAACAAAUAAAAGCAAAAAGGGGGCAACCCCUCGCUGGGCCUCGGCCUAGCUGGCCACUAGGCGAGCUAGGCUGGCCCCGCUGCCUCCCUUAACCCCCACACUCCUCAUCGAACCCAAGCCCGAUCGCCCCACUUCCCCACACCCCCUCGCCAGCCUCCCCACCCCUUGAUCCCAUCUGGAUCGGCGAGUGUAUUGCCCCCAUCGACCCCGUUGCCAUCGCUAGAUCGCCCGCCGACGUCGCCAGGCCUCCUCCCCGCCGCACGUCUUUGGCUCGCCUCUCCUCUCGCUCCUCUUCCCCGGCCCGAUCUUGAUCGUGAACGAGCAAUGAGCUUGAAGCCCCCCUUCACCGGCGCCAUCACCGUGCGCCACCACCACCGCCUGAAGACCUCACCGUCGCUGAACCUUGCGUCGCCUCCUCGUAUCCCUCCCCUACUCACGUCCUCAAGCCAGGCCGAGCCCCUUCUCGGCAACGCUGUGAGACGCCCCCGUUUCCCUCCUCUUUCCACCGCGUUCACCACGCCGCCCGCCAUGCCCCUCGCCGUGCGCAUGCCCACCACCGCACCAGCCCCCGCUCCGCGCACGACCCUACCCGCGCCCGCGACAUGAUCCCCUUUUCCGCCCUAUCUUCCUGCGCUCGCCGCGGUCCCGAUGCUCCCCCGCGCCUUCUUUCAGGGGCGCCGACUGCCCCUGUCCCGCUGCUCGCCGCCGUGCCUCGCCACCGCUCUACUGCUGCGUUACUACUGUGCUGCGGCCGCCGCCUCUUCCUGCUGCUCCGCCAGCGCCGAAGCUCCCAGUUGGCUCCACCACUGCUCACUUUAAACCGCCGGCCUAAAUGGCCUAACCCCGGCUAAUGAACCCCCACUAACCCACUGACACCGGGACCCACAUUCCCUAAUUAACCAUUUAAUAAAUUAAAACUCUUAAAUUAACAUUAGUGUAUGACAUGUGCGUCCCCUGUUAAUUAAUAAUUUUGCUGCUAGUUUUAUUAGUUUCUGUUUUUCUGCAUAUUUCUUUUGUAUUUGAACACGCUUUAUACAGUAAUAUUUAGCGUAUCAUACACAUACAAAUGUAAUCAUAGCAUAUACAUACAAAUAGUCUCAUCAAAUCAUGUCAUCAUCAUAAUCAUCAUCCAUCACAAAGUGGUCUCUCGUCAUCAUCUCGAAAAUAGCGAUACAAGUCUCGAUUACUUGCAACUACAUCGUCAUCCAUCUAAAUAAUGAUAUACGCGAGAAGAGCUAUUACUAUGAGUACGAGCGGAACUAUGCAGUACAUGAGGCUGUAUCCCUCUCUCGCAUUAGCGUGAACCUAAACUAACUACUGGCUGUUGCUCGGAAACCGGAAACCGGUACACCUAGGCUUGACACUCCGGCCACUCGUCGUAUACUCCUGGCGUAGAACUUCUUCUCCAUCGAUGAUCUAUGUGAAGGAAAUAUGCCCUAGAGGCAAUAAUAAAGUUAUUAUUUAUUUCCUUAUAUCAUGAUAAAUCGUGAUGGGAAUGGGCCGGGUCGGCCCGCUGGGUCACUGACUCGGCCCGAAAUCUCGAGGCCAAUGGGCCAGGGAGGUUGGCCUCGAAUCACAAAACGGGUCAGUGGAGCCGGCCCCGUGUGACCCGAUGGACCAGAUGGGUCGACCCAGCGCUGCCCUAGUCCUCCAUCUAUGCCGCCGCCCCCCACGAUCUCUGUAGCCGCUCCCGAUGAUUUCUUCCGCCGCCGGCCAUCUUUGCCGCCCCUGGCAUCCCCCGACCUUCUCUAUCGGCCGCUCCCGACCUGCUGCCGCCGCCGGCUGCCCCUGAACAUCUUUGCUGGCCUGCUGCCGCCGGCGUUCCUCCCGCAUCUCGUUCGUCGUCUUGGUCGCCGUCGAGCUCGCUGACCUGCGGUCCCGUCCACCAUCUACCUCGCCAUUCCGGUCGCCGUCCUCAUCGUCAUCAUCACGCAGGUGAGACUCUUGCCGGCUUCCUCCCUGUCCCAGCGCAGCUGCAAUGACUGGUCUAGUUUAGGUUCUUGGUCUUGCUGGCACUCUCUGCGUUGUCUGCAAUUGUUUCAGUAGUUGGAGCUUGGAAGAAAUAGUCAACACUCAAAAAUAGACUGUUUGAUUGUUCAGCAUGGGACUUGUUUGAUUGUUCUCAAGAAGAAAUAGUGCUUCAGUUGAGCUCCUGUGUAGCUGCAGUUUAGCAUUCAACAACAGUUUUCUUUUUUGUGCAGCAUGCCACUUUCUUUUUUGUGCAGCAGCUUAGCUGCAGUUUAGCCUUUCGGUCCUCUGAUCCGAGGAAAAGUAAUUAGUGUUACUUCCUGUUGUUGGUUACUAAAUAAACCAGAAAUAGUUGUCCUGUGAAACAAUUUUACUCUGUUUUUUUGUUGAAUCGGCAAAUUUUACUCUGCUGGUAGGAUGGAGUAGUGCAUAUGUUGAUGAUGCUCACGAAAAACCUUCCUGGAGUAGUGCAUAUGUCCAACUGUGAGUUUCUUCUAUUCCUCGAAUGGCCGUUUGGUGUGGUGUUCUCCUAAUUUGUUGCCUGACAAGCUAGGUGUUGUGGGCGUGCUGCAUAAGAAGUAACAAUGGUUAGAAGAUGUAGUUAAUGCUUAGUUUUUUAUGUGAUAUAGGGUCAUGUGACUUCUUUUUCUUGGGCUAGCUGCCAGGUUGAGUUUGCGUAUAUGCAUAUCAGUGUAGCUGAUCCAUCGACAAGUCCAGCAUUUUUUAGUGUCAGUUCAGGGGAUGCUUUACUGGCAGCGAUUUCUGUAGUGUUGCUCAAUGGGAUGCUUUGCCGACAGUGAUUAGACCGUAAACUAAACUAUCCGGUUUCUUAUCUGCAUGCAUCUGCUGUUGAUUUUGAAAGUUAAUGCUCUCUAAUGUUCAUAUAUUUCCCUCUGAUUAGAAAAAUGGAAGAGGAGGAAGGGGACCAUGAGGCAUACCAAAGUGGUGGUUCAUCGUUGAUAUCCGGUGCGAUAAUGAGAAGGGCUCAACCACCCCCAGGGGUGUCUCCUUCUUCGAUAGACAUCUGUAGAGCUUAUCAUGGUGAGUAUUGUUAAUCUUUCUUUUUAUAGGGAUGCAAAUUAAUGGUUGCUAAAAUAAAAAAUACUCAUAAUUGUAAUGUUAACACUCGUGUCCUUUGCUCAGCAGGACGUUCGCAAGACACUCGUAUGGUUGAUUUUGAAGAAGAUGAGGCUGAUGAAGAAGAUGUUGACUAUGAAGAAGCAGAGGAAGGAGAAGAAGAUGAGGAUGAUGAAGAAGAAGAAGAAGAUGAUGAUGAUGAAGAAGAAGAAGAAGAGGGAGAUAAUGUGGAUGAAGAGGGAGAGGUUGAGAUCAUUGACAUGGGAUCGUUUUCUGAACCGGGAAGAAAGUUUUUGUCGAAAGUGUGGAAAGAAUAUGAGCCUAUCCGUGUUGAUGGCAUUGUUGUAGCUGCUGAGUGCAAACACUGUGCAAGGAAUAUUUGUGCUGAGCGUAAACAUGGAACAAGUUCAUUGCGCAAACAUUUGAAGAGAUGCAGGGAAAGGAAGAAGGUUCUUAGAGUUUCUGGACAGCUGAGUGCUUCUAUCGUGAGUCCUGAUGGAGUUGCAAUGGGGCUUUGGACCUUUAAUCAGGCAUUAGCACGCCGAGAGCUGAUGAGGAUGAUAGUGUUGCAUGAAUUGGCAUUCUCAUUGGUGGAGUACGAUGGAUUUAGAAGAUUUGUCUCUAGUUUAAAUCCUAGCUUCAAGAUGAUAUGCAGAAAAACUGUGAAGGAGGACUGCAUGAAAGCAUUUAAGGAAGAGAAGAGAAUUUUGCAAAGGAUGUUCCAAAACUCCAAAUCCAAGAUUUCUUUGACUACGGACCUAUGGACAUCAAAUCAGACAGUGGGGUACAUUUGCAUCACAGCUCACUUCAUUGAUGAGGAGUGGAAGCAGCAGAAGAGGAUAGUGAAAUUUGCAGCUAUGGAGACGCCGCACACAGGAGCUGCAAUGUUCAACGUCAUGGUGAAUUUCAUAAGAGAGUGGAACAUUGAAGAUAAUCUCUUUGCUGUGACGCUAGACAAUGCAUCGAACAAUGGUGCAAUGAUGAAGCUAUUGAAGGCACAUCUCCUGCUUAAGAAGAUGUUACCUGGUGGUGGCAAGUUGUUUCACCAACGUUGUGCCGCCCAUGUCAUAAAUCUGAUAUGUCAAGCAGGAUUGAACUUCCUUGGUCCAGUGAUCAACAUGAUACGUGAAACUGUGAAAUAUAUUCGAAGCUCACCAAGUCGAAAGGAAAAAUUUCAAGAAAUUGUUGAGCAACAUGGUGUAUCAUGUAGGAGAACUCCAAUUCUUGAUGUUCCAACUCGUUGGAACUCAACCUACAUGAUGAUUGAUAUAGCAAAAGAGUAUCGUGGAGUGUUUGACUCUUUGGCCAUUCAAGAUAAACAAUAUACCUUCAAGCCAUCUUUUGAGGAUUGGGAAAAUGCUGAAGAUGUUUGCAGGCUACUGAAGGUAUUUUAUGAAGCCACUAAUGUGAUAUCCGGCACAAAAUAUCCAACUGCUAACUUGUAUUUCCAUGAAAUGUGGAAAGUGAAGCUGACCUUAGAGCAACAACAUUAUGAAGAGGAUUCUGAGAUGGGCACAACGGUCAAAUAUAUGAAGAGAAAAUUUAGAAGGUAUUGGAAGAUGACAUGGUUGAGCCUUUGUAUUCCAGUGAUUUUGGACCCACAAUUCAAGUUGAAAUAUGUUGAUUUCCGAUUUGGCCUAGAGUUUGGGAACGAAGUUGCAGCAAUGAUUGCUAAAAUAAAAAAUGUGUUCCAAGGGUUGUUCAAGGAAUACCUCCAAUUGAAUGACAAUGGAUCAGAUCCCAUGUCACAAGGAGGUGAUGAUGACAUGGCUGUAAGUGGUGAAGAUCCUAUGGCUGAUUGGGUCCAACAUGUCACCCUCACUGCUCGAUCAACAAAUUUGGAUUAUACCGAACUUGAUUCGUACUUGUCAAAGGUACCCAUCCGCCGAAGUGAUCAAUUCAAUAUCCUUACAUGGUGGCAGACGAACUCCAGUGAAUACCCAACGCUGAGUCGCAUGGCAGCUGAUAUCUUGGCGGCUCCUUCCUCUGCGGUGGCAUCCGAGUCCGCCUUCAGCACAGGGAAGAGAGUCCUAUCAGAUUUUCGAAGUCGAAUGACCGCAACGACACUUGAAGCUCUUGUUUGUUUACAAGAUUGGAUAAGGGCCAACGGUAAAGCCAUACGACACAAGUUUCUUCUUUGUUUCUUAUUAAUGCUUCAAGUUUACAAGUUUCUUUUUUUUCUGCAGCUAAUACUCAACGUAGCUUGGCUUCAGUUCAUGACAUUAUAAUGGACUUACAAGGUAUGAGAAAUCUUCUGAUGUAUAUAGUGCCAUGUAUAUGAAGUACACUUAGUAUGAAGUCUGCUUUUUAUUUAGGGAUUUCAUAUCUACAGUUUGUUCCAGGGAACUAUUUGCAAGAUGCAACCCAAACAUGUAGAUGAGUAUAUAGAGUGUUUUACACACAGAACUAGUGCUUUUAUUUUUGGUUUCCCCAAGUUGUAGUUGAUCUCUAAUAUAUAUUUCUUUUUUCUCUCAGAUAUGAAUGUGUAGUUUAGAUUCAUUUUUUUAAUCGCCAAACUAUAUUAAAAAUAUGCAUUGCUAACUACAGUAACUUGAUUAGAAUAUGUUGCGGAGUGGAUGACAGGUAGUGUAUAAUGGAUAUUUAGAAGUGUAUUUUCUUGCAAACCUGAUCAUGAAUUGGUUUUCUGGAACACGCCUUUGCUACUAAGAAUAUUCCUCUGUUCAUAAAUAUAUUAUUUAGUUUUUUUGUGGAUAAAUAUACUAUUUAGUUGAUGUGCACAGAAUUACUCUUGUAACAUUUCUUUGCAAAUACAGAUAUCGAGGACUGAUGCUUGUUGGAGCAAUUGAUGUUAAAGCUCAAGCAGAUGGUGAAGAAGAUAUGUCAGCUUUCUCUAUAACCUACUGGAUGUGAAAAGAUUAGCAUGUUGAACUUGUAAUAUUUUGAUCUUGCAUGAGUCUGUUGGAUUGAGGUCAUUAGCUUGACGUUCUUUGAAAUCUGUAAUCUUUUGGUCUUGUUCGAAUCUGUUGGAUUGAGGUCUUUUGCUUGAUGCUCUUUGAAACAUGUAAUCUCAUGAUCUUGCCAUUCUAGAAACAUUUGCUAAAUUCUGGGUCGGCCUCAUGUACCCAAUGGGUCAAUGGGGCCACAAAAUUCUGAUGAAAUGGGCCGGCCCGUGGCCUCACAUUUUGACCUUGGGGCCACGGGGCCGGGGCCGGGGCCAGGGCCGGGUCGGCCCAUUCCCAUUCUGAAUGAUAAAUGUUUAUUAUUCAUGCUAGAAUUGUAUUAACCGGAAACAUAAUACAUGUGUGAAUACAUAGACAAACAGAGUGUCACUAGUAUGCCUCUACUAGACUAGCUCGUUAAUCAAAGAUGGUUAAGUUUCCUAACCAUAAACAAAGAGUCGUUAUUUGAUUAACGAGGUCACAUCAUUAGUUGAAUGAUCUGAUUGACAUGACCCAUUCCAUUAGCUUAGCACCCGAUCGUUUAGUAUGUUGCUAUUGCUUUCUUCAUGUCUUAUACAUGUUCCUAUGACUAUGAGAUUAUGCAACUCCCGUUUGCCGGAGGAACACUUUGUGUGCUACCAAACGUCACAACGUAACUGGGUGAUUAUAAAGGAGCUCUACAGGUGUCUCCAAUGGUAGAUGUUGGGUUGGCGUAUUUCGAGAAUAGGAUUUGACACUCCGAUUGUCGGAGAGGUAUCUCUGGGCCCUCUCGGUAAUGCACAUUACACAAGCCUUGCAAGCAUUGCAACUAAUGAGUUAGUUGCGGGAUGAUGUAUUACAGAACGAGUAAAGAUACUUGCCGGUAACGAGAUUGAACUAGGUAUUGGAUACCGACGAUCGAAUCUCGGGAAAGUAACAUACCGAUGACAAAGGGAACAACGUAUGUUGUUAUGCGGUCUGACCGAUAAAGAUCUUCGUAGAAUAUGCAGGAGCCAAUAUGGGCAUCCAGGUCCCUCUAUUGGUUAUUGACCAGAGACGUGUCCUGGUCAUGUCUACAUUGUUCUCGAACUGUAGGGUCCGCACGCUUAACGUUACGAUGACAGUUAUUAUGAGUUUAUGCAUUUUGAUGUACCGAAGGUAGUUCGGAGUCCCGGAUGUGAUCACGGACAUGACGAGGAGUCUCGAAAUUGUCACACCCUAGCUAGUUUAUGCAUUAGAGUGUGCAUCAUGUUUACCUUCAUCAGAAAUUGAAAUGGGGAGAGCAGAACCCCCAGCACCCCCCCCCUGAAAUCAACGAGGGUUUACUAAAAAUAAAUUCAAUGAACCUGAAAUGCCCUUGAAAUAUGUUCACCCUCUUUGCCUUGGGUUAGAACCCUUGGGAAAAAUGGUGCAUAUAAUUUUAGGUCAACAAAAGGGGCAUUGACUUAAUUCAUAAAUAUUUGAAUUUGGGCAUUUAAAAUACUAUUAUAUAAUUCAAAUGCUCAAAUAAUGUUGGAACUAUUUUUGGGCCACUGAAAUAUUUCAGAAAGUGUCCAUAAAUAUUUUCAGGAUUUUAUAAAAUGAUUUAGUAUCUGAACUAAAUCAAAACAGAAUAACAGAAAUAGAAAAACAAAAAAAAAUAAAGAGGGAAAGACCAUGGGCCACUUACCUGGCCCAGCGCCAGGCCACUAGCGGCCCAGCCCACCAGGCCGAUGCCAGUCGUCCCCUAGCUCCUGCCAGGAGGACGAAGGGCGUGUGCCCGCGGUGCGCCAGCACGCACACGGCCACCGACGGCCACCUCCUGCUUCGGCCGCCUCCCCGACGUCGCUUUGGACGCCACGCAUCCCCCCCUGACCCCUCGCUCACUCUCUUUCAUCCUCAUCCCCUCCUCUGCUCUCUCUCCCGCGCAACCGCCAUGAGCCCGAGAGCGCCGACGAGGACCACCACGGCCACCGCCUACCCCUCGCUUCCCUGACCAGCUUAGAGGCUCCGCCUCGACCCCGUCUUCCUUCUCACCGAACCACGCCCCGCCGGAAGCCCUGCGUCAUCAAAUUCAAGCUCUUCUUCAAGCUUCGGCACCGACGAUCGCCGCCGUCGAUUCGCUUGCUCCAGUGCCUCCCCGAGCUUGCCGAGGCCACCGCUGCAACUGCUGUGAGCUCCUGUGUCGUUUCCCCCUCCCCCCUGGCUCGAUUUCUUCUUCUAACACCGAUGCCCGUCAGAACCGAGAGCUCUUCGCCGCCGGCCAUGCCGCCACCGUGACCACAGCCGUGCAAGCUCACUCCCGAGCACGGCAACGUGCUCCACACCUCACCAAGAGCACGUGGAACCCAUCAGUUUCCCCUCCCGUGCACCACAACGCCGAUCCGCUCAACUCCCGAACUCCGGCCGCCGCGCAAGUUGCCGCCGCCGUCGUUUUAGGCCACUAGGGCUGCUGCCGUGUGCACAGAUAGAUGCGGGCGAGUCCCAGCUCCGCGUAGAUGCCCUCCGCUGGCCAUUUGGUCGCCGGAGGAGGAUUUCCGAGCCCCUCCGCCGUCUCUGGCCUUGCCGGCGACGAGCCGGGGUCAACUCCGGCGUGUUUUGACCCCGGGUCGGCUGGGUUGACUCCCCCCUGACUCACUGACGUGUGGGCCCAGGCGCCUGCCUAAUUACCAUUAGUUAAUUAGAGUUAAUAAAAAUUAGCUAAUUAGUGAGCCACUGACAUGCGGGCCCCGCCCGGCUAACCAAGUUAGUUAGGGUUAACUAACUUAGUUAGUUGAUUGUGUCACUGACCAGUGGACCCCACUGGUCAUGUUUGACCUGGAGGCGCCAGUUGACCUGCUGACAUCAGGGUGAUGUCAUGCUGACGCAAUAACUCUUUUUCUGGAUUUAAUUUUAUAUAGAAAAUUCCAGAAAAUUGCCUAAACUUCAAAAAUUCAUAGAAAUUCAACCAUAACUCCAAAUGAGACAAAUUAUAUAUGAAAAAUUAUCAGAAAAAUUCAAGGAAUCCAUCUGUACCAUUUUCAUGCAUGUUUGAACAAUGCUUGUCCUCUGUUUUGGACAAAACAAAUAAAGGGCAUUUAAAUAAUCAUAUAUGGGGUUGGAAUUUGAAUCUUGUACUCAAACCAACUCCAUUUAAAUCAUAGCUAGUUGCAUAAGCUCAAGACACAUCCAUAUUGCCAUGUCAUAGCAUGCAUCAUAUUGUUGCAUAUCAUCAUGUGUUGAUUGUGCUCGGUUGUGUUCUUCGUGGUAGGUUCUGCCUCCGAGGAUAUUCACGAGUAUCCAACUGAAGGGCAGUAUCCCGUUACCACUCCAUCAGGCAAGCAACCAUUGAUCAUUCCGAUACAACCCAUGUUCUCGCUCCUACUCUUGUUUACUGCAUUAAGACAACACGAUUCAAACUGCCGUGUGCUACGGUAGUUGAACCCUUAUCCUCUGCAUGACCUGUCAUUGCCACAGUAACUAGAUGAAACCCACUAGCAUGUGUAGGAGUUGAUUGAGCCAUGUUUUGUGAUUCCUACCUUGCUAUGCCUGCUAUGCUUAGAGUUGUGUCAGGUCUGGUUCAUCUGGGGAAUGGGCUAGAGUGAAAUGCUUGUGCCAGUAAAUUGUGGGAUGUGUUGAACAUGUUUUGGUAAAGGUAUCGAUGAGAGGCCAUGUAGGAGUACAUGGUGGGUUGUUUCAUUGAAGCCGUCCCUAAGAACUGAGUUCUGUAUGCGUGAAUUAAGAUUCAGCUACUACCACACAUUGGGCCCUGAAAUAUGACCCCGCUCGACUUACCGACCCCUCUCGCCUCAGUCCAGGAGUUGCAACUAGUUUCUGGUGUUUGUAGGAUAUGUGUUGGCGGCCGUGCGUAGCGCUGACCCUAGGGGUGGGCUAUGUUGCGGUAGAUACACCGUGGCACGGUGUACUGAGUCACCCGUUUGGUGUCUCGGGAACCCUGUUCACAUCGUUCGGGGCCGUUGAGGACACCCCGGCCGGAUUUCCUUGCGGAUGGAACCUGAAUAGGCGAUGACCCUGGACUAGAGACUCGUGAGGUUAGUCAGGUCGUGGUCUACACCCACGUCGGUUUUCGCUUGAAGUCUGCCGAGCACAUUUCGUGUGCAGACGCUAAGUGGUGGAAACAUGUGUGACGAAGUACACCCCUGCAGGGUAUAAAACUAUUCGAAUAGCCGUGUCCGCGGUAAAGGACUACUUGGUUGCAUAUACAGUUCAUAGACAAGUUAAUGGAUACUACUAAAAGACUCAAGAUAAGUGUGAGUACCGAGGAUGGCUCCCUCGCAGGAUACGAGGGAGGAUCCACGGUGGAGUAUUGUGAUGGUGAGUAGUGGACUCGUGUGCAAAAACUAUUUUGCUAAAAGAUUCCGUAGGAUAGCUUAGCCAAGAGUCAAAGCUGGUUUGCUGCAUAAACCCCACCACCUUCUUGAGAAUGAGCAUGUACAGUAGGUUCUGAUGUAAGACUUGCUGAGUACCUUUGUACUCAUGUUUGCUUAUUUAUUGUUUUCAGACGACAACACUGCCCCCUCCGAUGGGUUUUACGUAGACCUUGACGUCGACGAGUGACUAGCCACCCAGGUGGUGAUCCAGGCCAUGGAGGGCCCUAUGUAGAUAGACAGGCUUCGAGAAGCCUUCUUUCUUUCUAGAGUCUGUACCCAGACUAGUUGCUUCCGCAUGUGCUUGUAUGACUGUAUGACUUGAGUGUCGGGUCAUGUGACCCCUACCUGUAUGGAUAUGUUAUGUAUGGCUCCCUGGAGCCUUUAAAUAAAGUACCUGAGUUGUAGAGUUUUGUUGUGAUGCCAUGUUGUAUGUACUCAUAUCGAGCAUAUUGUAUGUAUGAUUGAAAUGCUUGGUAUGAGUGGGAUCCGACAAUCUAGUUGUUUGUCCUUCGCAGCCUUUCUUAUGGGGAAAUGUAGUCUAGUGCUCCUCGAGCCAUAGUAGUCCGCUACAGCCCGGUUCAGCGGAGUCCUACUAGCCCAGCACUACUGUUCAGGACACUUGACUAGCCGGCAUGUGUUUCACUUCGGGGAAAUGUCACGCGGUGAUCUCCGGAGUCCUGUCUAGCCUGCUACAGCCCGGGAUCCCCCGGAGUCCUGUUAGCCCAGUGCUACAGCCCGGAAUCACUCGUUGAUGACCGACAUGUUCGUUGUGAUUCAUGUAUGCCUGUCUCCAUAGGUCUGUGCCGCUUUGGGUUCACGACUAGCCAUGUCGGCCCGGGUUCUCGGUCAUAUGGAUGCUAGCGACAUUGUCAUAUACGCGAGCCAAAAGGCGCAAACGGUCCCGGGCCAUGGUAAGGCGACACCCGUGGGAUACCGUGAGUGAGGCCGCAAAGUGAUAUGAGGUGUUACCGGCUAGAUCGAUGUGGCUUAGAAUCGGGGUCCUGACAGCGUUGGCAUCAGAGCCGGACUGCCUAUAGGUUCGUUCAGCCAAACUGGUCGAUGUCGAGUCUAGAAAUGCUUUAGUUAUAUGUAAGGGAAUUGAUUGUGGGAGGGAACGUAAGGUUCUUUUACUCCUUUACCCUAUGCUUCUGAUCUGAGUCAUUCUCUUCUCAUUCAACGUGGGUUAAGGACUAGGCUCUCUUCUUCUAUCAGGUUCACGUGUUACUAAUCCGUAGUAGUUCAUAGGAUUAUUGCUACGAGUUCCAGUCCAGUUUCUACUAUUUUAGUACGUUGCUAUUUGAAUCAGAACCUUGAUAUGAUGCUGUUGAGCGGUAUUGUGAACUGUUGUGGAUGUCUCAAAUCUUUUUCUGAGCAUUUACAACCGCUAUGCUGCCCAAUUUUCCCUAGGAAUUCUGAUGUCUUUGUCUUGUGGUUGUGCUUUCAGAUGGCCAACCAUUCUCAAAAUCAAGUGGUUCGCCUGACUAGGUGCCUCGACGUGCCCGGUCAUACUGCUAUGUUGGUCCGGGUCAUGAUCGAGACAGGAUACCGUUGGUAUCCCGAAUACACUGUUGAAGAGCAGUUCCGCGACUUUAAUCAAAGCCAGUAUUUAUGCACCGUCAGGAUAUUUCCUUCCUAUCCUGGAUCUACCGAGCCCCUUCACUGUUCCUAUGGACUCGGAGUUACCAUUGAGAUGGCUGUGCAGGAUGCUGCCUAUUUCAUGAUGACCAUCUUGCGAGUCCGGACUGGCCUGCUUCGGAACACUGACUUCCGUUACAUGCCAGCUUCACUUCCGGGAGCGCAGGGGUAUCUUCAGGCUAUCUAUGCUGACUCCACUCAGGAGGACUCAUUAACUCGUACCACCGCUGAGAUGCUCGAAGAUAUGGACCGAGAGAAUCGGGCCUUGAGGCUGGAGCUCUUUAAUACCCGUGCUGAUCAUUGGGCCACAUUGACUCGGUUUGCACCCGCGGUGCAAGCGGGAUGUAUGGAUACCAGGGAUCUGUAUCCUGUGAGAGCAGCUCUGCCAGACAUGGUGGAUUGGCGUGAUGUGGGAGGCAUCACCCCACCCCUUGGUCACCGCAGGCCACCGUUUGUGGGUCCAAGACCUUAUCCUAGCCCCUAUGGUCCACAGGCUCCUCAGGACCGUCUGUUUCCGGAUGAUCACGUUGAACUUCCAGGCUAUGGAGGUGACUUCUAUGAGGACUACUACGGAGCUAUCUGAGUUAGUAGUAGUACCACUAGUAUUGUAGUAGUUGUAUCUCCACUGUCCUGUGUGACUUGUGGAAUACGACUUGGUGUGUAAUCGAUUCCGGAGGUGUAGACAAAUAAUGUAUAGGGACUCGGAAUGCCUCCGAUGAGAUGUAACGUCUACCUUCAUAGUUGUACUGUAGCAUGGGCUUGUACUAAACUAUGUAUGACGAGUAUGACCGUUGGUGUAUAUAUGGCAGUUUUAUAUUACCAUGGCAUACGAAUGAGCAUCUCUGCAUUCCGCGUUAUCCUUUACAUUCUGCACUUCCCUGUUAAGUUUGAGCCAUCCUUGUCUAAACCGUUGUCUUGUUUCCUCCUAGGAUGGUCAACACCCGCGGAAACCCUGCUGCCCCGGAGCAGGGGGAAGCCAAUGCAGCUAGAGGUGAAAAUUUGCCUCACCCGCCUUCCCUGGCCGAAGUGAUGCUGGAGGCGGAAAGGAACAAGCGUGAGACCAACCGCCUGCUGGAGCGGAUUGAGCAGAACACUGCACGCCACCCACGAAAUGACUUGGUGUCAAUCAACGACUUUAUCAAGCUGUACCCACCAAAGUUUAACCAUUCCGUCGAGCCCCUCGACGCGGAUGAUUGGCUUCGCAGCAUCACCCACAAGCUACGUUCUGCCAACGUAGCUGAAGCCGACAAGGUUACCUAUGCUGCUUAUCAUCUUGAGGGCCCCGCUAGCCAUUGGUGGGAAAACUACGAAGCUAUGCGCCCGGUCGGCCAAAUCACUACCUGGGCUGAGUUCAGCGAGGCUUUCCGUGAGCAUCACAUUCCGGAAGGUCUCAUGGAUCGCAAGAGGGAGGAGUUCUGUAACUUCACCCAAGGAAGGCUGACUGUGGAUGCAUAUAGCCGAGAAUUUGGGAACCUGGCACGCUAUGCUCCUGAAGAGGUUUCUACUGACGCCAAGAAGCAGGGAAGGUUCCGUAAGGGACUUAGCCCUGAGCUUCGCUGCGAUCUCCGUCCGCACGAGUGCACAUCCUUCCAGAAGCUGGUCAAUAAAGCUAUCAGUGCUGAGACAGGCCAGACUGAUUAUGACGCUUCACGCAAGCACUCUCGUGAUUUUGGGUCUUCAUCCGGCUCUGGAGCUCAGAAGCGCCGGGUGUGGAUUCCAAGCACCGCACUGCCAGCCAGAUUCACCCCGAGGCCAUCCUUUGAGGCGCCUCAUCCCAACCAGCAAUUUGCACCGCCCAAGCCCUAUGGUGGCCCCGCUGCUAAUGUUGCUCCACGCCCCACUAUGGUAACAUGCUUCAUGUGUGGAGAACCGGGUCACUAUAGUCGAGAGUGUCCCCAGAACAACCCCAAUCAAGCUGGAAAGUCCGUUGGCCGUGGUAAGCCCGCGGGAAAGACUUUCUAUGCCAAGCCGGCCACUACUGCACGUGGCCAUGUAAACUACGUCUCAGCCGAAGAGGCUCAUGAGGAUCCCAACGUCGUCCUUGGUACGCUCCUUGUUAACUGCCAUCCGGCAUCUGUUCUUUUCGAUACUGGAGCAUCUCAUUCAUUCAUAUCCGAGAAUUAUGCUCGGUCGCAUAACACGACAUUCUGUGACAUGCCCACUUCCAUGGUAAUUCAAACUCCGGGUUCCAAAUGGCAAACUUCUAGGGUAAGCCAUGGGAACGAAAUUCUUGUCGAUAGGCUUGUUUUCCUUGCAUCUUUAAUAGCUCUCAAGUCCUCCGACAUAAACAUCAUCUUGGGUAUGGACUGGAUGUCGGCUCAUUAUGCCAAGAUCGAUUGUGCCACUAGAACCGUUCAACUUAUUCAUCCCUCAGGCAAGACAGUUAAUGUCUUAACUCGAGUGGCCAAGCGCCAACUUUACUCUCUCAAUGCCAACCCUCUUCCAGACCUUGAGGACGUUCCGGUAGUCCGAGACUUCCCGGAUGUGUUUCCGGAAGAACUGCCAGGUGUUCCACCUGACCGGGAUGUCGAGUUUGUGAUAGACCUUGUUCCAGGAACCGUUCCAAUUGCUAGAAGACCCUACAAGAUGGCACCCUUAGAACUAGCCGAGCUUAAGAACCAACUCGAUGAGUCCUUGAACAAAGGGUUCAUCCGUCCUAGCUCCUCUCCUUGGGCUUGCCCCGUCCUCUUCGUCAAGAAGAAGGAUGGAACGGAUCGAAUGGUUGUGGAUUACCGACCUGUCAAUCUGGUCACCAUCAAGAACAAAUACCCGCUUCCCAGGAUCAACGACCUGUAUGAUCAGCUCACUGGAUCCUCAGUCUUCUCCAAGAUGGAUUUGAGGCUGGGCUACCAUCAAAUCAAAAUCAGAAACGGGGACAUUCCCAAAACGGCCUUUGUUACUCGUUAUGGCCAAUACGGGUACACCGUCAUGUCCUUCGGUUUAACCAAUGCCCCGGCCACUUUCUCCUGGUUAAUGAACUCGGUUUUCAUGGAGUACUUGGACAAAUUCGUUGUAGUAUACCUCGAUGACAUACUCAUCUACUCCAAGAAUGAAGAGGAACAUGCCGAACAUCUAAGGCUGGUAUUGAUGAAACUUCGAGAGCAUCGCCUUUAUGCCAAAUUCUCCAAGUGUGAAUUUUGGUUGUCAGAAGUGACCUAUCUAGGCCAUGUAAUCUCUGGUAAGGGUAUUGCUGUCAAUCCCGAGCGAGUUCAAGCCGUCCUUGAUUGGACUCCACCUGAAACGGUCAAGCAAGUUCGGAGUUUCCUUGGCCUAGCGAGCUAUUGCCGCCGCUUCGUCGAGAAUUUCUCCAAGGUUGCUAAACCUCUAACUGAACUCCUCAAGAAAGAUAAAAAGUUCGAGUGGACUCCGCAGUGCGAGUUCAGUUUUCAGGAAUUGAAAAGACGCCUGACAUCUGCUCCCGUACUGGUACCACCAGAUUUCUCCAAGGACUUUAUUAUCUAUUGCGACGCCUCGCGACAAGGACUAGGUUGCAUACUCAUGCAAGAUCGUCAGGUAAUUGCCUAUGCUUCAUGGCAAUUACACCCACAUGAGGAAAAUUAUCCCACACAUGAUCUAGAGCUUGCAGCUGUAGUCCAUGCACUCAAAACCUCGCGACAUUACCUCCUCGGUAAUCGUUGCGAGAUCUUCACCGAUCACCAAAGCUUGAAAUAUAUCUUCACCCAACCAGAUUUGAAUCUCAGGCAAAGACGUUGGGUCGAGUUGAUCUCGGAUUACGACUUAGGAAUAACUUACACCCCUGGCAAAGCCAAUGUCAUGGCCGAUCCGCUAAGUCGUAAGUCCUACUGUAACAACCUGCUGUUACAACAAAGUCAACCACUUCUCCAUGAGGAAUUUCGCAAGCUUAAUCUUCACAUUGUUCCUCAAGGAUUCUUGUCUACUCUGGUGGCGAAACCUACCCUUAUGGAUCAAAUCAUAGCUGCCCAAAAGCGUGAUAAGGGCAUAUCCCGGAUUAAGGAAAACAUUGCUAGCGGAGUAGCUAAAUGUUUUUCCAUGGAUGAGCAAGGUGCUGUCUUCUUUGAGAACCGCCUGGUGGUUCCCAAGAACCAACAUCUACGCCAGAUGAUCCUUAAGGAAGCUCAUGAAUCCCCUCUCACCAUUCAUCCCAGUAGUACUAAAAUGUAUCAAGACUUACGCCAGAGGUUUUGGUGGACUAGGAUGAAGAGAGAAAUCGCUCAAUACAUUGCUAAUUGCGACGUUUGUCGUCGUGUUAAAGCAGAGCAUCAACGGCCUGCUGGCACCCUUCAACCUUUGGCUAUUCCUGAAUGGAAAUGGGACAAAAUCAGUAUGGAUUUCAUCACUGGGUUUCCCAGGACCAAGAGGGGAAAUAAUGCCAUCUUCGUCGUGAUCGACCGUCUUUCCAAAGUAGCCCAUUUUCUACCUGUUCGUGAGAGUAUCACCGCUAGCCAGCUAGCUGACCUAUACAUCUCCCGAAUAGUGUCUCUUCAUGGUGUCCCAUUGGAAAUUAACUCAGACCGUGGAAGUCUCUUCACCUCUCGAUUUUGGGAAAGUUUCCAAAAUGCUAUGGGAACUCAUCUCUCCUUUAGCACCGCCUUCCAUCCUCAAUCAAGUGGUCAAGUAGAGCGAGUAAAUCAAAUUCUGGAAGAUAUGCUCCGAGCUUCUGUUAUCUCGUUCGGAAUGAGUUGGGAAAAAUGCCUUCCAUUCGCGGAGUUUGCUUAUAACAAUAGCUAUCAAGCUAGUUUGGGCAAGGCUCCCUUCGAAGUUCUCUAUGGACGAAAAUGUCGAACGCCUCUUAACUGGUCAGAAACCGGGGAAAGGCAACUCUUUGGCCCGGAUAUGAUUCAGGAAGCAGAAGAGCAGGUUCGCGUUAUUCGUGAGAAAUUGAAAACGGCCCAAUCUCGCCAAAAGAGUCAAUAUGAUCGUAAGCAUAAGCCAAUGACAUUUGAAAUUGACGAGAAAGCUUAUCUUCGGGUUACCCCGUUAAAGGGAACCCAUCGCUUCGGUAUCAAAGGCAAAUUGGCUCCUCGUUACAUUGGACCCUUUCGCAUUCUUGCCAAACGAGGAGAAGCUGCCUACCAAUUGGAACUACCUCCGCAUCUUUCCAGAGUUCACGACGUCUUCCACGUUUCGCAACUCAGGCGUUGCUUCGCGGAUCCUAUCCGUGGAGUGGACCACGAAACGCUUGAUUUACAAGAUAACCUCUCUUAUCGGGAAUACCCCGUUCGUAUCCUUGAUCAAGCCGAGCGUACCACUCGACGUCAUAAUAUCAAGUUUCUCAAGGUUCAAUGGUCACACCAUUCCGAGGAAGAAGCCACUUGGGAAAGGGAGGAUCGUCUUCGACUCGAGUACCCCGCCUUCUUCCCAGAUGAUCCUAAAUCUCGGGACGAGAUUCUAUUGAGUGGGGGUGAGUUGUCACACCCUAGCUAGUUUAUGCAUUAGAGUGUGCAUCAUGUUUACCUUCAUCAGAAAUUGAAAUGGGGAAAGCAGAACCCCCAGCACCCCCCCUGAAAUCAACUAGGGUUUACUAAAAAUAAAUUCAAUGAACCUGAAAUGCCCUUCAAAUAUGUUCACCCUCUUUGCCUUGGGUUAGAACCCUUGGGAAAAAUGGUGCAUAUAAUUUUAGGUCAACAAAAGGGGCAUUGACUUAAUUCAUAAAUAUUUGAAUUUGGGCAUUUAAAAUACUAUUAUAUAAUUCAAAUGCUCAAAUAAUGUUGGAACUAUUUUUGGGCCACUGAAAUAUUUCAGAAAGUGUCCAUAAAUAUUUUCAGGAUUUUAUAAAAUGAUUUAGUAUUUGAACUAAAUCAAAACAGAAUAACAGAAAUAGAAAAACACAAAAAAAAAUAAAGAGGGAAAGACCAUGGGCCACUUACCUGGCCCAGCGCCAGGCCACCAGCGGCCCAGCCCACCAGGCCGAUGCCAGUCGUCCCCUAGCUCCUGCCAGGAGGACGAAGGGCGUGUGCCCGCGGUGCGCCAGCACGCGCACGGCCACCGACGGCCACCUCCUGCUUCGGCCGCCUCCCCGACGUCGCUUUGGACGCCACGCAUCCCCCCCUGACCCCUCGCUCACUCUCUUCCAUCCUCAUCCCCUCCUCUGCUCUCUCUCCCGCGCAACCGCCAUGAGCCCGAGAGCGCCGACGAGGACCACCACGGCCACCGCCUCCCCCUCGCUUCCCUGACCAGCUUGGAGGCUCCGCCUCGACCCCGUCUUCCUUCUCACCGAACCACGCCCCGCCGGAAGCCCUGCAUCGUCGAAUUCAAGCUCUUCUUCAAGCUUUGGCACCGACGAUCGCCGUCGUCGAUUCGCUUGCUCCAGUGCCUCCCCGAGCUUGCCGAGGCCACCGCUGCAACUGCUGUGAGCUCCUGUGUCAUUUCCCCCUCUCCCCUGGCUCGAUUUCUUCUUCUAACACCGAUGCCCGUCGGAACCGAGAGCUCUUCGCCGCCGGCCAUGCCGCCACCGUGACCACAACCGUGCAAGCUCACUCCCGAGCACGGCAACGUGCUCCACACCUCACCAGGAGCACGUGGAACCCAUCAGUUUCCCCUCCCGUGCACCACAACGCCGAUCCGCUCAACUCCCGAACUCCGGCUGCCGCGCAAGUUGCCGCCGCCGUCGUUUUAGGCCACUAGGGCUGCUGCCGUGUGCACAGAUAGAUGCGAGCGAGUCCCAGCUCCGCGUAGAUGCCCUCCACUGGCCAUUUGGUCGCCGGAGGAGGAUUUCCGAGCCCCUCCGCCGUCUCUGGCCUUGCCGGCGACGAGCCGGGGUCAACUCCGGCGUGUUUUGACCCCGGGUCGGCUGGGUUGACUCCCCCCGGACUCACUGACGUGUGGGCCCAGGCGCCUGCCUAAUUACCGUUAGUUAAUUAGAGUUAAUAAAAAUUAGCUAAUUAGUGAGCCACUGACAUGCGGGCCCCGCCCGGCUAACCAAGUUAGUUAGGGUUAACUAACUUAGUUAGUUGAUUGUGUCACUGACCAGUGGACCCCACUGGUCAGGUUUGACAUGGAGGCGCCAGUUGACCUGCUGACAUCAGGGUGAUGUCAUGCUGACGCAAUAACUCUUUUUCUGGAUUUAAUUUUAUAUAGAAAAUUCCAGAAAAUUGCCUAAACUUCAAAAAUUCAUAGAAAUUCAACCAUAACUCCAAAUGAGACAAAUUAUAUAUGAAAAAUUAUCAGAAAAAUUCAAGGAAUCCAUCUGUACCAUUUUCAUGCAUGUUUGAACAAUGCUUGUCCUCUGUUUUGGACAAAACAAAUAAAGGGCAUUUAAAUAAUCAUAUAUGGGGUUGGAAUUUGAAUCUUGUACUCAAACCAACUCCAUUUAAAUCAUAGCUAGUUGUAUAAGCUCAAGACACAUCCAUAUUGCCAUGUCAUAGCAUGCAUCAUAUUGUUGCAUAUCGUCAUGUGUUGAUUGUGCUCGGUUGUGUUCUUCGUGGUAGGUUCUGCCUCCGAGGAUAUUCACGAGUAUCCAACUGAAGGGCAGUAUCCCGUUACCACUCCAUCAGGCAAGCAAGCAUUGAUCAUUCCGAUACAACCCAUGUUCUCGCUCCUGCUCUUGUUUACUGCAUUAAGACAACACGAUUCAAACUGCCGUGUGCUACGGUAGUUGAACCCUUAUCCUCUGCAUGACCUGUCAUUGCCACAGUAACUAGAUGAAACCCACUAGCAUGUGUAGGAGUUGAUUGAGCCAUGUUUUGUGAUUCCUACCUUGCUAUGCCUGCUAUGCUUAGAGUUGUGUCAGGUCUGGUUCAUCUGGGGAAUGGGCUAGAGUGAAAUGCUUGUGCCAGUAAAUUGUGGGAUGUGUUGAACAUGUUUUGGUAAAGGUAUCGAUGAGAGGCCAUGUAGGAGUACAUGGUGGGUUGUUUCAUUGAAGCCGUCCCUAAGAACUGAGUUCUGUAUGCGUGAAUUAAGAUUCAGCUACUACCACACAUUGGGCCCUGAAAUAUGACCCCGCUCGACUUACCGACCCCUCUCGCCUCAGUCCAGGAGUUGCAACUAGUUUCUGGUGUUUGUAGGAUAUGUGUUGGCGGCCGUGCGUAGCGCUGACCCUAGGGGUGGGCUAUGUUGCGGUAGAUACACUGUGGCACGGUGUACCGAGUCACCCGUUUGGUGUCUCGGGAACCCUGUUCACAUCGUUCGGGGCCGUUGAGGACACCCCGGCCGGAUUUCCUUGCGGAUGGAACCUGAAUAGGCGAUGACCCUGGACUAGAGACUUGUGAGGUUAGUCAGGUCGUGGUCUACACCCACGUCGGUUUUCGCUUGAAGUCUGCCGAGCACAUUUCGUGUGCAGACGCUAAGAGGUGGAAACAUGUGUGACGAAGUACACCCGUGCAGGGUAUAAAACUAUUCGAAUAGCCGUGUCCGCAGUAAAGGACUACUUGGUUGCAUAUACAGUUCAUAGACAAGUUAAUGGAUACUACUAAAAGACUCAAGAUAAGUGUGAGUACCGAGGAUGGCUCCCUCAUGUGACCCCUACCUGUAUGGAUAUGUUAUGUAUGGCUCCCUGGAGCCUUUAAAUAAAGUACCUGAGUUGUAGAGUUUUGUUGUGAUGCCAUGUUGUAUGUACUCAUAUCGAGCAUAUUGUAUGUAUGAUUGAAAUGCUUGGUAUGAGUGGGAUCCGACAAUCUAGUUGUUUGUCCUUCGCAGCCUUUCUUAUGGGGAAAUGUAGUCUAGUGCUCCUCGAGCCAGAGUAGUCCGCUACAGCCCGGUUCACCGGAGUCCUGCUAGCCCAGCACUACUGUUCAGGACACUUGACUGGCCGGCAUGUGUUUCACUUCGUCCCUAUGUCUGUCCCUUCGGGGAAAUUUCACGCGGUGAUCUCCGGAGUCCUGUCUAGCCUGCUACAGCCCGGGAUCCCCCGGAGUCCUGUUAGCCCAGUGCUACAGCCUGGAAUCACUCCUUGAUGACCGACAUGUUCGUUGUGAUUCAUGUAUGCCUGUCUCCAUAGGUCUGUGCCGCUUUGGGUUCACGACUAGCCAUGUCGGCCCGGGUUCUCGGUCAUAUGGAUGCUAGCGACAUUGUCAUAUACGCGAGCCAAAAGGCGCAAACGGUCCCGGGCCAUGGUAAGGCGACACCCGUGGGAUACCGUGCGUGAGGCCGCAAAUUGAUAUGAGGUGUUACCGGCUAGAUCGAUGUGGCUUAGAAUCGGGGUCCUGACAGAAAUGGUCGAGACAUAAAGAUUGAUAUAUUGGAAGCCUAUAUUUGGAUAUCGGAAGUGUUCCGGGUAAAAUCGAGAUUUUGCCAGAUUACCGGGAGGUUACCAGAACCCCCCGGGAGCCAUAUGGGCCUUAUUGGGCUUUAGUGGAAAGGUGAAAAGGGCUGCCAUGGUGGGCUGCACGCCUCCCCCCUCCCCUAGUCCUAUUAGGACUAGGAGAGGUGGCCGGCCACCUCUCUCUCUCUUUCCCCCUUGGGAGUCCUAUUUGGAAUAGGAUUGGGGGGGAGUCCUACUCACGGUAGGAGUAGGACUCCUCCUGCACCCUCCUCUUUGCCGGCCAGCCCCUCCCCCUUGGAUCCUUUAUAUACAGGGGCAGGGGGCACCUCUAGACACACAAGUUGAUCAUUGAGAUCGUUCCUUCGCCGUGUGCGGUGCCCCCUGCCACCAUAUUCCACCUCGAUCAUAUCGUUGUAGAGCUUAGGCGAAGCCCUGUGUCGGUAGAACAUCAAGAUCGUCACCAUGCCGUCGUGCUGAUGGAACUCCUCCACGAAGCUUUGCUGGAUCGGAGCCCGGGGAUCGUGAUCGAGCUGUACGUGUGCUAAGAACUCGGAGGUGCCGGAGUAACGGUGCUUGGAUCGGUCGGAUCGGGAAGAAGACGUACGACUACUUCCUCUACGUUGUGUCAACGCUUCCGUUGCGAUCUACAAGGGUACGUAGAUUAGACUCUCCCCCUCGUUGCUAUGCAUCACCAUGAUCUUGCGUGUGCGUAGGAAAAUUUUGAAAUUACUACGUUCCCCAACACUAUGCACCUGCAUCGUCACAUGAGUCGAUGAUAUGCAACAUAUAUAGUUGAGCAUCAGAAAGAGAUAGACUUGGCAAAAAUAGAAGCAACAUAUCAUAAGCAUAAAUAACAAAGUUCAUCGUACCCAAAAUGCCCUAACUAGAGUGAUCUUCGGUAGUCAAGGAGGAAGGUUUAAUUACAUCACAAAUAAUGUUUCGUCGUGCAUAACUCAAAGUUCCGUCAUACAGAAGGUAUGAACUAAACGGACACAUUGUCAUAUUUCGAAAAUCACUCCAACAUGGCGUGCCAUCCAUCCAAGUCAAGGAGAUAGUGCCCGAGCUUAGUGAAAGGCUUCAGGUCGAGACGCUGAGCGGCUACGCGUGUUCGGACUCUUCCCAUGACAUUUGUCCUUCUUCAUAGAACAUCCCUGUUUUUUCGACGACCUCCAUCAUGAUGAUUUGGGCAAGUUCGCACUGGAAGUGAUAUAACUCAUCUUGAAGUCGAUGAUCCUCGAUAUCUUCUAAGUUCUUUGCCCAUUGCAGAAUAUGGGCAUGGCUGAAUUUAGGUGACAUGCAAAGGUUCUGGUGAUCCUGUCUGUACUCCAUCAUGUGGUGUAGGACAUAGAACCCAUCAUCAAGAGAAUCACUCGGUUGCUGGAUGCAGCUGAAGUCGGUCUUAUGGGCCUGCCGUCCCUUUUCUUCUUGUCCUUGACCUCUCCACCCCGUGCAUCGUAGUAAAACAUAGCACUAUCGAGAACAAACUUGAUGUGGGUGUAAUCCUUUUUGUUAAUGUUCUUCGACGAGUCCACAAUAUCGGGGGUAGAGGAUGAUGAGGACGGCGCGCCUGCCGUUGCGCAAAAUAAGUACACCUCAAAUGAAUUAAACUCCAUCGUUCAAAUGAAUGAUUGAAAUCGAAGGAAGGAUAUCUGCGCGGAUGACUUACACGGGAUGAUAAGGCACGAGAAUCGCCUCCUUGUCCUUAUUGGCAAGCAUGAAAUUGACGAUGUAUUCCUCGUGUAUUCAUGGUGCUUUGCGCGGACUCCCAAGACGCCCUCGUGCAUGAAGUACGGGUCAGCGACAUAGAUAUGAGGUAUCUGCUCAACCCCGAUGAGGUAGUUCAUGUGCAAGGCAUAAAGGCGGACAAACAUAAAAUCCAGCUUCUUUAAGUGAAACAUGUUGAAGAUGUAAUCAGAUCGAAGGAAAAACUUCUUCGAGGGGAAUGUGUCGACGUACGACAAUUGCCCGGCACGUUAACCACGUAGAGAGGGUAUCCUGGAUUUUUCGAGGCGAUGAGGCCUUUCUCUAUCCGCAACACGUCGUCAUGAAGUCUCCUUAGAUCGCCGGAUCUGGCCCCUAGCGCUGCUUUCGGUAGGAUUGGUUCACCAGGAUACGCCAUUUUGCCGCUCCGGGGACAUCUAUACGGUCUUGAACCCGAGGCUGCUGAGGCGGCUGGAUCAUAGAAGCAGCUUUGUUGGCUUUCCUCAGUGUAUUCCUAGGCUUCUUUGCUACAGGAAGGUCAUCUAUGAUAUGUUCAGCCUCCAGAGGCGGCAAUUCAGGCACCGACUCAUGACGCUCAAACCCUGAGUAGGCGCCAGUAUUGAGAUACUGUUGAGUGCCAUUGUUGUCCUCAUCUAUGGCGGUGUCACCAGCGACAAAUGGAGCCUCUUCCUCACCCCGUUCGCUAUCACCCAGCACGACAGCCGGCGCUAAUUGGGUAGGUGGGGUGUUGAUGUUCAUACCUAACUGCGUGCUCGUGUGUGUGCUCCCGGCCGUCUCCAAACAAAGUAGACUCUUUGGCCACAACAGGACCCACCCAUUGCAAUCACCAAUCCCCUGCGGGAUCUCGUCGUCAUUCCCCCUAGUACCGGAGGAGCCAAAUUCUCCUGGCCUGGUUUGACACUGGCCACGGAAACUUUGUAGACGUCCGAGGGGAUCGGUCGGCCGUGGAACAAUGGUUCCUUAGGCUUCAUUAUCGUCACCUUCCCCACGUCCACCUCCUGGUAGCGGAUGUUGUACAAUAUGGUGCACGGGGUUACAUUGGCCUGCAAAGACAUUUCUGCGAUGUGAGAUAUCCGACAGGCAACAAAAAAUGGGAGAUUAUACAUUUAUUGAAGAGGGCUGGUGUGACAGAUAUAGUGAGGGCGUCGAGCUCAUCCAAAGAUGAAGCACCGCUGAGCACGUCCGGUGUCGGAGCCGGUGCGGGAGCAGGUGCAGGUGCUGGUGCAACGCUAGUCGAGCUGCUCCCGAAGAAGUCAGCAAGGGGAAAGUCCGCUGCAUUUUUUUUCUGGAUUUUGCGUGCUCGAAUUGAAAACGGCCGAAACCAAGACAGUAGACAUAUCUGCAACCACCUGUUUUGCGGCAGCUAUCGCUGUUGCGACUGUCUCAGAUGAUUUCUUCUCAAUCGGAAUCUAAACCUUCUGGCUGAUGUUUUCUUCAGUUAACCUCCGUCUUUCCUUUCGCUCCUCCGUGGUCUCACGGUAGUACUUCUUCCACGUGGCGCCGUCUACGACACCGUCCACGCGUCCAUACGACGGCCGAUUCUCCACCAGGAGUCCUUUCAAUAUGUUCAAUACCCGGUUGAAUGGAGUCUACCACUUGGGCCUCGCCAACGCCUCAGACGGCGAGUCACUUUCGGCUGCAAUCUUGUGCUGCUCUCUCUUCAAAAGGAACAAGGAUCGUUUACAAAUAUGACUAAACGUGCAGUCGAAUUGAUCAGAAACUAAAAUUACCAGCAGUCUCGUGAACUCCGUCGUGAUCGGGUCCGUCUUAAAAACCUUCUUGACUGAGUCCCAAUGGUGCCGUGCCCCGAGGACGUCACGCUCCUGCGGGACGGUGAAGUCCGCCAAGGGGUCUGGGAUGCCCAGACGUUCGCGUUCCGCGUCCUCCUUGGCCCAUAUGGACCUCUUCCCGCCGUAACCACGGCUUCCGAGGUGGUGGCGCCCCAUGUUCCUUUGUUGAAGCCCUUUCAUGUACUUCGACUUUUUUUUGGCAGCUUCGGCCUCGCAAGCCGCCUUGAAUUUUUCAAAGUGCUCUCCCGUGAUUGUCGGAUUAUCCUUUACAAUCUCGGAGUAUGGUUCCUUUUUGUCGACAAUCCGAUGUUUCAACCUUGUUUUCCAGGUGGCCAACGUGUCGCUAAACUUGGUCAUGGCGUGUUUGUUUAUCUUCUUCAUUGCCGGGUCCUUAUUUGGAUAUUUAUAAUCCUUUUCAUUCCGGCCCGGGAACAACAAUAUCUGGUGCAGCUUCUUUAGGAGGGAGGACCUCAUAUUAUCUAUCUUCUGUAGUUUCCCAUGGUUGAUCGUGGCAGUUAUCCGUACGAUGCAGCCUAUUUGAUUGCCGUAGCACGAUCGCGCUUCCUUGGGCGCUAUUGUCUGAAAAAUACGGUCGUCCAUCUCCGUGACCACCAGUCUAGUUGUCAUGAGCUGGUUUGGGCGCCGUGGCUUCUUAGCUUUCGGUUCUAGAUCAGCUCCGCUAGUCUCGGCGCCGGUCUCAGUCUCAUCGCCGGUCUGCAUGUCGGUAUCAGUCCCCGAUGCGACAGGUCGGCCCAGCAACAACAUUCGUUGAUCGUCGGCAAGGCUCAAAAAUUCAUCUGCCGCCAGGUAGACGUGUCGCAAUCACCAGAACCCUAUCCUUCAUCAUUGCUAGCCAUGUUUCCUACGAUUAUAUCUAGUCAAUUAAUUCUAGACCUAAUAAAAUGAAUAAUGACAUAAAACAGGCCAAUGUUUUGCAGGAUUACAACUCAACCCAUUGCAGAUUAGAAAACAAUCCCGUGUGAAUGCACAGGCUGACGACUAGUAUAUAUAAAGCUUAAUGGUGCCUAAGAAAGCUCGCACAAUUUUACAGUGGCUAUGGAAAUGUGUUGCCAAACUUUGACAUAAGAUUUUCGUUUGGCAUCCAGAGUUGCAAAACGCUUGUGUUGUCCUUAAUCCAUGGCCACUCUAAUUUUUCCGGCUGGGCCUUCCCUGUGGUAUCGCGGCAAGGCUUGCGUGUGUAUAUGUUUCCUUUAACUACCACUAGCACAUAUGCCCGUGCGUGCGUUGCAACGGGAGAGAUAAUGGCGUAUCCACCAAUAUAUCUAACAGCAUGACCCAACAAUAUCCGAAUGAUGUCACCCGAUGACGGCAGGAAGGCACGCACAGAGGUCUAGUAAAAACUCAUAUCAAUUGUAAGGGCAUGGUUAAUUCGCGUGAAUUCAGGGGUGUGAGAUUAGUUAGUGUUGGUCCCACAAUUGAAUUCGGGGGGUGAUUAGUUAGUGUGGGCCCACCCUCGAAUUCACGGGGGGAGACAAAAUAAUUAGGGUGAGGAGAGAUUUACGGGGCUUGGUCCCCAGAUGCGUUGUGGCAGUCAUUAUUCGAGCAUUGCAAUGCUCGCACGUGACGAGCUCUUUUUCCAAUUGUAUAUUAAGAAGCAUGCUACAGAUACAAUGUUUUUGAUACGUUUUUUGUACAAUGAUCCUGAUCUUAAAGGGCCACCUAAUUUUUAUAUCUUAAAGGCAUUAUUUGUAAGUUGUCGUGAAAAAAAUCUCGCUAAAAGGGUUGUGUUAGACCAUCUUCAGUACAUUAGAAAUAACGAAUUAUAAUUCCUUGGCAUUUGAAGAAACAAUCGCUACUUAUUUACACAUACAAUUCUUUUGGUACGAUUUUGAAAUCUUGAAGGCAUUAUUUGUAAGUUGAAGCAAUUUUGAAAUCUCACUAAAAGGUCUGUUAGACCCUCUAGAGCUUUAGAAAUAACUAAUUAUAAUUUUGCAAAAAAAAGAAAUAACUAAUUAUAAUUCCUUAAGCAUCUGACCGAAACGACCCCGAAUUAUUGUCUGGGUAGUAAUUCCUUUGCAACAUUAUUCUCUCCUUUUUUGAAGGAGCUCUUGCCUGGGUAGUAAUUCCUAUUUGCAAGGUUAUUCUCUCCUUCAUUUUUACAGGAGCUCUCCUUCCUUAUACUAAUUGGUCAUUAUCCUCUCCUUCCUUUUUCUUUUUGCCAAACUCUCUUUCCAUACUUAUGCCGCUAACCACGCCACUCUUUUUCCUUAUUUAUGCCCUUUGAUCACGCCACACAUCUCAUGAAAUCUAAGCCAUAUCACCCAUCUUUUUUCCUUAUUCUCAAAGGCGCUUUCCUCACAAACAGUAGUUCUCUAGGAUGCUUAACGAUUUUGAAACAGAAACAUAUAUAAAUCGGUAGAACGGGUUGUCAAGCAGCGAGGUGGUACUAGUUUAUAAAGAAACAAAUUAACCUUUUCUUUUUGUGUAAUGAUGCCUUGGUUCGGCUGGUUGCUGCCUUUGCCCUUGAUGUGCAGCGUUGGGAAAAGGAUGGGCGAAGUGGACGAACCAAAAACGGACAAAAUUACGGUAGUAAGAAGCGAUAGCCCAUUUAUUAGUAGGUAUAGAUAUAGAUGUCGAGGAUGAGGAUUUACUGCACACAAGUGCGGGGGCACUCAGGUCCUGGUGCCGGCCUUUUAUUUUGGCUUCCGAUUUUCAAACUUCUAUAUCUUUUAAACGAAAAGUUCAAUUUAAGUUACGUUUUCAUAUUCGUGCUUCUCGCGGCCAGCGCUUUCAAAUAAGAUCCAUUUUGCAUACAUUUUGGCUGCUUUUGGAAACAUUGCUAAGUUUCAUUGUUUGAAACUUAGUACGAGCGACCGAUAAAAUUUAAUUAUUUUGUGUCUACGACCAACAGGAGAAAUUGCUUAAAAUUACAUCUUUGAAACUGGUCAUUUUUUUACUGUGUCCUACUUCACGAAUCACGAGGCAAAUCAAGUAGGCGGCAUGCCCUGGCCGGUGAGUGCCAUUGCACUUACUUGCCCCAGCGAUUUUCCGCGUGCAUUGUAGAAUUCUUUCUCCGAGUCCUGUGAAUUAAAGAUGGUGCAGACAAAAGUAUAUCCUAUAUGCGUACAUGUGCAUGAUCAGAACAUGUUUUUACGUGCGUCUACUAUAAAUCAUGACCAUUUUUAACACAAAUCAUGACCAUUCAUGAUUAGUGAAUCAUACUGUCUUAACUUAUGUGAAAUCAUGUGGAGUAAUAUAAUAUAAUACAAUAGAUAGACAGAUCCAUGUUGUAUUAUUUUUUGUUUACAAAAAAAUCUGUAAUUACACAUUUUGAUUUAUGCAUUUGUUUACAAAAAAACAGUAACAUUUCAUGGUGGAAAGUUUGUAUUGUUUCAUACUGAACACCAAUGUUUUCCUGUAAAAGAAAAUAAUGCCUACGCAUAUGCUUUUAUAUUAUUAUUAUUCUUUCAAACUUAUUCAUAUAGUAUUUUUGAUUGUGCAACCAUAAUUUUUAUUAUCUCUCUCGUUCCACUACAUGCUCUUACUCAAUGAUUUUCUUUAUAAUGGGUGUUUUUAUUAACUCAAAAUAUAGCAUCAAGCGGAUACAGAACAUACUGAGCCACACCCGGUCUCUGCAUAACUAAGAUGCACACAGCCAAAAGCGGAAGUCUGACAAAAAUAAGAUAAGAAAAUCGACAUAUCGACAACAGUGAGUCAUAUAGUUCCGACACUAUGCCUCUGUCGAAGGAGGGGGUGGAGCGAUCUAGAGAUUAUGCUGCCUUCCAUGUUGAGUAAACACCUCCCUGGCCACUUGUUCCAACUGCAUAGACGCCGCCACGAAUAACGGUUGGUACUCUGUUCGGUGUAGCAUACACCAUGUAGGAAGUGAGUGCUCACUCCUAGUUACUGAAUUAUGUACACACUAGUAGAAAAAGGCCCAUUUGUCCCGGUUCGUAAGGCCCAUUUGUCCCAGUUGGGGAACCGGGACUAAAGGGUCGGUACUAAAGCCCUACACCUUUAGUCCCGGUUCUUACACCAACCGAGACAGAUGGGGCUCCACGUGGCCGUUGCGGCUUACCGUGGCAGGUGGGCCUUUUGUCCCGGUUGGUAGCACCAACCGGGACCAAUAAGCUACCACGCGUCAGCAUUUGAGGGGCUANNNNNNNNNNNNNNNNNNNNNNNNNNNNNNNNNNNNNNNNNNNNNNNNNNNNNNNNNNNNNNNNNNNNNNNNNNNNNNNNNNNNNNNNNNNNNNNNNNNNNNNNNNNNNNNNNNNNNNNNNNNNNNNNNNNNNNNNNNNNNNNNNNNNNNNNNNNNNNNNNNNNNNNNNNNNNNNNNNNNNNNNNNNNNNNNNNNNNNNNNNNNNNNNNNNNNNNNNNNNNNNNNNNNNNNNNNNNNNNNNNNNNNNNNNNNNNNNNNNNNNNNNNNNNNNNNNNNNNNNNNNNNNNNNNNNNNNNNNNNNNNNNNNNNNNNNNNNNNNNNNNNNNNNNNNNNNNNNNNNNNNNNNNNNNNNNNNNGGUUAAUUUUGGAGGGUUUCAUAUAUUGUGUUAGGUAGCUAAUUAAUUAAUACAGAGAAGUGUCAUCUCUUAUCUCCGUGCUUGGUCGACGCUACGUACUAUACGUACAGAGAGGCCCUCGACACGCUAGCCAGUAAGCAAAUGAAGGAAACCAUUAAGUACAGAAGUUCGUCAUGAACAUAUGCAUACAAACUAAGUGAUAUCGACCUCUCCUUCUCUGAGAGAUAGGUCGAACAACAAGUUUCCGUAUAUCUAUCCGGCGCUACUAGCUACAUAUAUACAAUAUUAAGAUCUCUUACAAUAUAAUCCCCUAAUUAUAUAUGAACUCAGCUUUCAGAUGGUAUUCUCCGGCUUUAUUGAUGACGUGGUCAAGAAAGAAUCCCUCCAAUUCCUCUUGAAUUGCUUUGAUGCGAUCUUCUGGUAGGAGUUCAUCCCGCAUCUGCCACAUCUAAUUUGAAGAAGGGGGUCAAUCACUAGUAGAAUAACAGCCAUUUGUCCUGGUUCGUAAGGCUCAUUCGUCCUGGUUGGGGAACCGAGACUAAAGGGUCGUUACUAAAGCCCUACACCUUUAGUCCCGGUUCUUACACCAACUGGGACAGAUGGGCCUCCACGUGGCCGCUGCGGCGAGCCCAGGCAGGAGGUCCUUUGGUCCCGGUUAGUGGCACUGAUACUUCUCCAACGUAUCUAUAAUUUUUGAUUGCUCCAUGCUAUUAUGUUAUCUAUUUUGGAUGUUAAUGGGCUUUAUUUUACACCUUUAUAUCAUUUUUGGGACUAACCUACUAAUCGGAGGCCCAGCCCAAAUUGUUGUUUUUUUGCCUAUUUUAGGUUUUCGAAGAAAAGGAAUAUCAAACGAAGUCCAAACGGAAUGAAACCUUCGGGAACGUGAUUUUCUCAACGAACAUGAUCCAGGAGACUUGAAGUGUGCGCCAAGAAAGAAGGGAGGAAGGCAAGAGGCAGGGGGCACGCCUACCCCCCUUGGGCGUGCCCUCCACCCUCGUGGGCCCUCCGCUGCUCCAUCGACGUACUUCUUCCUCCUAUAUAUAUCCACGUACCCCUCGAACAUCCAGGAGCACCACGAAAACCUAAUUCCACCGCCGCAACCUUCUGUACCCGAGAGAUCCCAUCUUGGGGCCUUUUCCGGAGGUCCACCGGAGGGGGCAUCGAUCACGGAGGUCCUCUACAUCAACUCCAUGGCCUAUCCAGUGAUGUGUGAGUAGUUCACUUCAGACCUACGGGUCCAUAGUUAUUAGCUAGAUGGCUUCUUCUCUCUCUUUGGAUCUCGAUACAAAGUUCUUUUCGAUUUUCUUGGAGAUCUAUUUGAUGUAACCUUAUUUUGCGGUGUGUUUGUCGAGAUCCGAUGAAUUAUGGGUUUAUGACCCAGAUUAUCUAUGAACAAUAUUUGAUUCUCCUCUAAAUUCUUUUAUGUAUGAUUGGUUUAUCUUUGCAAGUCUCUUCGAAUUAUCAGUUUGUUUUGGCCUACUAGAUUGAUCUUUCUUGCAAUGGGAGAAGUGCUUAGCUUUGGGUUCAAUCUUGCGGUGUUUGAUCCUAGUGACAGAAAGGGAACCGAUACGUAUUGUAUUGUUGCCAUCGAGGAUAAAAAGAUGGGGUUUAUAUCAUAUCGCAUGAGUUUAUCCCUCUACAUCAUGUCAUCUUCCUUAAAGCAUUACUCUGUUCUCUUGAACUUAAUACUCUAGAUGUGUGCUGGAUUGCGGUCGAUGUGUGGAGUAAUAGUAGUAGAUGCAGAAUCGUUUCGGUCUACUUGUCUCGGACGUGAUGCCUAUAUACAUGAUCAUACCUAGAUAUUCUCAUAACUAUGCUCAAUUCUGUACAAUAUGGUGCACGCGGUUACAUCGGCCUGCAAAGACAUUUCUGCGAUGUGAGACAUCCGAAAAGCAACGAAAACGGGAGAUUAUACAUUUAUUGAAGAGGGCCGGAGUGACAGAUACCGUGAGGGUCUCGAGCUCAGCCAAAGACAAAGGACAGAUGAGCACGGCCUAUGUCGGAGCCAGUGCGGGAGCCGGUGCGGGAGCAGGUGCAGGUGCAGGUGCUGGUGCAAUGCUAGUCGAGCUGCUCCUAAAGAAGUCAACAAUGGGAAAGUCCGCUACAUUUUUUCUGGAUUUUGCGUGCUCCAAUUGAAUACAGCUGGAACCAAGACAGUAGACAUAUCUGUUGGAAAUAUGCCCGAGAGCCAAUAAUAAAUUGGUUAUUAUUAUAUUUCCUUGUUCAUGAUAAUCGUUUAUUAUCCAUGCUAGAAUUGUAUUGAUAGGAAACUCAGAUACAUGUGUGGAUACAUAGACAACACCAUGUCCCUAGUAAGCCUCUAGUUGACUAGCUCGUUGAUCAAUAGAUGCUUACGGUUUCCUGACCAUGGACAUUGGAUGUCGUUGAUAACGGGAUCACAUCAUUAGGAGAAUGAUGUGAUGGACAAGACCCAAUCCAUAUCUAGCACAAGAUCGUGUAGUUCGUAUGCUAAAGCUUUUCUAAUGUCAAGUAUCAUUUCCUUAGACCAUGAGAUUGUGCAACUCCCGGAUACAGUAGGAGUGCUUUGGGUGUGCCAAACAUCACAACGUAACUGGGUGGCUAUAAAGGUGCACUACGGGUAUCUCUAAAAGUGUCUGUUGGGUUGGCACGAAUCGAGACUAGGAUUUGUCACUCCGUGUAAAUGGAGAGGUAUCUCUGGGCCCACUCAGUAGGACAUCAUCAUAAUGAGCACAAUGUGAUCAAGGAGUUGAUCAAGGGAUGAUGUCUUACGGAACGAGUAAAGAGACUUGCCGGUAAUGAGAUUGAACAAGGUAUCGGGAUACCGACGAUCAAAUCUCGGGCAAGUAUCGUACCGAUAGACAAAGAGAAUUGUAUACGGGAUUGAUUGAAUCCUUGACAUCGUGGUUCAUCCGAUGAGAUCAUUGUGGAGCAUGUGGGAGCCAACAUGGGUAUCCAGAUCCCGCUAUUGGUUAUUGACCGGAGAGUUGUCUUGGCCAUGUCUGCAUGACUCCUGAGCUCGUAGGGUCUACACACUUAAGGUUCGAUGACGCUAGGGUUAUAGGGAAAGUAUGUACGCGGUUACCGAAUGUUGUUCGGAGUCCCAGAUGAGAUCCCAGACAUCACGAGGAGUUCUGGAAUGGUCCGGAGGUAAAGAUUUAUAUAUGGGAAGUUCCGUUUUGGUCACCGGAAAUGUUUCGGGUGCUAUCGGUAACGUACCGGGACCACCGGGAGGGUCCCAGGGGUCCAUCAGGUGGGGCCACCAGCCCCGGAGGCCUACAUGGGCCAAUAGUGGGAAGGGACCAGCCCCUAGGUGGGCUGGGGCGCCUCCCGACAAGGCCCAAGUCGCCUCCAAGAGGGGAAGGGGGCAAACCCUAGGGCAGAUGGGCCCCAAGGCCCACCCUAGGUGCGCCUCCCCCUCUCCCCCUUGUAGCCGCCACCCUAGAUGGGAUCUAGGGCUGCCGCACCCCUUGGGGUGGGAACCCUAGAGGGGGCGCAGCCCCCUCCCCUCCCCCUAUAUAUACUUGAGGUAUGGGGGCUGCCCAACAUACGAUUUGAUCUCUCUCUUGGCGCAGCCCUACCCCUCUCCCUCCUCGUCUCUCAUAGUGCUUGGCGAAGCCCUGCUGGAGUUCCGCGCUCCUCCACCACCACUACCACGUCGUCGUGCUGCUGCUGGACGGACUCUUCCCAACCUCUCCUUCUCCCCUUGCUGGAUCAAGGCGUGGGAGACGUCACCGGGCUGCAGAUGUGUUGAACGCGGAGGCGCCGUGGUUCGGCGCUUAGAUCGGAAUCAACCGAGAUCUGAAUCGCUACGAGUACGGCUCCUUCAUCCGCGUUCUUGCAACGCUUCCGCUUAGCGAUCUACAAGGGUAUGUAGGUGCACUACCCUUCCCUUCGUUGCUAGGUUACUCCAUAGAUUGAUCUUGGUGAUGCGUAGAAAAUUUUAAAUUUCUGCUACGAUCCACAACAGUGGCAUCAUGAGCUAGGUCUAUGCGUAGUUUCUAUGCACGAGUAGAACAUAAAACAGUUGUGGGCGUCAAUAUUGUCAAUUACUUGCCGUUAGUAGUCUUAUCUUGAUUCGGCGGCAUCGUGGGAUGAAGCGGCCCGGACUGACCCUACACGUACGCUUACGUGAGACUUGUUCCACUGACUGACAUGCACUAGUUGCAUAAGGUGGCUAGUGGGUGUCUGUCUUUCCCACUUUAGUCAGAUCGGAUUCGAUGAAAAGGGUCCUUAUGAAGGGUAAAUAAAAAUUGGCAUACCACGUUGUCGUUUUGGCGUAGGUAAGAAAUGUUCUUGCUAGAAACCUAUAGGAGCCACGUAAAAACUUGCAACAACAAUUUGAGGACCUCUAACUUGUUUUUGCAGCAUGUGCCGUGUGAUGUGAUAUGGCCAAAAGGAUGUGAUGAAUGAUAUAUGUGAUGUAUGAGAUUGAUCAUGUUCUUGUAAUAGGAAUCACGACUUGCAUGUCGAUGAGUAUGACAACCGGCAGGAGCCAUAGGAGUUGUCUUUAUUUAUUUAUGACCUGCGUGUCAACAUAAACGUCAUGUAAUUACUUUACUUUAUUGCUAAAGCGUUAGCCAUAGUAAUGGAAGUAAUAGAUGACAAGACAACUUCAAGAAGACACGAUGAUGGAGAUCAUGAUGAUGGAGAUCAUGGUGUCAAGCCCGUGACAACGAUGAUCAUGGAGCCCCAAAGAUGGAGAUCAUAAGGAGCAAAAUGAUAUUGGCCAUAUCAUGUCACUAUUUGAUUGCAUGUGAUGUUUAUCAUGUUUUACCUCUUAUUUUCUUAGAACGACGGUAGCUUAAAUAAGAUGAUACCUCGCAAUAAUUUCAAGAAAGUGUUUCCCCUAACUGUGCACCGUUGCGAAGAUUCGUUGUUUUGAAGCACCACGUGAUGAUCGGGUGUGAUAUAUUCUAACGUUCAAAUACAACAGGUGUAAGCCAGAUUUACACACACAAUACACUUAGGUUGACUUGAUGAGCCUAGCAUUUACAGACAUGGCCUCGGAACACGGUAGACCGAAAGGUCGAGCAUGAGUCGUAUAGAAGAUACGAUCAACAUGAAGAUGUUCACCGAUGUUGACUAGUCCGUCUCACGUGAUGAUCGGCCACGGCCUAGUUGACUCGGAUCAUGUUUCACAUAGAUGACUAGAGGGAUGUCUAUCUGAGUGGGAGUUCAUUAAAUAAUUUGAUUAGAUGAACUUAAUUAUCAUGAACAUAGUCCAAAUUGUCUUUGCAAAUAUGUUGUGGAUAAAUAGCUCACGCUUUAGCUCCCUGUUUUAAUAUGUUCCUAGAGAAAAGACUAACUGGAAAGAUAUUGUAAGCAUUAACGCUGACUAGGUCUGUUGCCUGAGGAGUGUCCUCACUGCUACACAGAAGGCUUAUGUCUUUGAUGCACCGCUCGGUGUGCCAACCCCUCCGGCGUCGUCUGUGGAUGUUGUGAACACCCGACAGACACAUCCUGAUGACUACUUGAAAGUUUAGUGCACCAUACUUUACGGCUUAGAAUCGGGAUUCCAAUGACGUUUUGAACGCCAUAAGACAUAUGAGAUGUUCCAAGAGCUGAAAUUGGGAUUUCAGGCUCAUGCCCGUGUUGAGAGGUAUGGACCUCUGACAAGUGCUUUUGCCAACAAGAUGGAGUAGAAUAGCUCAGCUAGAGAGCAUGUGCUCGGAAUGUCUGGGUGCUACAAUCACUUAAAUCAAGUGGGAGUUAAGCUUCCAGAUAAGAUAGUGAUUGAUAGAGUUCUCUAGCCACUAUCACUAAGAUACUAGAUCUUCGUGAUGAACUAUGACAUGCAAGGGAUGGAGUUGAUCCCGGAGCUGUUCACGGUGCUUAAGAUCGCAAAAGGUAGAAAUCAAGAAGGAGCAUCAAGUGUUGAUGGUUUAACAAGACCACUAGUUUCAAGAAGGGCAAGGGCUAGAAGGGAAACUUCAUGAAUGGCAAACCAGUUACCAAUCAAGUGAAGGAACCCAAGGUUGAACCCAAACCCGAGACAAAGUGCUUCUAUUGUAAGGGGAACAGUCACUGGUAGCGGAACUACCCCAAAUACAUGGUAGAUAAGAAGGAUGGCAACUUCAACAAAGUAUAUACAUGUUAUUAAUGUGUACCUCACCAGUACUCUUGGUAGCACCUGGGUAUUGGAUACCGGUUCAGUUGCUAUUAUUGGUGACUUGAAGCAAAAGCUACGGACUAAACGGAGACUGGCUAAGGGCGAGGUGACGUUGUGUGGUGGAAGUGUUUCCAAAGUUGAUAAGAUCACCAUCGCAUGCUCCAUCUGCCUUUGGGAUUAGUAUUGAACCUAGAUAAAUGUUAUCAGGUGUCUACGUUGAGGAUGAAUAUGAUUAGAUCAUGUUCAUUGCAAUACGGUUAUUCAUUUAAGAUAGAGAAUAAUGGUUAUUCUGUUUACAUGAAUAAUACCUUUCAUGGUCAUGCACCCUAUGUGAAUGGUUCAUUGAAUCUCGGUCGUGGUAAUACAGAUGUUCACGCCAAAAGAUGUAGAGUUAACAAUGAUAGUACCACUUUCUUGUGGAACUGCCGCUUAGGUCAUAUUGGCAUAAGAUGCAUGAAGAAACUCCAUGUCGAUGGAUGUUUGGAGUCAAUUGAUUUUGAAUCGCUUGACACAUGCGAGCCAUGAUUCAUGGGCAGGAUGACUAAGACCCCGUUUUCAGGUAAAAUAAAACGGGCAAGUGACUUCUUGGAAAUCAUACAUGCUGAUGCAUGUGUUCCAAUCAGAAUUGAAGCGUGCGGUGGAUAUCGCUAUUUUCUCAUCUUCACUGACGAUUUGAGUAGAUAUAGGUAUAUUUACUUAAUGAAGCACAAGUCUGAAACAUUUGAAAAGUUCAAGCGAUUUUAGAGUGAAGUUAAGAACCAUCAUAUAUAAUAAGAAGAUCAAAUUCCUACGAUCUGAUCGAUGAGAAUUUCUGAGUUAUGAGUUGGGCAAUCACUUAAGACAUUGUGGAAUUGUUUCAUAGUUGAAGCCACCUGGAACAACACAGGGUAAUGGUGUGUCCGGACGUCGUAAUCGAACCUUAUGAGAUAUGGUGCGAUCUAUGAUGUCCCUUACCGAUCUACCAUUUUCAUUUUGAGGAUAUGCGUUAGAGAAAGCUGCAUUCACUUUUGAUAGGACACCAUCUAAGUCCGUUGAGAUGACGUCGUAUGAAUAUGGUUUGGCAAGAAACCAAAAUUGUCGUUUCUUAAUGUUUGGGGCUGCGAUGCUUAAGGCUUCAGGCGGAGAAGAUCGAACCCAAAAGAGGACAAACACAUCUUCAUAGGAUACCCAAAGGUGACAGUUUGGUAUACCUUCUAUCUCCAAUCUGAGGGCAAGUUGUUUGUCGCUAAGAAUGGUUCCUUUCUCGAGAAGGAGUUUCUCUCGAAAGAAUUGAGUGGGAAGAAGAUAGAACUUGAUGAGGUUGUCGAACCUUUGUUUCAACCAGAGAGUGAUGCAACACAGAAAGAUGUUUUCUGUGGCACCUACGUCUGUUGAAGAGGAAGUUAAUGAUAGUGAUCAUGAAGCUUCGGAUCAAGUUGCUAUCGAACCUCAUAGGUCGACCAGGAUAUGUACUACUCCUGAGUGGUACGGUAAUCCUGUCUUAGAUAUCAUGUUGUUAGACAACAAUGAACCCAUGAGCUAUGGAGAAGCGAUGGUGGGCCCGUAUUCCGACAAAUGGUUAGAAGCCAUGAAAUCCGAGAUAGGCUCCAUGUAUCAGAACAAAGUAUGGACUUUGGUGGACUUGCCCGAUGAUCGGCGAGCCAUUGAGAUAAAUGGAUCUUUAAGAAGAAGACGGACGUGGGCGGUAAUGUUACCAUCUAUGAAGCUCGACUUGUGGGAAAGAGUCUUUUCACAAGUUCAAGGAGUUGACUACGAUGAGAAUUUCUCACCCGUAGCGAUGCUUAAGUCCGUCGGAAUCAUGUUAGCAUUAGCUGUAUUUUUCGAUUAUGAAAUCUGACAGAUGGAUCUCAAAACAAGUUUUCUUACCAGUUUUCGUAAGAAAAAGUUGUAUGUGAUACAAUAAAAGGUUUUGUCGAUCCUAAGGAUGCUAAAAGGUAUGCUGGCUCCAGCAAUCCUUCUAUGGACUAGAGCAAGCAUCUCGAAGUUGGAAUAUAUGCUUUGAUGGAGUGAUCAAAGCUUUUAGGUUUAUACAAUGUUUGCUAGAAACUUGUAUUUACAAGAAAGUGAGUGGGAGAACUACAACAUUUCUGAUAAGUAUAUGUGGAUGACAUAUUGCUGAUUCAAAAUAAUGUAGAAUUUCUGGAAAGCAUAAACGGUUGUUUGAAGAGUGAUUUUCAAAGGCAGACCUGGAUAAAGCUGCUUACAAAUUGGGCAUCAAGAUCUGUAGAAAUAGAUCAAGACGCCUGAUGAUACUUUCAAAGAACGCACACCUUGACAUGUUUUUGAAGGAGUUCAAAAUAGAUCAGGCAAAGAAGGGGUUCUUACCUGUGUUGUAAGGUGUGAAGUUGAGUAAGACUUGAAAGCUUGACCACGACAGAAGAAAGAGGAAGGAUGAAGGUCAUCCCCUAUGCUUUUGUCAUAGGCUCUAUACGGUAUGCCAUGCUGAGUACCACACCAGAUGAGUGCCUUGCCACAUGUCUGGCAAGAGGGUACAAAGGUGAUCUAGGAGUGGAUCACCAGAUAGCGGUCAAAAUUGUCCUUAGAGGAAUAAGGAAAUGUUUCUCAGUUACGGAGCUGAUAAAGAGUUCGACAUAAAGAGUUACGUCGAUACAUGCUUAAACACCAAUCCGGAUAGCUCUGAGUAGAGAUACCAGAUACGUAUAAUGGAGCAACAAUUUGGAAUAGCUCCAAGUGGAACGUGGUAGCAGCAUCUACGAUAUGACAUAAAGUUUUGGGAAAUACAUAGGGAUCUGAAUAUUACAGACCCGUUGACUACAACCUCUCUCACAAGCAUAACAUGAUCAAACCCAGAACUCAUUGAGUGUUAAUCGCAUAGUGAUGUGAACUAGAUUAUUGAAUCUAGUAAACUCUUUAGAUGUUGGUCACAUGGCGAUGUGACCAGUGAGUGUUAAUCACAUGGCGAUGUGAACUAGAUUAUUGACUCUAGUGCAAGUGGGAGACUGUUGGAAAUAUGCCCUAGAGCUAAUAAUAAAUUGGUUAUUAUUAUAUUUCCUUGUUCAUGAUAAUCGUUUAUUAUCCAUGCUAGAAUUGUAUUGAUAGGAAACUCAGAUACAUGUGUGGAUACAUAGACAACACCAUGUCCCUAGUAAGCCUCUAGUUGACUAGCUCGUUGAUCAAUAGAUGGUUACGCUUUCCUGACCAUGGACAUUGGAUGUCGUUGAUAACGGGAUCACAUCAUUAGGAGAAUGACGUGAUGGACAAGACCUAAUCCUAAGCCUAGAACAAGAUCAUGUAGUUCGUAUGCUAAAGCUUUUCUAAUGUCAAGUAUCAUUUCCUUAGACCAUGAGAUUGUGCAACUCCCAGAUACAGUAGGAGUGCUUUGGGUGUGCCAAACGUGACAACGUAACGGGGUGGCUAUAAAGGUGCACUACGGGUAUCUCUGAAAGUGUCUGUUGGGUUGGCAUGAACCGAGACUGGGAUUUGUCACUCCGUGUAAACGGAGAGGUAUAUCUGGGCCCACUCGGUAGGACAUCAUCAUAAUGUGCACACUGUGAUCAAGGAGUUGAUCACGGGAUGAUGUAUUACGGAACGAGUAAAGAGACUUGCCGGUAACGAGAUUGAACAAGCUAUCGGGAUACCGACGAUCGAAUCUCGGGCAAGUAUCAUACCGAUAGACAAAGGGAAUUGUAUACGGGAUUGAUUGAAUCCUUGACAUCAUGGUUAAUCUGAUGAGAUCAUCGUGGAGCAUGUGGGAGCCAACAUGGGUAUCCAGAUCCCGCUGUUGGUUAUUGACCGGAGAGUUGUCUCGGCCAUGUCUACAUGACUCCCGAGCCCGUAGGGUCUACACACUUAAGGUUCGAUGACGCUAGGGUUAUAGGGAAAGUAUGUACACGGUUACAGAAUGUUGUUCGGAGUCUUGGAUGAGAUCCCGGACGUCACGAGGAGUUCCAGAAUGGUCCAGUGGUAAAGAUUUAUAUAUGGGAAGUCCCGUUUUGGUCACCGGAAAGGUUUCGGGUGCUAUCGGUAACGUACCGGGACCACCGGGAGGGUCCCAGGGGUCCAUCAGGUGGGGCCACCAGCCCCGGAGGCCUACAUGGGCCAAUAGUGGGAAGGGACCAGCCCCUAGGCGGGCUGGGGCGCCUCCCACCAAGGCCCAAGGCGCCUCCAAGAGGGGAAGGGGGCAAACCCUAGGGCAGAUGGGCCCCAAGGCCCACCCUAGGUGCGCCUCCCCCUCUCCCCCUUGUAGCCGCCACCCUAUAUGGGAUCUAGGGCUGCCGCACCCCUUGGGGUGGGAACCCUAGAGGGGGCGCAGCCCCCUCCCCUCCCCCUAUAUAUACUCGAGGUAUGGGGGCUGCCCAACAUAUGAUUUGAUCUCUCUCUUGGCGCAGCCCUACCUCUCUCCCUCCUCGUCUCUCAUAGUGCAUGGCGAAGCCCUGCUGGAGUUCCGCACUCCUCCACCACCACCACACCGUCGUUCUGCUGCUGGACGGAGUCUUCCCAACCUCUCCUUCUCCCCUUGCUGGAUCAAGGUGUGGGAGACGUCACCGGGCUGCACGUGUGUUGAACGCGGAGGCGUCGUGGUUCGGCGCUUAGAUCGGAAUUAACCGCGAUCUAAAUCGCUACGAGUACGGCUCCUUCAUCCGUGUUCUUGCAACGCUUCCGCUUAGAGAUCUACAAGGGUAUGUAGAUGCACUCCCCUUCCCUUUGUUGCUAGAUUACUACAUAGAUUGAUCUUGGUGAUGCGUAGAAAAUUUUAAAUUUCUGCUACGAUCCCCAACAAUAUCUGCAACCACCUGUUUUGCGGCAGCUACUGCUGUCGCGAAUGUCUUAGAUGAUUUCUUCUCAACCGCAAUCUCAACCUUCUUGUCGAUGUUUUCUUCAGUUAACCUCCAUCUUUCCUUUCUCUCCUCCGUGGUCUCACAGUAGUACUUCUUCCACGUGGCCCCGUCUCCGACACCGUGAACGCGUCCAUACGACGACCUAGUCUCCACCGGCAGUCCUUUCAAUAUGUUCAAUGCCCGGGUGAAUGGAGUGUCCCACUUGGGCCUCGCCAACGCCUCAGACGGUGAGUCGCUUUCAGCCACAAUCAUGUGCUUCUCUCUCUACAAAAGGAACAAGGAUCAUUUACAAAUAUGACUAAACGUGCAGUCGAAUUGAUCAGAAACUAAAAUUACCAGCAGUCUCAUGAACUCCGUCGUGAUCGGGUCCGUCUUGAAAACCUUCUUGACCGAGUUCGAAUGGUGUCGUGCCCUGAGGACGUCAUGCUCCUAUGGGACGGUGAAGUCCGCCAAGGGGUCUAGGAUGCCAGACUUUCGUGUUCCGUGUCCUGCUUGGCCCAUAUGGACCUCUUCCUGCCGUAACCACGGCUUCUGAGGUGGUGGCGCCCCAUGUUCCUUUGUUGAAGCCCCUUCAUGUACUUUGACUUUGUUUUGGCGGCUUCGGCCUCGCAAGCCGCCUUUAAUAUUUCAAAGUGCUCUCCCGUGAUUGUCGGAUUAUCCUUUACAAUCUCGGAGUAGGGUUGAUACGUCUCCAACGUAUCUAUUAUUUUUGAUUGCUCCAUGCUAUAUUAUCUACAGUUUUGGACAUUAUUGGGCUUUAUUAUCUACUUUUAUAUUAUUUUUGGGACUAACCUAUUAACCAGAGGUCCAGCCCAGAAUUGCUGUUUUUUUGCCUGUUUUAGGGUUUCGAAGAAAAGGAAUAUCAAACGGAGUCCAAACGGAAUGAAGCCUUCGGGAAUGAGAUUUUCUCAACGAACAAGACCCGGGAGACUUGGACCCUACGUCAAGACAAAANNNNNNNNNNNNNNNNNNNNNNNNNNNNNNNNNNNNNNNNNNNNNNNNNNNNNNNNNNNNNNNNNNNNNNNNNNNNNNNNNNNNNNNNNNNNNNNNNNNNNNNNNNNNNNNNNNNNNNNNNNNNNNNNNNNNNNNNNNNNNNNNNNNNNNNNNNNNNNNNNNNNNNNNNNNNNNNNNNNNNNNNNNNNNNNNNNNNNNNNCACCGACGUACUUCUUCCUCCUAUAUAUACCUACGUACCCCCAAACGAUCAUAUACGGAGCCAAAACCCUAAUUCCACCGCCGCAACUUUCUGUAUCCAUGAGAUCCCAUCUUGGCGCCUGUUCCGGAGCUCCGCCGGAGGGGGCAUCGAUCACGGAGGGCUUCUACAUCAACAGCAUAGCCUCUCCGAUGAAGUGUGAGUAGUUGACCUCAGACCUACGGGUCCAUAAUUAUUACCUAGAUGGCUUCUUCUCUCUUUUUGGAUCUCAAUACAAUGUUCUCCCCCUCUCUUGUGGAGAACUAUUCGAUGUAAUAUUCUUUUUGCGGUGUGUUUAUUGAGAUCGAUGAAUUGUGGGUUUAUGAUCAAGUCUAUCUAUGAAUAAUAUUUGAAUCUUCUCUGAAUUCUUUAAUGUAUGAUUGUUUAUCUUUGCAAGUCUCUUCGAAUUAUCAGUUUGGUUUGGCCUACUAGAUUGAUCUUUCUUACAAUGGGAGAAGUGCUUAGCUUUGGGUUCAAUCUUGCGGUGUCCUUUCCCAGUGACAGUAGGGGCAGCAAGGCAUGUAUUGUAUUGUUGCCAUCGAGGACAACAAGAUGGGGUUUUCAUCAUAUUGCAUUAUUCUAUCCCUCUACAUCAUGUCAUCUAGCUUAAGGCGUCACUCUGUUUUUAACUUAAUACUCUAGAUGCAUGCUGGAUAGCGGUCGAUGAGUGGAGUAAUAGUAGUAGAUGCAGGCAGGAGUCGGUCUACUUGUCUCGGACGUGAUGCCUAUAUACAUGAUCAUACCUAGAUAUUCUCAUAAAUAUGCUCAAUUCUGUCAAUUGCUCAACAGUAAUUUGUUCACCCACCAUAGAAUAAUUAUACUCUCAAGAGAAGCUACUAGUGAAACCUAUGGCCCCCGGGUCUAUCUUUAUCAUAUUAAUCUCCUACUACUUAGUUAUUUCCUUUGCUUUUUCCUUUGUAUUUCCUUUGCUUUUUUCCUUUGCCUUUAUUUUACUUUUCAUCUUUAUCACAAAAAUACCAAACAUAUUAUCUUUAUCAUAUCUAUCAGAUCUCACUCUCGUAAGUGGCCUUGUAGGGAUUGACAACCCCUAUUCGUGUUGGUUGUGAGGAUUUAUUUGUUUUGUGCAAUUACGAGGGACUCGCGCGUAGCCUCCUACUGGAUUGAUACCUUCGUUCUCAAAAACUGAGGGAAAUACUUACGCUACUUUGCUGCAUCAUCCCUUCCUCUUCGGGGAAAACCAACGCAGUGCUCAAGAGGUAGCAAGAAGGAUUUCUGGUGCCGUUGCCGGGGAGGUCUACGCAAAAGUGAACAUACCAAGUACCCAUCACAUACCCUUAUCUCCCGCAUUACAUUAUUUUCCAUUUGCCUCUCGUUUUCACCUCCCCCACUUCACCCUUGCUGUUUUAUUCGCCCUCUCUCUCUAUCCGCCCUCUCUUUCUCUAUUUGCCUCUUUUUUCCCGCUUGCUUUCUGUUUGCUUGUGUGUUAGUUGCUUGCUUGUCACGAUGGCUCAAGAUAAUACUAAAUUAUGUGACUUCACAAUGGCGAAAGCCUGGUUUUCGUCUUUGGCUAAAAAUAGUAUUGAUUCAUGGAAUAAGUGCAAAGAUGCUUUUAUCUCUAAGUAUUUUCCUCCUGCUAAGAUCAUCUCUCUUAGAAACGAUAUAAUGAAUUUUAAGCAACUUGAUCAUGAACAUGUUGCACAAGCUUGGGAGAGAAUGAAACUAAUGGUACAUAAUUGCCCUGCCCAUGAUUUAAAUUUGUGGAUGAUUAUACAAAAUCUUUAUGCCGGAUUGAAUUUUGCUUCUAGAAAUCUUUUAGAUUCAGCCGCGGGAGGCACUUUUAUGGAAAUCACUUUAGGAGAAACUCCUAGAUAAUAUUAUGGUCAAUUAUUCUCAACGGCAUACUGAAAGAUCUAAUAAUAAAAUGGUGCAUGCGAUAGAAGAAAUUAAUGUUUUGAGUGGAAAGAUGGAUGAACUUCUGAAAUUAUUUGCUAAUAAGAGUGUUUCUUCUGAUCCUAAUGAUAUGCCCUUGUCUAAUUUGAUUGGGAAUAAUAAUGAAUCUAUGGAUGUGGAUUUUGUUGGUAGGAACAAUUUUGGUGACAACGCGUAUAGAGGAAAUUUCAACCCUAGGCUUUAUCCUAGUAAUCUCUCUAAUAAUGAUGGUAAUUCCUACAACAAUUCUUAUGGAAAUUAUAAUAAGAUUCCCUCUGAUUUUGAAUCUAAUAUUAAAGAAUUUAUUACUUUGCAAAAGAAUUUCAAUGCCUAGAUUGAAGAAAAAUUGCUUAAGAUUGAUGAUUUGGCUAGGAACGUUGAUAGAAUUACUCUUGAUGUUGAUUCUUUGAAACUUAGAACUAUUCCACCUAAGCAUGAUGUCAAUGAGUCUCUCAAAGCCAUGAGAAUUUCCAUUGAUGAGUGCAAAGAAAGAACCGCUAGGAUGCGUGCUAAGAAAGAUGCCUUUAUAAGAGCGUGUUCUUCUCGUUCCUAUGAAAAUAAUGAUGAAGAUCUAACAGUUAUUGAUGUGUUCCCUAUUAAAUCUUUGUUUUGCAAUAUGAAUCUUGAUAAUGAUGGGACUGAAUAUGAUCCACCUUUACCUAUCAGGCGUUCCAAGAAUUCAGAAUUUGUUGAUCUUGAUGCUAAAAUUGAUAAAGGUGGGAUUGAAGAAAUUAAAACCCUUGAUGUUGCUAAACCCACUAUUAUGGAUUUCAAGGAAUUUAACUAUGAAAAUUGCUCUUUUAUUGAUUGUAUAUCCUUGUUACAAUCCAUGCUAAAUUCUCCUCAUGCUUAUAGUCAAAAUAAAGCGUUUACUAAACAUAUCGUUGAUGCCUUGAUGCAAUCUUAUGAAGAAAAACUUGAAUUGGAAGUUUAUAUCCCUAGAAAGCUUUAUGAUGAGUGGGAAUCAACUAUUAAAAUUAAAAUUAAAUAUCAUGAAUGCUAUGCUUUAUGUGAUUUAGGUGCUAGUGUUUCCAUGAUUCCAAAGACUUUGUGUGAUUUGUUAGGUUUCCGUGAUUUUGAUGAUUGCUCUUUAAACUUGCGCCUUGCGGAUUCCACUAUUAAGAAACCUAUGGGAAGAAUUAAUGAUGUUCUUAUUGAUGCAAAUAGGAAUUAUGUGCCUGUAGAUUUUAUUGUUCUUGACAUAGAUUGCAAUCUUUCAUGUCCUAUUAUUCUUGGUAGACCUUUCCUUAGAACGAUUGGUGCAAUUAUUGAUAUGAAGGAAGGAAAUAUUAGAUUCCAAUUUCCAUUAAGGAAAGUCAUGGAACACUUUACUAGAAAGUAAAUUAAAUUAACUUAGGAAUCUAUUAUGAUAGCCACUUAUGGAUUGCCUACCAAAGAUGGCAAUACCUAGAUCUAUCCUUGCUUGUUAUGCCUAGCUAGGGGCAUUAAACGAUAGCGCUUGUUGGGAGGCAACCCAAUUUUGUUUUUAUUCCUUGAUUUUUGCUCCUGUUUAGUAAUAAAUAAUUUAUCUAGCCUCUGUUUCGGUUGUGUUCUUUGUGUUUAAUUACUGUUUGUGCCAAGUAGAACCGUUAGGAAGACUUGGGGAAAGUCUUGUUACACUUGCUGUAAAAAACAGAAACUUCAGCGCUCACGAGAACUGCUGCCAUUUUUAUUUGGAAGUGCUAUUUAGUUAAUUAUUUCUGCAGAUGAUUAAUACAUAAAUUCCUCACGUCCAGCAAUUUAUUUUAGAAUUUUUGGAGUUCCAGCUCUUGAGCUAGCUACAGAUUACUACAGACUAUUCUGUUUUUGAAAGAUUCUGUUUUUUCGUGUGUUGUUUGCUUAUUUUGAUGAACCUAUGGCUAGUAAAAUAGUUUAUAAACCAUAGAGAAGUUGGAAUACAGUAGGUAUAACACCAAUAUAAAUAAAUAAUGAGUUCAUUAUAGUACCUUCAAGUGGUCUUUUAUUUUCUUUCGCUAACGGAGCUCACGAGAUUUUCUACUUUAAGUUUUGUGUUGUGAAGUUUUCAAGUUUUGGGUAAAGAUUUGGUGGAUUAUGGAACAAGGAGUGACAAGAGCCUAAGCUUGGGGAUGCCCAUGGCACCCCCAAGAUAAUCUAAGUACACAUAAAAGCCAAAGCUUGGGGAUGCCCCGGAAGUCAUCCCCUCUUUCGUCUACUUCUAUCGGUAACUUUACUUGGAGCUAUAUUUUUAUUUGCCACAUGAUAUGUGUUUUGCUUGGAGCGUCUUGUAUUAUUUGACUUGUCAGGACCCCGAUUCCAAGCCACAUCGAUCUAGACGGUAACACCUCAUAUCACUUUGCAGCCUCACGCACGAUAUUCCACGGGUGUCGCAUUACCAUGGCCUGGGACCGUUUGCGCCUUUUGGCUCACGUAUAUGAUAGUGUCGCUAGCAUCCAUAUGACAGAGAACCCGGGCCGACAUGGCUAGUCGUGAACCCAAAGCGGCACAGACCUAUGGAGACAGGCAUACAUGAAUCACAUCGAGCAUGUCGGUCAUCAGCGAGUGAUUCCGGGCUUUAGCACUGGGCUAACAGGACUCCGGGGAACCCGGGCUGUAGCAGGCUAGGCAGGACUCCGGAAGUCACCGCGUGACAUUUCCCCGAAGAGACAGACAUAGGAACAAAGUGAAUCACAUGCUGGCCAGUCAAGUGUCCUGAGCAGUAGUGCUAGGCUAGCAGGACUCUGGUGAACCGGGCUGUAGCGGACUACUAUGGCUCGAGGAACACUAGACUACAUUUCCCCAUAAGAAAGGCUGCCAAGGAUAAACAACUAGAUUUUCGGAUCCCACUCAUACCAAGCAUUUCAAUCAUACACACAAUAUGCCCGAUAUGAGUACAUACAACAUGGCAUCACAACAAAACUCUACAAAUCAAGUACUUUAUUUAAAGGCUCCAGAGAGCCAUACAUAACAUGUUCAUACAGAUAGGGGUCACAUGACCCGACACUCAAGUCAUACAAUCAUACAAGCACAUGCGGAAGCAACCGGUCUGAGUACGGACACUAGAAAGAAAGAAGGCUCCUCGAGGCCUGUUUAUCUACAUAGGGCCCUCCAUGGCCAGGAUCACCACCUGGGUGGCUAGUCACUCGUCGACGUCAAGGUCUACAUAGAACCCAUCGGAGGGGGCGGUGUUGUCGUCUGAAAACAGUAAUUAAGCAAACAUGAGUACAAAGGUACUCAGCAAGUCUUACAACAGAACCUACUAUACAUGCUUAUUCUCAAGAAGGUGGUGGGGAUAUUGCAGCAAGCCAGCUUUGACUCUUGGCUAAACUAUCCUAUGGAACUUCUCUAGUAAAAUAGUUUUCGCACACGAGUCCACUACUCACCAACACAAUACUCCACCGGGGAUCCUCCCUCGUCAUCCUACGAGAGGGCCAUCCUCGGUACUCACACUUAUCUUGAGUCUUUUAGUAGUAUCCAUUUACUUGUCUACGAACUGUAUAGGCAACCAAGUAGUCCUUUACCGCGGACGCGGCUAUUCGAAUAGUUUUAUACCCUGCAGGGGUGUACUUCGUCAUGCACGCUUUCACCACUUAUCGCCGUUUACACGACAUGUACUCGGCAACCUUCAAGCGGAAGCCCAGUGAGGGUGUCGGCCACGGCCUACCUAAACACUUAAGUCUCUAGUCCAGGUUUAUCGCCUAUCCAGGUUCCAUCCGCAGGGAGUCCGGCCGAGGUUUCCACAUACGGCCCGAACGAUGUGAACAGGGUCCCGAGACGCCAAUCGGGCACCCGGCAUACCCGGCCACGGUGUAUCUACCGCAACAUAGCCCACCCCUAGGGUCAGCACUACGCACGGCCGCCAACACAUAACCUACAAGCACCAGAAACUAUUUGCAACUCCUGGACAGAGUACUAGGGUGAUUAAGAAGCCGAGAGGGUCAAUUAAGGAUCCCAAUGCAUGGUAGUAGCUGAAUCUUAAAUCGCACAUACAGAUCUCAGUUCUUUGGGACGGUCUCAAUGAAACAACCCACCAUGUACUCCUACAUGGCCUCUCAUCGAUACCUUUACCAAAACAUGUUCAACACAUUCCUCAUAUUACCGACAUAAUCAUAUCACUCUAGCCCAUCACCCAGAUGAACCAGACCUGACACAACUCUAAGCAUAGCAGGCAUAGCAAGGUAGGAAUCACAGACAUGGCUCAAUCAACUCCUACACAUGCUAGUGGGUUUCAUCUAGUUACUGCGGCAAUGACAGAUCAUGUAGAGGAUAAGGGUUCAACUACCGUAGCACACAGUAGUUUGAAUCGCGUUGUCUUAAUCCAGUAAACAAGAGCAAAGGCGAGAACAUGGGUUGUAUCGGAAUGAUCAAUGGGUUGCUUGCCUGAUGGAGUGGUAGCGGGAUACUGCCCUUCAGUUGGAUACUCGUGAAUAUCCUCGGAGGCAGAACCUACCACGAAGAACACAUCGGAACACAAUCAACACAUGACGAUAUGCAACAAUAUGAUGCAUGCUAUGACAUGGCUAUGGUGUUGGCCUAAUGCAAGCUAAAAUAGAAAGGGAUGAACUCAUUUGAAUCAAAGAUUCAAAUAUUAGCUCAUUAAACAUGGCCUUAAUAGUGGAUUUCCUUAUUCUGCUUAAACAGCAAGGUAAACUUGUUUUUUCAUGCAUGAAACCAUUACAUAUGGAUAGAUUGAAUUUUUCUGAUAAAUUUUUCAUAUAUAAAUUAUUUCAUUUGGAGUUACGGUUGAAUUUCUAUGAUUUUUAGAAGUUUUAAACAUUUUCUGGAAUUUCCUGAAUAAAGAUAAAUCCAGAAAAUGCAUUACUGCAUCAGCAUUGCGUCAUGCUGACCUCAGCAGGUCAAAGGCGCCAGCCCAGGUCAAACCUGACUGGUGGGCCCCUUCUGUCAGUCUCUGAGUUAAAUAACAGGAUUAGAUUAACACUAAUUAGCUGUCAGUGGGGCCUGGGCCCACAUGUCAGUGACUGAUUAAAAUAAAAUUAGUUAAAACUAAUCCUAGAUUAGUUAGCAGACCGGCCCCACCUGUCAUAGACUCAGGGGGGUCUACCUGGGCCCACCCAGGGUCAAACUGGGUCAAACUCACCGGCGUUGAGCAGCCGGCGAGGCCCGAGACGGUGGCGCAGCUCGGAAAACGCCUAUAGGGCAUGAGGGAGGCCGUUCUUGGGCUCGUUGGAGAGCUCUUGCAAUCGCGCAUCUAGUGGUGGUGGUGGCCGAGCCUACGGUGGCCGGAGACGACGACGGCGAGCUCCAAGGCGGCGGCCGGAGUUCGGCCAUGUGCGGGGUGUGGGCUGCGGUGUGCAAACGUGGAAACUGAGGCGCUAGCGAGGCACUACGCGAUGCGGCAAGCAUGUUGCGUAGCACGGGAUGACCAAAUGGUCGCCGAAGCGGCACCGGCGACAAGCUCGAGCGGAGACGAGCUUCGGCCAUGGUGGAACUAUGGCCUAGAGGGUGCAAACGCGUGGAAAAGAAGAGGGGAAAGGUGGGGGAGCUCACAGGGAGGUCGAUGAGCAGCUCAGCGGGCUUGGGGGCGACCGGAGUGAGGCGAAUCGAUGAGCGGUGUCCGGUGGGUACCGAGGUUGAAGACGAUCCGAUGGCGGCGAUGCAGGGCCUCCGGCGAUGCGUGGCUCGGUGGGGAGGGCGAGGGCGUCACGGCAGAGCUUCUGGACAGGUCUGAGAGGCGAGAGGGUGACGGAGGGCGUGACUACGGCGGUGAGAGGGCGACGGGUGCGUCGGCCAUCGCGGGAGAGGGAGAGGGAGACGCGGUGGAGAGUGAGAGAGGAUGAGAGGGGGACGUGGGGGUCGCGUGGCAUUCCCUAGACGUCUCCCGGUGUCGGCGGAAGCAGGAGGUGGCCGGCGUGUGGCCGCGGGCGUCGGCCACGCGCUCCGCGUCCUUCUGGCACGAGGAGGACGACGACUGGCAGCGCCAGUAGGCUGGGCCGAGCCAGGUGGGCUGGCCAGCACAGGUAAGGCCCAGGUGGGCUUCUCCCUCUCUUUUUUUAAUUUGUUUCUGUUUUCUAUUUAACUGUAACUGUUGGGCUUUAUUUAAAAUACUAAAACAUUUCCAAAAAUCCUGAAAAUAAUUGUGGGCUCUAUUUGGAUUAUUUCCAACAGCAAACAUUUAUUUCCAGAAUUAUUUGAGCAUCUAAAUUAUUUAAUAGCAUUUAAAUGUCCAAAUUCAAAUACUUAUGAUUUAAAUCAAUGACCUUCUGUUGACCAAGAAAAAUUGUGCACCAAUUUUGCCAGAGGUUCUAACCCAAGACAAAGAGGGUGAACUUUUUAGAAGGGCAUUUCAGGUUCAUUGAAAAUAAUUUUAGUAAACCCUAGUUGUUUCCAGGGGGGUGUUGGGGGUUUGUGCCUUCCCCAACUCAAAUUUAAGAGGAAUUUAAACAUGAUGCACAUUCUAAUGCUUGAACUAGCUAGGGUGUGACAACUCACCCCCAGUCAAAAGAAUCUCGUCCUGAGAUUUAGGAUCCUCUGGAAAGAAGGUGGGGUACUCGAGUCGAAGACGAUCCUCCCUUUCCCAAGUGGCUUCUUUCUCGGAAUGGUGUGACCAUUGAACCUUGAGAAACUUGAUAUUAUGACGUCGAGUGGUACGCUCGGCUUGAUCAAGGAGACGAACGGGAUAUUAUCGUUAAGAGAGAUUAUCUUGUAGAUCAAGCGUUUUGUGGUCCACUCCACGAAUAGGAUCCGCGAAGCAACGCCUGAGUUGUGAAACGUGGAAGACAUCAUGAACUCUGGAAAGAUGCGGAGGUAGUUCCAAUUGGUAGGCAACUUCUCCUCGUUUGGCAAGAAUGCGAAAGGGUCCAAUGUAACGAGGAGCCAAUUUGCCUUUGAUACCGAAACGAUGGGUUCCUUUUAAUGGGGUAACCCGAAGGUAAGCCUUCUCGUCGACUUCAUAAGUCAUAGGCUUAUGUUUACGAUCAUAUUGACUCUUUUGACGAGAUUGGGCUGUUUUCAAUUUCUCACGAAUAACGCGAACCUGCUCUUCCGCUUCCUGAAUCAUAUCCGGUCCAAAGAGUUGUCUUUCCCCGGUUACUGACCAGUUAAGAGGCGUUCGACAUUUUCGUCCAUAGAGAACUUCGAAAGGAGCUUUGCCCAAGCUAGCUUGAUAACUAUUAUUAUAAGGAAACUCCGCGAAUGGGAGGCAUUUCUCCCAACUCAUUCCGAACAAGAUAACAUAAGCUCGGAGCAUAUCUUCCAGAAUUUGAUUGACUUGCUCUACUUGACAACUUGAUUGAGGAUGGAAGGCUGUACUAAAAGAGAGACGAGUUCCCAUAGCAUUUUGGAAACUUUCCCAAAAUCGAGAGGUGAAGAGACUCCCACGGUCUGAGUUAAUUUCCAAUGGGACACCAUGGAGAGACACUAUUCGGGAGAUGUAUAAAUCGGCUAGCUGGAUAGCAGUGAUAUUCUCACGAACAGGUAGGAAAUGGGCUACUUUGGAAAGACGGUCGAUCACGACGAAGAUGGCAUUAUUCCCUCUCUUGGUCCUGGGAAACCCAGUAAUGAAAUCCAUACUGAUUUUAUCCAAUUACCAUUCAGGAAUAGCCAAAGGUUGAAGGGUGCCAGCAGGCCGUUGAUGCUCUGCUUUAACACGACGACAGACGUUGCAGCUAGCAAUGUAUUGAGCGAUUUAUCUCUUCAUCCUAGUCCACCAAAACCUGUGGCGUAGGUCUUGAUACAUUUUAGUGCUACCGGGAUGAAUGGUGAGAGGGGAUUCAUGAGCUUCCUUAAGGAUCAAUUGGCGUAGAUGUUGUUUCUUGGGAACCACCAAACGAUUCUCAAAGAAGACAGCACCCCGCUUAUCCAUGAAAAAACAUUUAGCAACUCCACUAGUAAUGUUUUCCUUAAUCCGGGAUAUGCCCUUAUCAUACCACUGGGCGGUUAUGAUCUGAUCCAUAAGGUUAGGUUUCGCCACCAGGGUGGAUAGGAAUCCUCGAGGAACAAUGUGAAGAUUAAGCUUACGGAAUUCCUCAUGCAGAAGUGGUUGACUUUGUUGUAACAUCGGGUUGUUACAAUAGUAUUACGGCUUAGCGCAUCAGCCAUGACAUUGGCUUUGCAUGGGGUGUAGGUUAUUCCUAAGUCGUUAUCCAAGAUCAACUCAACCCAACGUCUUUGCCUGAGAUUCAAAUCUGGUUGGGUGAAGAUAUAUUUCAAGCUUUGGUGAUCGGUGAAGAUCUCGCAACGAUUACCGAGGAGGUAAUGUCGCCAAGUUUUAAGUGCAUGGACUACAGCUGCCAGCUCUAGAUCAUGUGUGGGAUAAUUUUCCUCAUGUGGGUGUAAUUGCCGUGAAGCGUAGGCAAUUACCUGAUGAUCUUGCAUGAGUAUGCAACCUAGUCCUUGUCGCGAGGCGUCGCAAUAGAUAAUAAAGUCCUUGGAGAAAUCCGGUGGUACCAGUACGGGAGAAGAUGUCAGGCGUCUUUUCAGUUCCUGAAAGUUGAACUCGCACUGUGGAGUCCACUCAAACUUUUUAUCUUUCUUGAGGAGUUCAGUUAGAGGUUUAGCAACCUUGGAUAAAUUCUCGACGAAGCGGCGGCAAUAGCUCGCUAAGCCAAGGAAGCUCCGAACUUGCUUGACCGUCUCAGGUGGAGUCCAAUCAAGGACGGCUUGAACUCGCUCGGGAUUGACGGCAAUACCCUUACCAGAGAUUACAUGGCCUAAAUAGGUUACUUCUGGCAACCAAAAUCGACACUUGGAGAACUUGGCAUAAAGGCGAUGCUCUCGAAGUUUCAUCAAUACCAGCCUUAGAUGUUCGGCAUGUUCCUCUUCAUUCUUGGAGUAGAUGAGUAUGUCAUCGAGGUAUACUACGACGAAUUUAUCCAAGUACUCCAUGAAAACCGAGUUCAUUAACCGGGAGAAGGUAGCCGGGGCAUUGGUUAAACCGAAGGACAUAACGGUGUACUCGUAUUGGCCAUAACGAGUAACAAAGGUCGUUUUGGGAAUGUCCCCGUUUCUGAUUUUGAUUUGAUGGUAGCCCAACCUCAAAUCCAUCUUGGAAAAGACUGAGGAUCCAGCGAGCUGAUCAUACAGAUCAUUGAUCCUGGGAAGCGUGUAUUUGUUCUUGAUGGUGACCAAGUUGACAGGUCGGUAAUCCACAACCAUUCGAUCUGUUCCAUCCUUCUUCUUGACGAAGAGGAUGGGGCAAGCCCAAGGAGAGGAACUAGGACGGAUGAAACCCUUUUUCAAGGACUCAUCGAGUUGGUUCUUAAGCUCGGCUAGUUCUAAGGGUGCCAUCUUGUAGGGUCUUCUAGAAAUUGGAACGGUUCUUGGAACAAGGUCUAUCACAAACUCGACAUCCCUGUCAGGUGGAACACCUGGCAGUUCUUCUGGAAAGACAUCCGGAAAGUCUCGGACUACCGGAACAUCCUCAAGGUCUAGAAGGGGGUUGAUAUUUAGGGAGUAAAGUUGGCGCUUGGCCACUCGAGUUAAGACAUUAACUGUCUUGCCCGAUGGGUAAGUUGAACGGUUCUAGUGGCACAGUCAAUCUUAGCAUAAUGAGCUGACUUCCAGUCCAUACCUAAGAUGAUGUUUAUGUCCGAGGACUUGAGAGCUAUUAAGGCUGCAAGGAAGACAAGUCUAUCGACAAGAAUUCGUUCCCAUGGCUUACUCUAGAAGUUUGCCAUCUAGAGCCAGGGGUUUGAAUUUCCAUGGUAGAGGGCAUGUCACAGAAUGUGGUGUUGUGCAAUCGAGCAUAGUUCUCGGAUAUGAAUGAAUGAGAUGCUCCAGUAUUGAAAAGAACAGAUGCCGGAUGGCAGUUAACAAGGAGCGUACUAAGGACGACGUUGGGAUCCUCAUGAGCCUCCUCGGCUGAAACAUAGUUGACAUGGCCACGUGCAGUGGUGGCCGGCUUGGCGUAGAAUGUUUUUCCGACGGGCUUACCACGGCCAACGGACUUUCCAGUUUGAUUGGGGUUGUUGUUCUGGGGACACUCUCGGCUAUAGUGACUCGGCUCUCCACACUUAAAGCAUGUCACCACAUUGGGGCGUGGAGCAGCAUUAGCAGCGGGGCCACCAUAGGGCUUGGGCGGUGCAAAUUGCUGGUUGGGACGUGGUACCUCAAAGGAUGGCCUCGGGAUGAACCUGGGUGGCAGUGCCGUGCUUGGAAUCCACACCCGGCGCUUCUCAGCUCCAGAGCCAGAUGAAGAGCCAAAAUCACGGGAGUGCUUGCGUGAAGCGUCAUAAUCAGUCUGGCUUGUCUCAGCACUGAUGGCUUUAUUGACCAACUUCUGAAAGGAGGUGCACUCGUGCAGAUGAAGAUCGCGGCGAAGCUCAGGGCUAAGUCCCUUGCGGAACCUUGCCUGCUUCUUAGCAUCAGUAGAUACCUCUUCGGGGGCAUAACGUGCCAGAUUCCCAAAUUCACGACUGUAAGCAUCCAUAGUCAGUCUUCCUUGGGUGAAGUUGAAUAACUCCUCCCUCUUGCGAUCCAUGAGACCUUCCAGAAUGUGAUGCUCACGGAAAACCUCACUGAAUUCAGCCCAAGUAGUGAUUUGGCCGACUGGGCGCAUAGCUUCGAAGUUUUCCCACCAAAGGCUAGCAGGGCCUUCGAGGUGAUAGGCAGCAUAAGUAACCUUCUCGGCUUCGGCUACGUUGGCAGAACGUAGCUUGUGGGUGAUGCUGCGAAGCCAGUCAUCCGCGUCGAGGGGCUCGACGGAAUGGUUAAACUUUGGUGGGUACAGCUUGAUAAAGUCAUUGAUUGACACCAAGUCAUUUUGCGGGUGGCGUGAAGUGUUUUGCUCAAUCCGCUCCAGCAGGCGGUUGGUCUCACGCUUGUUUCUUUCCGCCUCCAGCAUUACUUCAGCCAAAGAAGGCAUGUGAGGCAGAUUUUCACCUCUAGCAGCACUGGCUUCCCCCUGCUCCGGGGCUGCAGGGUUGCUGCGGGUGUUGACCAUCCUAGGAGAAAACAAGACAACGGUUUAGACAAGGAUGGCUCAAACUUAGCAAGGAAGUGCAUAAUGUAAUGGAUAACACGGAAUGCAGAGAUGUUCAUCCGUAUGUCAUGGUAAUAUAAAACUGCAAUAUAUAUACCAACGGUCAUACACAUCAUACAUAGUUUAGUACAAGCCCAGGCUACAGUACAACUAUGAUGAAAGACGUUACAUCUCAUCGGAGGCAUUCCAAGAUCCUAUACAUUAUUGUCUACACCUCCGGAAUUGAUUACACGCAAAGUCAUAUUCCACAAGUCACGCAGGACAGUGGAGAUACAACUACUACAAUACUAGUGGUACUACUAUGUCACGACCGGUUUUCCAAUAAAAAUAUUUAUUGAGAAACCAAUCUUUUGAGUCCAGUAUGAGGGAAAUCCUCCUCACUGGUAGACAAAAUUCUUGAUACAAUAAGCCAGUAGCAAAGAAUAUAUUACAAGGUUGAGCUAGGGCUGCUCAACAAUUUAUAACAAGCGCGCCAACAAUUAUAUAUAAUGGCGGAUAUACCACAAUGGUGUGGUGGCAUACUACUGACUCGGGGAUAAAGUGAUGGUGGAAUAACACAGUGGGGAGUGUGAUAACAUGACUCUCAAACUGGCAUCUCAUCGAGCGUCGAGGUGAGGCUCGAUGAAUUUUAUUCGGGUUGCGGAAGCGAAUAUAAUACAUUGACCGAAUCCAGGGUCGCACGAGACUGAUUGGGACUCCUCUAGGCGUCGGACUCGCUAUCGAACUAUUCAUCCAUGAGAUCGCCUUCGUCAGCAUCUGGCCAAAUCAACAAGCCAGUGAGUACUUUGAUAGUACUCGCAAGACAGUUUGGACUUAAGAUAUAACAAAUGCAUGCAUGAAUGCGUCAUGAUUAAUUCACCAAAUGUGCAUUCCAAAAAUUAGCAUAACAAAGCAAGUAAAAGGGAAACGGCGGUAGUCCGCCUGAAAUCCCAACAAAAGCAUAAAUGAAAACCGAUCGGGUGUCUGAAGCGAUGCCUCGAAAGGUGAACAAAUAAAUAAAGGAGAAAGUCAUGCCACAGUCGGGCGUCUUCACGACACCACAUAAAGGGCUUUGAAAGAAAUGCCACAGUCGGACGUCGGGGCGACAUCACAGAAAGGGCUUUAAAAGAAAUGCCACAGUCGGACGUCGGGGCGACAUCACAGAAAGGGCUUUAAAAAAAUGCCACAGUCAGAANNNNNNNNNNNNNNNNNNNNNNNNNNNNNNNNNNNNNNNNNNNNNNNNNNNNNNNNNNNNNNNNNNNNNNNNNNNNNNNNNNNNNNNNNNNNNNNNNNNNNNNNNNNNNNNNNNNNNNNNNNNNNNNNNNNNNNNNNNNNNNNNNNNNNNNNNNNNNNNNNNNNNNNNNNNNNNNNNNNNNNNNNNNNNNNNNNNNNNNNNNNNNNNNNNNNNNNNNNNNNNNNNNNNNNNNNNNNNNNNNNNCGGACGUCGGGGCGACAUCACAAAAAGGGCUUUAAAAGAAAUGCCACAGUCGGAUGUCGGGGCGACAUCACAAAAAGGGCUUUAAAAGAAAUGCCACAGUCGGACGUCGGGGUAACAUCACAGAAAGGGCUUUAAAAGAAAUGCCACAGUCGGACUUCGGGGCGACAUCACAGAAAGGGCUGUAAAAGAAAUGCCACAGUCGGACGUCGGAGCGACAUCGCAGAAAGGGUUUUAUUCACAAGUAAAUAAUAAUCAUAAUAAAUAUUCAAUUCAUGAUAAUAAACAGGUUAGUCCAUCCACAGGAAUAACAUUUAGCCGGGCUUAGCACUCAUGGGAUUCACCGGAGUCUCUGUCAUCAAACUGAUACUGUUAGGCCAAGAUGAUACGAAUUUGGACAUGGAAUAGAUGAUUCAAGGAAUGUAUGACUCUGCAGAGUUUGUACAAAAUUUUUUCCCACAGCCAACGGAUUUCCGUAGUCACGAGGGACUAGUUCCGUUUACGGUUUUUCGGAAGAAAACACAGCUAACCAAUACACACCCAUCCUACCUCUCGAUGCCAGGACUCACCCUAGACAUCGUCCAAGAAAAACUUUUGAGACGGGGAGAUCACAAUCUCGAAUAGCAUGGGAUCAAAUUUAUAUAUGCGCGCUCUAAGGGGUGCCCCCCUCUCGGUCCCAACCGGAAACACCCAUGCCCCCUGACCGGAUGACUGGCUUUAAUCCAGGGCCAUGGAACCAUCAUCCUGGCCUCUCCUUUUGGUGUGUACCAGGAAAGCGGUUUGCAACUUACUAAGCCAUAUUCCUUGCGAAAAACAUGUGGUAGUACAGGGAAGGAAAUGGGAGGAACUGGACUGGUACGGUUUGACCCUGAAGUCAUAUAGUCUGGCAUAAGACUGGCAUGCUACAACACUGCCAUCUUACCCAUCCUCAUGCCAACACAUGGCCAUUCAUACUCACAUCCAUCCACUUAUGGAUCAUCGAACUCACUUACCUCAACAUUUCAUAAAAAAAAUAACGUUCAUCGGUAUGCUCAUCAACAUGCCAUGAAACUAACUAAAUGCAAAACAUGCCAAGACACUCAUCAUAUCAAAAGUUCAAACAUGCUUGCCUGGUUCAGAGUAGUCGGAGCCUAGCUCGGUGAAGUUCGCGGCUCCGUCACCUCCUUCGGUAUCUAUGGUAUAAAGAAAAUAUAUGCGCUAUCGUAAAUUCCAAGAGGUGCACAGAAAGUAUUCCAAAUAUUUUUCAAAUAAAUAUGAUAAAAAACUAGACAAAAAUCUGAAGAGGACAGGAAAAGAAUCACUCAAAAAUUCCUUUCUGUUAAAAAGUUAUAAGGGUUUUAAUCCAAGGACUUAUCUGUAAUGAAACAGAAAGUUUCCAGGGGCUAGUUUAUAAAAACAGAAAACGCUUCGGCAGAAACUACGCCAGCCCAGAGGGAAGGCGCAUUUGGCAGAAGGCGUUUUCAGAAAACGAUUCGCUUAGACAGGAUAGAGAGGCUGACAGCGGGUCCCGCCCGUCAGGUUUAAACUUUCAAACGGGGGGGGGGGCAGAUUUCGCCGGUGCCCGAGAGCCGCGGUGGUCGCCGGCGGCGAUCCACGGCCAGGCAGGGUGAUCGGAGAUUACCAACGUGCUCACCGUGUCCUUCCGCAAUGGUGGGUGGUGGUGUUGGUCGCCGGUGAGCACCACGUCGACGCAGAGCUUGGUCGGGAAGGUUUAGGGAGUUGGGCGUCAUCGCGAAGUUGCACCGGUUCCAUUUAGGUGCUAAGCGAGCUUGGAUUGGGGUGCUAAGGGCGAAGUCGACGGAACGGGGCGGCGCGGGCCCGUCGGCGGCAGGGAGCAUGUUUCGUGCUUGCCGGGCCGCAGUGAUGGUGCCACGGGCGUGCGCUGGCAUGCAUGAGGACAUGCGGAGAGCCAGGGAGCUUUGGGUGGCGCCGAACGGCGUUCUGCCGUGGUGUGCCUUCUGUCGGCCGCCACAGGAGGUCCCGACGCCGCAGAAGACGCCGGCGAGGGCGGGCCAGCGCGCCACUGACGCCAGGAAAGCUCCAAGCACGCGUGUGAAGCUCCGGACAAGAGGGAGGGGCUGCGAGCAUCGAGCCAAAGGCACUGUGAGCAUAUGCCUGAAACUCUGAAGAAAACGACACUGUAAAACUGAAUUUUACUGAACUUUUCUGAAAAAUGCAAAGAACAGUGCAGCUCAGGUGAUCGACAGAAUGUUUUUGGCAUCUAGGGAUUUUUCCUUGAGCUAAAACUUGGUGGAGUGGCCUCUCAUUGCUCCAGUAGGCUGCCUGAAUUUUGGUGGAAUUUUUUUGGAGAAGUGUAGAUAUGAAUUUCACCAAAUUUGGCAAAUCUGGUCCAAACUUGCAGUGAGUGAAAUUGAAAUAUUUGAAAAGAAUAAGAGUGGAUCAAGAUGGUUCUAGGUUGUGGGUACUAAAGACAAUCCAGGGAAGUUGGUUUGGGAUAAAAACUCAAAGGCAAAGUGAUACUUGCUUUGAAAAUCACUUAAGCUCAAAAUAAAUGGCAGAAAUGUUUUGGGGGAUAAAAUAAUUGAAAUAAAAUCCAAAACUUGUUUGGACUUGUUGAGACAGAGAAUUUAGAUUGUUCAAAGGUGGAGGGAUGGAUUUUGAGAGGAUUUACUAUAGGAGACAUGGUAAAACCAUGGGUGUUUUCAAAAAGAAAGAAGUCCCAAAACUCCUAGGGUUUCCUUUUUUUUGAAAAAAAUAAGUUUGAGAGGGUAACAACCAGAAGGAAAAGCUCCCAAAAACUUCAACACCAAAUUUGAAAAGGGAAAAGAAAAUCCUUGACAAAGGAAAGGAAGUUUUUAAGAGGAAGGAUUUCUGGAAAAGAAAUUUUUAAAAAACCCUCUUUUAAAAUCCAACAAGGUUUUGAUAAAAACCAAAUUAAAAUUUUGGAGUGUCACAGCACUUACCCCCUUAGGAAAAAUCUCGUCCCCGAGAUUUCAGCUGAUCCUUAAAUAAGCGAGGAUGCUCUGUCCGAAGAAAAUCCUCUCUUUCCCAAGUUGUUUCACUGUCGGUGUGAUUGCUCCACUGGACUUUGAAAAACUUGAUGGUCUUCUGUCGGGUCCUCCUUUCAGACUCCUCUAAUAUUCUUACAGGACGUUCCCGAUAAGUGAGGUCUGGCUGCACGUCGAUGUUCUCAUGGGAUACUUGUUUCUCUGGGUUGCUUACGCACUUCCUCAAUUGCGAGACGUGGAACACGUCGUGGACAUCGGAUAAUUCCUCGGGUAAGUCUAGCUGGUAGGCUACCGUGCCUCUUCGUGCCCUUAUACAGAAAGGUCCGAUGAAUCUUGGUGCUAGCUUCCCUUCAAUCUUGAACCAUUGCAAUCCGCUCAUAGGGAUACUCUUAGGUAUACGAACUCACCGGGUUCGAAGCUGACCCCACGAUGUUUCUGAUCGUAAUAACUCUUCUGUCGACUUUGAGCAGUCUUAAGUCGGUCUCUGAUUAGUUUGACUUUUUCCUCGGCUUCUCUGAGCAUGUCUGGUCCGAAGAUGCGGCUGUCUCCGGUCUCUGACCAAUUUAACGGGGUACGACAUCUUCGUCCGUAUAAGGCCUCAAAUGGUGCCAUUUGCAGGCUGGCCUGGUAGCUAUUGUUGUACGCGAACUCGGCGUAUGGCAGGCUUUCUUCCCAACUAUUUUCAUAGGUGAGGACACAUGCUCUCAGCAUGUCUUCUAAAACCUGGUUUACGCGUUCUGUUUGCCCAUCGGUCUGUGGGUGGUAUGCGGUACUGAAGGCUAGUUGGGUUCCCAGAGCCUGUUGUAAAUGCUCCCAAAAGCUCGAGACGAACUGAGUGCCUCUGUCGGACAUUAUAGUCUUCGGGACACCGUGCAGACAAACUAUGCGGGAAAGAUAAAUCCUGGCAAGCCUCUGAGUGGUGUGGGUCGUCUUUAUUGGAAUAAAGUGUGCCACUUUGGUUAACCUAUCAGUGAUGACCCAUAUGGCAUCAUUCCCGUGUCGUGACCGAGGUAGUCCGACAAUGAAAUCCAUCCCUAUUUCAUCCCAUUUCCACUCAGGUAUUUUGUUCGGUUGCAGUAGUCCGGCUGGUCUCUGAUGCUCAGCUUUUAUGCGUUGACAUGAGUCGCAGCGCGCAAUGAAGGUGGCUAUGUCCCUCUUCAUACUGUGCCACCAAAAUCUUUCCUGAAUAUCUUUAUACGUUUUGGUUCCUCCAGGGUGGAUCGAGUACGAGGCGGUGUGGGCUUCAGCUAAAAUUUGCUAUUUAAGGUCUUCUAUGUUUGGCACGCAGAGUCUGUCUCCGUACCAUAAUAUUCCUUCAUUGUCUAUGACUAAUUCCGAGGCUUUGCCCAUACUCACCUUUCUUUUGAUGCCUUCGAUGCUGGGGUGACCGGGCUGAGCUCCUUUAAUUUCCCCCACAAGGUCGGGUUGUAUUUCCAAGUUUGAUAUGGUGCCUUCUGCUACCAUCAUCAAGUUGAGCUUGGCAAAUUCUUGUUGGAAUUCGGGCCUCAAUCUGUGCAAAUUGUUGUCGUCGGAGCUGGGAUUCCGACUAAGAGCAUCGGCCACUACAUUUGCUUUUCCUGGAUGGUAAUGGAUACCAACAUCAUAAUCCUUUACCAAUUCCAACCAACGUCGUUGCCGUAAGUUUAGUUCUGGCUGUGUGAAAAUAUAUUUGAGGCUUUUGUGAUCCGUAUAUAUUUCACAUCGAUUCCCAAGUAAGAAAUGCCUCCAUUCCUUGAGUGCAUGAAUAACUGCUGCCAUUUCUAAGUCAUGAGUGGGAUAAUUUUCCUCAUGCUUACGAAGUUGCCUUGAAGCGUAGGCGACAACCUUGCCUUCCUGCAUCAACACGCAUCCGAGGCCCUUUCUGGACGCGUCACAAUAUACUUCAAAAUUCUUGUGUAUGUUGGGUACAAUUAAUACCGGUGAUGUCGUUAAUUUCCGUUUUAGCUCUUGGAAACUUUUCUCGCAGGCUUCUUUCCAUUCAAACUUCUUGUCUUUCUUGAGUAACUGUGUCAUAGGCUUGGCUAUGGUGGAGAACACUUCAAUAAAACUGUGGUAAUAUCCUAACAUUCCCAAGAAACUUCGUAUGUCCGUUACGCUGGCUAGUGACAUCCAGCCAAGUAUGGCCUUGACUUUCUCUGGGUCCACUGCGAUACCGUCUUGGGUCAGUACGUGGCCUAGAAAGCCUACUUUUCUUAGCCAAAAUUCGCACUUGCUGAACUUGGCAUACAAUUGGUGUUUUCUGAGCUCUCCUAGCACAAUCUUGAGAUGUUCUGCGUGCUCUUCUGGUGUCUUGGAGUAUACCAGAAUAUCGUCGAUGAAUACCACGACGAACUUGUCCAUAAACUUCAUAAAUACUUUGUUCAUGAGGUGAACAAAAUAUGCGGGGGCGUUAGUUAAUCCAAAUGGCAUCACUGUGAACUCGUACAGUCCAUAUCUGGAGGUGAAGGCUGUUUUGGGAAUAUCUUCUGUUCGCACCUUUAAUUGAUGGUAUCCUGACCUUAAGUCAAUUUUUGAGAAUACCUUGGCCUGAGCGAGUUGAUCAAACAAAUCGUUUAUCCUUGGCAUCGGGUAUUUGUUCUUGACUGUGACCAUGUUAAGUGCUCGAUAGUCAAUACACAAUCUCAGUGUUCCAUCCUUCUUUUGGCAAAUAAAAUUGGUGAUCCCCAAGGUGAGGAGCUGGCUCGAAUGUAUCCUUUGUCUAGCAAUUCCCUUAUUUGUUUCUUCAACUCAACUAAUUUGGAUGGUGCCAUUCGGUACGGUUUCUUGUAUAUGGGGGUGGUUCCUAGUGCGAGCUCAAUGCUGAACUCUAUCUCUCGGUCUGGUGGCAUGCCUGGUUGCUCUUCAGGGAAUACGUCUGGAAAUUCACACACUACUGGAACCUUGUUUAGCUCAGAAAUGUCCACCUUAUUCAAUCUCGGUUGGCAGGGUAUUUUUCCUUCCUUGGCUGAUACUCUUAUUGUCUUCCCUUGGUGGUGUGUGAGAAUUACGGUCCUGUUGAAACAGUCGAUAAACCCCUUGUUGGUGGUUAGCCAAUCCAUCCCUAGGAUGACAUCCAGUCCUUUAUUUUCCAACACAAUAAGAUUUGCGUGAAACUCCAAUCCUUCGAACUCAAUGACCACAUUCUGACACUAAUUCUGAGUAACUUGCUGAAUCCCAGGGGACUUGAUGAUCAUGGAUUUCUCCAAAGGAAGCAUCGAAAAAUUAUUUUGCAAAGCAAAACUUUUCAAAAUGAAAGAGUGAGAAGCUCCAGAAUCAAACAAAACCGUUGCAGGUA